rnacentral:lncRNA from 1 species
AGACUCACCGGCAAGCUUCUCGAAGAUGUCGUUGAUGAAGCUGUUCAUGAUCCCCAUGGCUUUGCUCGAGAUCCCGACGUCGGGAUGAACCUGCUUCAGCACCUUGAAGAUGUAGAUCUUGUACGUCUCGACGCUCUUCUUGGAGCGCUUCUUCUUCUUGUCUCCGGCGACGGCAGAGGGAUCCUUCGGAAGCUUCUUUCCAGCCUUUGGCUUCUUCUCCGCUGCUGCUGCGGCGGUGGUGGUUUCUGCCGCCGGUUUCUUCUCUGCUGGUUUCUUGUCUGCCUUGGCCAUUGCUACGAUUAUUAAGAUGAGAUUAUUGAUGUGAUGGUUUGUUGACUGUUUGAGAGACUAGUCUUCUUUGUUUAUAUAAGAAUAGAGAAAGAGAUUUUAUUGGUCGAGAUACUGAGAUGCGGAUGAGUGACGUGGCAACAUAUGUGCUGUCCAAUGUGAAAGGCUAUUAUGAAUGGAUGGAUCAGAUUGUUUUAUUUUAGCGCGCGUGCGUUUUAAAAAAAAUUGUUAUCAAGAAAUCGAGAUUUGGAAAAAAAUUUGUUACCCGCCAUCAUAGCCGAUGAGCGCCAAUUUUGUUUAUUCUUUAAGAUUUGGUACGGAUAGCUGACGUGGCUGUCUUUGAUCUAUUAUCCAAGGUUGUACGGCUACGAUUACAUGGCUUUAUGUGGCGAUACAGUUUUUUUUGGGCCUUUUGGUUUCUAGAACACAUGGGGUGUAACUGGUUAUUCAUAUAAGGAAUAUUAUGAAUUAAAGGAAUGAUUAUUUUUGGAAUAAGAAAAAAUGGAAUGAUAGAUUAAAUGGAAUAAAAACUGAAAAUAUUUUUGGAAUGAUUUUCCAUUCAUUCACGAAGGAUUAUGAUCCUGAAUAAAAGGAACAACAUUUACAAAGGAUUUGUUUUUUUGUUCCAUUCCAAAAAUGGAAUAUAUGGAAUUGUUUCUAAAACGUUUUCAUGGUAACUGGUAAACAUUUUAUGGAAACAUGUGGAAUAAUCCAUUCCAAAGAGUUUUAUUCCACAAAAUAGCAUUCCAGUUGCACCCAUGGUUUUUCAAACAAUUUUGGUUUUAGAUAAACUUUCAAUUAUGUUUUUUCAUUAUCUUUUAAUCUGUAGCAUAUGAACAGGCCGUUGGAAAUAUAUUUUCGAAUAUAAAAUAUAAGAGUAAAAUCACAAUGGAUGAAAAUUGCUGCGUAUGUGCAUAUAUAGAGAAGAGAAGAGGGGUGAUGUAGUCUAGCUCAACUUGGUCCGUGAUCAUAAAAGGCAUCUGCGGCGGCAGCCCGUGGGCCAGUGAGUGACCCAAGAACAAAAAUAUAUAUAUAACCUAGUUUAACCUUAUGGAUAUUUAGGUUGAAAAAUAUAUAACGGUGUAGUGUUGGACAAAAGUCACUGUGAUGAUCCUAUGGUGUAGUGUGUAAUGAAUCAUGAACUUUUUAUUCAAAACGAAUUGAGAAAUGAAUUGGUAUAUGUCAUUUAUUAUCUACAAUGUGGAUAUCCCAGCAUGUACUCAUUCAUGUUGUUGCUGCUGUUUAACAACUAAAACAGAAACCCUAGUUUCUAGCUCUUUAGAUGCAAGCAAGUCACCGAUGACUCCUAACUCCGGAAGCUCCAUCCAGUCCACCAAACCCGAGUAAUCCAGUGAAUCUUCGUCGUGAUCUCUCCCUACAAUCAUCAAGUCGUUCUCUUCCGCCGCCAUUCUAACGGCUGUGGUCACCGCGGGACCACCUUUGAUUAUCUUCUCCGUAUAUGAGAAAUUUUCAGCGGAAGCAUAUGUUGAUUUCAAAUCAUUCAAGACCUCAUUAUCGACAAGGUACUCCCAAUUCUUGGACUUGUCUGGUUCUUGACCAGACAAGAAUCUGAUCACCGUGAGACGCACGCUAGGGUUCUGUCUCAUCCAUUUCGCAAUAGAGACAGCCUCCCAGUCAUCUUUACCACCAAUGAAGAUCACACCCACUUUAACCGUACCUUUACUCCUUUUAUUGAUCUUCAAUUUACGGUGCCCUCGGCUAUUGAGCACGCCGAUAGAACAUGGAGCACGGUCGAGGAGAGACAUAUUCACACGUCUGAUCAUAACAUCAUCCGAUUCAUAUGAUCCAUCGGGUGACCAUUUUCGUCCAGAAGGUGUAAUGAUCAUCGACGUGAGGUGGUCGAAAGCGAGAUUACAAAUGUCUUGAUCCAUUAGAUUAUCAAUAGAGAAAGCUGUGAAGGAAUUAACAGUCGUAGUUCCUAGAUUCUCUUGUUGGAACUCGUUGAACGCGAGCAUCAUUGUUUGGAUGUAAGAGUUUUGAAGCAGCCUCGGCUUAGAUCGCUUGUCGUGCGGUACUAAGAUGGGGAACGCACGUCCCGCGAGUUUCACGAGGUGUAACACUGUAACCGCGAUAACUCCUUUGUCUUUGUUCUCGUUGUUAAGCGGAGAAGAAAGCAGUUGAAGCAGCGAGAUCAUGCCUGAGAUGUUGUCUGGUCUGUGCAAACACGUUAGUAUCUUGAGGUCUGAAUUUGAUUUUAGAUGCAUAACGUCUCUCUUUACGUAACCAAUAUACUUCCUCUUUGGAUCGUAUAGUGCUUUCACAAUAGUAGGUAAAAUCCCCGCGUUCAUUAACACGUACAUCAUCAAGAACGUGUACGUUGCAUGCGACAGAUUCUGUGUAAAUAAAAAACAUUAGCCCAUUAGUUCGAAAUCAUACAUGUAAAGUGAGUUAGCGUUUUGUAAUAAAUAAUUAUUACCCAUUUAUUGAGGGCGCCUUCAAUGAAGCAUAGGUCAACAAAACCCUUAUAGUUCAUAAUCAUGGCGAUGAUAAUGGACUCUCUAGUAGGUAACUUGAAGAUCAAGCAAGGUACAAAAGAGGCGGUCCAUUUCAGGACCAAUGUAAAACCCACCAGAAAUAUGUUAAACGAUAUGUCAUCGAACGCAUACAAUACCCCUAUAAUGUCACCUUUCAUGGUCAUGACCGCGAUUGAAAUCGGGAAAAAUACGUUUGUAGCCAAGCUCUCGAACUUGGCCUCUAACGCUGACCCCAGAGGUGGACCGUCUGGGAUCGCCAUCCCAACCAUAAAGGCUCCUAGAACAUGUAUUUGGUUGAAAAACGUUGUGUAACUGCUCGCGGCUACUGCCGUCAUGAUUGUUCCGUACAAGUAGAGUUUCCGUACGGACUUGCCUUCUGGGGUAAUGUUGACUAUUCGUUGAGCCGCAGGCCUGAUGAUGAAUAUGAUCACGAGCACUAAGAUGAUCAUUGCCGCUGCAUCGCGGUUGGCUGUUCUCGGCGAUACGUACCUGCACGACCGUUUCAAACUAUAUAUUAUAACGAAUGUUCAAAAAUUGUUAGAGGCACUCGAAUGUUGCCUGCAUCCACGUGAAAUAAUGAAUAUAAUUUUUAUAUUGACAAAAACUUUAUUUUUAUAAAAAUGUUAUUUUUUCUAAAUGAAACAUGAUUAGUUUUUCUCUUUGUUGUUGACCAAUUCUUAAACCAGUUUAACCAAAAGUAGAGCAUUUACAUUGUUUUGGAUAGCCUAACUUAUUUUAGACUUUUUGAAAAAAAUUCAUAGUUUACGUAGGUAAAACAAAUUAUUGUCAUCACUUGUAACCAUCCGCAAUUCAAAUCUCACGUAAUGUUUAUUUUAUCUUAUUGUUAGUAUUAGCAAAGGGAAUAAACUGUGUAGAUCUCAAACCCGCAUAUUGCAUAAUGUCAUGUUAUGAACAAAAAGAAAAUUAAUUCUCUUAUAUAAACAAUCUUGAUAUAAUUAAAUGUAUGCAAAUGCACGAUUUAAACCUUUUAUAUCUAUUUGCAUACCUGUAUGUUCCAAUGUAGGAGACGCACAUCAGAUUGAUAAAAGCGAGGAGAUCGUUGAAGGCGGAGAUAGAUAUUGCGAGGCGUCCGAGUUCCGAGUUUGGAAUCUUAAGCUCAUGUAUGAGGUGGGUUACCACCGGUAACAGCGUUAUAGCCUGUAUCGAUACAAUCACGGUGCGUUCUGUUGGGGCCAGCCUCAGAGACAUAUAGAGAGGAUCAACCUUGUCGAUACGGAAGUUUCUGAAAGCCAUCCCUGUGACCAUUGUCAAGACAAAGGACGAAACCGCGAUCACAAUUGGUCGUUUGCCGGUUUGAAACGCUGCUCUUUUGUUGGUCUUGACGCCCAUCAAGAACGUGAACAUUAUCAUCCCGAACUUGGCCACACCUUCCAACGCUGCGUUACCGUCCAAAUCCAACGAUAACCGGUCCGAAGAAAAGUCCACUAAAUCAAUCAGUUGAGGUCCAAGAAGAAAACCAGCCUAAUUUUUAAAACAUAAAUUCAUUAAUUGUGACACAAGAAAUCAUUACCUAUUUACGUACAACACAAGAAACAUAAUUUUUUUGAAGGUUUUAACUUACGAGCAUGUAAGAUACGAACUGUGGUAUGCCAAUAAACCUAAGGAACAUGUGAGAAGAGACGAUAAGGACGAAGAUGAGACUGAUUUGCAUCUCAAGUAGAGGCAAUGCGUAUCCGAAGAUGACACUCGGAGUUUUAUAGGUUUCCAAGAUACCGAAAGAGGAGAUGUUGAAAUUAGCGGCUCCAUAACAAACUUUUUCGUUGCUGAGCGUCGGCCAAAGCGGAGGAGCUAGUGCUGCAGAAUCGGCCAUGGUGAUGAUUGAUCCAAGUAAAAAAGACAGAGAUAUGUAUUGGUCAAAAAAAAUUGUUUUAGAUCGAUUAUGUUUUGAUUUAUCGUUGAAGAUUUUGUUUCUGUGUCUUUGGUCUUUUCUUAACAAACAAAUAUUCAACAGCGUAAUUUGUUUGAAAAUUUGCUGUUGUCUCUCAGUAUUUGGCGGGUUCUCUUUUUGACCAGCUUUUUUUUUUUUUAACAUUUGAGCUGUAAAUUUUAUUUUACGUAUUAACAAAUAUGCAAACAGGUAUGUAUGCAUAUACAGGUACACUAUACGAAACAAACAAACACAUGGUACGUGAAAAUACCGAACCAGAAAAUCCGAAUAUAACAUUGACAUAUACCAAAAAAAACUGUUGAUAGAUCCAACGGUGCAUAGAGAUACGAUUUAAGAAAUCGUGGCUGAAGAUCAAUUAUGUAAAAACCUUAUUUUCUGUGUUUAAUGGAUUCUGUAUAGUCGAUAGUUGCGUGAAACGCAUAUCAACUAUAGAGUUUGAGUGGUGAGGAUAUAAAAAGGAGUGGACCCAUAUAGAGAAGUCAGCAAGAUGGAGGAUCCUAUCCAAUCCUAUCUUGUUCUGCUUUUCUAAAAACAUGACAUUGACAUUGAUGUGGACACACCACCAGGUUCUUGAAAUGGCGAGCCAACUGAACCAAAUCAUUGAUUAUACAAACUCUAGUUUUUCUUUUAUUGAUAACAUAAUUUUUUGUAAUAUGGCCGCCAAAUUUUAUUAUUAUUCCUUCAUGCAGUUUCUGAAAUAUAAAUGACUUUCCGGAAAACCAAACACAUAUAUUUUAACAAAAAUGAAACUACGAAUAUCUGAGAUUUCAAUCAAUCGGUUUAGUUCAUAAACAUUAGGCUAAUCUUUCUUUUUAAAAUUUGUUUUCAUUAUGUUUUCUUUGGGUUUCAGAAUACCAUGCCAAUACAAAGUUUUUAUUGUUUUCUCUAAUUUUCGCUUUAGUUUACAGUAAAUGAUUGUUACACGGUUAAAUAUUCCACAUUUCAACCCAAGAAAAUAAUAUUGAAUUGAAAUUUCUUCUUUUUAAUAUAUAAAAAUAAAAAUAUAUAUACUUAUCUUAAAUUAUUAAGCUAACAAAAUUGGUGAUAUAUAUAAAUAACUGGAUUCAGGAUUUUUAACUUUCAAAUUCUACCCAUGGCAGAUAUUUUUUCCUAAUUACACAGUAUAUUUGAUUUAUUAACGUAGGAUUUUAUAUUAUUUAUCAACAUAUAUAUAUGUGAAAGAAAAUUUACCCAAAAAGUCAAAUCGAGUAUUGCAUAAAAGCAAGAUAUUUUACCAGUAAAUUUAAUUUACCACAGCUUUCAAAUGUGCAUCUAGUUUCAACAUCAAUAAAUAAACAAAACAAAGUUGAGUAUAGAUAUGUAAUGAUUAUGGGAAGAUAAAAAUCUGGCGUGUAGCCGAGUCACCUCUCUCAUCAUCAUCACCUCAUAUAAACAAAUAUCCACCUGCUUCCCUUCUCUUCUCUGCAACUAAACAAACGUCAAAGCAUUUACGUUUUAUUCAAUCUUUCGUUACUACCGAAGAAUCUGAAGCAUCAAAGAUCAAAACUUUACAAGUAAAUAUGGAGAUGGGUUUCCAGGAAAAUCAGCAAAACCAAGAACUUACCAAUCUUAGGGAGAUUGGAUCUGGGCAUUACGGGUAAACUACAUUCAUAUCCAUCUUUGUUGAAGCUAAAGUUUCAAUCUUUUUUUGUUGAAUUUGAUCUUUAUUGUUGUGUGUGUGUUUAGGUGCUCACAUUAUAGAAGACGAUGCAAGAUCAGAGCACCUUGUUGCGAUGAAGUUUUCGAUUGCAGACAUUGCCACAACGAAGCUAAGGUAUCUAAAACUAAUACUUAAAUGAAUCAUCUUUUUUUUUACUCUGUUCCCAACCAUAUUGUAUCUAAUCUCACUACUUAGAUGUCAAUAUUCAUUUUUUUAUAGCUCCCUGGCUUUGUAUAGAUGUGUAAGAAAGAACAAGUUUGGGUUAUAGAUGUGAAACUUAUGUAUGAAACUAAUGUGUUUACGUUUUGUUUCGCAGGACUCUCUUCAGACUGAACAGCUUCUUAGACAUGAUCUUCCUCGGCAUGAUGUUUCAAAGGUUAUUUGAAAUCAGAUUUAAUAUUCUGAACAUUUUUUAUUUCUUCACUGUGAUAAAUUUUUGAUUCUGUUUUUUUUUUGUGUCAGGUUAUUUGCUCGCUUUGUGAGACAGAACAAGACGUGAGUACCACUUUUUGAAAUAUUUGUGUAAAAAUGUUUCUUGAUGCCUGACCUCUGAUUUGUUUUCUUACAGGUACAGCAGAACUGCUCUAGUUGUGGCGUAUGUAUGGGGAAGUACUUUUGCUCAAAAUGCAAGUUCUUCGAUGAUGAUGUAAGUUUUCUUCAAACCCUUUUCUUAUAAACUGGAAUGUGUAUCAAUGAGAUUCAACUUUGGUUGUUGUUUCAGCUUUCCAAGAAGCAAUACCACUGCGAUGAAUGUGGGAUCUGCAGGUACCAAUUCAAAAAAAAAAAACAAAACUCUUGUAGGUUUGUUGUAACUGAUUGUUGAUAAGUAAUCAAUCUCAAUGAUGUUGGUUUUGAUAGGACCGGAGGAGAAGAAAACUUCUUCCAUUGCAAAAGAUGUCGUAAGAGACAACAAAAACUUUAUCUGCUAGCAUAUUCUUUGUUUCUAGAUCUAAUUUUGUUUUUCUUGGGACAGGAUGUUGCUACUCCAAGGUUAUGGAGGACAAGCACCGAUGUGUGGAAGGCGCAAUGCAUCACAAUUGUCCCGUUUGUUUUGAGGUAAAGUAAUCGUAUCCGCUAAAUUUUUCUUUAACAACAUAACAGUGUUUUGAUUUUUGGGUUUAUUUGUUUUCAGUAUCUGUUUGAUUCCACGAGAGAUAUCACGGUUUUGAGAUGUGGUCACACAAUGCAUUUACAAUGCACCAAAGAUAUGGGGUUGCAUAACCGGUAAAAGAAGUCUCUCAAGUCUUUUAAUGCCAGUCACUGGUAAACACAGAUUAAUACCUUUUUUUUUUUAUGUUUUGUUGUGUAAGAUACACAUGCCCUGUAUGUUCUAAAUCCAUAUGUGACAUGUCCAACAUGUGGAAGAAACUUGACGAAGAGGUAAGUAAGGCUUCAUAGUUUAAUGGUAUAUAUUUUUGUAUAGUCUCUUAUGUUCAUUAAGUUUUAACCAUUGCAGGUUGCUGCCUACCCAAUGCCAAAAGUGUACGAAGACAAGAUGGUAAGCGAGAUUGUGUUCACGAGGUUGUGUGUGUUUUGUAUGUAUGGUUUGGAUUCUAAUGUGAUUUUUUUUUUGAAUUAGGUAUGGAUUCUUUGCAAUGACUGUGGUUCAAACACGAAUGUUCGGUUUCAUUUGAUUGCGCAUAAGUGCACUAGCUGCGGUUCAUACAACACUAGACAGACGCAGAGAGGACCUGAUACUACUCACUCUUGCUCUUCAGGAGUUCCUCAGGUUGUUGGCUCAACCGGUUAAUCAAGACCUGAACCGGGGCUGGUUUGGUGUCUGAAUUUCCCAAGGGAGAUUAUUUAUGUACCUUCUUAACUAUAACAUCAGUCAAUACUGGUCUAUAUCAGCACAAAUUCAAAUGCUAUUUCACUGUUUUCGAUCCUGGGCAUUGUCUCAUAUAUUCAAUAUGAUAUAGUAUAUAAUAAACGAACUUUUAAUUUAAAAUGUCGUUUAUUAGCAUAGAAUUUGAUUUUUUUCAUAUUUAGUCACAUGAUUCUACAAGGAAAAAAAAUGUAUUGAAAGAUGUCUUCUAGAACUUAAAUUUGUGUAAAUAGUAUAAAUGCAUGUAGUUAACAAGAAUUAUAUAAAAUUUCCAAUGAAUAAAUCAAGCCCACCGACAAAAAAUAGAAGUACUUACAGAUAUUGAAAUAUUCAAGCUUGAGAUUUUUCCGUUUGCUACCUAACAAGUAACAACAAUAGUUAAGGCGGUUUGUCGUUACUUAAACUUUGUUACAACAAGUAUGAAUUGAGGAGUAGGUUAGCUAUCAGCUACGUUAGAAAUUAUGAAACAAACAAAACCCGUAAUCAAUUAUAAUUACAUUAUAAGAUUUGAGCUUAUAUGAUGACUGGUGACCCUAUAAACCCUAGUGGGCAGUUCUUUCAAACUCGUGAAUCCAUUAUCAUCCACAAACUCAAUUUUAUAAAUUUAGUUUGAAAGUAGUAAUUCUAACCUCUACAAAUAAUAUACUGACCAUCACCAAGGUCAAACAAUCUAUGAACUAACCUAUGUUGACACAAAACACUACUUACAUUACAGGACAAGAAGAUCCGACUCUAGAUCUUCAGGACCUACCCGACCCGACAAAGUUGCUUUGGGCUCUUAGGACUUUUGGUUGUUGGUCGUUAUCUCCCACCCAUCUCUCCGUAAAGCAAAAUAUUAAAAUAAAAUAUCUCAAAAGUUAAAAACCAUUCAAGCACACCCCCACAAAGGCGACAAGUAAAACCUCUAUAAUUAAGUAAUUACUAAAUUUCAGUUAUUACUAGAGAAAACUGAUUACAUUAUGAAGCCAGAAACAUAACAUCACAUUUAGAAGAGAGAAAAAAUCAGUGAAGCUAAUGUCUUGAGCUUUAGAUACAACAUAAUAUCCAUCUCCACCAACCGGUGGUAGAUGGAAAAACCUUGAGCAUAAAAAAGAAGAAAACAUACAAACCUUAGUUCAACACAUCAUGGAGCCAACACAUGAGUGUGAAAAUGCAUUUGAGAUACAACACUCAAAAAAACAAAACCACAGCCAGCAUCCUUAUAGAAAUAAAUAAAAAUAGCAAACUCUCACAUAGUAUUAAAUAAAACCAGGGGAGUUUUUUUUUGUGGUCUUUCUUUCUCAUCACUCUAAAUCUAAACCCUAAAUGGAUCAGACUCUGUCUCCCACAAUGGAGCAUAACCAAAAACCCUAAUAUACAAAGACCACACUCACUUGACCCACUAAGUGAGAUUAAAACCCUGAAAUUGACCUAUGUGAUGGUAUAUUAGAUGUCUAAUAGUACUACUUGAGUAAGAAUCAAGAUCAGCAGCAGCCAGAACUGUGUUGGUUAGUGGAGAAGAACUUUCUGAUACUUAGUUUUUGAAUACGCCCCAUCCGAGAAUAAUACUCUCUUUCUGUUGAAUUUUCCACAGCCAUUGUUGACAUUUGGGCACUGGAUGGUGACUAGAGGGAUCUCGAAAGUCUUGAGAAGCGGUGGUGGGUGUUGCCAUUGAGGUAAUGGACCGGCUAAGAGCAGUGUCUGAAGCAAUGGCCCUGCCUUCAUAACAGCUUGUAAGAGCUUACCCUUUUCAGGCAAUGGCUUGUCUGGAAACAAUGGAUCCAUAAUCUCAUUUCCUGAUACUUCUUCAAGCUGAGAUGAGUGUGGGUUCAUGACAUGAUCAUUUGGUGACAUAAAGCUCUCCUCACAAUCUGAGGAUGUGAAACUCUUGUUGGAUGUAAGUUGUUGAGGAUGCAAUGUUUCAUCUUCAAUGCUUGAAGCUCCUGAUAAAGGAGGAGUCAUAUGAUUUUGCUGCUGGUGUUGUGGACACGUGAGGUUAUCGGACAUGAGACGCUCGCAUUUCUGGAGAGCUUCGUCUCUUUCUUUAAUGGUUUUGGUUAAGAUGUCUUUGAGCUGGAUCAGUUGUUCAUCCCUUUUCCUUAUUUCCUCAUGAGCAAACAUCUUUGUUUGUUCGAGAUCUAGUGUUGUGCACAGAAGAGAGUGUCUUAAUUCUUCUUUAGUCUGUGAAUUUCACAGAAGUAGAAAAUAAAUUAGAUACACAAAAGAAAAAAACAGAGGAAAAACAUAUGUUUAAAUAAGCUAGAUGGUACAGAACAGAGGGAUCCCUAAGUUUGGUGUCACCUAGUUGCAUGUUGAGACAACCAUUAUAAGAAAUACUAAAGACAUCAAGGAUUGAGUCACCUGGUUGCAGAUUAAGGCCACCAUUAUGUAAAAUCCAGUUGAGUCUUAGCAACUAGGUCUAGAUUCAGGUAUUUAUUUAUUUAUUAGAACAACCAAGAAUAGUAAAAAGAAAUUCCACAUUAAAGUUCUUGUUUUGGACAUACAUUAUGCACCCAUUUGAGCAAAAACAUCAUUGAAAGAAAGAUAAAGCAAAAGCAGAAGAAGAGCAUUGCUUUGGUGAAGAGAAGAGAAGAAACUCGACUUUAGAAAGAGAUGGAAUAAAUUUUACCUUUCCAUGAGAAUAGUAAGGCCAGCCAAGAAGAGCAUUGCUCUGGUUAUCCAUAAAUUCUACUAAACUGAGCUUUUGAUUCUCUUUUAAAAUUGUGUUAGAGAGAGAUAGAAAGAGAAUGGAGUCUAACUUAGGGAGGGAAGGACAUAUAAAUAAGUAAAAACUUGUUGGACUGUUUAAAGCAGAUCAAGCUUUUUCAGGUAUGUAGCUUUCUUUCAAGAUUUCAAUAAUUAGUUAAAUAACUAAAAAGAUAAAGAUAAAAUGAUAGCACAUGAUUGUAUCAUUUCGUGUAACAUUAUCUCAACUAACUCCACUUUAUAUUUUACCGCGCAAACUAUAAGAAAAUUGUUUAGAGUUUUAUCAGUAGUAUAACUGUAUAUGAAAAUAAAAUCACACAACUCAAAUUCAAAAUAAUAUAGUUGACUCAUAUUUAAAGAGAAACUAGUGUUUUUUUAAAUGAAUGUUAAAUUUAUUCAACUCAAAACCUUAUGUACAAUGGUGGUUGUAACUGUGUGUAAAAGUGGAUUGAAAUACAUUGAAAGAAUGAUCUUAAAUCAAAAAUUCAAGUGUUCACUCAUCUGGUAUCAAACCACAGCCCCAAAAAUGGUAUCGAACCACAACUUCAAAGAGCUGUUGUACCUGCCACUUCCCCCUCCUCUGAGAGAGUCAAUACGAUUCCUUACUUGUUUGUCAAUGAAAGAAUCCAUUCGGCCUUGUUCCUUAGGUUGGUCUCCAUGUUUUCGUCCAUUACUAAUAUUUUCACAUGAAAUUAACGAUCUUUUAAAUACUUGGUGAAUACUUUUCUUAGUAUGUGAACAGUAGAAUGCAACCAAAAGAAUCAUUUUAAAUAUUUAUCCCAAUACUUAAAAUUUUAAAUAUAUAACUAUAGUUCAAUUUUUUUGCAAAUCAUUCUUAUACAUGUUUACAUGAUCGAGAUUAAAAUCAAUUUAGUGGGUGUAUCUUUUAAAUAUUAUAUAUGUAUAUAGUUUUUCCUUUUCCUUGUUUUGCUGAAAGUAGUAUACUAGUAUUUAUACAAAAUUUUAAUAUUAACCUCUUUUGCCUUAACUAUUUGGUGGAAGACCAGUAUCGUAGUUUACUGACAUUGGUCUCACUCACUCACAAUAUAGUCUAAACUCUUUAAAUGUCUUUUGUUUUCUUCUUCGUUUUUUCUUGGAUACAAUACGGUUUCUUGUCUUUAUCCAAGAAAAAUGAAGUCCAACGAAAAGAGCGGGAAUGAAUGCUUCCUCUAAUAACAUAUUUUUCAAUUUUGUACAGAGAAAGCAUAUGAAGAUGAAAGAAUAUGUGUAUAAACAACUAAAGAUGCAUGGAGUCAAUGAGAAGUGGAUUCCAUUGUCAGCAAAAGAGGCAAGUAACCAAACUUUUUCCACCAAUACAUUGAGAAAAGUUUGAUGGAAUCCUUUUUUCAAUUAUUAAACCUAUCACUACUCGUGGAAAAAUAAGGACUCACAUCUUCGUUUCCAAAUUUCACGUGAAUAUUACAGAACUGAACAGCUCAGUUUUGAAAAAGGAAAAAAAAAAACAGCUCAAUAUUUAAAAAAUUGAUAUAAACAUCGCUAUAAGCCUAUGCUAUAGCCACCGUCAAUAUUUUAAAUUUUUAAUAUAAUAGUCGUACAAAGAUCUACAAUCUACGGUCGGAUUAUCAAUUUCUGUCUGCAGAUCUUGCCGAGUUUCUAGAAACCCUAAGCAAAUUAAAGUCUUUAAGAAAAAUAUAUAAUAACCUCAAGCAUAGCUAAGGAUUUUUUUAUCAGUUUUCUUUAUACUAAAAAGGUUACGAUGCAUGCAUUUUCAUAUUUCUACAAUAUUCAUAUCCUUUUUUGUCUUGGAAACAGCCAGCCAGUUUAUGUAACCAUCAAAUGUAUUCCUUCAUGAAAUUUUAAUAUUACCAGACGAAAAGAGUAUAAGGGGGUCAGUUGAGUGAAAACUCAAUUUUAAUUUCUUCGGCCAAAAUAUAUAAUGAAUACUUUGAUGAAAAAUGAUUAAUUGACUUUUACUGCAAGUCUGCAAGUUGAAUUAAAGAAAGGAAAGUAAUAUCUCCAUAUUUGGUUGGGUCCCUGGGCAUGUUAAGUGAUUAUCAUGAAUAUCAUCGAUGGUCACACUAAUAUUAUAAUAUAGAUGUAGUGCACGAUAUGUUCCUACCAAUUGUGAUAGUGGAGUGGUAUCCAUUAAAAAGAGCUAAAGGAUUCUCUCGUUCAACAAUAUACAUGCAGAUGGAUAUAUAUGUAAAGAAAAGAGAAAAGUACUUCCAAUACUAAAAGUAUGGAGACAAGAGUUAUCAUUUCAUGGUCUCUUUCACCAACAUUAAUCUAAGAGCAUGUGAAGCAAAACUUUUGAUUUUCUUUCUUUGUUCAUUGUGAUAGAAUUUUAAGGACUUCUGUCUUUUGGCUACUUAGGUUUCCCGUGUGAGUUGGUGCAAAACUUAGAUAUCUUUUGUGUAUGAGGUCUCGCGACCUUCAGCCAUGUAUGCCUUUUAUACUAAAACACUAAACUGAUUAAUCUAUAACUCUAUAAGUUAUUUUUCAACUAAGUUUUGCAACCGAAAAGGCAUAAACUCGAGAGGAAACACUCUUAACUAGGCGGAACCAAUGUGACAAUUUUACUAAAAUGUUAUUAUUAUAUUUAAAUAUCUUAUAUAUUAAUAGAGAAACAUUUAAAAAGUUAUAACAUGUAGUUUGUACUAAUUAAAAAAAUGUUAUGAUGAGUUGUCACAUAAUUGUAAUGAUAACUUUGUUUAAGUGACAACUUGAGAAUCAAUUGAGAAUUUUGUUUGUCCAAAAUUAAAUUGGUAGAAAAUGUUAUAUUAUAUAGUAUGUCUAUUAUGAACCAUUCAUUUAUCAAAUUAAAAUUAUUAUUUUCUUAAAUAAAGCAUACGAAAUUAUCUAAUGUGAUUAAGAUAUAUGUGACAGUUAAUGAUUUUAAAUAAUAAAGAUUUGCUAACAAUUUAUAUAUUUUCUAUCAUUUUUGUUUAAUUAUUUAUUAUUAAAAAUAAAUUACACAAUACAUUAGUCAUAUAAUAAAAGUUUAGAUUAUUUUUUAUAUGUUGUAUUUUGAAUUUUUCAAAACGAGUAUAAAUUACCAAAACUGUUAAAAAUCUCACAUAAACUUUUGUGAUCAAAAUUUAAAUUUUUUUUCUAUAAUAAGAUACAAUGAUUGUAAAAUCAUAUGAAUAAAUAAUUUUAUUUUAAUAGGUAUUUAUGUUAAUAUAUAUAUUUCAUAUCGUUUAAAUUAAACUAUAUACCAUAUGAAAAUACAUACUUAUAUUUUGAUAUUUGCGUUGAACAUAUAUUGAAAAGUUAAUAUUUUAAUUUUGAAAUCUUCAUUGUUAUUUUUUUAAAUGAUUAUAAAUUAUUGAAACCACUAAACAUUUCACAUUAAAAAAAAUCGUUGGUGUAAAAUUUUGGUACACAAAUAUAAAAAUAAUCAUAAAAUCAUAGGAGUAGAAACCUCAUUUAAUAAAUAUCCAUAUUAAAAAUAUACCAUAUAUAUGUUAAUAUCAUUUAAAUUUAAUUAUAUAUCAUAUACGAUAGAUAAGAUUGAUUGUUUUGAUUUAUUUAUCCUAAAAUGAUUGCGAAUAAACAAGAGCGGUCAUUUGAUUUAUAUGUGUACACCAAUUUAUUACAUAACAAUAACUGAUAUCUUGAUUCUUUAAUAUAUAAUUAUUAUUUUAUUAUUUCAUAAUAUGCAGAAAAACAUAAAAUAAGUAAUAAAUAUAAAAUAUUUAUUCUGCACAAGGCGGAAAUAUUAACCUAAGUAUGUAUCUCUUUAAUAAUUUUAAAUCUUAAAUAUUUUCUAAAUCCAGACCAAAACAAAAUAACGAAAUGAGAAUAAACUCAAAAAUUAAUAUUUAUAUCGAGCAAUAAUCAAAAUGAAAAAAUAACACAAAAAUGAGAAAAAUAUUAAAGAUAUAUAGGAUUGGCACGUGAACGUAAACUUCUCAUAACCAUAAUUAACUUUUAAAUUGCUAAAUCAUGAUACAAAACCGAGUUGACAUAGUUUCAUUGUAACCAAAUAGUAGGCCUGAGAUUCUUCUGCCUAAACGUUAGGUUCUUAUGUGAUGAGUAAUUUUUGACCUAAAAUAUUUUUUUAAAAAUGGAUAAGCUCAUCAGUAAACAAAUUAUGUAAUUAGCAAAAAAGUUUAUAAAAAUUGUUGAAGGGCAAAAAUAUUAAUUCGAUCAAAAAUAUACAUUUUAUUUUUUAUACGAUAUUUCUUAAGUAAUUUUCAUAUAAAUUUACUUUGCGCAAGGCGCAUGUUUAAUCCUAUCUAUAUAUAUAAAGGAGAGAGAUAUAUAAAGGAGAGUUGUCUCUCUCCUUAGGCUAUCCAGCUCAGUAAAAAGGGAGGGACGUUUUUCGCCACGUGUCGCCUCUUUAACCAUGAUUUCUCGCUGAAUGUUUUCAAUUACAGGCUUGAUCCAAAAAUAUUGUGAGAUUGAGGCCCAAAACUAAAUAUUGUUGACGAUACGAGUUCUUCUUCUUUCUGGGCUAUGAAGCAUAACCUACGUCUGGAUCUUCUUCUCUUCCAGCCCCCCCCCCCCCCCCCCCCCAAAUUAAGUCGACGGAGUAACUCCUAGGGCAAUGAUUCAUCUCUCCUUUACUAUUAAGAUUCAUCGAACCAAUUCAAGGACUAUAUAUUUGUUGUAUCGCUGUCUAGCAAAUUCUCAGACCUUCUUAGAAUCAAAAACUGAUAAAACCUAGAACCACAGCUUCCACCUAUGGCGAGUACUAAGCUCCAAUUCUUUUGAUUUGAAGGCAGAUCGUUGAAAGGAGAUAGUUGUUACACAUCUUUUUCGUUUUUGAUAGGCAAGGAAUAUGAAGAGUUUAUGGGUUUGGACAUGGUUUUUCUCGAUGACAAGGUAACAUUCCUGAGAAUUUCAUCUUUUCAUUCAGUUAAAUUUUUUUUUGAUUCAUCUAUUCAAUGCAUGCCAUCUGACUGUAGGCUGGAGCACUAAUAUUUUCAGUCAACGUUGGUCCAAGGUUUAUUGGGGAUCAUAUGCUCAACACUUUCAAGAGCCUGCUGAGGUUUAUGUCUUUUUGAUAUCUGAUUAUAUGUAACUGGAUUUGAAAUACAUUAUGUUGCCAGAUGAAGUGAGCAACUGAGUGUUUCUAAGAUCUGAUUCGUUGAUCGAGUUUGUUUUUUCUGCAGGAGCAAAAAGUGGAAUCUUUGGAUGAUUGGGGCGAGACCAGUAGUUGAUGGUCCUGGAAUAGUAAAUCGUGUCGAGGAUUGAUGUCAUAAUUUCUUUAUGUGUUUAAUCUUCAGGACAUGUUUUUGAGCCGUAAAUCAUUUGUGUUUGAAAGUGAUGCUCCUGAAGCAAAAAUGGCUGAGAAGAAGAGCAAGUCUUUAAAUGUCUCUUAGCACUGCUGCAGUCACGUUAGAGAACGAAGCUGCUGAAUCCAAAGUGGUACCAAAGGAUGACGUCAAGUGGAUACGAAGGAGGAGGCUGUGAGAUAUAGAAGAGGCUCACCAACAUUGUAGCCAAGAGAUGUACACAAAAAAUUCUAUUGAGUCUAGCCCAUCAUCUACUUCAGUUCUUCCCUAAAGCAAGAUAAUUUGAAAGUGUUUGAUGUGUUGUGAUUUUGAUCAUAAUCUACUGUUAAUAAUAAGGGAUGCUCAUUGACUUCGGCUUAAAAAUAAAUAAAAAUUCUAUGCUCAUUGCCUUUGGCUUUAAGCUAACAAAGAGUUCUUAUAUAUUAAACGUGCAUGAUUGCAGAAUCAGUAAGCCUGCAAAUCAGUAACCCGAGACAUAAUAGAGUUAUUUUCACUCUAGGGCAGUUUGCGUGUUUCUAUGUCAUAAAAAGGCACUUCCUGCUACUGGAGCAGUUUUCAUGUGAAAAGAUCCAACUUGCCCUCAGAAAAUCCUAACCGGCCCGUUCCUUUUCUUUUUUCUUAGUUCGAUUGUUCAAAUUUCAAAAUUUAAAAUCUAGGUGGUGGGCCCACGGACGGAUAUUAUAGACGGAUCUGUAAGGAUAAUUAUUCACUUUCAACUUUGCUUUUACCGAGACCGGAGAGGGAGAAACCGAAGCGGCGAUAGCGAGCCAAAAAAACGACGGCGAGUUUCGGUGACGAUAAACAAGAUGUCUCGACGGCGGAGUCUACGUGGUAAAGAGAUUGCCGUUGGUUAGUAAUGCGCACCCCCCCCCCCUCUUAGUUUGAUUUAGUUUUGCUGUCGAUUUAUCCCUCAAACGAGUGGUUUUUUUUUAUUGGAACAGACGAGGUAGAGGUUGUACCGGCCAGUCUACCGGAGAGGUUAUUUACAACAGAUCGUUUCCCCUGCGAGAAAAUCAACAUGUACUCUACUAUAGAUUUUCUGCUGUGCGUUAGAGACGCACUAAACGGCACCGAGGAGAUGGCGAUGCUCUUGAGAUCUUGCUUUGGAACCCUAUUUAGGUUUCCUGUCCGUGGGGUGCUGAUGGGCAAAGUGAUACACGGGAUGCUGACAAGGCAGGUGCUAACGAAGAAAGGAGGGUUUAUUUUGUUGCGUAGUGCCUUUGUACUUGUGAUGAUUGCGUAGGGAGGGUUUAUUUUGUUGUGACAUUGCAGAAAGGGUUGGAGGUUGUUUUUGGUUAGGGCCCUUGUUGUGUUGGAUGUUUCAUUUACUAUCGGCUCUCUCUGUUGCAAACAUGUUAUGUCAGCAAGUUUUUUGUAUUAUCACCUAUGGUUGGACGUUUAGGAAACCAAAUCUUAUUUAUGUAGUUAUUGUUGCAUUUUUGGUUGUCGAACGCAAGCAAGUUGGUAUACAUUUAGAUUUAGUAAGACUGUAUGUUAUAGAAUGUACAUUUGGGGUUGUAUGAAAAACGAGUGCACACAUGUACACUUAUAGUAUGCGAUGUACACCUGGCGUAUGUACACGAUUCAAGUUGGUAUACAUUUAGAUUUAGUAAGUCUGUAUGUUAAAGAAUGUACAUUUGGGGCUGUAUGAAAAACGAGUGCACCCAUGUACACCUAUAGUAUGCGAUGUACACCUGGCGUAUGUACGCAUGUACAGAAGCGCUCUUGUAUGUGGAUGCGUAGGAGGAACCGUUUGGCGUUAGUGUGAACACUAUAACUUGUAAACGUGUACUUAAAGUAAAUUUAAUGUAUGAACUGACUCUCGGAAGAGUACAUGUGGACAAUGUAUUGAAAUGUGCGACAUGUGUGUUAGGUGGAGGCGGAGGAUGUAUUUGUGCGAGUUAGGAACGACUGAGGUGUACAGGUGUACGUACGAGUUGGGAACAAUAUACGUGUACAUGUGUACAUCGUAGGUACACAUGUACACAAGCGCUCCUGUAUGUGGAUGCGUGGGAGGAACCGUUUGACGUUAGUGUGAACACUAUAACUUGUAAACGUGUACUUAAAGUAAAAUUAAUGUAUGAACUGACUUUCAUAUUGAUCUUUGUGUUAGGUUGAUUUGGUGUGAAGAAAAAUAGAAAGAAAACGAGGAAGAUGUGCGGUGGUGAGCGGAAGAUGAAGAUGUUGGGAACUUGGUAAAAUCUGAACCGCACAAAUGAAAAGUCAAAUUGUUAAUCUAAAGGUUGAAAAUUUUGACAGAUAUAUGUCUUGUCAUAUAUAGCAGAAACAUUAUGGGCCGUCGGAUGGUGAGGGAGAUGUGUGGUGGUGAGCGGUUCCCGCCCUUCUACUUGUUAGGUCUUUUUGACUAGUAGUUACAAACGCACUAAGUUAGUUAGAAACAAGUGAAGAAAAGAUAAUUUGUUAGAAGAAACUGCCCCAGUAACUGAAAGUGAUCCAAAAUGUUAUUAGAAACUUGUAAACUGCCUUAGAAUGUAAUUUUCUCGACAUAAUAUACGGAUCCUACAUAGCUUUUCGAGGCCCACAAUGGCUUGAACCUAUUCUAUCUCAAGAGGCAGAAUGACUAAGCCUAUAAAUCCUUGAUGUCAGAUGCUCCCCCUCUGAGCUACUAUCAUCUUCUCCUUUGUUUGAGAUGAUCAUAUUUUUAUAUGAAGCCUACUGGUGUUAGUUUUCAUAGCUUUUGUCUUCUUUCGAUCUUCGCUUUGUUUCUUCAGGCAGAGAGCCUUGCUUUAUACCCUCUGUACUUUGGUAUUUUUGAUUUAAUGAACUACUCAGCAUUAAAAAAAAUGUGCAUGAUUUUUCCUGCCACCAGCCGUUUUCUAUUUGACGUUUGAUGAAAAAUGGUGUAGUCAAGUGUAUUUUCUAUCAUUACGUUCUUAAGCUCCCACAAUAGAGAAAAUAUCAAAUUAAAUGAUGAUUUUUUUUCCCAUGGAUCUUCAAUAUUUAGAGAAAGAGAACAUAACUGAGAAGAUAACUUCUUGGGAUUUUAGUCACAACUAGAACUACAAAAUAACAUGCGUAAGUGGCAUGGAACAUAGCCUAAAUUAUAAAAAUAAUAUUUGUUUAAUAAAAGAAAACAGAGGAAUCGUUUAUAUGGGAGAAAGCUUUGCAGUUUCAGUUUCAUAUAAACUUUGCAGUUGGAACCUACUUCGGAGUAUGGGAGAAAGCUUUGCAGUUUCAGUUUCAUAUAAACUCUUAGCCCCUCUCCCUUCGUCGUUUCGCUGUGUGUAACGAUUUUGCUGUUCGGAGAUUUGAACAUAUGUAAAAAACAGAGGAAUCGUGGCGGAGAAGGAGCAUGAGCUAAUCAUGUAUCGACACAAGAGGAGGACGAGAAUCAGAGUGGGAAAGCAGAUGACAAAGGAGAUACUUUCAUUCUAUGACAGAGAAUUUGAUUACUUGCUCUCUGAUUUAAAGUACGAUGCUGAAGAGUUCUUGGUUCAUGGUAAAAUGGGGAUUGUUUAGGAUGAUGAUGAAGAGUUCUUAGUUUUCAUUUCCUUUGCAAUGGUUUUUCACCAAAUGACUAAAAAGUUCGAUUAUUAAACUCAUGCCCAAUAAUUACCUAAACUUAAACCACACAUCUUAGAAUAACCCUUUAGUAGUUAGAAUGUUGAAAGCAAGAAAUACGAUUGACCAAAUUAAUUUAUUACAUUUGACUUUAUUCUACAUGAUUUUGUACUCAUUUUGACAAAGUUAUGUGAAGAUCAGAGUUACUGUUGUUAUUGUUAAUUCUGAUUAUAUACUCUUACAAGUUACAACUUCUUUUCAUAUAUCUUUAGCAUUUUCAUUAAAGAAAGACGAAAGCACACAAACUUCCUCCUGCAUUUAGGGUAGUGUUUUGCCCUUUCCGUAUUUUUAUAACAAUCUCUACCAAACAUUCCUCCUGCAAACUUUGAACCUAUGUCGAACAUAAAUAUUAUACACAACACAAAUCAAGAGUUGUCCAUUUUUGUGAUCAGAGAAAGCUUUAGGGUAGUGUUUCAUAUCAACUUUGAACCUAUGUUUGAUAUCCAGAUUUAUAAAAAUGCAGGAGGAAGUUUGAUAGGCCUAAACAGAAGAAACAGAAUCAAAACUGGUAGAUAGAGAUUGUUAUAAAAAUAUGAGAGAAAUCAAUCUGCUCAUAUUUAACUUUUAUGUGGAAUUUGUCCUCAAGUAACUUAUAAGUUUAGUAAAAAAAAUAACUUAUAAGUUUGGCUACAAUAUUUUAAAUCAACCUAACAACAAAAACCUACUUUCCAGCCGUAUGAUCGCUCACAUCACAUGUACUAUCCAAAUAAACGACCCGAUCUCAGCAAGUUGUAGACUAGACCAAACAUGUCAACACUCCAAUCAUGUCCGUUUAUACCACAAAAAGAAGAACAAAAGGAACAACGAUCAACUUCAACCAAUCUCACACCUAAAGUUCUUGGCGCCAUCAUAUAUUAAUGUAGGCUGAUGCAAACAACCGACUCUACAUUAAUCAAAAAUGGUGUGGAGUUAUGACUUCGUUCGUCUUGCUUCGUGAUCCCCAGAUGAACCAAAAGGAGAAAAGUAAACGAAUUUAUCUUUCUCCCUCUGUAGCCGUCAAAUGUGAAAGCUUCAAGCUAUGUGUUUUGCUCUCCAAGCAAAAUUGAGCAAAGGCUGACCUUGCAAAGGUCUCCACUUAUGCUUUGAUUAUUGUCUUUUUUAAUUUUUGUUUUUUAUAUGUUUUCCUUAAUCUACCUGGAUUUUCAGUUACACCCCUAUGUUUAUAUUAUUCUAUAACACCAUGAAAAAUGUAAUUGGUUUUUGUAUCAGUUAAUCCAACCAGCCCAUUUUGUAGUUUCUUGGGAGACCAACUAUACUUAGAUGUAGCACAUGUAUAUACAUUAUGUAGUCAUAUGACUUAUACUAUGUUAUGGAAUUUUAUGCAGCUUUAAUAAGUGAAUCGUGAAAGGGCAAGAAGAGCUCAGAACUUAAACAUGUAAUAGAAAGGAUAGAAGAGAUGUUUCAUUUUCAUCUCUGUCGUUUGCUUCAAAAUAUUACAGUCAGGUCUCAAACUGGUACAGUCUGAUUAUAACCUCCACAGAAUCCGACUAAUAAAAUAACCAAUCCGACAGAAUCCGACUAAUAAAAAAUGUCAUUGUUUACUUUACUUUUUAAAGACAAAUCUGAAUUUACAUUUAUUCUAUCGUGAAUAUUUUUUAAGAAAAUUUAUUGUUUGCUAUACUUUGAAAUUCAUUAUUACUCCCUCAUGUACUAACUCCUACUAUCAACUUUCCUUUUGGCAUAAACCAAUAAACUUAAAAAAUAAAAUAAAACUAAUCCCUAUAGAUACGAACCGUAAACCAAUAAAAUGCAUCACCACCCACGUUACAAAAAAAUUUUAACAUUUCAUUCAGCAGGAGUCAAAAAUACAUUCACAUGACUUCGAAAGCUAAAGACUCCAGGCCUGAGAUCUCUUGACAUGCACUCACAAAAUCCAUUAUUAGGCCAGGACUCUCAAGAACUAAUAAUUCUAUGACGAUUAAUUGGACUAACAACUAACAAAUAAAAAUGAAACAAAUUGAACUGAAAGACAAAACAACGUCUGAACCCGGCGCGUAGCGCCGGAAUACCCCUAGUUACUACUAUAAAAUGCUUUUAUCCGAGUGAGUAGCGCAAUGCCGAUGAUCUGAGGUAUAUAUUAUACUGUACAAAAUGAAUUUACGAGCUGCAUCUAUUUUAUGGGGUUUGUGAUUCUUUGCUUACACUUAUUGAAAAAGAAAUUAUAGACACAAAAAUAUUAGCUUCAAUCCAUUUAUCUAUGUUCUUACGCCUUAUGGGUCAUAUAGGCAAAAAAAAAGAAGAGCUCGUAUAUUACUCGUCCACAAAUUCACAAGAAUUUUCAUUGAUCACGGAAGAUAGAUUUGUAUUGUUGGAUCGAAUCGACGACCAAAUCUAAUGUAUUAUAUAACUUUACAUAGAUUAUAUACAUAGUAUUGUUAUCAACAACUAUACGUAGUGUUGUUGUCAAUAACUAGUCAACAAAGAUGUAGUCUUUGAUUUAUUAUAGUAUUAGAUAUGGACUAUGAUAAGGUUCAACCAUUUAACCAUUACCGUUCCUCUUAAAUUAGUGGUAUUGUCUUCCCACUAAUACAUGUGGUAUCUGUGAAGAUUAGUAGUUAGUUUAUUACUUUAUAUAUUUUCUUGUGUAUAUGACACCAGUGUAUUUGGACUAGAUAUAAUAUUUUUUUUUUUUUUUUUUGGACUAGAUAUAAUAUUUGUUUAAGAAAAGUUUAUGUUUUUGUUGAUUUGGGAUCUUUAACAGACUAAUCUAGUCGAUGUCAAAGAACAGACUAAUCUAGUCACUGAUUGUUAUUCAUUUUGAAUUGAAAGCGAUCUGAAUAAACAUUGACAAUCAUUGAUACGAAUGUUUAUGUGACUUCGUAGAUUUCUGUAUCAUAUAUGAAUACUAUGUCCCACAAUAUUCAAAAUCUAAUAAUGCCUUAUGAAUAUGAUCGUGUUGGCAAUUUAACAACAACGAUAUUUUACGGAUAAGAGCUGUUUAUACGAAGCCAGAAACAUGGGGGCUAUCCAUAAAUGCACUGGACAUGCUUAGCUUAUAUUCUUCACUAUCAUAAUGAAUGAAACAAGUUUAUGCGCGUUUUAGUUUAAUCCAAUAUAUUCAGAUCCUUAAAUUUGAUAAUAAGGAAAACCAGAUUGCUUAUUCUGUCGGCCAAUAUAUUCAAUUACUCAUGAAUCAUGAUUGUUCUAAUGAAUGGAGGCAUGAACUACUAGCUUGAGAAAGUAAAAGAAACAAAACGAACUUACCGUUGUGGCAGUUAAAAGAUUCAUUAUUCUCCACACAUACCUUUGAAAAUUUGUCUAAGAAAAUUCUUCUCGUUUGUAUAAAUUAUAAGUUACCAUUUGUACGAACUACACUACAUCAUACUCAUACCUAAUUAUAUAUAUUCCAAAAAUGCAGAUAAUUUGCGAGAGUUUACUAGAUUUUACAUGACAUCGUGUUCUGUCCUAUAUCAAAGUUCAUACGUAUUUAAAUCAAACCCUGUGGAAUAUAUAUAAUUAGGUAUGAAAUAUGAUGUAGUCUACUUGUAUAUACUGACUGUAGUGCGUGUGAUAUAAGUCAAUGUAUUAUGUAUAUAUACAUUUUUAUAGUUAUAGUAUGCGGACUCGUCCAAGAGCCGGUUGUUUAUCCUGUAAGCAGACAAAACUAUUCGACCAAACUACUUCGGUUUAAUUUUUUUCUUUGACUAGGUAGCCCAUCUUAGAAUGUUCAACAAUUUUAGCCGUCUCGUUUUGAAAACAUGAAAAACGGGAUUUGAACAACUUUCUGUCCUAUCGAAAAGCUUAAACUAUAAACGUUUUAGUUUUCUCGAGGUCGAUCGGAUAAAUUGGUAAAGAAAAUAAAUGUUAUGAGUUUUAUUGAUCAAUUAUUUAUUUGUAACAUAAAAAUAACUAAUCAGGAUCAUGGAAAAAGGAGAAAAAUAUCUUUUGUAAAUCAACAAUCGUUUGAUGAUCUAUGCCAGGGACUAAAUAUACUUGUCGAUGAAAGGUAUUCUUAUUAGAUACCAAUUCCCAAUAGCCAACCCGUGGGCUUCGUAGAUUAGUCAGAGCCGGAUCCAACUCUAUGUUUAUUGGCUAUGUAUCAUCGUAGGAUGCAAUAGGAUAGUCUUUGUUCAAUAAUCAUGUUAGACCACAAACUUCUCUUCUUCUUUUUGUGGUAAGAAGUAUUGGCUUCUGAAACUACAUUUUUCAGACCAAAAAUCAAAAAAAAAACUUCUAAGUAAAUUUGGUAUUAAGAUCUGAUAGCAGUGAGACUUUUCUUAACUGGUUAAGUUUUUAACAUUGUCCAAUAAAUAUUUUAUUCUAUACACAUCAAUUUAAAUUACGUACAAUAUUGAGAUUUAAGAUCUUCAGUUUCUAAUGCCUGAUAAAUUCCAUGAAUAUAGUUAGCAAGAUGACAGUUCGCAUCAUUAAAAAGGUAGAAAGAAGGCAAAGUUGUAAACCAGAUGGGUUCUUGAAGUACCGCAUCUGAGUUUUAUAAAAACGGCUCCUUAUUCACGUGUAAGGCCCAUUUCUUAGUUCAUAAUGUUUACAAUGCGGUGCAAAGUCCUCCAAAGCCCACUCUGAGUCUUAAAUAGUUACAUGAUUGUUAGAUGUCUAUUUAUCAAAUCCGUUGUAGCACACCGGCCAAUUUCAACUGAUGAAAUCCGGGUUCACCCCCGGCAGUGGAAAAACUUUUGUAUUUAUUAUGUGUUUGUCAUGUUACUAAAUCAUCGCUAAACGUUUGUUAAAAUAAACUUGUGUUCAUAAAUCAACAAUUUAACACUCUAUAACAAGCACCUUCUUCGCUAGCAAGAAGGGCCAUAGAUGGGGAAAAAGUUCGUUCAACUAAUGGCUGCGCGACUUGCGUCAUCGACUACUAGAGAGAAAAUGAUAAGUUAAUUUUCCUUUACUACUAACUGUACAACACUUCAAAUAAAGAAGCUAAGUUCUUUUAAUGUGUGUGUUUUGUUUUUCAAUUGUAUAUGUAUUUCACGACGAACCAAUUUGUACUUUGUGGAACAGUGGAAGUCAAUGUUUUGUCAUCUAUAUGGGAAAACGGACAGUAGAAAGUUCACCAUUUGAGGGAGAGCGACUAUUUACAUCCAAAGAUAAACAUAUAGAAACAAAAGUAUAAUUGCGAAUAUAUAAACAAUCUAAUUUCAAUAUAGAAUAUAGGUUUGGUUUGUGAAUCAGGCUGUAUAUAAGCACGUACAAUCCAUUUCUGUCUCCAUGUAUAUAAAUAUACACGUAGACUUUUUUGGCUAGAUGGGUAAAUGUGUGAAUUAUGUUGGUUACAAUAUUAAAUGUUACAUUUACUAUCGUACUGCCCAUUUAUGUGAUAAGAAAGUGCAACCAAUCAGUAGCUGAAAUCUACUAAAGUGAUAAAUACAUCAAAACUUUAACAAAAACUGUUGUUAAUUAAACCAUUUUUGGUGUUCCAAAAAAAAAAAAAAUAAUAAAAAAUAAACCAUUUUUGUCACUGGUCCAGCCAUCCCACAGAUAAAAGCUGAAUUCUCAUCCAUGUGGCUGUGAAGAUAGAUUUUGUUUCCGUCAUUACAACCGCAAAAUCUAAAUGUUUGUAUCGUAAAGUCGCUUAACCAAUCACGUUAUUCACGUAUUUAUCAUACAAUGUCAACUGAUUAAGAAUGGGCUCUUUUAGGCAAAAAAUCACGUUAAGAUAUUUCACCAUUAAAAGAUCACACAAAAUAAAGGCAAGAUAUUGUAUUUCUGUUUUUUUUUCUUCUCUUUUCAUUGUUUUAUCAAGUGGGCAUCAUUUAUUUAUAUACUAAAAAAGAGAAGAAUAUGGUGAAAAUCUAUCGUCUCAGGCGUCAUCCGUGCUCGUAACCACUUCCUUAAGUCUUAACCACUUGACUACUUCGUGAUUAGUUUGAUGAUUAAUUUGUGAUGAUUUAUUGACCAUUAUUGGAAGUCUGGAACUAUGAUAAUGAAAUAAUUAUAACUGCAAAACAAUUAAUCAGCAAACCCUUCGUUUCACCAUAUGUUGGAUGUUUUAAAGUGUAACACAUUUAAAAAAUCAGAUUGGGCAGAUACUAUACUAGUAUCAUUUAGUCGUUUGUAAUUAUUGAAAUGCGAAAACGUUAUAGCUAAGCAAUCUAGUAGCAUUAUUAUACAAGGAGAACAAGAUUAAUGUAAAUACACGAACAACUAGGCAACCAAAAGUUGCAUACAAAAAGUUCAUGCAUGUAUGUAUGGGCACAAUAACACAUUGUGAUCACAAGUUAACACUUUGCGGUUCCCAUAAGCAAAAAAAAACUACUUUAAUAACCUAAACAAGACAAGGAUUUUAAACUAUACUUUUCUGUUUGUAAAUGUAUUGCAUUCUUUCUCCCCUUCAGCCACUACUGGCCCAGUGCCCUUGUAAGCUUUUUAGAUGCUCUUUGCGCUUCUUUAAAAGCCACACGCUAUAAUGUGUAUUUGUGUGAGUACAUAUUAUAAUUAAUUUCAAAUUUUUAGAUACAAAAACGGCAUUCUCUUUAUACUACGAGUUUAGGAUAAAGUAUGAUGUAUGUUUGGCUUGAUCUGGCUAGGAAGUCCCGUACCGUACGUGACACUCACUUUCUAAUAGCCGAGAAACAAAUAGAUGAAGAAAGCUCGUAUUUUUCUUAUGUAUAUUCAUCCUUUUUAAUAACAUAUGAAGAAAAAAACAGUUUCAUUAAUUUAUCAAAGUUUGAUUUGGGUGUUGUUUGAUGAGCUAUAACUUAACAACAACAUGUGAGUUAUAUAAGUAAAUUUAUUAACAAUUUAACAGUUAAAAAAUUUCCCAGCUAGCUUCUAACACAAAGAAACAAACAAACACCUUCCAAUAAUUAGCUAAAAAUAUCCAAAACAACACUGUCAUUAGCUUAUCAAGAGACCAUUUAUGAACCACAUCACAUGCACUUCACGCCUCACGGGAUCAAAACAAGCCCCCAACUUACCAAAUACGCAAAGUAAUCAUUACAGGAGCCUCCAGGGGUGUUAUUGUAAUUUCAUUUUACAUGGUAUGAUAAAUAAGACUUGGACCAAGCGAUGAACCCGAGACCAUUGCUGCUCCAUUGCAUUCUUAUGUGACCUUCUCUCUCUAUACUCUGAAAACUUGAUUAUUUUCUUCUUUGUUUUUGUUGAAAAAAGUUAUGUUAUUUCUUAAUGUUAUCUUAUUCGAUUCCACUGGAUUCGAACCAAACCCAUGACAGGAGAGAAUGAUGAGAACCAGAUCACCAAUCUUGAUCCAAAUGUAAUAAAAAAAAACUACUAUGACGGUGCAUUCUUGAGAAAGUCUCUUUCCUUCUUGAGAAAGUUUCUUUCCUUCUCUACAUUUCUCCCAAUCCCUAUCUGAUCUCUACUUCUCAAUCAUUAUCAUCACCAGAAGAACAAAGAGAAAGCAAUGUCGCUUGACAUUAAAAGACCUAUCAGCAACAAGACCAAGAAGAAGACAGGGUUCAUCGUCAAUAUGCAGCAGCUGAAUCACAACAACAGAGGAGGAAACAACCUCUUCAUCGUCUUCUUCAGACAUUAUUACAGAUGGAUCCUCUGGUUUUUCCUCUCUCUCUACUUCUUCACAUCUUACUUCGCCGGAGACCAAUCCACCACCACAACAACAACUAGUCUCAUCUCUAACCACAAAACGUCGUCGUCUCUCCCGUCUCACGCCCUCAUCGAAUCUUCCGCCAUUGUCAAACCAGCUCACGCAUCUAUCUUCAGCGGGAUGAAGAUUUACGUUUACGACUUACCGGCGAGAUUCAACGCCGACUGGGUGACGUCAUCGGACCGGUGCGCUAGUCACCUCUUCGCGGCGGAGGUAGCCAUUCACCGCGCGCUUCUCUCUGAUUCAAAUGUCCGUACGUUAGACCCGGAAGAAGCUGACUUCUUCUUCGUCCCCGUAUACGUAUCCUGCAACUUCUCCACCGCCAACGGCUUCCCUUCUCUUAGCCACGCUCGCUCCCUCAUCUCCUCCGCAGUAGAUUUCAUCUCAGAGAGUUACCCGUUUUGGAACAGAACACGAGGUUCCGACCACGUGUUUGUAGCUUCGCAUGACUUCGGUGCAUGCUUCCACGCCAUGGUAAGAUCUUCUGUUUAUUAAUUUCGCAUAAAGUUUUAAUUUUUAUAGAUUUUUGAAAAGUUAUAAUUUUAUACAAAUUUUUAUAGAAAAACUGAUUUUGAAAAGUUUUAGUUUUUGUACAGAUUUUUAGAGAAAAACUGGUUUCGAAAAGAUUUAAUUUUUACACAGAUUUUAGAGAGAAACUGAUUUUUGAUUUUAUAUAUAAUUUUAGAGAAAACUGAUUUUUUUUAUUUUAUUUAUGUGAAGGAGGAUAUGGCCAUUGAAGAAGGCAUUCCAGAGUUUAUGAAGAAGUCGAUAAUUUUACAGACGUUUGGAGUAAACUACAAGCAUCCAUGUCAAGAAGCGGAGCACGUCGUGAUCCCGCCGUAUAUUCCGCCGGAGAGUGUGCAGAGAGCAAUAGACAGAGCUCCGGCGAACGGACGGAGAGACAUAUGGGCGUUUUUCCGGGGGAAGAUGGAAGUCAACCCUAAGAAUAUUAGCGGACGUUAUUACAGCAAGUGCGUGCGUAGCGAAACUUUUUUUUUGUUUUCUCGUUGACUUUGACUUUUUGUGUUUGUUUUGUUCUUAAUUUCUAAAAUUGCCACUUUCCGGCGUGCAGGGGAGUGAGAACCGCGAUUCUGAAGAAGUACGGCGGGAGAAGACGGUUUCAUCUUAACCGGCACCGGUUUGCUGGAUAUCGGUCUGAGAUCUUGCGGUCCGUGUUUUGUCUCUGUCCUCUAGGGUGGGCUCCAUGGAGUCCUCGGGUAGUGGAAUCAGCUGUUUUAGGUUGCGUCCCCGUGGUUAUCGCAGAUGGGAUUCAAUUACCUUUCUCGGAGACGGUACGGUGGCCGGAGAUAUCACUCACGGUGGCGGAGAAAGACGUGAAGAAUCUACGCAAGAUAUUGGAACACGUGACAGCGACCAAUUUGUCAACGAUACAGCGAAACUUACGUGAGCCGGCGUUUAAGCGGGCCCUCUUGUACAAUGUGCCGAUGAUGGAAGGUGACGCUACGUGGCAUAUUCUCGAUGCGUUGUCGAGGAAGUUAGUUCGGUCGUACAGAAGGUCAAGGGUUUUCAGCCAAUGAAGAGUUGACACGUAAGAUGCUGUCGCGAAAUGGAUGCUAGGCUGGAUAUUUUUGACUCUUUCGAUAUUGGAAACUGGAAUGUCUUGGUGUGGGGUCCAUAACGUGAGAAGCUUAACUCGGACACGUGAGAUGUUUGCUGAGCUGGCUACCACUGAGUGGAUCAGCAUGUACCUCAGGGAAGUGAAAGUGUAAAGUAUGCUGAUGUGUAAUUCUUUUGUAUGAGUAGGCAUUUAAUUCUUUGAAUAUAGAAAAUGACAUGUAAAUCGAAAUGCAUGCCGGGUAAAAUCUAUCCCAGCUCGUUUAAAAUCCAAGCAUAGUAAAUAACGGGAUCUAAUGAACACAAGUGUAGUCUACUCUAGUGUCAGGAAAUUUUAACUAUGUUUAAUAACUCGGUUAGCUUUUGAUAUCCUUUCUCCUACAAAAUAAUUUACAAUUAAACUUCAAUAGUUGUUAGUAAAAUAAAUAGGAAUUAAUAUAACAAAAGGGGUGGAGUUGCAUGGGGGAAGAUGAAAGACAGAGCAAUGUGAGCAAGGAGACAGCUAGUGUGUCAGAAGAUGCAUUAUACCCAAUAAAUGUAAUGUGCCGAACUAAUAAUAUGUACACAGUUUGUUUGUAGUCCCACCUCACGUCUAGUUGUUAUAACUAAAACAGUAGAAUUGAUCCGUUUAGAAUAUUACGGAGCUGAACGUUUAGAACCGGAGAGGCUGUGUCCAAAACUGAUACUAUUACUAUUACACAAUGUUGUGUUGUUUAUUGCAAAAAAGUGAGGUAAAUAAUUUUGUUUAGAACGAAAGUGACAUAUCUCCUUUACAAUGGUCCAAGUACCAUUCUCUUUCUCUAAGGAUUGGUGAGAGAGACAUGGGAGGAGGGGUCUGGAUCUAAGACCUAAACAAAAAUCACACAAAAGGGUCUCCAAAAAUUAGCUAAAAGGCGCUAGUUAUGUUUGAUUUAUCUUAGGAUCUAUAUUAUGUUGGGCCGAACCCAAUGAUACACAGGCCUAAAUUAAAAGUAUUUUAAUAUUCCCCUUUGCAAUAUGUUAUCCCUUUUUAGUUUAAGACAACCAAUUAUUUUAGUUUUGUUUUAAAUACUUUUGGUUCUUUGGACAGAACAUUGGGAGCAAACAGAUUAUUCUUGUAAAAUAAAAAAACAGAGCAGGGAGAAUGGAGAAAGUGAUGAACCUGAUAAAGCCGAAGCCUGAUCCGAAGCAAAUCUUACGUGAUUGGCAACGCAAGCUUCGUCAAGAGUGCCGUAACAUCGAACGCCAAAUCCGAGGUUCUUUCUUCCUCUCUGAUCAAUUUAGGGUUUUUCUAGAUUGAGCGAAAGUUCCGAACUUUGAUGAAUCUAUCUGAAAUUAGAUUGAUGGGUUUGUUCGAUCGCACCCCUAAUUGCGAAAAAUCAAUCUGAAUCGGAUCAUGAUCACGAAUCACGAGUGUCCUUAUAAGCUGAUUUUGAUUUCAAUUUGAAUCGUGUGUGUUGGGUUUAGGUUACAAUCUGAUUUUGAGAUUGUUUCGUUUUCAGAUAUACAGAAAGAAGAGAGAACCGUUCAGAAAGCUAUUAAAGAGGCUGCUAAGCGUAACGAUAUGGUCUCAGCAAAGGUAGACAGACUCUUAAAAGUUAGUUUUUUUUAUUCUUUUGUAAUCUUUUGGCUGAUCCUCAUUCUAUGGUGUUCAUUCAAGGCGCUUGCUAAGGAGAUUGUUAGUGCGAGAAGAACAGUUAACCGUUUAUAUGAAAACAAGGCCCAGAUGAAUUCCAUAUCAAUGCACCUCGGAGAAAGUGUUGGUAAUAUACAGCUUACAGUUCUCAUCGUUUUGUCUUUACUAUGUUUGCAAUGUUAUUCUCUAACACAUAAGUAUCCUUUCUUUGAACCUUUCAGCUGUUGCUCGGACCGUUGGGCAUCUGUCCAAGAGCGCAGAGGUUAUGAAGCUAGUUAAUAACCUCAUGAAGGCUCCUCAAAUGGCUACAACUAUGCAGGAGUUCAGCAAAGAGAUGACUAAGGUAACCUUUAUUUCUUUUCCCUUUCUCUCAUCAUAUUAGUAUUCAUUUUAUAUUAAUCAAUCCAUAAUGAUUUUUAUUUUUGUUGCUUUGAUAUGUAGGCUGGAGUUAUUGAGGAGUUUGUGAACGAGGCCAUUGACAAUGCGCUAGAUUCAGAGGAUAUGGAGGAAGAGAUCGACGAAGAGGUUGAUAAAGUAUUGACUGCUAUCGCUGGAGAAACCGCUGCUGAGCUUCCAGAAGCUGUCAGGAAGGAAAGGAUAAAGGUGCCUGCACAGAAGGCGAGUACUUCCCGCGAGGUAAAAGCUUGUCCACCAAUAUGCUCUGCUUGAUUACGAGAUAAGGAGAUUAUGUUCUGAAAGAAGAUGUUGCGUUUUGUUUUGUUUCCCAGGAAGAGGCAAUUGCAGAAGGUGUUGAUGAUGAGGAAGAACUGGAGGAGAUUCGAGCUCGCCUCGCUAAAGUUAGAUCCUAACUUGAUUCCAGUGACUCUCUUUAUACACGAUUUUUAUUGAUCCGAGGAACUCUUGAAGGUGAUGAGAGAACAGAAGGAGAUUGAUGUGUAUUGUAAAAUAUAAUUGAAUUGCCUUAUACAUUGUAAUCAUAAGCUGUCUUUUGGUAACAAAAUUUUCUUUUAUUUUCAUCCGAAACUCUUAUACUAUGGUUCAGUGGUUGAGAAAACCGGGUUCUUUGAUUUUGGUUUAGUAUCCACUUUAAACAUGUAGUGGAGAGUUGGAGCAAACCGUAAUUCUGAUUACCUAAAUGUUUAGGCGAGAGUGAUAAAUGGUAAUAUAACUUUCGGUUGAUUAUUGGAUAUGUGAUAAUCCGAAUGCUAAUUCGACACCGAACCAACCUCGUGUUUUUUUAAGAACCAUCUAACGAGCUUGGUUUAUGAUCAUGAUCAUCAGCUGCACGAUCUACACAUGGCUGAGUGCAUAAUAUUUACUGAGAUAGUCAUAGCCAUAUUAGCACAUUAAUAUAUGUACAAUUGAUUGCUAGAGCAUUAGCAAUAUGCUCUACAUUAUACAAUUAACAAUCGCUACAAAAGUAUUUAGAAAAAUAUUUAUUAAAUGCUAAUGCUCUCUAAAUGUUCUCUGGUUAAUGCUCUCAAAUGAAGCUUUUAGAAAAACAUUUGCAUUUAUCAUUUAUAAAAUUAAAAAAAUAUAUAUUUAAUUCAUUUAUUUUAUUUAAUAAUAUCAUAAAAUUAUUUUUAUAUCCAGAAAAUAAAAUUUUGAUUUCUAAAAUUAAUUUACAACAAAAUAUUUUUUUUUUAAAUAGGCAUUUCACAUUUAAAAUAUAAUAUAAUAUAUUUUAAAUGUAAAAUAUUAUUUUUAAAAAUAGAUAUUUUAAUUAUAAACUUUAUUUUUAGAUAAUAUUUUUUGAUAUAAACAUAAAUUUUAAAUUACUAAAUAAAGUAAGUAAAUUAUAUAUUUUUAAUAUUAUAUGUUAAUAUACUUAUAUAUACAUUAGAAAUAUAUUUAUUAAAAGUAAAUAUAUUGUAUAUUAUAUACUAAGUUUUAUAAUAUUUUUUAAAUUGCAUACUCAUACUGUUUUACCAAUAAUCUUAUCAAACAAUUUAGCAAAAACAUACAGCUUCUUCAGUAUACUGUUUUUAUAGCAUACGGCUACUGAUUUAUCAUCUGCUAUGUCAAUCAAGGCCGUAGAAUCAUACAUACAUAUAUUAGUUUGGACUCACACUAAGCAAGAGCACCCACUAUAUUUACACAUUUCUCUGUCUUUGUUUAUACAAACAGUUAAUUGCAAAACGACAAAAAAAUAUUUAGAGCAUCAAAAGGAGUUUAUUCUUUUGGAAACAAUAUAUCUCUAGAUUUAUUCUCAGACUGAAUUUCAUAAUGUCGAAAGCAACUCGUAUGCAUAGGUCAACCUCAUGCAAUGUUUGACAUAGGAAUUUACCAGAUCGUCCACACCCAAAAUAGAAUUAAGAUCCUAAUGAACAAACUGGCAACAUGUUUGGUUGUAACAAAAAAAUUUUUGGCAUCAUAUACAAAAAAAUGAUUUUAAAAAAAAAGUAUCUAACAAGAAAGAAAGAGAAGGACAAGUAAAAUAAAUUCACGAAAAACAUUAAAUAAUCGAAGUAUAAUUAAUAAUAAUAAUCAGUCAUAACCAGUUCACACAUAAUUCAUCAACUUCAACCAAUUGAAUUGGCCCCUAAAUUACUUUAAAAGCCUUUUGCCAUAAGCUAAUGCUUGAUUGGUUUGUAGCCAAAACCGACUAUUUUGUUGAGUAUGUCUUCUUCAUAGGAUAUUAAUACUCAACAUCUUAAGAAGGAUACAUAUAUCGUAGUAUUCCGAAUAAUCUAGCUUUCUAAAUUCUAAUGUCUUCGUUAUCAUAUGAAAAUAUGUAUUCUUUUUUUUUUUAAACAAAAAAUAUGUAUUCUUUUUAUUUGCUGCGAGUGAGAAAAAGCUUAUGUUUUUUUUUUUUUGUGACAAAAGCUUCCUUACAAAUGCUCCAGACAUGGUCCCGAUGGAUCAGCCAAAAGCUUCCUUACAAAUGCUCCAGACUUGGAUGCAAGGAAGGCUUUGUACUCCGACGGUUCCUCAGUGAUUAUUAUGUUUCUAAUGUCUAAGCAAAAAUAAUCCUAAGAAAAUAAUAACUGUCUGCUUAGUCUCUUGACGUUCUUAGUAGUUGUCCAAGCAUAUGACUGUUGAGUUGGAAUAAUAAUGAAUGAUAUAUUUAAGAUUAAGAAAAAACAAUGCUCUCGUUAUAUUUAAACCAUAAAGUAAAUUUCAGUAACCACAAAAUUUCAUUUCCAAGAUAAUGUUUACGUUAAUGGGUUAAUUUAUCAAAUGUUAACAAUAUGUGUAGUAUACGAAAAUAUAACAUUUGAAAUUGAAACGUAAAUUUGGAGCAAUUAGAUGAAAAUGAUCAUAGGACACUUGUGCCAAUAAUUCUUGUCAUUGUUCCAACAGUAAAACCCAUCAUCUUUUGCAACAACGAAACGCACCGCAGAAUCAGUGUCCGAAUCGUACAAACGGUACAUCCUCAAAGAGGGCACGAAUUGUGCUUCACCCCAAAACGUUCCUUCGCAAGACGUCCGCUGCGACACUCUAGGUCUCGCCGGUUUAUCGUUUUUUUCAGCGGUGGGUGGGAUAUCAUCAGUCGCAUUUUUUCCGCUAGUGGUUGGGAUCUUUAUCAACGAGACUUGACCCAAAGGUAUGGGUUUAGACAUCCUAGGAAUUGAGCCCUGGCACGUCACGAAGACGGGAACAUUAGCACGUCUCUGCAUCUGGUUGGAUACGAUAAGAGUGGCGGCACGUGCGGAUCCAGAGCUAACAAAGAGCACUAGGGUCAUGAUCGAUACCAUUAUAAGAGUGUCCAUGAGUUUUUAUUAUGUGGAAAAGAUGUGUUAUAGAAUGUAAAUAUAUAUCUUCUUUGGAAGUUUAUGUGUCUCUAUUUAUAUUAUCUGGCUUCAGUUUCUCAAAUUUUGAGCAUUAACAACAAUCACUACGUACGUUUAAGAAUUGAAAGGUGAUUAAUAAGUGAUUACGGUUACCAUUAGAAUUAAGAGACUCUAACAUUUAUUAGAGACAAUCUCGGUUUGGUACCUGUUCUGUGAUUGUUGCAAUUAGAGAGAGAUAAAAAAGAUUUCAGUGAUGUCAUCAUUAGUUUAUUUUUAUUUUUUGGAAAGAUGUGCUGCGACAUUUGGUGUGUAAUCCUACUAUAUAAAAGGAGCUAAAUCAUUGCUUCCUAAGCCUAUCCACAUGUGCACAAAUAUUCAGGACCAACCAAUAUGCAAAGCCAUUACGAAGUGGACUUGCAAUUAAAAAAAAAAUUCAACAAUUCGCAGCCCAUUAGACCCAUCUCCUAGCCCACUCCCGAGCCACUCUCUCAUAAGCAUAAUCCUGUGUUCUAAACAUCCCGUGUUAAAUUUCUUAAAACACUCAUAUCUUAGAAAUAGUUUAGAAAAUAUAUUUAUAUAAAUAUUUUUUUCUUGAAUAAUAUUUAAUUAUAAUUUUUUGUAUCUUUUUAACUUUUAUAAUAAAAAUAUUGUUUUCAGAUAGCAACAAAAUAUAUAUAAGAAUUAUCUUAUUUUUAUAUUUUUUAUACUUUUAUUAUAUUAUUUUAGAAUCAAAUAUUUAAUAUUAAUAUAACAUAUAAUUUUAUAUGAUUAAAAUAAUAUUCAUUUUUAAUUAUAUAUAAAAUUCAUUAAGGGUAUUGUUUUAAUUAACACAUUAGCGAAUCAGUUAGAAAUUAAUAAUAAAUAAAAAACCUAUCUAAAAGUCUAAAACCUAAUAAAAUAUGACAAAUAAGAAAAACUAACUAAAUUUUAAUAUAAAAUAGAAACUUAAUAUUAUUAAAAUAAAAUUCAUUUUUAAUAUAUAUAUAUAAUAUUAAUUAAGGGUAUUUUUUAAAUUAAUAAAUUAGUGACUUAGCUAAAAAUAAAUAAUAAAUCAAUAAUUUAGCUAAAACCUAAUAAAAACAUGACAAAUAAGCAAAUUUACUAAAAUUAUGGAUAAUAUAAAAUAUGAUUGAUUCUUUAAUACAAAAUUAAAAUAAGAGUUUUGUUAAAUAAAAUAUAAGUUUGCCGUAUCGGUGUUACAAAAAAAACAAUCAUUAAUAGUGUCGUAGGAAUUAUGUCUUUCCCGUUAGCGAAUAAAAUUAAAGCAGAGUGUUGGAGGAUAGCUCAGCGUAUAGACGAGAUUAUGGAGAUUGAUAUGGGAGUUGAGGUAACGGACACAACUGUUCCUACGUAAAGAAACGCUCCUGCUAGACAUCCUGGAUAAAUGAAAGAGACAUAUCUGGACUUGGCUUUGUGUUAAUGGAUGGUGACUUUCCAAUGCUGUUUGGAGCAAGGGCCGAUAUACACGCACCAAAUCACCAAUGCAAAAGCUGAAGGUUUACUAUGGGUAAUGCAAGUGAUACUGAAGUUUGGACACAGAGAGAUGGUCUUUCAAUCGACUGUGAACAACUGGUUAUACUCAUUCAAAAGGAGGAAGAUUAGCCUGCGUUGGACUCGGAGCUCGACGAAAUACAGGCUGUAUCCAACGAAUUUUCUGAACUUUCUAUUGCCUAUAUUCCUAGAUCUUUAAAAUUCCGUACGAAUAGCCUAGCAAAAGGUGUCCGAUCACGCGCAUCUCGAUCAGGUUUUGUAAACCCUUUUGCACCAAGUUGGCUAGCCCCACAAGCUAGCAUGAGGAUGCCAAAAAAGAGAAUAAAGUUGAAAGUGAAACUAAAUAUCCUAAUGAACAAAUUUAUCAGAAGUUCAUAUUUAUGUGGAUGUCUAUAUGGGACAAACAAUUUUUUAGACAAUUAUAGAAUAUAGUCACGAAAAUCAAUCCUAAAAUAUAUAAUUUAAGAAAACUAUUUAAACAAACCAUCAAAAUUUUCAAUAUUACACCAAAUAAGAAUAUAAAGACCAACUAUAUUAUCGUCGUGUAUAAUGUGUUGUGGUAAGAUUCAAAAAAUUAACUUACUUUACAGUAAGGAAAAAUUAGAUUUUUAAUUCCAAAUUUACAGUAAAAACAUAACAUUUUAGAAAACUAAACAAUUGACAUAAUAGUACAAAAAUAUGAAAAAAAAUCAAAAUACUAUCCGCGCGUAGCGCGGACAAGGACCUAGUAUGUAUAAUGACAAAUCAAACCCAUUUUUUUAUUAUCAAAUACAAAUCAAACCUUUAUUCUUAAUAAGAAUGACCGACUGCAUAGUGUUAAGUGUGAAUAAAACGGUGUUUCACACAGCAUGUUCAAUAUAUACGAUUAAUCAACAGAAAAGCGAAGAGUAUUAUAGAGAAUAUGAUACUCUGUGACUUGACUGAAGGAAAAGGGGACUAUGGUGAGUGGUGAGGCAUGUCACGUCACCGUUGUCUAAUCCAUUUUCAGUUAACCAAUGGACCGUAAACAAAUAUUGGCCUUUUAUUAUGAAAUAUGGACCGUUUCACAUAUCUUCAGAAACCACCAUUGGCCCCUAUUGUUUUCUAUCGCCUCCCAAUUCACUCGGAGUUACUCUCCCCUUUCACCUCCUCCCUAAUAUAGGCGUCCCACUUUCAUGAUUCAUAAAGCUCCAUCAUUUCAUGAUUCAGUGGAGAGUAUGAGUGCUUGCAAGAUAUUUGAUCAAAAUGGUGCAUGGCUACGGAGAAGUAAGGGUUUUUGGUGUCGAGACAUUGAUCUAAAAAUUAUGUGAACCGAAAAGGGUACUUUCCACUUUAAAAACUGUAUUUGUUGUGUGUUACUUCGAAAUUUAGGAGAAACAAAGUCGUUAUUUCUCGAUCAUUUCUACGCUGGCUGGAAAGGAGUCUUCUCAGAUUUCAAGGAAGAGAAAAAGUCUAUUAGAUAGUGAAGGUAUAUGUGUGUCAAAAAAAAAAAAAAGAUAGUGAAGAUAUAUAUAUAUAUAUUUUUUUGAUAAAAGAAGUGAAGAUAUAUUUUUGUAACCUUGGAUUAUAUUCAUCUGUAAAGUUCUUUAAUCCGUAUAAGUGCGUAAUGUUUAUGUACAUUGGUUAUAUUGUAAGUUUUGAAGGAAAUGAUAGAAGACUAAGUAAAUUGGUGACAAAACAGAGAAAGGUUUCUUAUACUAUCAUGAGAGAAGAAUCAAACCUUUCGCCGAUCCUUCAAAAAGUUCAUAGGACCCGUUGAUUUCCUGCAAGUGAAACUUUAGAAUUCGUUGCACCUUUAUUUUUGCUGAUUGUUAUAAUUCUAUCACAGAUGGUUCUUUGGACUCCUCUGUCAAACUCGUUAAGAACGUAACCUCCUAAAUCUGCUUAAACCAGUGAGAGUAUGAAACGUUCUUCUCUUAGAACAAUUGGAAGACAUGGGACGUUUUUCUUAAAAGCAGACAGAGAGUGGUCGGGAAAUUAUAGGGACUAGAAAAUUAGUGUUACAUAGAUCUCAGCUGAGCCAUAAGUAUAUAUCAUCGUUGUCUUCCAUGUUUGAAACUAACCAAGCGUUUCUUGUUUUAGCGAGACCUUUUACAUUUUUCAUUUUGAACAACGAUUGACAAAAAAAAUUAUAAAGUGUUUUGGUCAACUCUAGAUGUUUCUCUCGUUAUAAGUUUGCAGAGAUAUAUAUAUAUAUAUAUAUAUAUAUAUAAAUUUAUGAAUGUAUGGUCACGCUCAGAGAAUAUAAAAGAGCCAUCUGCAUUAUCGAACUGAAAUUUAUUUUGAUUAGUUAGUUAAGGAACUACAACAACCAGUUCGUAUUCGGUUAAGAAAUAUUCGGCUAGAAUAACUGACGAACUGUUGCACCAGUCGGAGUAGGAGUAGCAAGCUUUCCUUGCAUCCAAGUCUGAAGCAUUUGCAAAGAAGCCUUUGGCUGAUCCAUAGGAACCAUGUGUCCAGCAUCAUGAACCUGCCCCAAAAUUGAAACUAUCAAAAACAGGAAGAAGGAAGUCCACUUCAAUUGUAUUUACAUUAGUAAUAGGUUUGGUUCAUCGGCUUUAUUCGGUUUACCUUAAGAAAAGUGAGAGGACCGUGAUUCUUCAUUAGCCCAGCUUCCUUCCCAUCUACCAAGAACGGGACUCUCUUGGCUGAUCCAUACUCCUUCUGGUUUGACCAGUUUAGCUGAUCAACCCACCUGGAGUUGCCUGUAUAUACCAAAUAAAUUAUAUCAAUCAAUGCAAAUGAAACUGCACCCACGACCUUUUGUUCUGUUCCACGUUCAUAACCUAAGCCAUAACUAAAUUAAGAAACAUACGAUGAAUCUUAUUCUCACCAAGCCAGUUACAUAUGAUAUCGAAUUCUCCUGCAUAGACAAGGAGACUGAUUCCAUCUUCAAGAAGCCGUGGAAUCUUGUCAGCAAGAUUUACCAUCCAAUCAUUUAGCAUUGCUUUAUAAACUGUGGUACUACACGACACAAAGUCGAUGUUUCCAACUCCUAGAGCUUUGCGUACUUUCUUUUGGUUCAAAAAUGCUUCCAUUUUCGAAAAGUCAUAGCACAAGCUUCCAACACACUUUUUCCUUAAGUCAUAAAACUUCAAAAUAACCCAUAAUAUAUUUGUCAAAACUCAUAUAUAGAGAAAUGGUUCAGUUGGUGUGUUGUUCUGUAUAACUACGCUUACAUUUGUGCCUUCUAUUUUGGACAUUAUCUGGGUGAAUAUGUCGUUGCAAUCUACGAAAGCAUAACUACAUUCUUCACCACCAUUAAGGUCUGAAAUUGAUUUUAAAAAAAAAACAGAUUUUAGACUCGAAAAGUUUUUUUCCAAACCCAAAUCCAAAAAUAUUCGAAACAAAUAGAUUUUAUGGAAGUUACUGCAUUUUUUGAUGGAACUUUGACAAAAAACAUAGUCUUGCUUGAGACUCUCAUGAUCAGACUCAGAGAUCAACUUCAUUUCCAGGGCAUAAUCCCCAUAUGCACCAUAUUGAAUCUCCGGGUUGGUUAAACCGUUACCAAUCGCAAAACCCUAAUUUUAAACCGAGAUUAAACCAGAUGUUUGAUCAUUAAAGAAAAGCUAAUGAAAGACUUACCUUAAGGUUGAUUGGAAUCCCUUCCUUAUUCUUGUUUCCGUUGUGAACUCGUGAAGCCAAAGCAGGGACGUAGUGACCAGCAUAUGAUUCACCCGUGAUAUAGAAAUCAUUUUUUGCAUACUUCGGGUGUUCUUUGAAAAAGGCCUACAAAAAUUCAAAUAUAAAAAGCUCAAACCAUUACAAUUCGAAGAACAUUCAUUUUGAAAUGUUUGAACAACAGUCAGACCUGUAAGAAAUCGUAGAGAUCAUUGCUCACACCAGUCUCGUCGUGGCGAAGAUCGCUUUGGUCCGAUGUGUAACUGAAACCAGUCCCGACCGGUUGGUCCACGUAUAUUAGAUUGGAUACCUAUUGGAACAAAAGUAGUUGAGUAAUAAGAAUAUUGAAUGUUCCUUGAGUAACAAGAAAGAGUAGUUGAGUUAUAGUAAUUUUUUUAUAUUAAAUAUGUUUCUUUCGUAAGAAGAUAUAAGCUUUUCCUAUCUAAACUAAACCAACCAAACAACUAACCUUGUCCCAACCAAAAUCGUUCCAAGAAAGAGAGAGAUCAUCCGAUAUUGUGAACGGACCGUUCUCAUAGAACAGAGCCACACUGCUACUACAACCCGGUCCACCAGAUAACCAAAUCACAACCGGAUCGGUGUUGUUGGUCCGUGACUCAAAGAAGAAAUAGAACAUCCUGUUAGAAAACAACAUGCACCCCAAAACCAAAACAAAAUCAAUUGGUCUACUUAAAACACAAGGAAUUAAACCGGAUUAAGUUUUAACGUGUUUAAAAUAUUACUUAGCUGAUUUAGUAUGAGUGAGGCUGUAGUAACCGCCAUAGUGGCCGAAUUGUUGGACAGAAGGACCACCUAUAGUGUUUCUUAUACCGAUGGUUUCCGGAAAAUUGAUUUGGCUUUCAAUGAGUCGGGGAACAUCAGGGCUUCCCUUUGCGAUGACAUUGACGUCAUGGUCAGGCAUUAGAUUGAAGGACUUGAUCAGCCUCUCCGCAUUACGGCUCACUAAACUUGCAGACGAUGAGCAGUUUGAGGGUUUGUUUAGGAUCCUUGAGGAAGUUGAGUGAGAAAAAUGAGAGAAAAUGACAAUAAAGAGGAUAAAAUGGAGAAGAAAUGAUUUCGCUUCCAUCUUUUCCUUAGUGGUUUGUUAGAGAGUUUGAGGUUUUGGUGUGGAAAGAGAAGUAUUUAUAGAGUUGGCAUGCGUUGUAUUUAAUUUAUUUAUAACCAAUUAGUCGUGUCAAGAAAAGAUAAAUGGAAGAUAUUUUUCUAAAAUAUUUCUAGAUAUUUUAUAUUACUUUGUUAACUUGAUAUGUUUCCUAAGUUUAGGGAUGUGGAAUAUUAAGAAAACAAAAUCCUAGUAAUACAAAAAAGCAUUCUCUACAAAAAAGAAAAAAUCAAAGGAAUUUCUCCAAUAUCACAAAAAUCCAAAUUAACCCAUAUCAGUCUGUAGUAACUAAAUUGCUAGACCAACACGUGUACGCUGACAAUCGCCGAUAAUCCUCAAUUGCUGGCUGCCGUUAAAUUCUAACCCUUUACGAAGUCAAGCCAGAGUAAUUAGAGUAAAACAAAUACUCCACUAUAGAGCCUAAGUGACGUCUAAUUAUCGCGAAAAAUAGAUACAUUGUAUAUACGUUUAUUAUUCUUUAAUUACUUCGUUAUAGAACCUAUAAGAUAAUGUAUGGUGUUGAGAGAAUCUACCGCAUAAUUUAUACAAUUAUCACUGAUGAUUGAUACCCUUAGAAGAACCUAAAAAUAAUUUAAAAGAAUUUAUACACUUAGCAUUGAUGAUUAAUUGUAUUCUUUAAAAUUGAAAUAUUUUGAAAAUAUAAUAAUAUCAUUAUUAAGUUUUAUUUAUUAACAAUAUAUAUAUAUAAAUACAUAUAAAAUUUUGGGACAAUUUUCUAUUUUUAUUUCCAAAAACUCAUUUAAAAUAAAUUUAUUGAUUAAAUAACUAUAAAUAUCCAGUAACAAUGAUAAUAAGUACUAGUAAUUUAGUUUGUUAACUGUAUGCAUGUAAAAACAUUUGUAAGAAAUAAGUAAAACCGAAAAAUAACUUUUGAUAUGGUAUUACAUAUGAAGACUCAUUACCAGUUAACACAUAACUCAUCAUCUUUAAACUUUAACCAACUGGAAUGAUUGAUCCUCAUCUAAGUUUCCCCUUAAAUUAUUUUUAUAGCCAUUGGCCCCAAGCUAAUGAUUCAUUGGCUUGUACUCCAAACUGGCUAUGUUGUUAACGUCUUCUCAUAUAAUAUUUGAACUGUUUUAUUUAUUUUCUCGCUUAAGGUCUAUUACAUCACUCUAAUUUAUACACUUAGGAAUCUAGGUUAAAUGAUGUGUCAUCAUCCUUAUCUUUUAGCAUAGAGAACUUAUUAGCCGUUGCUGUAUGAUGAGCUGUUGAUGAGGUUGCAAUGCCUUUUACGGAUUGCUUUUCCUUUCCGUUGAGCUCCGUACGGACGUUGUUUUGUUCUCUUGUUCAGGUUGUUCUUGAACUGCUGGAGUGGGCUGAAUCCUUACUGGGUUGUGUAGUCUUAGGCUUUCAUAUGAGUGUUGGUUUUGAGUUGGAUUUGGACUGUCCAUUACCAAUAUUAACACCCAACAUCUUAAGAAACUAUGGCGUAUUCUGAAUAACCCUUACUUGGUGAAGAAUGUAGUUAUGCUUUCGUAGAUUGCAACGACAUAUUCACCCAGAUAAUGUCCAAAAUAGAAGGCACAAAUGUAAGCGUAGUUAUACAGAAUUGAAAUAUUUUGAAAAUAUUAGCAUUGAUGAUUAAUUGUAUUCUUUAAAAUUGAAAUAUUUUGAAAAUAUAAUAACAUCAUUAUUAAGUUUUAUUUAUUAACAAUAUAUAUAAAUAAAUACAUAAAAUUUUGGGACAAUUUUCUAUUUUUAUUUCCAAAAUCUCAUUUAAAAUAAAUUUAUUGAUUAAAUAACUAUUAAUAUCCAGUAAUAAUGAUAAUUAGUCCUAGUAAUUAGUUUGUUAACUGUAUGCAUGUAAAAACAUUUGUAAGAAAUAAGUAAAACCGAAAAAUAACUUUUGAUAUGGUAUUACAUAUGAAGACUCAUUACCAGUUAACACAUAACUCAUCAUCUUUAAACUUUAACCAACUGGAAUGAUUGAUCCUCAUCUAAGUUUCCCCUUAAAUUAUUUUUAUAGCCAUUGGCCCCAAGCUAAUGAUUCCAUUGGCUUGUACUCCAAACUGGCUAUGUUGUUAACGUCUUCUCAUAUAAUAUUUGAACUGUUUUAUUUAUUUUCUCGCUUAAGGUCUAUUACAUCACUCUAAUUUAUACACUUAGGAAUCUAGGUUAAAUGAUGUGUCAUCGUCCUUAUCUUUUAGCAUAGAGAACUUAUUAGCCGUUGCUGUAUGAUGAGCUGUUGAUGAGGAUGCAAUGCCUUUUACGGAUUGCUUUUCCUUUCCGUUGAGCUCCGUACGGCCGUUGUUUUGUUCUCUUGUUCAGGUUGUUCUUGAACUGCUGGAGUGGGCUGAAUCCUUACUGGGUUGUGUAGUCUUAGGCUUUCAUAUGAGUGUUGGUUUUGAGUUGGAUUUGGACUGUCCAUUACCAAUAUUAACACCCAACAUCUUAAGAACCUAUGGCGUAUUCUGAAUAACCCUUACUUGGUGAAGAAUGUAGUUAUGCUUUCGUAGAUUGCAACGACAUAUUCACCCAGAUAAUGUCCAAAAUAGAAGGCACAAAUGUAAGCGUAGUUAUACAGAAUUGAAAUAUUUUGAAAAUAUUAGCAUUGAUGAUUAAUUGUAUUCUUUAAAAUUGAAAUAUUUUGAAAAUAUAAUAAUAUCAUUAUUAAGUUUUAUUUAUUAACAAUAUAUAUAAAUAAAUACAUAAAAUUUUGGGACAAUUUUCUAUUUUUAUUUCCAAAAUCUCAUUUAAAAUAAAUUUAUUGAUUAAAUAACUAUAAAUAUCCAGUAAUAAUGAUAAUUAGUCCUAGUAAUUAGUUUGUUAACUGUAUGCAUGUAAAAACAUUUGUAAGAAAUAAGUAAAACCGAAAAAUAACUUUUGAUAUGGUAUUACAUAUGAAGACUCAUUACCAGUUAACACAUAACUCAUCAUCCUUAAACUUUAACCAACUGGAAUGAUUGAUCCUCAUCUAAGUUUCCCCUUAAAUUAUUUUUAUAGCCAUUGGCCCCAAGCUAAUGAUUCCAUUGGCUUGUACUCCAAACUGGCUAUGGUGUUAAUGUCUUCUCAUAUAAUAUUUGAACUGUUUUAUUUAUUUUCUCGCUUAAGGUCUAUUACAUCACUCUAAUUUAUACACUUAGGAAUCUAGGUUAAAUGAUGUGUCAUCAUCCUUAUCUUUUAGCAUAGAGAACUUAUUAGCCGUUGCUGUAUGAUGAGCUGUUGAUGAGGUUGCAAUGCCUUUUACGGAUUGCUUUUCCUUUCUGUUGAGUUCUGUGCGGACGUUGUUUUGUUCUCUUGUUCAGGUUGUUCUUGAACUGCUGGAGUGGGCUGAAUCCUUACUGGGUUGUGUAGUCUUAGGCUUUCAUAUGAGUGUUGGUUUUGAGUUGGAUUUGGACUGUCCAUUACCAAUAUUAACACCCAACAUCUUAAGAACCUAUGGCGUAUUCUGAAUAACCCUUACUUGAGUCAUUAUGUAAAAUUAUUUAUCUAUUUAUUUGUUUGCGUGUUUGAAACGCUUGGAUAUUAACAACAUGAUCUCUUGAUCUACAUAUUUUAAUAUCGAUCUUUGUAAAAGCUUUCUAGUUAAGAAGAGACAAUGGGAGAUUUGAUUUGUUGAAAUCCAAAAUAUUCUAUCUUUUUGUCGUGAAGAUAGAGAAUUUAGUUAGAACUUGGAAGAAAGUUUAUGAUACUUUUAACAAAAAAGGAAAGUAUGUACGAUAUAUACAUGUUUCUAUUAAAGGAGAAUUACUAUUUCAAUUUCAAGUAUACAUAUAUAGUACUGGGGAAAAGUGUCAUUUUCGACACCAACUAUUUCAGUCGUGCCAAAUACGACCCGAACAAUUGAUCAGUGCCAAAUACGACCUCAACUCAAUUAUAAUUCAAAAAAAACUACCUGAAUUUCUUAAAACGUGCCUAAAUCUACAUUGACUCUAACAGAAGUUAGUCAACCGUUAACAAGAUAAAACGGCGUCGUUUUGAUAUACGAGAAAAAGUGCCAAUUUCGACCCCAACACUCUCAGUCGUGCCAAAUAGGACCCGAACAAAUAAUCAGUGCCAAAAACGACCUCAACUCAAUUAUAAUUUAAGAAUAAUUACCAAAUUUUUUUAAAACGUGUCUAAAUCUACAUUAACUCUAACAGAAGUUAAUCAACCUUUAACAAGAUAAGACGAUGUCGUUUUGAUAUAUGCAUUUUUUUAAAAAUAUGUUCAUUUCGGAACUCAAUUUCGUGCUGGUAUAUCCUUUUAAAGGGGCACACUAACAACUAGACUAAAAUACUUUUUUGAAAUAUUAUUACAAAUUGAAAUUCUCCAUUAUAUAAACUACUAUUCUUCUUCCUCUUAUCCAAUUUAAAACUUUGGUGAUUGCUUUAUAUAUUUUAGUUAUUGUUUAAUUUGUCUAAUAUUUUGUACAACAUAUCUUAGUGAAAGAAAGGUAAAAGGCCUCUUAACAUUUUUGAACAAAAUAUCAAAAUAUAUAAUAUUAACUUUGAAAACUAAAAAAAAAAUCCGAUUAAUUUUAAAAAUUAAAAAUAAUUUAUAUAAGAAAAUUGUAUAAAUAAAUUCAAAGUUUUAAGCAUAUUUAAGAUCGUAUAAUAAUAAAUAUUUUAUUAUUUAUAUUUUAGUAAGAUAUAAUUUUAUUAAAGAUAUGAUAAAUAAGAAAAACAUGUUAAUGUAUUUAUAUAAAUCAGGAAAAAUUGUCACCAAAAUUUUAAAUUGGAUAAGACGAAGAAUAAUAGUAGUUUAUAUAAUUUCAAAUUUGUAAUAGUAUUUUAAAAAGUUACUUUUAUCUAGUUGUUAGUGUGCCCAUUUAAAAGGGUAUCAUCACAACAUGGUUUGAGUUCCGGAAUGAACAUAUAUUUUUUUAAAAAAUAGAUAGAUAGAUAUAUAUAUAUAUAUAUAUAUAUAUAUAUAUAUAUAUAUAUAUAUACGAUGUCUUCUUAUCUUGUUAACGGUUGACUAAAUUCUGUUAGAGUCAAUGUAGAUUUAUGCACCUUUUAAGAAGUUCAGGUAGUUUUUCUUAAAUUAUAUUUAAGUUGGGGCCGGUUUUGGCACUAUCCAUUUGUUCGGGUCCUAAUUGGCACGACCGAGAGUGUUGGGGUCGAAAUUGGCACUUUUCCUCGUAUAUCAAAACGACGUCGUUUUAUCUCGUUAACGAUUGACUAACUUCUGUUAGAGUCAAUGUAGAUUUAAGCACGUUUUAAGAAGUUCGGGUAGUUUUUUCGAAUUAUAAUUGAGUUGAGGUCGUAUUUGGCACUGAUCAAUUGUUCGGGUCGUAUUUGGCACGACUGAAAUAGUUGGGGUCGAAAUUGGCACUUUUCCCUAUAGUACUGAGAGUAUAUGUUUAGUUACGUAAUAGUAUAAAGGUGUCUGCUUAGUCUCUUGACUUUCUUAGAAGGUUUCCAAGCAUAUGGCUAUUGAGAUGGAAUAAUAAUGUGAUAUAUUUAAGAUUAAGAAAAAAAUGCUCUCGUUAUAUUUAAACCAUAAAGUAAAUCGGACAAUUCUCCGAAAUAGACGAUUUUCAAGUUUUGUUCACAAAAAUAGAUCACAAGAAGGAAAAUGACCAAAACGUUUCAUUUAAUAGGUAAAAUGACAUUAAUAACCUAGAUAUAAAAAAAUUAAAAAAUUAAAAAAUUAUUUUUUUAUAGUUUUAGAUUAUAUAUUUUCAAAUUUGAACUUUACAAAAAACAAAUUUUUUUUUUGAAAAUUUUCUUUUUGUAAUUCGUAAAUACUUUUUGAAACUAUUUUUAAAAUUUUUAUUUUCAAAAUUUUAAUAUUUAUUUUUUAUUUUAUAAAAUUUUAAACCUCAAUCCCAAAUUUCCACUCCUUAAAUCUAAACCCUAAGAUUCGGGUUAGUUAACUCUAUGAGUGUAAAUGUAUAUUUACCUCUUCAAUAAAAUAUUUUGGUCAUUUUCUUUCUUGUGGUCUAUUUUUAUGAACAAAUUUUUUUUAUUGCUAUUUUAGAGUGUUUCUCAAUUAAAUUUCAGUAACCACAAAAUUUCAUUUCCAAGAUAAUGUUUACGUUAAUGGGUUAAUUUAUCAAAUGUUAACAAUAUGUGUAGUAUACGAAAAUAUAACAUUUGAAAUUGAAACGUAAAUAUGGAGCAAUUAGAUGAAAAUGAUCAUAGGACACUUGUGCCAAUAAUUCUUGUCAUUGUUCCAACAGUAAAACCCAUCAUCUUUUGCAACAACGAAACGCACCGCAGAAUCAGUGUCCGAAUCGUACAAACGGUACAUCCUCAAAGAGGGCACGAAUUGUGCUUCACCCCAAAACGUUCCUUCGCAAGACGUCCGCUGCGACACUCUAGGUCUCGCCGGUUUAUCGUUUUUUUCAGCGGUGGGUGGGAUAUCAUCAGUCGCAUUUUUUCCGCUAGUGGUUGGGAUCUUUAUCAACGAGACUUGACCCAAAGGUAUGGGUUUAGACAUCCUAGGAAUUGAGCCCUGGCACGUCACGAAGACGGGAACAUUAGCACGUCUCUGCAUCUGGUUGGAUACGAUAAGAGUGGCGGCACGUGCGGAUCCAGAGCUAACAAAGAGCACUAGGGUCAUGAUCGAUACCAUUAUAAGAGUGUCCAUGAGUUUUUAUUAUGUGGAAAAGAUGUGUUAUAGAAUGUAAAUAUAUAUCUUCUUUGGAAGUUUAUGUGUCUCUAUUUAUAUUAUCUGGCUUCAGUUUCUCAAAUUUUGAGCAUUAACAACAAUCACUACGUACGUUUAAGAAUUGAAAGGUGAUUAAUAAGUGAUUACGGUUACCAUUAGAAUUAAGAGACUCUAACAUUUAUUAGAGACAAUCUCGGUUUGGUACCUGUUCUGUGAUUGUUGCAAUUAGAGAGAGAUAAAAAAGAUUUCAGUGAUGUCAUCAUUAGUUUAUUUUUAUUUUUUGGAAAGAUGUGCUGCGACAUUUGGUGUGUAAUAUGUAUAAUGACAAAUCAAACCCAUUUUUUUAUUAUCAAAUACAAAUCAAACCUUUAUUCUUAAUAAGAAUGACCGACUGCAUAGUGUUAAGUGUGAAUAAAACGGUGUUUCACACAGCAUGUUCAAUAUAUACGAUUAAUCAACAGAAAAGCGAAGAGUAUUAUAGAGAAUAUGAUACUCUGUGACUUGACUGAAGGAAAAGGGGACUAUGGUGAGUGGUGAGGCAUGUCACGUCACCGUUGUCUAAUCCAUUUUCAGUUAACCAAUGGACCGUAAACAAAUAUUGGCCUUUUAUUAUGAAAUAUGGACCGUUUCACAUAUCUUCAGAAACCACCAUUGGCCCCUAUUGUUUUCUAUCGCCUCCCAAUUCACUCGGAGUUACUCUCCCCUUUCACCUCCUCCCUAAUAUAGGCGUCCCACUUUCAUGAUUCAUAAAGCUCCAUCAUUUCAUGAUUCAGUGGAGAGUAUGAGUGCUUGCAAGAUAUUUGAUCAAAAUGGUGCAUGGCUACGGAGAAGUAAGGGUUUUUGGUGUCGAGACAUUGAUCUAAAAAUUAUGUGAACCGAAAAGGGUACUUUCCACUUUAAAAACUGUAUUUGUUGUGUGUUACUUCGAAAUUUAGGAGAAACAAAGUCGUUAUUUCUCGAUCAUUUCUACGCUGGCUGGAAAGGAGUCUUCUCAGAUUUCAAGGAAGAGAAAAAGUCUAUUAGAUAGUGAAGGUAUAUGUGUGUCAAAAAAAAAAAAAAGAUAGUGAAGAUAUAUAUAUAUAUUUUUUUGAUAAAAGAAGUGAAGAUAUAUUUUUGUAACCUUGGAUUAUAUUCAUCUGUAAAGUUCUUUAAUCCGUAUAAGUGCGUAAUGUUUAUGUACAUUGGUUAUAUUGUAAGUUUUGAAGGAAAUGAUAGAAGACUAAGUAAAUUGGUGACAAAACAGAGAAAGGUUUCUUAUACUAUCAUGAGAGAAGAAUCAAACCUUUCGCCGAUCCUUCAAAAAGUUCAUAGGACCCGUUGAUUUCCUGCAAGUGAAACUUUAGAAUUCGUUGCACCUUUAUUUUUGCUGAUUGUUAUAAUUCUAUCACAGAUGGUUCUUUGGACUCCUCUGUCAAACUCGUUAAGAACGUAACCUCCUAAAUCUGCUUAAACCAGUGAGAGUAUGAAACGUUCUUCUCUUAGAACAAUUGGAAGACAUGGGACGUUUUUCUUAAAAGCAGACAGAGAGUGGUCGGGAAAUUAUAGGGACUAGAAAAUUAGUGUUACAUAGAUCUCAGCUGAGCCAUAAGUAUAUAUCAUCGUUGUCUUCCAUGUUUGAAACUAACCAAGCGUUUCUUGUUUUAGCGAGACCUUUUACAUUUUUCAUUUUGAACAACGAUUGACAAAAAAAAUUAUAAAGUGUUUUGGUCAACUCUAGAUGUUUCUCUCGUUAUAAGUUUGCAGAGAUAUAUAUAUAUAUAUAUAUAUAUAUAAAUUUAUGAAUGUAUGGUCACGCUCAGAGAAUAUAAAAGAGCCAUCUGCAUUAUCGAACUGAAAUUUAUUUUGAUUAGUUAGUUAAGGAACUACAACAACCAGUUCGUAUUCGGUUAAGAAAUAUUCGGCUAGAAUAACUGACGAACUGUUGCACCAGUCGGAGUAGGAGUAGCAAGCUUUCCUUGCAUCCAAGUCUGAAGCAUUUGCAAAGAAGCCUUUGGCUGAUCCAUAGGAACCAUGUGUCCAGCAUCAUGAACCUGCCCCAAAAUUGAAACUAUCAAAAACAGGAAGAAGGAAGUCCACUUCAAUUGUAUUUACAUUAGUAAUAGGUUUGGUUCAUCGGCUUUAUUCGGUUUACCUUAAGAAAAGUGAGAGGACCGUGAUUCUUCAUUAGCCCAGCUUCCUUCCCAUCUACCAAGAACGGGACUCUCUUGGCUGAUCCAUACUCCUUCUGGUUUGACCAGUUUAGCUGAUCAACCCACCUGGAGUUGCCUGUAUAUACCAAAUAAAUUAUAUCAAUCAAUGCAAAUGAAACUGCACCCACGACCUUUUGUUCUGUUCCACGUUCAUAACCUAAGCCAUAACUAAAUUAAGAAACAUACGAUGAAUCUUAUUCUCACCAAGCCAGUUACAUAUGAUAUCGAAUUCUCCUGCAUAGACAAGGAGACUGAUUCCAUCUUCAAGAAGCCGUGGAAUCUUGUCAGCAAGAUUUACCAUCCAAUCAUUUAGCAUUGCUUUAUAAACUGUGGUACUACACGACACAAAGUCGAUGUUUCCAACUCCUAGAGCUUUGCGUACUUUCUUUUGGUUCAAAAAUGCUUCCAUUUUCGAAAAGUCAUAGCACAAGCUUCCAACACACUUUUUCCUUAAGUCAUAAAACUUCAAAAUAACCCAUAAUAUAUUUGUCAAAACUCAUAUAUAGAGAAAUGGUUCAGUUGGUGUGUUGUUCUGUAUAACUACGCUUACAUUUGUGCCUUCUAUUUUGGACAUUAUCUGGGUGAAUAUGUCGUUGCAAUCUACGAAAGCAUAACUACAUUCUUCACCACCAUUAAGGUCUGAAAUUGAUUUUAAAAAAAAAACAGAUUUUAGACUCGAAAAGUUUUUUUCCAAACCCAAAUCCAAAAAUAUUCGAAACAAAUAGAUUUUAUGGAAGUUACUGCAUUUUUUGAUGGAACUUUGACAAAAAACAUAGUCUUGCUUGAGACUCUCAUGAUCAGACUCAGAGAUCAACUUCAUUUCCAGGGCAUAAUCCCCAUAUGCACCAUAUUGAAUCUCCGGGUUGGUUAAACCGUUACCAAUCGCAAAACCCUAAUUUUAAACCGAGAUUAAACCAGAUGUUUGAUCAUUAAAGAAAAGCUAAUGAAAGACUUACCUUAAGGUUGAUUGGAAUCCCUUCCUUAUUCUUGUUUCCGUUGUGAACUCGUGAAGCCAAAGCAGGGACGUAGUGACCAGCAUAUGAUUCACCCGUGAUAUAGAAAUCAUUUUUUGCAUACUUCGGGUGUUCUUUGAAAAAGGCCUACAAAAAUUCAAAUAUAAAAAGCUCAAACCAUUACAAUUCGAAGAACAUUCAUUUUGAAAUGUUUGAACAACAGUCAGACCUGUAAGAAAUCGUAGAGAUCAUUGCUCACACCAGUCUCGUCGUGGCGAAGAUCGCUUUGGUCCGAUGUGUAACUGAAACCAGUCCCGACCGGUUGGUCCACGUAUAUUAGAUUGGAUACCUAUUGGAACAAAAGUAGUUGAGUAAUAAGAAUAUUGAAUGUUCCUUGAGUAACAAGAAAGAGUAGUUGAGUUAUAGUAAUUUUUUUAUAUUAAAUAUGUUUCUUUCGUAAGAAGAUAUAAGCUUUUCCUAUCUAAACUAAACCAACCAAACAACUAACCUUGUCCCAACCAAAAUCGUUCCAAGAAAGAGAGAGAUCAUCCGAUAUUGUGAACGGACCGUUCUCAUAGAACAGAGCCACACUGCUACUACAACCCGGUCCACCAGAUAACCAAAUCACAACCGGAUCGGUGUUGUUGGUCCGUGACUCAAAGAAGAAAUAGAACAUCCUGUUAGAAAACAACAUGCACCCCAAAACCAAAACAAAAUCAAUUGGUCUACUUAAAACACAAGGAAUUAAACCGGAUUAAGUUUUAACGUGUUUAAAAUAUUACUUAGCUGAUUUAGUAUGAGUGAGGCUGUAGUAACCGCCAUAGUGGCCGAAUUGUUGGACAGAAGGACCACCUAUAGUGUUUCUUAUACCGAUGGUUUCCGGAAAAUUGAUUUGGCUUUCAAUGAGUCGGGGAACAUCAGGGCUUCCCUUUGCGAUGACAUUGACGUCAUGGUCAGGCAUUAGAUUGAAGGACUUGAUCAGCCUCUCCGCAUUACGGCUCACUAAACUUGCAGACGAUGAGCAGUUUGAGGGUUUGUUUAGGAUCCUUGAGGAAGUUGAGUGAGAAAAAUGAGAGAAAAUGACAAUAAAGAGGAUAAAAUGGAGAAGAAAUGAUUUCGCUUCCAUCUUUUCCUUAGUGGUUUGUUAGAGAGUUUGAGGUUUUGGUGUGGAAAGAGAAGUAUUUAUAGAGUUGGCAUGCGUUGUAUUUAAUUUAUUUAUAACCAAUUAGUCGUGUCAAGAAAAGAUAAAUGGAAGAUAUUUUUCUAAAAUAUUUCUAGAUAUUUUAUAUUACUUUGUUAACUUGAUAUGUUUCCUAAGUUUAGGGAUGUGGAAUAUUAAGAAAACAAAAUCCUAGUAAUACAAAAAAGCAUUCUCUACAAAAAAGAAAAAAUCAAAGGAAUUUCUCCAAUAUCACAAAAAUCCAAAUUAACCCAUAUCAGUCUGUAGUAACUAAAUUGCUAGACCAACACGUGUACGCUGACAAUCGCCGAUAAUCCUCAAUUGCUGGCUGCCGUUAAAUUCUAACCCUUUACGAAGUCAAGCCAGAGUAAUUAGAGUAAAACAAAUACUCCACUAUAGAGCCUAAGUGACGUCUAAUUAUCGCGAAAAAUAGAUACAUUGUAUAUACGUUUAUUAUUCUUUAAUUACUUCGUUAUAGAACCUAUAAGAUAAUGUAUGGUGUUGAGAGAAUCUACCGCAUAAUUUAUACAAUUAUCACUGAUGAUUGAUACCCUUAGAAGAACCUAAAAAUAAUUUAAAAGAAUUUAUACACUUAGCAUUGAUGAUUAAUUGUAUUCUUUAAAAUUGAAAUAUUUUGAAAAUAUAAUAAUAUCAUUAUUAAGUUUUAUUUAUUAACAAUAUAUAUAUAUAAAUACAUAUAAAAUUUUGGGACAAUUUUCUAUUUUUAUUUCCAAAAACUCAUUUAAAAUAAAUUUAUUGAUUAAAUAACUAUAAAUAUCCAGUAACAAUGAUAAUAAGUACUAGUAAUUUAGUUUGUUAACUGUAUGCAUGUAAAAACAUUUGUAAGAAAUAAGUAAAACCGAAAAAUAACUUUUGAUAUGGUAUUACAUAUGAAGACUCAUUACCAGUUAACACAUAACUCAUCAUCUUUAAACUUUAACCAACUGGAAUGAUUGAUCCUCAUCUAAGUUUCCCCUUAAAUUAUUUUUAUAGCCAUUGGCCCCAAGCUAAUGAUUCAUUGGCUUGUACUCCAAACUGGCUAUGUUGUUAACGUCUUCUCAUAUAAUAUUUGAACUGUUUUAUUUAUUUUCUCGCUUAAGGUCUAUUACAUCACUCUAAUUUAUACACUUAGGAAUCUAGGUUAAAUGAUGUGUCAUCAUCCUUAUCUUUUAGCAUAGAGAACUUAUUAGCCGUUGCUGUAUGAUGAGCUGUUGAUGAGGUUGCAAUGCCUUUUACGGAUUGCUUUUCCUUUCCGUUGAGCUCCGUACGGACGUUGUUUUGUUCUCUUGUUCAGGUUGUUCUUGAACUGCUGGAGUGGGCUGAAUCCUUACUGGGUUGUGUAGUCUUAGGCUUUCAUAUGAGUGUUGGUUUUGAGUUGGAUUUGGACUGUCCAUUACCAAUAUUAACACCCAACAUCUUAAGAAACUAUGGCGUAUUCUGAAUAACCCUUACUUGGUGAAGAAUGUAGUUAUGCUUUCGUAGAUUGCAACGACAUAUUCACCCAGAUAAUGUCCAAAAUAGAAGGCACAAAUGUAAGCGUAGUUAUACAGAAUUGAAAUAUUUUGAAAAUAUUAGCAUUGAUGAUUAAUUGUAUUCUUUAAAAUUGAAAUAUUUUGAAAAUAUAAUAACAUCAUUAUUAAGUUUUAUUUAUUAACAAUAUAUAUAAAUAAAUACAUAAAAUUUUGGGACAAUUUUCUAUUUUUAUUUCCAAAAUCUCAUUUAAAAUAAAUUUAUUGAUUAAAUAACUAUUAAUAUCCAGUAAUAAUGAUAAUUAGUCCUAGUAAUUAGUUUGUUAACUGUAUGCAUGUAAAAACAUUUGUAAGAAAUAAGUAAAACCGAAAAAUAACUUUUGAUAUGGUAUUACAUAUGAAGACUCAUUACCAGUUAACACAUAACUCAUCAUCUUUAAACUUUAACCAACUGGAAUGAUUGAUCCUCAUCUAAGUUUCCCCUUAAAUUAUUUUUAUAGCCAUUGGCCCCAAGCUAAUGAUUCCAUUGGCUUGUACUCCAAACUGGCUAUGGUGUUAAUGUCUUCUCAUAUAAUAUUUGAACUGUUUUAUUUAUUUUCUCGCUUAAGGUCUAUUACAUCACUCUAAUUUAUACACUUAGGAAUCUAGGUUAAAUGAUGUGUCAUCAUCCUUAUCUUUUAGCAUAGAGAACUUAUUAGCCGUUGCUGUAUGAUGAGCUGUUGAUGAGGUUGCAAUGCCUUUUACGGAUUGCUUUUCCUUUCUGUUGAGCUCUGUACGGACGUUGUUUUGUUCUCUUGUUCAGGUUGUUCUUGAACUGCUGGAGUGGGCUGAAUCCUUACUGGGUUGUGUAGUCUUAGGCUUUCAUAUGAGUGUUGGUUUUGAGUUGGAUUUGGACUGUCCAUUACCAAUAUUAACACCCAUCAUCUUAAGAACCUAUGGCGUAUUCUGAAUAACCCUUACUUGAGUCAUUAUGUAAAAUUAUUUAUCUAUUUAUUUGUUUGCGUGUUUGAAACGCUUGGAUAUUAACAACAUGAUCUCUUGAUCUACAUAUUUUAAUAUCGAUCUUUGUAAAAGCUUUCUAGUUAAGAAGAGACAAUGGGAGAUUUGAUUUGUUGAAAUCCAAAAUAUUCUAGCUUUUUGUCGUGAAGAUAGAGAAUUUAGUUAGAACUGGGAAGAAAGUUUAUGAUACUUUUAACAAAAAAGGAAAGUAUGUACGAUAUAUACAUGUUUCUAUUAAAGGAGAAUUACUAUUUCAAUUUCAAGUAUACAUAUAUAGUACUGAGAGUAUAUGUUUAGUUACGUAAUAGUAUAAAGGUGUCUCAGUGUCUGCUUAGUCUCUUGACUUUCUUAGAAGUUGUCCAAGCAUAUGACUAUUGAGAUGGAAUAAUAAUGUGAUAUAUUUAAGAUUAAGAAAAAAAUGCUCUCGUUAUAUUUAAACCAUAAAGUUAAUCGGGCAAUUUUCCGAAAUAGACAAUUUUCAAGUUUUUGUUCACAAAAAUAGAUCACAAGAAGGAAAAUGACCAAAACGUUUCAUUUAAUAGGUAAAAUGACAUUAAUAACCUAGAUAUAAAAAAAAUUAAAAAAUUAAAAAAUAAUUUUUAUAGUUUUAGAUUAUAUAUUUUCAAAUUUGAACUUUAAAAAAAAAUCGAAUUUUUUUUUUGAAAAUUUUCUUUUUGUAAUUCGUAAAUACUUUUUGAAACUAUUUUUAAAAUUUUUAUUUUAAAAUUUUUAAUAUUUAUUUUUUAUUUUAUAAAAUUUUAAACCUCAAUCCCAAAUUUCCACUCCUUAAAUCUAAACCCUAAGAUUUGGAUUAGUUAACUCUAUGAGUGUAAAUGUAUAUUUACCUCUUCAAUAAAAUAUUUUGGUCAUUUUCUUUCUUGUGGUCUAUUUUUGUGAACAAAAUUUUUUUAUUGCUAUUUUAGAGUGUUUCUCAAGUAAAUUUCAGUAACCACAAAAUUUCAUUUCCAAGAUAAUGUUUACGUUAAUGGGUUAAUUUAUCAAAUGUUAACAAUAUGUGUAGUAUACGAAAAUAUAACAUUUGAAAUUGAAACGUAAAUUUGGAGCAAUUAGAUGAAAAUGAUCAUAGGACACUUGUGCCAAUAAUUCUUGUCAUUGUUCCAACAGUAAAACCCAUCAUCUUUUGCAACAACGAAACGCACCGCAGAAUCAGUGUCCGAAUCGUACAAACGGUACAUCCUCAAAGAGGGCACGAAUUGUGCUUCACCCCAAAACGUUCCUUCGCAAGACGUCCGCUGCGACACUCUAGGUCUCGCCGGUUUAUCGUUUUUUUCAGCGGUGGGUGGGAUAUCAUCAGUCGCAUUUUUUCCGCUAGUGGUUGGGAUCUUUAUCAACGAGACUUGACCCAAAGGUAUGGGUUUAGACAUCCUAGGAAUUGAGCCCUGGCACGUCACGAAGACGGGAACAUUAGCACGUCUCUGCAUCUGGUUGGAUACGAUAAGAGUGGCGGCACGUGCGGAUCCAGAGCUAACAAAGAGCACUAGGGUCAUGAUCGAUACCAUUAUAAGAGUGUCCAUGAGUUUUUAUUAUGUGGAAAAGAUGUGUUAUAGAAUGUAAAUAUAUAUCUUCUUUGGAAGUUUAUGUGUCUCUAUUUAUAUUAUCUGGCUUCAGUUUCUCAAAUUUUGAGCAUUAACAACAAUCACUACGUACGUUUAAGAAUUGAAAGGUGAUUAAUAAGUGAUUACGGUUACCAUUAGAAUUAAGAGACUCUAACAUUUAUUAGAGACAAUCUCGGUUUGGUACCUGUUCUGUGAUUGUUGCAAUUAGAGAGAGAUAAAAAAGAUUUCAGUGAUGUCAUCAUUAGUUUAUUUUUAUUUUUUGGAAAGAUGUGCUGCGACAUUUGGUGUGUAAUAUGUAUAAUGACAAAUCAAACCCAUUUUUUAUUAUCAAAUACAAAUCAAACCUUUAUUCUUAAUAAGAAUGACCGACUGCAUAGUGUUAAGUGUGAAUAAAACGGUGUUUCACACAGCAUGUUCAAUAUAUACGAUUAAUCAACAGAAAAGCGAAGAGUAUUAUAGAGAAUAUGAUACUCUGUGACUUGACUGAAGGAAAAGGGGACUAUGGUGAGUGGUGAGGCAUGUCACGUCACCGUUGUCUAAUCCAUUUUCAGUUAACCAAAGGACCGUAAACAAAUAUUGGCCUUUUAUUAUGAAAUAUGGACCGUUUCACAUAUCUUCAGAAACCACCAUUGGCCCCUAUUGUUUUCUAUCGCCUCCCAAUUCACUCGGAGUUACUCUCCCCUUUCACCUCCUCCCUAAUAUAGGCGUCCCACUUUCAUGAUUCAUAAAGCUCCAUCAUUUCAUGAUUCAGUGGAGAGUAUGAGUGCUUGCAAGAUAUUUGAUCAAAAUGGUGCAUGGCUACGGAGAAGUAAGGGUUUUUGGUGUCGAGACAUUGAUCUAAAAAUUAUGUGAACCGAAAAGGGUACUUUCCACUUUCAAAACUGUAUUUGUUGUGUGUUACUUCGAAAUUUAGGAGAAACAAAGUCGUUAUUUCUCGAUCAUUUCUACGCUGGCUGGAAAGGAGUCUUCUCAGAUUUCAAGGAAGAGAAAAAGUCUAUUAGAUAGUGAAGGUAUAUGUGUGUCAAAAAAAAAAAAAGAUAGUGAAGAUAUAUAUAUAUAUAUUUUUGAUAAAAGAAGUGAAGAUAUAUUUUUGUAACCUUGGAUUAUAUUCAUCUGUAAAGUUCUUUAAUCCGUAUAAGUGCGUAAUGUUUAUGUACAUUGGUUAUAUUGUAAGUUUUGAAGGAAAUGAUAGAAGACUAAGUAAAUUGGUGACAAAACAGAGAAAGGUUUCUUAUACUAUCAUGAGAGAAGAAUCAAACCUUUCGCCGAUCCUUCAAAAAGUUCAUAGGACCCGUUGAUUUCCUGCAAGUGAAACUUUAGAAUUCGUUGCACCUUUAUUUUUGCUGAUUGUUAUAAUUCUAUCACAGAUGGUUCUUUGGACUCCUCUGUCAAACUCGUUAAGAACGUAACCUCCUAAAUCUGCUUAAACCAGUGAGAGUAUGAAACGUUCUUCUCUUAGAACAAUUGGAAGACAUGGGACGUUUUUCUUAAAAGCAGACAGAGAGUGGUCGGGAAAUUAUAGGGACUAGAAAAUUAGUGUUACAUAGAUCUCAGCUGAGCCAUAAGUAUAUAUCAUCGUUGUCUUCCAUGUUUGAAACUAACCAAGCGUUUCUUGUUUUAGCGAGACCUUUUACAUUUUUCAUUUUGAACAACGAUUGACAAAAAAAAUUAUAAAGUGUUUUGGUCAACUCUAGAUGUUUCUCUCGUUAUAAGUUUGCAGAGAUAUAUAUAUAUAUAUAUAUAUAUAUAUAUAAAUUUAUGAAUGUAUGGUCACGCUCAGAGAAUAUAAAAGAGCCAUCUGCAUUAUCGAACUGAAAUUUAUUUUGAUUAGUUAGUUAAGGAACUACAACAACCAGUUCGUAUUCGGUUAAGAAAUAUUCGGCUAGAAUAACUGACGAACUGUUGCACCAGUCGGAGUAGGAGUAGCAAGCUUUCCUUGCAUCCAAGUCUGAAGCAUUUGCAAAGAAGCCUUUGGCUGAUCCAUAGGAACCAUGUGUCCAGCAUCAUGAACCUGCCCCAAAAUUGAAACUAUCAAAAACAGGAAGAAGGAAGUCCACUUCAAUUGUAUUUACAUUAGUAAUAGGUUUGGUUCAUCGGCUUUAUUCGGUUUACCUUAAGAAAAGUGAGAGGACCGUGAUUCUUCAUUAGCCCAGCUUCCUUCCCAUCUACCAAGAACGGGACUCUCUUGGCUGAUCCAUACUCCUUCUGGUUUGACCAGUUUAGCUGAUCAACCCACCUGGAGUUGCCUGUAUAUACCAAAUAAAUUAUAUCAAUCAAUGCAAAUGAAACUGCACCCACGACCUUUUGUUCUGUUCCACGUUCAUAACCUAAGCCAUAACUAAAUUAAGAAACAUACGAUGAAUCUUAUUCUCACCAAGCCAGUUACAUAUGAUAUCGAAUUCUCCUGCAUAGACAAGGAGACUGAUUCCAUCUUCAAGAAGCCGUGGAAUCUUGUCAGCAAGAUUUACCAUCCAAUCAUUUAGCAUUGCUUUAUAAACUGUGGUACUACACGACACAAAGUCGAUGUUUCCAACUCCUAGAGCUUUGCGUACUUUCUUUUGGUUCAAAAAUGCUUCCAUUUUCGAAAAGUCAUAGCACAAGCUUCCAACACACUUUUUCCUUAAGUCAUAAAACUUCAAAAUAACCCAUAAUAUAUUUGUCAAAACUCAUAUAUAGAGAAAUGGUUCAGUUGGUGUGUUGUUCUGUAUAACUACGCUUACAUUUGUGCCUUCUAUUUUGGACAUUAUCUGGGUGAAUAUGUCGUUGCAAUCUACGAAAGCAUAACUACAUUCUUCACCACCAUUAAGGUCUGAAAUUGAUUUUAAAAAAAAAACAGAUUUUAGACUCGAAAAGUUUUUUUCCAAACCCAAAUCCAAAAAUAUUCGAAACAAAUAGAUUUUAUGGAAGUUACUGCAUUUUUUGAUGGAACUUUGACAAAAAACAUAGUCUUGCUUGAGACUCUCAUGAUCAGACUCAGAGAUCAACUUCAUUUCCAGGGCAUAAUCCCCAUAUGCACCAUAUUGAAUCUCCGGGUUGGUUAAACCGUUACCAAUCGCAAAACCCUAAUUUUAAACCGAGAUUAAACCAGAUGUUUGAUCAUUAAAGAAAAGCUAAUGAAAGACUUACCUUAAGGUUGAUUGGAAUCCCUUCCUUAUUCUUGUUUCCGUUGUGAACUCGUGAAGCCAAAGCAGGGACGUAGUGACCAGCAUAUGAUUCACCCGUGAUAUAGAAAUCAUUUUUUGCAUACUUCGGGUGUUCUUUGAAAAAGGCCUACAAAAAUUCAAAUAUAAAAAGCUCAAACCAUUACAAUUCGAAGAACAUUCAUUUUGAAAUGUUUGAACAACAGUCAGACCUGUAAGAAAUCGUAGAGAUCAUUGCUCACACCAGUCUCGUCGUGGCGAAGAUCGCUUUGGUCCGAUGUGUAACUGAAACCAGUCCCGACCGGUUGGUCCACGUAUAUUAGAUUGGAUACCUAUUGGAACAAAAGUAGUUGAGUAAUAAGAAUAUUGAAUGUUCCUUGAGUAACAAGAAAGAGUAGUUGAGUUAUAGUAAUUUUUUUAUAUUAAAUAUGUUUCUUUCGUAAGAAGAUAUAAGCUUUUCCUAUCUAAACUAAACCAACCAAACAACUAACCUUGUCCCAACCAAAAUCGUUCCAAGAAAGAGAGAGAUCAUCCGAUAUUGUGAACGGACCGUUCUCAUAGAACAGAGCCACACUGCUACUACAACCCGGUCCACCAGAUAACCAAAUCACAACCGGAUCGGUGUUGUUGGUCCGUGACUCAAAGAAGAAAUAGAACAUCCUGUUAGAAAACAACAUGCACCCCAAAACCAAAACAAAAUCAAUUGGUCUACUUAAAACACAAGGAAUUAAACCGGAUUAAGUUUUAACGUGUUUAAAAUAUUACUUAGCUGAUUUAGUAUGAGUGAGGCUGUAGUAACCGCCAUAGUGGCCGAAUUGUUGGACAGAAGGACCACCUAUAGUGUUUCUUAUACCGAUGGUUUCCGGAAAAUUGAUUUGGCUUUCAAUGAGUCGGGGAACAUCAGGGCUUCCCUUUGCGAUGACAUUGACGUCAUGGUCAGGCAUUAGAUUGAAGGACUUGAUCAGCCUCUCCGCAUUACGGCUCACUAAACUUGCAGACGAUGAGCAGUUUGAGGGUUUGUUUAGGAUCCUUGAGGAAGUUGAGUGAGAAAAAUGAGAGAAAAUGACAAUAAAGAGGAUAAAAUGGAGAAGAAAUGAUUUCGCUUCCAUCUUUUCCUUAGUGGUUUGUUAGAGAGUUUGAGGUUUUGGUGUGGAAAGAGAAGUAUUUAUAGAGUUGGCAUGCGUUGUAUUUAAUUUAUUUAUAACCAAUUAGUCGUGUCAAGAAAAGAUAAAUGGAAGAUAUUUUUCUAAAAUAUUUCUAGAUAUUUUAUAUUACUUUGUUAACUUGAUAUGUUUCCUAAGUUUAGGGAUGUGGAAUAUUAAGAAAACAAAAUCCUAGUAAUACAAAAAAGCAUUCUCUACAAAAAAGAAAAAAUCAAAGGAAUUUCUCCAAUAUCACAAAAAUCCAAAUUAACCCAUAUCAGUCUGUAGUAACUAAAUUGCUAGACCAACACGUGUACGCUGACAAUCGCCGAUAAUCCUCAAUUGCUGGCUGCCGUUAAAUUCUAACCCUUUACGAAGUCAAGCCAGAGUAAUUAGAGUAAAACAAAUACUCCACUAUAGAGCCUAAGUGACGUCUAAUUAUCGCGAAAAAUAGAUACAUUGUAUAUACGUUUAUUAUUCUUUAAUUACUUCGUUAUAGAACCUAUAAGAUAAUGUAUGGUGUUGAGAGAAUCUACCGCAUAAUUUAUACAAUUAUCACUGAUGAUUGAUACCCUUAGAAGAACCUAAAAAUAAUUUAAAAGAAUUUAUACACUUAGCAUUGAUGAUUAAUUGUAUUCUUUAAAAUUGAAAUAUUUUGAAAAUAUAAUAAUAUCAUUAUUAAGUUUUAUUUAUUAACAAUAUAUAUAUAUAAAUACAUAUAAAAUUUUGGGACAAUUUUCUAUUUUUAUUUCCAAAAACUCAUUUAAAAUAAAUUUAUUGAUUAAAUAACUAUAAAUAUCCAGUAACAAUGAUAAUAAGUACUAGUAAUUUAGUUUGUUAACUGUAUGCAUGUAAAAACAUUUGUAAGAAAUAAGUAAAACCGAAAAAUAACUUUUGAUAUGGUAUUACAUAUGAAGACUCAUUACCAGUUAACAUCAUCUUUAAACUUUAACCAACUGGAAUGAUUGAUCCUCAUCUAAGUUUCCCCUUAAAUUAUUUUUAUAGCCAUUGGCCCCAAGCUAAUGAUUCAUUGGCUUGUACUCCAAACUGGCUAUGUUGUUAACGUCUUCUCAUAUAAUAUUUGAACUGUUUUAUUUAUUUUCUCGCUUAAGGUCUAUUACAUCACUCUAAUUUAUACACUUAGGAAUCUAGGUUAAAUGAUGUGUCAUCAUCCUUAUCUUUUAGCAUAGAGAACUUAUUAGCCGUUGCUGUAUGAUGAGCUGUUGAUGAGGUUGCAAUGCCUUUUACGGAUUGCUUUUCCUUUCCGUUGAGCUCCGUACGGACGUUGUUUUGUUCUCUUGUUCAGGUUGUUCUUGAACUGCUGGAGUGGGCUGAAUCCUUACUGGGUUGUGUAGUCUUAGGCUUUCAUAUGAGUGUUGGUUUUGAGUUGGAUUUGGACUGUCCAUUACCAAUAUUAACACCCAACAUCUUAAGAAACUAUGGCGUAUUCUGAAUAACCCUUACUUGGUGAAGAAUGUAGUUAUGCUUUCGUAGAUUGCAACGACAUAUUCACCCAGAUAAUGUCCAAAAUAGAAGGCACAAAUGUAAGCGUAGUUAUACAGAAUUGAAAUAUUUUGAAAAUAUUAGCAUUGAUGAUUAAUUGUAUUCUUUAAAAUUGAAAUAUUUUGAAAAUAUAAUAACAUCAUUAUUAAGUUUUAUUUAUUAACAAUAUAUAUAAAUAAAUACAUAAAAUUUUGGGACAAUUUUCUAUUUUUAUUUCCAAAAUCUCAUUUAAAAUAAAUUUAUUGAUUAAAUAACUAUUAAUAUCCAGUAAUAAUGAUAAUUAGUCCUAGUAAUUAGUUUGUUAACUGUAUGCAUGUAAAAACAUUUGUAAGAAAUAAGUAAAACCGAAAAAUAACUUUUGAUAUGGUAUUACAUAUGAAGACUCAUUACCAGUUAACACAUAACUCAUCAUCUUUAAACUUUAACCAACUGGAAUGAUUGAUCCUCAUCUAAGUUUCCCCUUAAAUUAUUUUUAUAGCCAUUGGCCCCAAGCUAAUGAUUCCAUUGGCUUGUACUCCAAACUGGCUAUGGUGUUAAUGUCUUCUCAUAUAAUAUUUGAACUGUUUUAUUUAUUUUCUCGCUUAAGGUCUAUUACAUCACUCUAAUUUAUACACUUAGGAAUCUAGGUUAAAUGAUGUGUCAUCAUCCUUAUCUUUUAGCAUAGAGAACUUAUUAGCCGUUGCUGUAUGAUGAGCUGUUGAUGAGGUUGCAAUGCCUUUUACGGAUUGCUUUUCCUUUCUGUUGAGCUCUGUACGGACGUUGUUUUGUUCUCUUGUUCAGGUUGUUCUUGAACUGCUGGAGUGGGCUGAAUCCUUACUGGGUUGUGUAGUCUUAGGCUUUCAUAUGAGUGUUGGUUUUGAGUUGGAUUUGGACUGUCCAUUACCAAUAUUAACACCCAUCAUCUUAAGAACCUAUGGCGUAUUCUGAAUAACCCUUACUUGAGUCAUUAUGUAAAAUUAUUUAUCUAUUUAUUUGUUUGCGUGUUUGAAACGCUUGGAUAUUAACAACAUGAUCUCUUGAUCUACAUAUUUUAAUAUCGAUCUUUGUAAAAGCUUUCUAGUUAAGAAGAGACAAUGGGAGAUUUGAUUUGUUGAAAUCCAAAAUAUUCUAGCUUUUUGUCGUGAAGAUAGAGAAUUUAGUUAGAACUGGGAAGAAAGUUUAUGAUACUUUUAACAAAAAAGGAAAGUAUGUACGAUAUAUACAUGUUUCUAUUAAAGGAGAAUUACUAUUUCAAUUUCAAGUAUACAUAUAUAGUACUGAGAGUAUAUGUUUAGUUACGUAAUAGUAUAAAGGUGUCUCAGUGUCUGCUUAGUCUCUUGACUUUCUUAGAAGUUGUCCAAGCAUAUGACUAUUGAGAUGGAAUAAUAAUGUGAUAUAUUUAAGAUUAAGAAAAAAAUGCUCUCGUUAUAUUUAAACCAUAAAGUUAAUCGGGCAAUUUUCCGAAAUAGACAAUUUUCAAGUUUUUGUUCACAAAAAUAGAUCACAAGAAGGAAAAUGACCAAAACGUUUCAUUUAAUAGGUAAAAUGACAUUAAUAACCUAGAUAUAAAAAAAAUUAAAAAAUUAAAAAAUAAUUUUUAUAGUUUUAGAUUAUAUAUUUUCAAAUUUGAACUUUAAAAAAAAAUCGAAUUUUUUUUUUGAAAAUUUUCUUUUUGUAAUUCGUAAAUACUUUUUGAAACUAUUUUUAAAAUUUUUAUUUUAAAAUUUUUAAUAUUUAUUUUUUAUUUUAUAAAAUUUUAAACCUCAAUCCCAAAUUUCCACUCCUUAAAUCUAAACCCUAAGAUUUGGAUUAGUUAACUCUAUGAGUGUAAAUGUAUAUUUACCUCUUCAAUAAAAUAUUUUGGUCAUUUUCUUUCUUGUGGUCUAUUUUUGUGAACAAAAUUUUUUUAUUGCUAUUUUAGAGUGUUUCUCAAGUAAAUUUCAGUAACCACAAAAUUUCAUUUCCAAGAUAAUGUUUACGUUAAUGGGUUAAUUUAUCAAAUGUUAACAAUAUGUGUAGUAUACGAAAAUAUAACAUUUGAAAUUGAAACGUAAAUUUGGAGCAAUUAGAUGAAAAUGAUCAUAGGACACUUGUGCCAAUAAUUCUUGUCAUUGUUCCAACAGUAAAACCCAUCAUCUUUUGCAACAACGAAACGCACCGCAGAAUCAGUGUCCGAAUCGUACAAACGGUACAUCCUCAAAGAGGGCACGAAUUGUGCUUCACCCCAAAACGUUCCUUCGCAAGACGUCCGCUGCGACACUCUAGGUCUCGCCGGUUUAUCGUUUUUUUCAGCGGUGGGUGGGAUAUCAUCAGUCGCAUUUUUUCCGCUAGUGGUUGGGAUCUUUAUCAACGAGACUUUAUUAGACUAUGUGAGCCAAAGACUCUUUCUGGUGCAGAAGGUUUUAGACACACCAUUGGGCCGAGCUCACAAAUACACAAACAGAGUAGCAAGCCCACAUCACCUUCUGCACUAGCCGUUAACAAACAGUGUCGUCAUCAACGUACGAACAGGACAGCUCACGGUCGGAAGAUUACAGCACAAGACUUCUCUACCUUUAACAGAUUCCAUUGCUUAGAUGCUGAUGCUCUUGUAUGCUAACGUGAGCUUUAGGGUUUCUCUUACUUGUGUAUAUAAAGAGAUGAACGCAUUGUAUAGCCGCUUAAGUUGAAAGAAAUAAAAGUAAAGUAUUAUCUUCUUCUUCAUUGAUUCAUAGAGAUUCACAUGGUAUCAGAGCCAUGACCGAAUCCAUGGAUCCUUUGUCUGCUCCUUCACUGAGCAUCUCACAGUGUGUCACCUUAAAACUCUCUUCUACAAACUACCUUUUGUGGAAGACACAGUUUGAAUCUUUCCUUUCAAGUCAGUCACUACUUGGUUACAUAAAUGGGUCUUCUCCUCGUCCUAAUCCUACAGUCACAGUCCGAAACGGGGAUGUGGUUACAGAAGAAGCCAACCCGGAGUUCGUCAAGUGGAUGCGUCGUGACCAGCUAGUUAUGGCUUGGUUGUUUGGUUCUCUGACAGAAGAAGCUCUCAGAUCUGUCUACGGUCUCAACUCAGCUCAUGAGGUCUGGCUGAGCCUUGCGAAGAAGUAUAACCGUGUCUCAGCAACAAGAAAGCUUGACCUUCAGCGUAAGCUGCAAGGUAUGUCCAAGAAUCAAAAGCCGAUGUCUGAGUAUCUUAGUGGAGUCAAGAGUGUUUGCGACCAGUUAGAUUCUAUAGGCUUUCCAGUCUCAGAUCAAGAGAUGAUCUAUGGAGCCUUGAGUGGGUUGGGAAAGGAGUAUGAGUCUAUAUGUACUGUCAUUGAACAUUCAAUGGACUCAACUCCAGAUAUGAGAUAUGAAGAUGCGGUGUUUAAGCUGGUUAACUUUGAUGAUAAGCUGCAAGUCCAUAACCAGGCUCCUGAAACAACACCACAUCUCGCGUUUCACUCUGACAGAGGUCACUACUCCAGAGGACGUGGCUACUAUAAUAACAGAGGAAACAGAGGAAGAAGCUCUUACUCUACUAGAGGAAGAGGAUUUCACCAACAGUUCUCAGGAUCUAACUCAUCCUCCCGCCCCAUGUGUCAAAUAUGUGGUCGCUAUGGACACACUGCUCCCCGCUGCUACAACAGAUUUGAUCAAGAGUAUCAGUCCCCAGCUAAUCUUCAUGAUGCUCUCGCUACGGUUAGGCUCUCUGAUAAUCCACAACAGUCAGGUCACGAGUGGUUUCCAGACUCGGCUGCGUCAGCACAUAUCACCAGUGACAGAUCACAACUUCAAUCUGCUGAGCCUUACCUUGGAAACGAUCAAGUUAUUGUUGGAAACGGUGACUAUCUUCCAAUAACUCAUGUGGGAUCAAUUGCUUUGCAAACACCAAAAGGUACAUUACCUUUACAAGAUGUUUUAGUGUGUCCAGAUAUAACCAAGUCUUUACUAUCUGUCUCUAAGUUAACAUCUGAUUAUCCUUGUGAAAUUACGUUUGAUGAUUCAACUGUGUUGGUUAAGGACAAGGUGACAAAGCAAGUGAUAACACAAGGUCACAGAAAUAAGGAUCUCUAUGUGCUGAAGGAUGUUCGGUUUCAGGCUUUCUAUUCAUCAAGACAGCAGGCCACCAGUGAGGAGAUUUGGCAUCAACGGCUUGGUCAUCCUCACAAGGACGUUCUUCAGCUUCUAUCUCAGUCUAAAGCUAUCGUUUUAAAUAAGUCAAGCUCCAAGUCUGUUUGUGAUGCUUGCCAGUUUGGGAAGAGUUGUAAGCUUCCGUUUUUAUCUUCUGAGUUUGUGUCUACUCAGCCUUUGGAAAGAAUACAUUGUGAUUUGUGGGGUCCUAGUCCAGUUGUGUCUACUCAAGGUUUCAAAUAUUAUGUUAUCCUUAUUGACAAUUAUACCAGAUUCACAUGGUUUUAUCCUUUGAGGUUGAAGUCUGAGUUUUAUUCUGUUUUCAUUCGAUUUCAACAACUCGUGGAAACUCAGUUUCAACGCAAGAUUAUGCAGUUUCAGUGUGAUGGAGGUGGUGAAUUCAUUGGCUCAGAGUUUCUUCAACAUCUUGCUCGCAGUGGUAUCAAACAACUGAUAUCUUGUCCUCACACACCCCAACAGAAUGGGUUAGCUGAGCGCAAACACAGACAUCUCACCGAGUUGGGCAUCACUAUGUUAUACUAUGGGCGUGUACCACAACAGCUAUGGGUGGAAGCUUUCUUCACUGCAGUAUUCUUAAUCAACCUGCUUCCCUCUUCCGUUCUUUCUGACAAGAAGAGUCCUUAUGAGAUGCUACAUCAAACUCCACCUGUAUACACUGCUCUACGGGUCUUCGGUUGCAAGUGCUAUCCGUCACUACGUCCAUAUAUGACAAACAAGCUCGACCCCAAGUCCUUGGCCUGUGUUUUCCUUGGCUACAAUGAGAAAUAUAAAGGUUAUCGAUGCUACUAUCCACCAACAGGAAAAGUUUUCAUCAGUAGGCAUGUCUUAUUUGAUGAAAAUUCAUUUCCUUAUGCUGAUAUGUAUCAACGGUUUCAUAAACCUUCGACUUCUUCCCUUCUCAAUGCCUGGAGAGAAGCAUAUCUACUACCUCAGAGUCAAGCUCCUCCUCCAAAUCAAGACAUCCCGGAAGAACUCCCACCACGCCGUGAUGUUCAUGAAGCUGAGCCAGUGGUAGUACAAGAUGAGUCUGAUUCUGAAGAUGAAGAUCAGAACCAACAAGUUGUGGUUGAAGAAGUUGUGAUAGAAGAACCGGUUCAGUUAGAAGAGGAAGAUCCUCCAGUGCAUUCUAUGACUACAAGAGCUCGAGCAGGAAUAGUGAAACCAAACCCGAGAUACGCUCUGUUCACUAUAAAAGAUGAGUUUGCUGAGCCUAAAUCAGUCAAAGCUGCGCUGAAACAUAAAGGUUGGACAGCUUCAAUGGGAGUAGAGAUUCACAACAUGGAGGAAACAGAAACCUUUGAGCUUGUACCACCUGCAGAUGAUCAAAAUCCAUUGGGCAGCAGAUGGGUGUUUAAGACAAAGAGAAAUGCAGAUGGCAGUGUUCUCACACUAAGAAGUAGACUGGUGGCUAAAGGAAACGAACAAGAAGAAGGAAUAGACUAUAUUGAAACCUUUAGUCCUGUGGUUCGCACUGCUACUAUAAGAGCUGUUCUUCAUGUUGCAGUAACAAAGAAAUGGGCCCUAAAACAACUUGAUGUUCAAAACGCCUUCUUGCAUGGUGAUUUGAAAGAAACAGUGUAUCUGCUCCAACCUCCAGGCUUCGUUGAUUCUGAGAAGCCAGACUAUGUGUGGAAGUUAAAGAAGGCUAUCUACGGCUUAAAGCAAGCGCCUAGAGCCUGGUUCGAUAAGUUCAGCUCAUUUCUUCUUGCGUAUGGUUUCAAAUGUAGCUUUCCCGAUCCUUCCUUGUUCAUUUACCAUCAGGGCUCAGAUGUUAUCUACCUCCUCCUGUAUGUAGAUGACAUGAUUCUCACAGGCAACAACAAUCAGCUUCUUGAAAAUCUGCUUUCUCAGCUGAACAGCGUCUUCAGAAUGAAGGAUAUGGGUCCGGUGCAUUACUUUCUGGGUAUUCAAGUCCAUCAUUACCUCGACGGUCUCUUCAUGAACCAAGAAAAAUAUGCUACUGAUCUUCUUGUUACUGCAGGCAUGUCAGAUUGUGCCCCUAUGCCUACUCCUCUCCCACUCAAAUUAGACAAAGUUCCUGGUCAAGACAUUCAGUUCUCUGAUCCGUCACACUUCAGGAGCUUAGCGGGCAAGUUACAGUACUUAACGCUCACCAGACCUGAUCUUCAGUUCUCGGUGAACUACAUAUGUCAACGGAUGCAUGCUCCAAGUCAAUCUGAUUAUACUCUUCUCAAGAGGAUCUUGCGUUAUGUUAAAGGAACUCUGCAGCUUGGUAUCACAAUUCGUGCAAACACGGAUUCUACACUCCUAUGUUACAGUGACAGCGAUUGGGCCGGCUGCAGAGAGACAAGACGUUCUACUGGCGGCUUCUGUACAAUGCUUGGGUCCAAUGUCAUCUCAUGGUCGGCUAAACGUCAUGAAACUAUCUCCAAAUCGUCAACUGAAGCUGAGUAUAGGACAAUGUCCAUUGCAGCUUCCGAGAUAGUAUGGCUUCAGAAUCUUCUUGCGGUAAUGGGACUGAAGCAGCAGCGAACUCCCUUACUUCUCUGUGACAAUCUCUCAGCUGUUUGCUUAACGGCUAAUCCCAUGUUCCAUAAACGGACAAAACACUUUGACUUAGACUAUCAUUAUGUUCGAGAACGUGUUGCUCUCAAAGCUCUCGAGGUCAAGCACAUACCAGCAUCCCUCCAGCUCGCUGAUGUGUUCACCAAGUCUCUAGGCCAAGACGCGUUCUUCAAGCUACGCAGCAAACUUGGAGUCUCCCUUCCUCCGAUUCCAAGUUUGAGGGGGGAUAUUAGACUAUGUGAGCCAAAGACUCUUUCUGGUGCAGAAGGUUUUAGACACACCAUUGGGCCGAGCUCACAAAUACACAAACAGAGUAGCAAGCCCACAUCACCUUCUGCACUAGCCGUUAACAAACAGUGUCGUCAUCAACGUACGAACAGGACAGCUCACGGUCGGAAGAUUACAGCACAAGACUUCUCUACCUUUAACAGAUUCCAUUGCUUAGAUGCUGAUGCUCUUGUAUGCUAACGUGAGCUUUAGGGUUUCUCUUACUUGUGUAUAUAAAGAGAUGAACGCAUUGUAUAGCCGCUUAAGUUGAAAGAAAUAAAAGUAAAGUAUUAUCUUCUUCUUCAUUGAUUCAUAGAGAUUCACAGACUUGACCCAAAGGUAUGGGUUUAGACAUCCUAGGAAUUGAGCCCUGGCACGUCACGAAGACGGGAACAUUAGCACGUCUCUGCAUCUGGUUGGAUACGAUAAGAGUGGCGGCACGUGCGGAUCCAGAGCUAACAAAGAGCACUAGGGUCAUGAUCGAUACCAUUAUAAGAGUGUCCAUGAGUUUUUAUUAUGUGGAAAAGAUGUGUUAUAGAAUGUAAAUAUAUAUCUUCUUUGGAAGUUUAUGUGUCUCUAUUUAUAUUAUCUGGCUUCAGUUUCUCAAAUUUUGAGCAUUAACAACAAUCACUACGUACGUUUAAGAAUUGAAAGGUGAUUAAUAAGUGAUUACGGUUACCAUUAGAAUUAAGAGACUCUAACAUUUAUUAGAGACAAUCUCGGUUUGGUACCUGUUCUGUGAUUGUUGCAAUUAGAGAGAGAUAAAAAAGAUUUCAGUGAUGUCAUCAUUAGUUUAUUUUUAUUUUUUGGAAAGAUGUGCUGCGACAUUUGGUGUGUAAUAUGUAUAAUGACAAAUCAAACCCAUUUUUUUAUUAUCAAAUACAAAUCAAACCUUUAUUCUUAAUAAGAAUGACCGACUGCAUAGUGUUAAGUGUGAAUAAAACGGUGUUUCACACAGCAUGUUCAAUAUAUACGAUUAAUCAACAGAAAAGCGAAGAGUAUUAUAGAGAAUAUGAUACUCUGUGACUUGACUGAAGGAAAAGGGGACUAUGGUGAGUGGUGAGGCAUGUCACGUCACCGUUGUCUAAUCCAUUUUCAGUUAACCAAAGGACCGUAAACAAAUAUUGGCCUUUUAUUAUGAAAUAUGGACCGUUUCACAUAUCUUCAGAAACCACCAUUGGCCCCUAUUGUUUUCUAUCGCCUCCCAAUUCACUCGGAGUUACUCUCCCCUUUCACCUCCUCCCUAAUAUAGGCGUCCCACUUUCAUGAUUCAUAAAGCUCCAUCAUUUCAUGAUUCAGUGGAGAGUAUGAGUGCUUGCAAGAUAUUUGAUCAAAAUGGUGCAUGGCUACGGAGAAGUAAGGGUUUUUGGUGUCGAGACAUUGAUCUAAAAAUUAUGUGAACCGAAAAGGGUACUUUCCACUUUCAAAACUGUAUUUGUUGUGUGUUACUUCGAAAUUUAGGAGAAACAAAGUCGUUAUUUCUCGAUCAUUUCUACGCUGGCUGGAAAGGAGUCUUCUCAGAUUUCAAGGAAGAGAAAAAGUCUAUUAGAUAGUGAAGGUAUAUGUGUGUCAAAAAAAAAAAAAAGAUAGUGAAGAUAUAUAUAUAUAUAUAUUUUGAUAAAAGAAGUGAAGAUAUAUUUUUGUAACCUUGGAUUAUAUUCAUCUGUAAAGUUCUUUAAUCCGUAUAAGUGCGUAAUGUUUAUGUACAUUGGUUAUAUUGUAAGUUUUGAAGGAAAUGAUAGAAGACUAAGUAAAUUGGUGACAAAACAGAGAAAGGUUUCUUAUACUAUCAUGAGAGAAGAAUCAAACCUUUCGCCGAUCCUUCAAAAAGUUCAUAGGACCCGUUGAUUUCCUGCAAGUGAAACUUUAGAAUUCGUUGCACCUUUAUUUUUGCUGAUUGUUAUAAUUCUAUCACAGAUGGUUCUUUGGACUCCUCUGUCAAACUCGUUAAGAACGUAACCUCCUAAAUCUGCUUAAACCAGUGAGAGUAUGAAACGUUCUUCUCUUAGAACAAUUGGAAGACAUGGGACGUUUUUCUUAAAAGCAGACAGAGAGUGGUCGGGAAAUUAUAGGGACUAGAAAAUUAGUGUUACAUAGAUCUCAGCUGAGCCAUAAGUAUAUAUCAUCGUUGUCUUCCAUGUUUGAAACUAACCAAGCGUUUCUUGUUUUAGCGAGACCUUUUACAUUUUUCAUUUUGAACAACGAUUGACAAAAAAAAUUAUAAAGUGUUUUGGUCAACUCUAGAUGUUUCUCUCGUUAUAAGUUUGCAGAGAUAUAUAUAUAUAUAUAUAUAUAUAUAUAUAUAUAUAUAUAAAUUUAUGAAUGUAUGGUCACGCUCAGAGAAUAUAAAAGAGCCAUCUGCAUUAUCGAACUGAAAUUUAUUUUGAUUAGUUAGUUAAGGAACUACAACAACCAGUUCGUAUUCGGUUAAGAAAUAUUCGGCUAGAAUAACUGACGAACUGUUGCACCAGUCGGAGUAGGAGUAGCAAGCUUUCCUUGCAUCCAAGUCUGAAGCAUUUGCAAAGAAGCCUUUGGCUGAUCCAUAGGAACCAUGUGUCCAGCAUCAUGAACCUGCCCCAAAAUUGAAACUAUCAAAAACAGGAAGAAGGAAGUCCACUUCAAUUGUAUUUACAUUAGUAAUAGGUUUGGUUCAUCGGCUUUAUUCGGUUUACCUUAAGAAAAGUGAGAGGACCGUGAUUCUUCAUUAGCCCAGCUUCCUUCCCAUCUACCAAGAACGGGACUCUCUUGGCUGAUCCAUACUCCUUCUGGUUUGACCAGUUUAGCUGAUCAACCCACCUGGAGUUGCCUGUAUAUACCAAAUAAAUUAUAUCAAUCAAUGCAAAUGAAACUGCACCCACGACCUUUUGUUCUGUUCCACGUUCAUAACCUAAGCCAUAACUAAAUUAAGAAACAUACGAUGAAUCUUAUUCUCACCAAGCCAGUUACAUAUGAUAUCGAAUUCUCCUGCAUAGACAAGGAGACUGAUUCCAUCUUCAAGAAGCCGUGGAAUCUUGUCAGCAAGAUUUACCAUCCAAUCAUUUAGCAUUGCUUUAUAAACUGUGGUACUACACGACACAAAGUCGAUGUUUCCAACUCCUAGAGCUUUGCGUACUUUCUUUUGGUUCAAAAAUGCUUCCAUUUUCGAAAAGUCAUAGCACAAGCUUCCAACACACUUUUUCCUUAAGUCAUAAAACUUCAAAAUAACCCAUAAUAUAUUUGUCAAAACUCAUAUAUAGAGAAAUGGUUCAGUUGGUGUGUUGUUCUGUAUAACUACGCUUACAUUUGUGCCUUCUAUUUUGGACAUUAUCUGGGUGAAUAUGUCGUUGCAAUCUACGAAAGCAUAACUACAUUCUUCACCACCAUUAAGGUCUGAAAUUGAUUUAAAAAAAAAAACAGAUUUUAGACUCGAAAAGUUUUUUUCCAAACCCAAAUCCAAAAAUAUUCGAAACAAAUAGAUUUUAUGGAAGUUACUGCAUUUUUUGAUGGAACUUUGACAAAAAACAUAGUCUUGCUUGAGACUCUCAUGAUCAGACUCAGAGAUCAACUUCAUUUCCAGGGCAUAAUCCCCAUAUGCACCAUAUUGAAUCUCCGGGUUGGUUAAACCGUUACCAAUCGCAAAACCCUAAUUUUAAACCGAGAUUAAACCAGAUGUUUGAUCAUUAAAGAAAAGCUAAUGAAAGACUUACCUUAAGGUUGAUUGGAAUCCCUUCCUUAUUCUUGUUUCCGUUGUGAACUCGUGAAGCCAAAGCAGGGACGUAGUGACCAGCAUAUGAUUCACCCGUGAUAUAGAAAUCAUUUUUUGCAUACUUCGGGUGUUCUUUGAAAAAGGCCUACAAAAAUUCAAAUAUAAAAAGCUCAAACCAUUACAAUUCGAAGAACAUUCAUUUUGAAAUGUUUGAACAACAGUCAGACCUGUAAGAAAUCGUAGAGAUCAUUGCUCACACCAGUCUCGUCGUGGCGAAGAUCGCUUUGGUCCGAUGUGUAACUGAAACCAGUCCCGACCGGUUGGUCCACGUAUAUUAGAUUGGAUACCUAUUGGAACAAAAGUAGUUGAGUAAUAAGAAUAUUGAAUGUUCCUUGAGUAACAAGAAAGAGUAGUUGAGUUAUAGUAAUUUUUUUAUAUUAAAUAUGUUUCUUUCGUAAGAAGAUAUAAGCUUUUCCUAUCUAAACUAAACCAACCAAACAACUAACCUUGUCCCAACCAAAAUCGUUCCAAGAAAGAGAGAGAUCAUCCGAUAUUGUGAACGGACCGUUCUCAUAGAACAGAGCCACACUGCUACUACAACCCGGUCCACCAGAUAACCAAAUCACAACCGGAUCGGUGUUGUUGGUCCGUGACUCAAAGAAGAAAUAGAACAUCCUGUUAGAAAACAACAUGCACCCCAAAACCAAAACAAAAUCAAUUGGUCUACUUAAAACACAAGGAAUUAAACCGGAUUAAGUUUUAACGUGUUUAAAAUAUUACUUAGCUGAUUUAGUAUGAGUGAGGCUGUAGUAACCGCCAUAGUGGCCGAAUUGUUGGACAGAAGGACCACCUAUAGUGUUUCUUAUACCGAUGGUUUCCGGAAAAUUGAUUUGGCUUUCAAUGAGUCGGGGAACAUCAGGGCUUCCCUUUGCGAUGACAUUGACGUCAUGGUCAGGCAUUAGAUUGAAGGACUUGAUCAGCCUCUCCGCAUUACGGCUCACUAAACUUGCAGACGAUGAGCAGUUUGAGGGUUUGUUUAGGAUCCUUGAGGAAGUUGAGUGAGAAAAAUGAGAGAAAAUGACAAUAAAGAGGAUAAAAUGGAGAAGAAAUGAUUUCGCUUCCAUCUUUUCCUUAGUGGUUUGUUAGAGAGUUUGAGGUUUUGGUGUGGAAAGAGAAGUAUUUAUAGAGUUGGCAUGCGUUGUAUUUAAUUUAUUUAUAACCAAUUAGUCGUGUCAAGAAAAGAUAAAUGGAAGAUAUUUUUCUAAAAUAUUUCUAGAUAUUUUAUAUUACUUUGUUAACUUGAUAUGUUUCCUAAGUUUAGGGAUGUGGAAUAUUAAGAAAACAAAAUCCUAGUAAUACAAAAAAGCAUUCUCUACAAAAAAGAAAAAAUCAAAGGAAUUUCUCCAAUAUCACAAAAAUCCAAAUUAACCCAUAUCAGUCUGUAGUAACUAAAUUGCUAGACCAACACGUGUACGCUGACAAUCGCCGAUAAUCCUCAAUUGCUGGCUGCCGUUAAAUUCUAACCCUUUACGAAGUCAAGCCAGAGUAAUUAGAGUAAAACAAAUACUCCACUAUAGAGCCUAAGUGACGUCUAAUUAUCGCGAAAAAUAGAUACAUUGUAUAUACGUUUAUUAUUCUUUAAUUACUUCGUUAUAGAACCUAUAAGAUAAUGUAUGGUGUUGAGAGAAUCUACCGCAUAAUUUAUACAAUUAUCACUGAUGAUUGAUACCCUUAGAAGAACCUAAAAAAAAAUUAAAAGAAUUUAUACACUUAGCAUUGAUGAUUAAUUGUAUUCUUUAAAAUUGAAAUAUUUUGAAAAUAUAAUAAUAUCAUUAUUAAGUUUUAUUUAUUAACAAUAUAUAUAAAUAAAUACAUAUAAAAUUUUGGGACAAUUUUCUAUUUUUAUUUCCAAAAACUCAUUUAAAAUAAAUUUAUUGAUUAAAUAACUAUAAAUAUCCAGUAAAUGAUAAUAAGUACUAGUAAUUUAGUUUGUUAACUGUAUGCAUGUAAAAACAUUUGUAAGAAAUAAGUAAAACCGAAAAAUAACUUUUGAUAUGGUAUUACAUAUGAAGACUCAUUACCAGUUAACACAUAACUCAUCAUCUUUAAACUUUAACCAACUGGAAUGAUUGAUCCUCAUCUAAGUUUCCCCUUAAAUUAUUUUUAUAGCCAUUGGCCCCAAGCUAAUAAUUCAUUGGCUUGUACUCCAAACUGGCUAUGUUGUUAACGUCUUCUCAUAUAAUAUUUGAACUGUUUUAUUUAUUUUCUCGCUUAAGGUCUAUUACAUCGCUCUAAUUUAUACACUUAGGAAUCUAGGUUAAAUGAUGUGUCAUCGUCCUUAUCUUUUAGCAUAGAGAACUUAUUAGCCGUUGCUGUAUGAUGAGCUGUUGAUGAGGUUGCAAUGCCUUUUACGGAUUGCUUUUCCUUUCCGUUGAGCUCCGUACGGACGUUGUUUUGUUCUCUUGUUCAGGUUGUUCUUGAACUGCUGGAGUGGGCUGAAUCCUUACUGGGUUGUGUAGUCUUAGGCUUUCAUAUGAGUGUUGGUUUUGAGUUGGAUUUGGACCGUAAACAAAUAUUGGCCUUUUAUUAUGAAAUAUGGACCGUUUCACAUAUCUUCAGAAACCACCAUUGGCCCCUAUUGUUUUCUAUCGCCUCCCAAUUCACUCGGAGUUACUCUCCCCUUUCACCUCCUCCCUAAUAUAGGCGUCCCACUUUCAUGAUUCAUAAAGCUCCAUCAUUUCAUGAUUCAGUGGAGAGUAUGAGUGCUUGCAAGAUAUUUGAUCAAAAUGGUGCAUGGCUACGGAGAAGUAAGGGUUUUUGGUGUCGAGACAUUGAUCUAAAAAUUAUGUGAACCGAAAAGGGUACUUUCCACCUUCAAAACUGUAUUUGUUGUGUGUUACUUCGAAGUUUAGGAGAAACAAAGGCGAUUGGAAGCCAAUGAAGCAUGGAAUUCGGGCUUUCAUAUAUUAAAUAUAAUAUCGGCCAAAAAUUUGACAAAAGUGACUUUAGUCUAGUAGUCAAAUUUCUCUAAAUUCUGUAAGACAUGAAUGGUUCAAACCUAACCAGACACAUUAUUGUUUUUGGCUUGUGGUCUCAACAAAAUAUGGACCAGCUCUACUUUUAGCAUAGAGAACUUAUUACCAUUUCUUGUUAUCCAAGAAAAUGAGAUUUCAUCGGAAAAACUAGACGUUUGGAAGAUAUUCAUUAUACAUUUUCCUCAUUUCUUUGUACUCAUUUCCUCCAAUACAUGAGAAACAUGAAACAACAUGAAACUCUUUCUUUUCAUUUCUUUCCAUGCUCUCAUGUUACUUGAAGCAUUGGGGGAUACCCAUGAAACUGAUAAGCAAGCAUUACUCAAGUUCAAGUCUCAAGUUUCCGAGGAGAAAAAGUUUUGCUGUCUCCAUGGAACAACUCGUCCCCUCUCUGCAGAUGGGCAGGGGUUACAUGUGGCCGCAAAAACAAGAGAGUUACUCGUUUGGACCUCAGAGGCUUUCAGUUGGGUGGAGUGAUAUCGCCAUUUAUUGGUAAUCUUUCAUUUCUCACAUCAGUUGAUGUCACUGAUAUCUCUUUUGGUGGAAACAUCCCUCGAGAGCUGGUUAACUUGUUUAGACUUUAGCACUUGAAUAUGAGCUUCAACAUUUUGGAGGGGGGAUUCCAGCCAGUCUGUUCAACUGUUCUAAAUUGGUGGACCUUGAUUUAUAUUCAAAUCAUCUUGGACAAGGUACUCCUUCGGAACUGAGAUCAUUGAUGAAGCUUGAUAGACUUUGCUAAAAACAAUUCAAUAGAUUUUCAGACAAAUCUAAUACUUGUAGGCCUAUGAGAUUCCCAAUGCCAUGAGGAAUGCUUCCAGAUGCUUCCAGAUAUGAAAUUAUUUUGAAGAGCUACACUAGUGAGGCUCAUUGACAGAUUGGAAAUGGAGACAUGCAAGUCACCCUCGAGAUUAUUGAAUCCCUACUAUUUGCAGUUGGGAGCAGUUAGUCAAAUCUAAUACUUGUAGGCCUAUGAGAUUCCCAAUGCCAUGAGGAAUGCUUCCAGAUGCUUCCAGAUAUGAAAUUAUUUUGAAGAGCUACACUAGUGAGGCUCAUUGACAGAUUGGAAAUGGAGACAUGCAAGUCACCCUCGAGAUUAUUGAAUCCCUACUAUUUGCAGUUGGGAGCAGUUAGUCAAAGCAACAAGAAAUUCAAGAUCUCCCGCUGAAAAAAUUCCCAAAGAAUUUUCAGUAAGGCUUAAUCUUUACAAAUAUCAUAGUUUUGCGAAGCUCAGAGGAAUACUUCCAGUCAGGUUGUUAAGCUCCAUGCCCAGAUACUGAAGAGUUGAAAUAUUUCCAAGUGUUGGUGGAAUGGCUCCUGUGAGAAAAUUAUUUUCCAUAGCCCAUCGUUCAAUGUUUGGUAGCAAGUUACCAAAAUCUGGCCUCAAGUUCCAAGAGAAAUAAUUACCAAACAAGCUCAAAUACCAAAGGGAGGACAAAUUGUAAAUUGCAGGAGGACAAAUUGUUUGUUGAUAACAAGAAUAACUCUAUUUGAGUCAAUAUAGCUAUAGCCUCAAGAAUUCCUCCUUCCGGAUUGUUUUCAUAAACCAAUCCCAGCCUAUUUUGGGAAACUUUCAGGCUUGGUGGGAUAUAAUGCCUAUUCAAACAAAAUGUCGGGAGAGAUACCACAUUCUUUAGGCAACAUCACUCGGUUAGAAACACUCCAAUUGUCAGACAAUAGUUUUGAAGGAAUCAUUCCUCCAAGUCUUGGUAAAUGUGGUAAAUGUAGCUAUUUGCUAAAUUUACAUAUCCAGAAUAAUAAGCUCACUGGUAUUAUACUUGAGGAGAUUGUGCAAAUUUCAAUCAUUGUUUUCCUAAACAUGUCAAAUAAUUUACUGACUGGCUCUCUACCAGAAGAUGUUGGACGACUUGAAAAUCUUGGUAUGUUAAAUGUUGCUCACAAUAAGCUAUCAGGGAAACUCCCAAAGACUUUGGGUAGAAAUUAUUUUCCUUGUAUCAUUUCAUUUUUUAAUUAAAUUUUUGCUAAUGUUUUUCUCAUUUUUUACAUAUUUUUUCCCAAAUAUUUAUUUAUCCCUUUAAAUAGUAAGACAAACCAUAUAAUCAGUGAACCAAAAAUCCAUCUUAGAUUUUUUUUUCAAUCAUACCAUUACCUCAUUCAUUAUAUUAUUUGAUUUAAAUGAAAAAUAUAUUUUUUAAAUUCAAGUUCUCAAAUGUUCUGUUAAAUAUAAACCAUCCAAUCAAAGGCUAAUUAUUUAUAAAGCAUAUAUUGACAUUAUAAGAGAUUUAUAAGUAUUAUAGAUCAUAAAACUAUAUCUUUAUAUGAAUAUGCAAUCAUUAUAUUUAUUUUUAUUAAUUAUUUUCUAUCAAUUAUUUUAUGUAGUAUAUAAAUAGAAAAAGAACUGAUCAAACAUUAUUACAUUUCAUAUAAUUUUGAAAAUUAGCUACCAUAAAUUAUUAUUUGUAAUAUCAUUUAGGUUAUUUGGCAAGUGAUAAUAAUUAGUUUUAGAUUCACUUUUUAUUUUAGAUCUAAUUAAAAUAAUUAAAAUUAUAAAAAGUUUCGUUCAUUAUAUUAUGUAGUUUAUAAAUAUAAAAAAGAAUUAAACAAACGUUAUUAUUUUUUAUAUAAUUUCAACAAUUAGUUACCAUAAAUUAUUAUUUUAAUAUAAUUUAGAAUAUUUUGAAAACGAUAUUAAUUGGUUCUAUAUUUAUUUUAUUUUUAAUCUAGAUUUAAAUUAAAAAUUAAAAAUUAUCGACCAAACAAAUUAUAACAAUUUUGUUAAAACUUCACAAAUAAUCAUGUAAGGAAAAAUCAGUUAAGUGACUUUUCGUUGUUUAAUGUAUAGAAGGAUUUCUAUUUAUAUGAGACUUACUAUUUCAAGUAUACAUAUAUAGUACUUAGAGACCUUAUUAGUUAGCAGUAUUUGUUUAGCUAGAUAGUAUUGACUAUUGCGAGACCGUAUUAAUUAAUAGUAUAUGUUGAGUUGCUACAUUGUGUAUGAAAGUCACCACCUUUAUCAGUGUCUCCUGCGGCUAAGAGAAAUAGAUUGAUGGAAAUACAGAUACUGUUUCUAUGUUCCAGUUGACACAUUCCCAUGCCAGAUAUUGUUACAUCCAAAACCCUCCGAAUAUAAAAAGGAAACCACAACACUAGUUAUAUAACUUUUGAAUUAGGUUCCUGUUCGUAAUCGCGCUAGGUGCUAGUCGUGCACUCGAGCCAGGCCUAGCGCCUUGACGAAAAAUCGGAGAUUAAUUGGGGAGUACGCGGGGCAUUUAAUUUAAUUUUUUAAAUUAAAUAUAAUAUGUAAAUAUAUAUUAUAAUGUGAUAAUCUAUGUAUAUUGAAAUUCAUAUUAACAUUUAAAUUAACUAAAUCCCAUGUUAAGGACUUUAGUUUUAAAAAUUCAAAUCCAUAAAUUAAAAUGAUUUCACUGUCGAACCUAUCGUAGAAAUACAUAGUCAUUAGAAUCACCUAUCUAAGAUUUAUCAAAAUGUUUAUAUCAUGUACAAGAAAAGAGACAAUACAGUCUGUAGCAUAUACUGCAUUAUCAAUUUAUUUUGUAUAGAAAAAUUCAACAAUAAAAAACGAUUAAAAUAAGAAAAAGAUGCGCUGAAGUUAAAAAAACAAGAGUUCUAACUACAUCCCACAUCGGAAAGCAAAAUAAGAAGAAACAUGUCAAAUUAUCUAUAAAUAUAGAUGUUUCUGCUUCGCUUCAGUUUCAAGGUGGGCUUCCACAAAAGCCCUGUCAAAAGUGUUAAAAUUAAUCGGGAAAAAUCGGUUAAAAAUCGUUAAAACCCCGAUUAAUUAACUUAGGCGGCCGGUUUAUUGUGGUCCGAUUAGUUGACCCGAUUUGGUCCAAAUCGCCACGGUACUCGUGCGCCGAGCGCCUGGGCAGCCGAGUUUUCGGCUAGGCAGCCGCGUUUUCGAACAGGGGGUUUACCACAUCGCUACUAAACAAAAGCACAUAUGCAUAGGCUCAGUGAGGCCCAUAAUAUUUGGUUUGGUAGGGUUGGUGAACUUUAUGUCCACAACCCGUUUCGUCUCAACUAAAGAGAACCAAAAAAAAACAACUGUAUCAAGAGGAACUGAAAAAAUGGAAAAUUUUCAAAUAUUACAAUCUGUAAGCUAUUUAGAACUAAAAUUAUGUAUGGAAAACUAACUUUUCAUCUUUUCCUAAAUUAAGAUGCUGGAAUUCACUUUUCUUCAAAAAUGAAAAAGGAACCUUAACUUUCUUGUAAUGUUUUUAACUUUUUAACGAAAACAUAAAAUAUGUGCUGAAUGUAGUUUUUGGGUAUAAAGUGCGUGGAUUUGUUAAGUUUACACUUUCUUAACUAUAUGAUAUUGGUAAAAAAAAAACUAUAGAACAAUAUCAGAGGUCAUUUAUAUAACACCACUCAUCAUCAUCAUCAUAAAGCCCAUUUAAACCGAACUACUAUAAAUAGAAUGAAAGGUCUAGUCCUUCUCUCUUUCCUUCCGACUCUGGUCUCCGUCUACUUUCCUUCUCCCCACUACUUCCUCACUAAACCGAGUCACCAUGAGUAAGGUAACCGAGUCAAACCGCAGCUACCCUUUACAGCAGCCUCGAAUCUUCUCUCUCGACUUUAUCAGUUUAAUUAUACUGCAGAUCAUAUUUAUUGGGUUUAAAUUGCGCACUCUGUUUUGUCUCUGAACAGAACAACAACAAAAGAGAUGGCAGCGGUGAGAAGAAGACGGCGUCUAUCACCGUCGUUUUGAAGGUCGACAUGCAUUGCGAUGGUUGCGCUUCAAAACUCGUUAAAUCCGUUCGUGCUAUCCAAGGUUUGAUUUUCGUAUGAACAAAUCGAACGUUACCGUCCUUUUUACUCGGAACCUAUACUGGGUCAUUUAAAAAUCCCUACUUUAAUUGAAAAAUAACAAUAACGUGUAAUAAUAUCUCUCAGGCGUUGAGACGGUGAAAGCAGAGUCAGAGACUGGUAAAGUAACGGUGACCGGAGAUGUAGAUCCGGCUAAACUCCGGGAGCAACUUGAAGUGAAGAUAAAGAAGAAAGUCGAGUUGGUUUCUCCUCAGCCCAAUAAGGAGAAAGACAACAACAAGGACAGUAAGGACAAGAACAAAGAAAAGAAGUCAAAGGAGAAGAAACCUAAAGAGGUAAAGCUUUGAACUUUACUUAACCGUUCGUAUUAUUACAAAACCAAGAAUCUGAUUCUAAAAGUCUGUGUUAGGCUCCGGUUACAACGGCGGUACUGAAGGUGGACUUCCACCGUGAACGGUGUAUUGAGAAGAUUCAAAAGACUGUCUCUAAAACCAAAGGUUUGAAGAGAGAGAGACACAACAAAACCAAUGAGUUCUGUCAGCGUUUUCAAAACGCUGUUUUUAGUUUAAAACGCUGACGACGUUUUAUUUUUUGGUUUUUUGCAACGGCAGGUGUGAGUGGCUUCUCAAUAGAUCACGAGAAGCAGUUGGUGACGGUUAAAGGAACAAUGGACGUGAAAAAGCUCGUCAGGAGUUUGACUGAGAAGCUAAAACGUAGCGUGGAGAUUGUGGCGACGGCCAAGAAUGGUAACGCAAAAGAGAAACAGUACGUGGCGGCUCAGCCUGCUCACGGGUCUGCGUAUUUUCCGGGUGAGGAUGGAGAUACGAUUGAAUACUUAGCACCUCAGAUUUUCAGCGAUGAUAAUCCGAAUGCUUGCGUCGUUAUGUGAAGCGGCGGAAGAACAUUGACGGGUAGUAGAAUAGACUGUAAAUAUGCGCUUAAGAUUUUUAAGGUACUUAUUGAAUAUUUAAAUACUUCUUUUCAGAUAUAAUUUCAAAAUAAAUAUAGAAUUGAAUAUUUUUAGUACAUAUUAAUGUGAUCUUUUAUUUAUGCCUCUGAAGAUGAUGUUUCUCAGGUCAUCGAACAAAAGUUUAAUCCUAUCUGUUGGACCGCGCAUAUCUUUGGAUUUGUUGGACGACUAUAUGAUGAAACAAAAGUUUACUAGGGAUCAUCUUCGCUUACUGAUCAAUACAUAAACCAUUUUCAAUCUAUUUGAUUGAUACAAACAUCGCCUUGAACUAGUGAACAACGAUCAUUGCUUCUCAAAAGUUUACAUACAAGUAUACAUAAUAUAACACCUUCUCAAAAGUUUAAAUUUUUUUCUUUUUUAAAUCUUAAUAAAAUUAAAGAAUGAAAAGAGAAAGACAUGCAGGAGUCAAUGAUUUCCCCCUUUUGCCUUUUACCUUUCUUCAUCUUCACAUUUUUCCUCUACUUUUGUACUUUUGUGAAAUUUAUAUUUGAUUCUAUUUCUUUCUCAACACUAAUUUCCAAAUUUUUUUUUUUUAAGAAUGGGUGGACGAUUGAUAAGGACGAGAACUUUCCUCUUCAUUUGAAAAAAACAUUUCACACCUUCAAAUGUCAUACCAAACAUAUACAUACAUAAUGGGGCUGGUAUAAGAAAGACAGUGGGGCUUCCACUUUCACCUAUGGAUCUUUACCUACAAACAUUGGGCCUUCAAUUCAACAAGCCUAAAUAAAAGCCCAUAUAAAAAAACGCACCAUAUUCGCAUAUUCGCGACCGACCAGAUGUGGGGAGUUGGUGUUAGAUUCCAAUACGCAAACUAAAAAAAAGUCUUGCAGCUAAACACAGUCUUGUCGUACACGUGGCACUCACCCUCUUAUAAAUAAAAAAAACACGAUUCUUUCCUUCCGCCUCCCUCGACAGAAACCACUUCUCUCAUUAACCCUAAUUCACACACCUUUGCAUCUGCGAAACUCGAUCUCCAGAUCUCUCCAAGCUCCCAAUCUCCAACAGGUAAAAAUCCAUUAUUUACAAAUCAUCCUCAAUUGUUUGAUUUCGAUCUGUAUCAUCCUCAAUUGUUUGAUUUCGAAUUUCAGAGAGAUUCGAAAGAUGGUGUCCGACGCUAGCAAGAAGAAGGCUCUCCAGAAGAAAGCCGCCGCCGCCGCCAAAAGAGGCGGUAAAGCAGCCGCCGCUAAAGCCGCCGCCUCUUCUUCAAACGGAGCUGAUAGCUUGUCGAGCGGCGUCGACGCUCUUCAGAUAUCCGACCGGACCUGUACCGGAAUCCUCUGCUCUCAUCCUCAGUCCAGAGACAUUCGUGUAAGUCUUUUUUUGAAGUUAGAUUUUUUUGAAGUUAGAGACGAACUCGUGUGAAUCAGUUAGAUUGAUUCUUUGUUUUGUUUUGUUUUGUUUUGAUUGCAGAUUGAAUCUCUGUCUGUUACGUUUCAUGGUUACGACCUGAUUGUUGAUUCGAUGCUGGAGCUUAACUACGGGAGACGUUACGGUCUUCUCGGGCUGAAUGGUUGUGGAAAGUCUACUCUUUUAACCGCUAUUGGACUCAGAGAGCUUCCGAUUCCUGAUCACAUGGACAUCUACCAUCUCUCCCACGAGAUUGAAGCCACCGACAUGACAUCUCUCGAGGCUGUGAUGAGCUGUGACGAGGAGAGGUUGAAGCUGGAGAAGGAGAUCGAGACUCUUGUUGAGCAGGUUUUGUAUAAAAACUCGAUUCUUGAUUUUGGUGUGUGUUGUGUUUGGAUGCUGAUUUUAGUUUUUAUUGGCAACAGGAUGAUGGAGGCGGAGAGCGUCUUGACACAAUCUACGAGCGGUUAGAAGCCAUGGAUGCUUCGACGGCGGAGAAGCGUGCUGCUGAGAUUCUGUUUGGUCUUGGUUUCGACAAGGAGAUGCAGGCUAAGAAGACUAAGGACUUUUCUGGUGGGUGGAGGAUGAGAAUUGCGUUGGCGAGAGCUCUCUUCAUUAUGCCAACUAUCCUUUUGCUUGAUGAGCCCACUAAUCAUUUAGGUACGUUCUUACUUGCUUUGAUUGGUUUCUGUUUUGUUUUUCAUUAGUAUAUAUACUCCCUAAGUGUAGUUUUAGACUUUAAAAUCCAUUUCAUUUUAAGGUUUUAUUCUAUAAUUUUUGUACUUCUAUCUAUCCCUACUUUUUAGCUCAUUAAUUAGUAAAAUAAAAAAUAUUAACUAGUGGUAUAGUAAAAUAUAUAAUGAAUUUUUAAUGAGUGAAGAAAUUUUUAACUACAUUAUAAGGGUUUGAUCUUAUAACUUUUCAACUUAUAUCCCUACUUUUUAGCUCAUUAAUUAGUAAAAUAAAAAAAUGUUAAUUAGUGGUAUAGUAAAAUAUUUAAUAAUUUUCUUAAUGUAUGAAGAGAUUUUAAACUAUAUAUAAAAUGAAAGAGGUAGAGUAUAUUUUUAUUUUUAUUUUUGUGCUGAAUCUUAUUUCUCUCUUGCAACAGAUUUGGAAGCUUGUGUCUGGUUAGAGGAGAGCCUGAAGAACUUCGACCGUAUCCUCGUCGUGGUCUCCCACUCGCAGGAUUUCUUGAACGGAGUGUGUACCAACAUCAUCCACAUGCAAAGCAAGCAGCUCAAGUACUACACCGGUAACUUCGACCAGUACUGCCAGACACGUUCCGAGCUAGAGGAGAAUCAGAUGAAACAGUACAGAUGGGAGCAGGAGCAGAUCUCCCACAUGAAGGAGUACAUCGCCAGGUUCGGUCACGGUUCAGCCAAACUAGCUCGUCAAGCGCAGAGUAAGGAGAAGACUUUGGCCAAGAUGGAGAGAGGUGGACUCACGGAGAAGGUGGCGAGAGACAGUGUCCUCGUUUUCCGUUUUGCUGAUGUUGGGAAGCUUCCACCUCCAGUGCUUCAGUUUGUGGAAGUCUCGUUUGGGUACACUCCGGACUACCUUAUAUACAAGAACCUCGACUUUGGUGUUGACUUGGACUCUAGGGUGGCACUUGUGGGACCCAACGGAGCUGGGAAGAGUACUCUCUUGAAGCUCAUGACUGGUGAGCUGCAUCCAACUGAAGGAAUGGUGAGGCGUCACAACCACUUGAAGAUUGCUCAGUACCAUCAGCAUCUAGCUGAGAAGCUGGACCUUGAAGUGCCUGCGCUUAUCUACAUGAUGAACGAGUUUCCGGGUAACGAAGAGGAGAAGAUGAGAGCUGCUAUUGGUAGGUUCGGUCUGACCGGUAAGGCGCAAGUGAUGCCGAUGAAGAAUCUAUCUGAUGGACAGAGGAGCCGUGUGAUAUUCGCGUGGCUGGCUUAUAAGCAGCCUAACAUGCUUUUACUGGAUGAGCCUACUAACCAUCUGGAUAUUGAGACGAUCGACUCUCUUGCCGAGGCGUUGAACGAGUGGGAUGGUGGUUUGGUUCUUGUGAGUCACGACUUCAGGUUGAUUAACCAAGUGGCUCAUGAGAUAUGGGUGUGUGAGAAGCAGUGCAUCACGAAAUGGAAUGGUGAUAUUAUGGACUUCAAGAAGCAUCUCAAGGCUAAAGCUGGGCUUGAAGACUGAAGAUAAAGUCAAGUCAGAAGACUUGGUUGGGUCACAGGGCUAUAGAGAGUGAGAGGGAUUUUGUUUGGUGAUGGUUUUGAAGCCAACACGUUAAAGAGAGAGGGAGACACCAUACUCGUAAUCUCUGCACUUCUUGCUCAUUUAAGAGGUCAGUGAUUCUUCUAUAUUAGUACUAUAAACAUCAAUCUGCACUUUUAUUUUUAUUGUUUUGACGUUUUUGGAGGAGAGACAGAUAUGAAAAACGAAAUAUUUUGGUUGUAUUGUAGGAUUUUUUUUUUAAUUAUUAAAAGACUCAGAUGUUGACGAUUAUGGUAUUAUUUAAUAUUAUCAAAGUUAAGAAAAACAUCGCAUCAGUUCCAAAGCUAUUGCAAGGGAGACGCAGAGGUGUGAUUGUGGUGUUUAUCAAAUAGUAUUGAAUAUUGAUUACAGUUUAGCCGAGGCAGAGGUCAGAGCUUGUAAUAGGUUCAAUCCAAAAAACAUUACUAAAAUUAAUCGAAACCUUCAAAAUAUAAAACAUGCUUGUUUGCUAAAAAAUCAAAUGGAUAAUGGACGUAGAUAUAGGAGAGAUUAACUAAAAUAGGAAUGAGUUUCUUCUCAAGGGAAAUUAAAACGAAACAUAUUUUGAGCUGUGAUAUAUGCUUGUUUGGCUUAUCACUCGCUGUGGACCACUGAUGGAUAAUGGCUACAACAUCAAGCACUUCCCUCGUUACCUCAUCUUCCUUACACUAACCGGUAUCUUGAGCCGCUGUGCAGCGUUCUUUUGCAUGGUAACUUUCCAGAAGAAGUAGCUUUAAGCUCCUUCUAUGCAUGUAAAACUAUACUGGACUAAUCAAUAGAGAACAUAGACAAACCACAAAGGUUUUACAAGAAGAAAGAAUACAUCAAUUGCUGAAGAUCAUGGCCUGGUACAAUGUUCAUAGGUAGUUCCAUCGUCAGAGUUCAAGAUUUUCUUAUCUGUAAUUCUUCAUGUUGUACAUCUUUCUAUUGUCUUAUAGAUAUAACGUAGAUCAUCAUCGUGUUGCAACUUGCUAUCAAUUAUGUUUUAUACACCAAGUAAAAAUGUAGAAGUACAUAGAAGAACCAAUGAGAAAACCUUCAAGAACUUCCAUUACUUUCUUGGCUUAAAAGUUAAUAACAAUGGUAAUUUGUUUUACUUUCAUCACCUAGAAUUUCAUAUUUCCAAAUGAGAUGACAUCAUUUGAUACAAAUUAUCAUUAUUAGUCUGGUACUAUACAGUGUGGAGAAGCAUUUAUUUAAGAACAAGGUAGAUCAGAAUGUAUUGAUUGUUUUUUGUUUAUAACAAAAAAAAGUAUGUAAAAGUUAAAUGAUUAUCCAAUUAAAAUAUUUUUUUUUGCUUACACAUUAAUCCUACAACUAGAUAUGCAAAUUGUUACGUAAUGAUUAGUGAGCCAAAAUCAUAAUCUCCCUUGUACUCAAACAACAAAUCAUAGCAGAAACCCAAAUAUGAAAUAUUUUAUAAUAAUGAAAUUAUUAUUAAAAAUUAAAAACCCACUACCCACCACUCUCUCUCAAGGACGGUUAAGAGCAUCAGCUACGAAAACUGCUUCUCGUCUUCCUUCACCAAACCCUCACAAUCGGUCGCUCUCUUCUUCAUCUUGAAGCCUAAGCCAAUCUAUACCUCAAUAUGUCCCAUUCUUCUUCUAUUAACCUCCUUCAUUACCAUUACCUCCCUCCUUGUCUAAAUCACUCUUCCUUCCGGUUUUGCGUCACUGCUCCAUCUUCAUCUCGUUGGUCUAGUCCCGACGACGACAUCUGCUCCAUCAUGGCCAUGCCCACCACAACUCUCCCUGGCUCCAUGUCUCCCUUCAAUGUCCCUCAUAGUGUUGUGAGUUUUUAUUUUGUUCCAUUCUUCGUCUUGUCAUUUUAAAUGUCAAAUUAAUGGAUUGUUUGCAUACAGCUCGAAAUGUAUAUGAAUCUUAAAUCUAAUAACUAGCUUAUGAAACCUCGAACCAAUGGAGUUUGUAUAAACCCUCAUAACCCUCUUUUCACAUAUAAAAGUACCUAAUACGUGUGUUUUAUGCUACGAAUAUGAAUUGAUUUUAGCGUUCAUUCACAUGAAUCUGAUCAUCAGUCUGUUUCUGCAUGAUUCUAUUGUUGUAUGAAUCGAUGCUUUCACUUAUUGGAUUUUUUCCUGUGAAACUUUGAUGUGUAUAGAGGACGAAAAGGCCAAAUGGGCAGCAGAAAAAGGAAGAAAUGGAGAAAGAGGUAUGGAAGUCCAUUUUAAAGCUACUUACCUAUUUAGGUGUAUAUCUAGGCAAACACCAAGGGAUGUUGUUAUAAAUCGACAUGCUAAUAUAUACAUAGAGCAGAGUUUUAAUAUAGGUAUCCAAUCUAAGUUUUAUGUUCAAUAUAUCUUUUGGCAUUAUCUAAAUUAGUCAAUGCAUGUUAUUAUCAUUAACAAACAGAAAUCACAUAAUAUGAUACUUCUGCAAUUGUGAAAUUGUAGACUAAAUAAUAAAAAUUAUCAUUUAUAUUUGUCAAAUUGUAGGCUAAUAUGUGGUAAAUAAUAGAAGGUUUAAUAAUUGUUAGGUGUAUAUGUUACGGGAGAUGCUUGAUCAAGAAGAGAAGACACGUGAGAUCUUGGAGAGAGUCCAAAAACAUCAGCUUCCUUCAUCUUCUUCUGUUGCCCUUCCUGCUUCUCUCCCUCCCAAGGUAACUAUUAUACCUUUGUACAUGCUUCUCCAUAUCCCUUUGUAAAUACGCGUGGAAGAGUAAGUAAAGUUUCUAAGUUUGGAUAGAGUGAAAAAGCAGCAAAACUAAAAUAUAUGAAUGUGAUGAUAAAUAACGAUCAUACACGUAUUUAUGGUAACGUUGCUUUUAAACCAAGGCUUUAGGUCAACCAUAAAUGCAAUUAUUAAUUAAUAGUUCUCUAAAUCAAACAAAAUUGCUAGAUCACCUUACGGCCGGGACAAAAGGCAUAAUCAUAAGCAAAUAUACAAAGAGUUAAAAAAAAAAUACAAACUUCCGUUACAUGUUGCGAAGCUAUUCUAUGCAAUCAAGGCCCUUUCUAGUUUAGUAUAAUUACAUACUAUUUUCUAACAGGCAAUCACCUGCUAAUUAGCUUUCUGCUACAUGAUAGUCAAACUGAUGUAAUUAUCGUUCAAAAUCUAAAUUGAUUUUUCCUUGUUUUUAGUAAUUGAUGUUUCGAUUAUUUUGAUAAUGCUUUAUUAUUAUAUUCAUAAUUUUCUCAAUAACUUCAAAAAUUAGGGAAAUAGUUAUUAUAUAUGUAAAUAGAGCCAAGCUUCAAAAAUGAUUCACUUGCUUCUGAAGCGGUAAACUUUUCAUUUGCUAUGAGAGAAAUAAGACCAUGACAUUUAUUUAGCAGUAAAAAAGUUUAAAUAAGUUACCUAACACUAUUUUUUAAUGCAGAUGAAGGAACUAAUAACGGAACUUUCGAUAGUGGAAGGGGAAAUCUCAAGACUAGAGGUUCAGAUAAGCCAUCUCCAGAUAAAUCUCAAGGAAGAACAAGAUGAAACUUUGAGACAAGCAACAACAAGUUCAUCAAGAAGAACAUGGCAAGCUAGUGAGAGUGACAAUAAUGACUCUAUAACCUCUCAUCAAGCUCUGCCAAAGUACUCUAAUUUGCCACCUCCAAGCCCUAUGGUGGAUCAAUGCAUGAUGAAGAAUGGAAACAACAACACCAAAUCUUCUACUAAUCAUCGUCAAGAGAAUGCAACAUUUGAAACAAAGACUUUGCAUUUCAUCAACAAAGCCAUCAAAGGUGAUUACGUGACCCAAAGCUUCCACAAAUCUAAUGAGAAAGUUGGAUUAGUCAAGAAGGAAAAUCCUCGGUCAGUUCAACAAGAAAAUAAGUUGCAAGAGAAUACUAAUAUGAAGAAGAUGCUUAGGAGGAUGAAAUCGCCUUCUCCUCUACGUGAACCUAGAUACUCCUCUCCCAAGGUACGUAAUUUGUAUAAUACUUAUCAUGCAUCAUUCACUUCGUUCAAUUUACUCAUACAAUUUAUAGUUAAUUAUGAUUUUUUGUAGACUAAUAAGGAUCGUGUAGCACUUGAUACAUCACUAGACCUCCCACCAAAAUCUCUAUCAAGCACAAUUUUAAUGGAAGAUGGACAAAACAUACAGAAGUGGCAUCCAAACAAGCUCGCCGAGAACAUCAUGAAGUGUCUUAAUUUCAUCUACGUUCGUCUCCUUAGAACCACAAGAGUCAUGGAGCUAGAGAAAGGUCCGGUUUCGAGAUCCAAUCCUUUCUCUUUGAUCUCAAGAAGCUUUAGGGUGGACAAGGCAACAUCCGGUUUGUCUAAAUCCAUGAAUCUCGUGUCUUAUAAAGAAUCAAGACAACAAGAUCCCUAUGGAGUAUUUGAUGUAGAAGCAUCUUUGGCUAGAGACAUUGGUCCGUACAAGAAUCUCGUCAUCUUCACUUCAAGCUGUAUGGAUUCCAAGUGUAUUUCGAGUUCUAGCUCGGUUUCUUUGAUCCAGAAACUCAGGUAAAUUUCGAGAUAAACUUUGUGAAUUUAUUUUCUUACGUUGGCUAAACAUAUUGUUAUGUACAAAAUGCAGGGUGUUGAUGAACAAUCUUGAGACCGUGGAUUUGAGAGUGUUGAGCCAUCAACAAAAGCUGGCGUUUUGGAUCAACAUGUUCAAUGCAUGUGUUAUGCAUGUAUAUAUUCUGUACUUAUAUACUUCAUAUUUUGUUAAUUAAAAAAAAAAUUCAUAUUUAUGUAUAUACUCAACGUACUUUCAUUACUUCCGCGUAUGACCAGGGAUAUCUACAAUAUGGAGUUCCUAAAACAACUGAGAAACUACAAUCUCUUGUUUAUAAUAAGGUAUGUUUCUCUUUUCCAUUCUAAAAUAAACACUAGAUUAAGUCAACUCCAUAUUGUUCAUACGUAUUUAAGUUUUGUGAUAAUCAAAGUAUAAAUUGUAGGCUACAAUAAAUGUUGGAGGCAAAAAUAUAAGUGCUCAUACCAUAGAGCAUUAUAUUCUACGGAAGCCUGCGAAUUCUAACAUGACUCAGGUACAUACUAUGUCAAUAAUCAUCUUCAUAUUUAUCUGAUUAAUCUUAUAAAUUCGCUAAGUAUGCAAAUAUGAUCACAGGAUCGACACGAAGAAAUGAUUAUUCGUAAACUAUACGGUAUAGAAUCAACGGAUCCUAACAUCACAUUUGCUCUCUCAUGCGGAACUCGAUCCUCUCCUGCGGUAAGUUAAACUCAUUAAUCCACUUCUAUUAAGCUGAACAAACUGUGACAAUAGACGGUUUAAUAUCUAUACUUAAAUUAACUACAUAGAUGGUUAACUAGCAUUCUUAGUACCUGAUCAGUGUUGUAGUAUUUUUAAUUAUUCACUAUUUCAAGCACUUGAUAGAGUUAUAGACAGUUUUUGUUACUAUUAGAUUGAUGGUGAAAAUAUAUGGUUACAUACUAUAUACUAUCACAACAAAUGGUUAUUUUCCAAAUUAAAAAUUGAAGGUGAGGAUAUACACCGGAGAAGGAGUAGCAACAGAGCUAGAGAAAGCGAAACUGGAGUACCUGCAAGCGUCCGUUGUGGUUACAUUGGCUAAACGGGUAAUCUUGCCUGAGCUUCUUGUAAAACACGCCGUCGAUUUCGUGGCAAGGGAUGAUGGCAACGGCGUAGAGAUGGGAUCUCUGGUGAAAUGGGUUUGCAACCAAUUACCAACGUCUGGUUCCUUGAGAAAAUCAAUAGUGGAUUGUUUAAAGAAUCAAAACUCCAAAGCUUCUUCUUCUUCAUCCUCUCUGGUGGUUGAAAAGAUCCCUUAUGAUUUUGAGUUUCAGUAUCUUUUAGCUAUUUGAAAAAUACUAAUUUGUUAUUUUUUACUGUUGGAAAUCUUGUGUUCAAUAAAAGUAUCAAAGCUUGUUUUAUUUUAUUUUUAUGGAUGAUUAUUAUACUGACAUGUAUAUGGUUUAUCUCGACCAGUCAACAUUUUAUGAUCAUCUUCAAACUGUAAAAAAAAAACAUUGCUUUAGAAAUAUUUUUCUCUUUUUCUUUUUAAUUUAAAUUGUUUUACAAAUUAAAUUCUAAAGUAAAACUAUACAUUUACAACCAAACUAAUCAUCCACUCGAUCUUCUUUGAUAUGCAUCAUCUAGUGGAGUCUGUAUUGUUCCUUCCGCGGCGGCUCUUAUAAUUAAGGCGCUCAAGGAGCCAGAGAGAGACCGUAAGAUAACGGUAACAUUUCGUUUGAUGACGUCAUCGAGAUCGCAAAGAUUAUGCGUCCGAGAUAUAUUGCUAAGGAGUUGAGUGGAACGGUGAGGGAGAUUUUAGGGACUUGUGUUUCCGUGGGGUGUACGGUUGAUGGUAGGGACCCAAUGACAGCAUCUUCAUGAGGAGAUUGUUGAUGUUCCUAACGAGUAAAGAAGGUUCUUUGUCCAAAAAAAAAAACGAGUAAAGAAGGUUCCUUUUUUUGUUCUCUUGUCGUUUUGCUGUAAUUGUGUUUGAUUUCGAGGAAUUGCUUUUUAGUACACUACAUUUCAGAUAUUGAGAUUUGGAACAUGAUAGUUUUAGAUUUGAACAUUUGAAUCCUUUCUUGGGAUGAAAUAUUAGAAUGUUUCAUUUAUAUAGUGAAGUAAGGUAAUGAUGCCUUAUUCAAAUAGUAACAUUGUUGGAUGCAUCAAAAGAUCUUAUAACAGUAUAAUCUUUACAUUUUACCAAAAAAAAAUAAAUCUUAUAACAGUAUAGAGCAUGUGGUUAAUAGUUUGAGUGAGUACAAUGUGCAGUGUUAAUUUGCUUUUGCUCUUAUACUUUGGAACCUUUUCAUCAAUCAUUGAUUUCAUCUUGCUAUCAAACUCUAAACCAAAACUAAUGAACAUGCUCACUUGUAUUAUUUACAUGGAUGUAUAAGACGCACAUACUAUAUAUUUAUAUAUGCAACUAGAAAUAUAAUAUAUGCAUGCAUCAAGCAUGUAAGUCCAACAUGAAUUGAAUAAUUGGAAAAAUUAGGAUCAAAUCAUUGGGACAUAAUUUUACGAUGUACAGAAGAAAUCGUCUGGCAAAGAUAACAUAUAAUAACAUGUUCAACGUUGUUCAGAUUCUGCAUGUCAUGGAUCUCAUUCUUAUCAUCUUAUUUUACGUUUUCCUCGAUUUUAAAUCCGAAAUUUUAGUUUUCCCAUAUUUUUGAUAAUUGGUGGGUUAUAUUGAGGUUUCAUUAAUUCAUCAUUUUAAAUAUUGUCCAGUAAUUUUCUGUUGAAUUUUUAUGUCAUAUAUCAUAUUAUCAUAUAUGUAUAUUAUAUAGUAAAAUGUAUGCUAAGCAAGUCUAUUACCACAUAUAUGAAUACAUGAUUAAUAUAGCUUGAAAAUUUAGGUCGUGACGACGUUGAUACAGACUUGCUCGGGAAUGAUUUCUAUUCAAGCAUAAAAAACGUUCAUACAAAAAGUAUACCUUAAAUUAUCUUCGAUACAUCUAAGUCAUCCUCGCUGGACCACGUAAUUAAUUAAUAUAACAUUAUGAAUUGUUCAGGCAUAAUAUAUUGUUCGGCCAUCUUUAUAUAUAUAUAUAUAUAUAGUUUGGCCAUCUUGUUAGACCGUAAUUCAGUUAUUCGCUAGAUAAUAUCAAUUUAAUGGAACAUGUAAGCUAGUAAUAACAUAAAUUUUAAUUGUAAAGAUUGAAAUCUGGAUAAAGAAAAAUAGGAGAUGAAAUUUGACGUUGCAACAACAAUUGAAAAAUAUUAAAUUAAGGCUCCAAUUAAACUAAUAUAAACACAAGAAUAUGUCUAAAUCAAGGGUUGGUCAGGAUAGCCUAAAACAAGUUUAUCUUCCACUAAUCAUACAAUUUAAAGACAGCUCUGACACGUAUUAUGUUAUUCGGAAAAUGUACGCAUAAUAUAGAAAAUGUUGAAUUGAAGAAACAUCUAUCUCCACACCACAUGGAUUAGUGGAGACUCUGGAGACAGAGGAUUGGCUAUACAAAUGCAUUUGUACAGGUCUGAACGAUUUUAAUUUACCUUGCUACGCAUAUCUGUUUUACGUUUUAUUUCUAGAAGAGCUUUUGGACCAAGGCUCGUAGUUUCUGUUAACCCGGGAUCAGCCUACAUUCUGGUGCUUUAAGAGGAUUUGUUUCCAUUAUUCUUUAUUAUCAAUGAAAUUAGAAGUUGAGAAAAAGGAAAAAGAUUGAAGAGACAAAUAUUAUGAAAAUUCCUCAAUAUUGAAAAACCUUAACUUUUUAAAAUAGCAUCAAUGUUAUGAUGUUUCUUUGGUGAGUGGGUGUAUUUCGUGUGAAUAAACUAAAGAUUACAACAAUUAACAGUAGUUUUUUUUGUACUGUAGGUAAAUGAUUUUCAGUAUCUGCAGUAAUCUGUUGCUUUUUCAGUUUCUUGGAUGACUUGUAUAUUGAAGAGUAAUUAAAUAACUUGCAUCAUAAAUUACACGGUUCCAAUAGUUUAAGACAUUUGCGAUUGUUCUAAGUUUUAACUCAAAAUCACUGAUGAGAAUCAUGAGAUACUCCAGAAUGUAUAAACAUAUAGUUAAGUCAUAAAAACUUUGAUCUAUUUUUACUCUUUUCUAUAUACCCAUUCCCACAUUCGACGAGACUGAAAAAUUAAACCCACCAUACCCAUAUUUAAGAAAGAAACAUAUAACAAAUGUUGGAAUUUCUUUAUAUAAACCAAUAUAUCAAUAUUCUGAAAAGUUAAAACAUAAUACUGCAUGCAAUUGUGCAAAGCAUUCCUUCAUAACAUUUUUUAAUUCCUAAAAAUGUUGAGAUGUUUCUCAUAAUACAACCAGCUCAUUUGAGGCAUAUACGGUUUAGAUAUGAUUCCUUCCAUUAUUAUUUCUAAUACUAUAUGUAUACUUAACUGUCCACAUAAUUAUUUCUAAUACUAUAUGUGUACUUAAUUAACUGUCCACAUAAUUAAUAGCCAUAAAAAUUAUCUGUCUUACAAUGUACUUAUACCAAACCUUUGCAUAGCAUCUGUGUAUAUAUAUACACACAACUAAACUAGAGAGUUACAACAAACAUCAAAAUACAUCCAUCUUUUCUCUCUCUCAUCAUCAUCUUUAGCCAUGGCAAAGGACUUGGAGGUGCAAGAGGGCGGAGCAAUGGCGGCGAGAGAUUACCAGGAUCCGCCUCCGGCCCCAUUGUUUGACAUGGAGGAGCUUGGGAAGUGGUCGCUCUAUAGAGCGGUCAUAGCUGAGUUCGUGGCAACACUUCUCUUCCUUUACGUCUCAAUCCUCACCGUAAUUGGCUACAAAGCUCAGACCGACGCAAAUGCCGGAGGAGUUGAUUGCGGCGGCGUUGGGAUAUUGGGUAUUGCGUGGGCUUUCGGUGGAAUGAUUUUUGUUCUCGUUUACUGCACCGCCGGUAUCUCUGGUACGUAUAGUAACGUUCGCGUCACGGUUCCUAGAUUUUUCCGUAAACAUAUAUAACGUUAGAAAUAUGGUAUAGUUUAUUAAAUAUAUCACAUAUAGAUUAUAGUAAUACCUAAUCUGUAUAGAUCCAUGUGGUACUUUAAUUUCAAUGUUUUGUCGAAUAAGCCUAUGUACUGUCUAUCUAUCAUUUUGUUUUGGUCAAAAGCCAAUAAUAUCUUUCAUGCAUUUAAUAGAAAUUUUCAACUUUCUAGUCAGUACGAAAGUUCAGCUAAAUUCGGUAUGAAUUACUUUGGUUUGGCUUACCUAAACUAAAAUACAACCUUACAUUUUAAGUUGAUUAAUAAAUUAACAUUUCUUGCUGUUAUUGAAACAUUGAAGGUGGUCAUAUAAAUCCGGCUGUGACGGUGGGACUGUUCUUAGCUCGAAAAGUGUCAUUAGUGCGGACAGUGUUAUACAUUGUGGCUCAGUGCCUUGGUGCCAUAUGUGGUUGCGGCCUGGUCAAAGCAUUCCAAAGUUCUUACUACAACAGGUUCCAUCAUGUCUCAACACUCAUGCAUCAGCCGAUCAAACGUCUAGAUAUCUUUUUUUUUUUGCUAAAUACAAAUGAAUAAUAACAUUAGAUAUGGAGGUGGAGCCAACCAGCUUGCCGACGGCUACAACAAAGGUACCGGACUAGGUGCCGAGAUCAUCGGAACAUUUGUCCUUGUCUACACCGUUUUCUCGGCCACCGAUCCCAAGCGAAGUGCACGUGACUCUCACAUUCCAGUUUUGGCGCCACUUCCCAUUGGUUUUGCCGUCUUCAUGGUUCACUUGGCCACCAUUCCCAUCACUGGAACCGGAAUCAACCCCGCCCGUAGCUUCGGAGCCGCAGUUAUCUACAACCAAGAAAAGGCCUGGGACGACCAAGUACGUCAUUAACUUUUAUAUACCUGGACACAUUUUCUAUUAGUUAAAAAUAUAUAUCAAAUGAAACUAAUGAUGCUUAAUCAUAUAUUUUGAUAAUUUGAACAGUGGAUAUUUUGGGUGGGACCAAUGAUCGGAGCAGCAGCAGCUGCGUUAUACCAUCAGUUUGUUCUAAGAGCGGCUGGAAUUAAAUCUCUUGGCUCCUUUAGGAGCUCUGCUUAAUUUUAAUUGUUUGAAUUGAGCCACAAGUUGAUCUUAAACCAAAAUGAUGAUUACCACUAUAUAUUAAGCGGAAGCUACGUGUAUCUUUUAUUUAAUUUUAUGUUCUGUUUUUAAAUUUCAAGGAAUUUCCCAUUGGUUGUAAAUGUGGUUUUAAUUAAUGUUGCUUUAAGAUAAAUCUCUUCUUUGCUUUUAUUUUAUUUUCUUUAUAUUGCUGUUCCUUCAAGCUUACAACCUCUUCAUGCAUUCUUUGCCACCAACCUUCUACCAAAACAAAAUCGUAACUAGAUGAACAAACACCAUAUGGACCUAUUCUAUAAUCAUUUACCAUCGAUCAAAUAUAUAAAACAAUGUAAAGUAUUGUAAAACCAAUAAACUACAACUGUUUUGUUCUGUAACUAUUUAAGUACGUAUUGCCAACAUUUGUAUUGGAAGGAUACAAAAAAAAAAGAAAGAAACUAUAAACAAAAGAGUGAAACUAACAAACAAACAAAAAACUGCAUUAGCCAAAAUGGUUUUCAUGACUUCUAUAGUUCUCUUCCCUCAUUCAAAAACAACUUUUUCUUCUUUUGUUAUUUAUUGCACAAUCAUACAAAUUUGCGCUACAAGCAACACCUCUCUUAAACCAAUCCUAUAAAAACCACAAACACACACACAAACUAAACAAAAAUCAAACAUUUACAAAGAUUAUAGAGAAGGAAAAAACAUGACAAACCUAACUCACUCUUUGCUCUUCUUCUCCUGUUCCUUAUCUCUACUUAUACGUGUGGCCAUUGCAGGAAGUAGACCUGCUCAUGGUCCAGCUUAUUCAAACCCAUCUGCUUUCUCUCCAGAAGCUUACGAUUUCUUUCACCCAAAAUCAUCACUACCUGACAAUAAUCCACCAAGAAACUCGCAUUCUUUGCCAUUUCUUUCACCUUCACCUUCACCUUCAAAGGCAUCUAAUGUAGAAGCAGACACACAAGGAAGUAAAGUUUCAUCAGACGAACGCAUAAGUGAGAGUAGGAGAGAAGAAGGACGAGGAGAAACUGUUGGCAUAGUGAUAGGCAUUUCUUUCACAGCUCUCCUUUUAAUGGGAAUUUACUUUGUGAUCAAGAAACGACUAGCUAAUUUAACCCGCACGAUUGUAAUCCACUCUGAUGCUUGAUCAUUAUCAAGUAAUUAGUUAUUGAUUUUGCAUGCAGAAUGGUAGCAAAAUAGCUGGACUUUGGUCUGGUUUAAUUUAAUAUUCCGUUUGAAUUUGGGGUUCGACAAAAAUUAGGAAAACAUCUUGAAACUAUAUAUGGAAAAUAAUUUAAUAUUUCAUAAAGUUAAAUGGAUCUUAAAUAUGUUUUAGUUGCUGUCAGAAAAUUAAACCUUAUUCAGUUUGGAUUCAAGUCUAGUCGUAUUUUAGUCAACGAAAUAAGAACUAGAUUUUUGGUCAGAGUUUCUUCCAAUUUCAGACAGUCGCACUAAAAUGGCGUUCCGCGUUUUCCUCCGCGUCCUCUCCCUCACAGCUCUUCUCAUUUUCUCCUUCUUUUGCCGCAUCUUCCUCCGACGUAGACGAUGAGGAUUUUAGCUUCCUGGAAGAUCUCAAUGAUGAAGGUCCCGGUGAGCCACUUACUUCCCCUGUGAGUCUGAGCCAGACGAAUUCGACGGAGGAGAAGCCGGAAGACCCCGAAGCGUACGACGACGUGGAAUACGGAGAUUUCUCCGAUCUAGGUAAUCAAGUUUCGGAUCGGUUCCCGGCGACAUUACGUGGUGGUGUAAAGUAUAAUAGAUUAUGUUAUAUUAUUGUGUUGUAUUUGAUAAGAGAAUACAAUAUGCAUAUAUAUAGUGGUAACAUUAACAUAAUGUUAACACUAGAUAAUGCUAAUUUUCCUAAACACUUAAUGUAAAUAUGCUAGAAUAUCUUGAGAGUAACUUGUUCUUCAAGUCUUUCCUUUUAUUCUUGAGGGUUUUCAUGGGUUUCACAGGCUUCACAGACUUGGUCCGUAAGAUACAUAUCUUCCGGCCCAACAUAUCUCUAAUACUCCUCCGCACGACAAACGUGGGAUGCAACACGCAAAUCUGCAAUCACAAAGCAGACCACGUAUGUCGUGGACACUAUGUCGAGGAAAACAAAUCAGUAGAUUCCUUCGAGAAUAAACUUCAACUUAGACAAGGAGGGAUGAAAUCUUCAGCUCUUCUUCGGUCUUGACAAUGAGAAUACAUCUCGUGGGCGCAACUGCAACUCCAUAAACAAUUAUCCUUGACUUGGACAGUCCAUAACACGGACUAAAAAAAAAACUGACCUAAGAAUUUGAGCGUUCAACUAGAACUCCCCCGUAAUGGUUAAACUAUAACCAAUAAAUCCCAAACUAUGAGAAAACAACUCUUGAGAAAUUCUAAACUAUAGAAAAAUCUCAGAUAGAAAAUAACCCAUGUGAAACUACAAACCUUAACCCUCAAUAAUUCUCAAGCAUUCACCAAAAUAGAAAAAAAAAUAAUAAUAAUAAAUCCUUUGACUUAAAUAACAUACUUAACAAAACCCUGAUACUUAUUAUUAAGAAGUAUCCCUAAUGAGAGAACUUGACGUUGACGUCUUCGUCUGGAUCGUCGUCACCACCUUCUUUGCCAUCAUCAACACCACCGAUGAUAAGCAUCUUCGAAGUUUAAAACUUAUAACACGGAAGCUUAAUUUUGAUCCCUAAGAAUCGAAUGCUCUGAUACCAUGUAAAAUAUAAUAGAAUAGAUAUAUUAUUGUGUUGUAUUUGAUAAGAGAAUACAAUAUGCAUAUAUAUAGUGGUAACAUUAACAUAAUGUUAACACUAGAUAAUGCUAACUUUCCUAAACACUUAAUGUAAAUAUGCUAGAAUAUCUUGAGAGUAACUUGUUCUUCAAGUCUUUCCUUUUAUUCUUGAGGGUUUUCAUGGGUUUCACAGGCUUCACAGACUUGGUCCGUAAGAUACAUAUCUUCCGGCCCAACAUAUCUCUAAUAGGUGGUCGUCAAAGAGCGUAACUUCACAGACGUGAUAGAGAACAACCAAUACGUCAUGGUUUAGUUCUACGCCUCGUGGUGUGGUCAUUGCCAGUGUCCUGCGGCUCAAGGGAGACGGUGUCGGUUUGGCUAAAGUCGAUGCGACGGAGGAGAAUGAGCUGACUCAUCAGUAUAGCGUUCAGGGCGUCCCUACUAUUAUUCUCUUCUUUGUAGAUGGGGAGCACAAGCCUUACACUGGAGGGAGGACAAAGUAAGUGGAACUAAAGUUCAAAUCUUUAGUGUGAUUAAAGCUAGUGUUACUGAAGUUAGUGUGUGUCUUACAGAAAUACGUCACCGCAAUUUAUAUUGUAUGAUCAGAACUGUUUCAAUGGACUACAGAAAGAUGAGGAUAAGUAAAUUUUAGUUUUGACAUUCCUAACUUUUUUUAUUUUGGUUUUAAAGGCCAGCUUGUACAACUGUUUGUCCCACACUGAAACAAGGUCACACUACUAGAGAGUUCAACUUGAUAGGAGAAGACCCAUGUAUAUGAUUGCAUACAUGAUAUUACGUGUAUGCGCACACCAAAUAACCUAAUGUGCACACUACCACAAUCGAAUGGUAUGUCGAUGUAGCACUUUAGGAUCGAAUCCACAGAGACCAAAUCUUACACUUUAUCUUUAUGGGAUCAGAAUCAAGCUAAAACAAUAUGGGGGUUUUAAAGUUUGUGGUAACAUAAAAAGCAAGUAACAGAUUGGUUUUAAGUUUCAGAUUAAUGAGAAACUAACCUAGGGUUUAACGGGCGCUUACAAUCAUGAGCCAAACAAUUAUUCAAGUUUGAUUAAUGGACUAGUCUAGAACUAGGAACACAAUACUAGAUCAACCCACUGUCGUGGUGUUUCACCUUUCAACGAUCAGCCUCAAUACCUAAGCUCUCGCUUGGAUCAAGGCGUGAUGAUGAACAUUAAGAUCAAGUCCAAUCGGUUCACAAAACACCCUAAUAUCUACUUUCGCUGAUUAGGGAUGCUAUGCUCAUUCAUAACAGAUCUAGCAACCUAUUACACGGUUAAUGAAUAGGUUAAACCUAGGAUCUAACAAUAACUGGUCAGUUUAAUGCAAGCAAUAAGAGCAGUUAUGAAUGAAGACAAUCAAUGGAUACUUAUCUAUGUUUAGCUCACGAUCUAACACCCUAACACCCUAGGCUAGCUAGAUCGACUACUCAGACAUGGACAAAGAAAUCACAGAGAUCAAUUCUGAAUAAAACUUCAUGUAAAUAAAAGAGAUAGAAAGAGGGUUCAGGAUAAUCUUCUCUAUGGUGAGAGAGAUGGAGCCUUCUCCCUUUACAAUCCAAAAGCACAAAAGUCUCCAAUGGUUUUCUUCUGUCUAGAAUAGCGUAGAAUCAUAAAGAGAAACAGAAAAUAUGAUAUAUCAAAGCCACAGGCGGCUGGGAGAGAAAAUAGGGAUAAUUAGGGCAAAUCCCGUAAUGACUUGUAGUUUCCUUAAAAAUCUCUGCCGCUGGAACACUCACUCGGAACAGUCACUCGGGUUGCUCUGCUAUCCGGAACAGUCAUCAAGACUGUUCUGCGUGAAAACCACCAAAUUGCAUUGUUUUCUGCCUCUUUUGUUCCAGCUGGUCCAUCUCCCAUCCAAUGCAACUCCAGACCUGUAAUGACUCCAAAAGGACUAGGAAGACUCGAUAAAGACUUGAAAACCAAUUUAAAAGCAUAUAUACAAGAUGUAUAAAACACCAUAUAUCAAUUCCUCCAAACUUAGAUCCUUGUUUGUCCUCAAACAAUGUCAAGUAUCAAGAACAGGGAGAAAGGUUUGAAAGUGUGGGAACUCUCCUAUUCUCAGCAACCAUACUUUAACCACGAAUCUCUAAACCAUACAAGCAGUAAAACUAGGACAACACACCCUUACUGGAACCCCACUGACUGCUGUUCAAAAAUCGGCUCCAUACUCUUCAUCUCAAACCUGAAAAAGCAACACUAUCGAGACAGAACUCCCUACAUUCAUUUAAGAGUAGUGUGAGCUUCUCAUCACAGGCAUCAUUCAGGGUAGACGGUCUAGGUGUGGAACAGACUAUUUAAUGGUGGAGUUAAAAGUGUUUAGGGGCUACCAUUUCAUUGAAGAGGAUGCUGGAUAUCACACAAAAUGGCAAGAGAGGAUAGAUCCAUUGAUGUCCACAGCCUUUACUCGUUUUUGCUCUAUCUGGUGCGACUGUUCUGAUGACGGAACAUGCAACUGAUUGUUCUGCUUUCCACUUCCUCUACACAUUCUUCAAUACUUGGUACCAACUUCUUGCUCGACCUUUCCAGUGGCUCCAUGUUUCUUUUCUUUCUUCCCCUUCUCUUUUUUUUUUUUUUUUUUUUUUUUUUUUUUUUUUUUUUUUUUUUAAAGACUGAUAUGGUGAUGUGACGAAGAAGGAGGUACUACAUGAUCGUUCUGAGUGCCACUGGUGGUUCUGAUUCCGCGACCAUUCUGGUUCUCCACCCCUGCUCUUGCGCAGUUCAUUGGUUAUGGAGCGGUUGCUCCCUUAAUCUGUUUGUUCUCUUUUCUGACAUAAUUUCUGCAGCAGUAACGAGUAGGAGGCUGCGUUGAUCCUUUCCUCUCCGACCUUUUUGCACAUAUCUGCACAUAUGACACUGAAAAACAAAUGCAUGAAGGUGGAAUAAAGGCUAAGGUGUAAGGUGGGAACUAGCUAAAGAUGAGCUAGCCACUCAGGAUCAGCAAGAUGGAUAAAAAGGAUAAGAAAUCCUGAGUGUGUUCUCGUUUCCCUGAUCUAAUGCCCAUAACAAGAAGAAUUUCAGUCAAGAUUAGGUUCAAGUAAGGUGGAGUUAAGUCUACCCAGUGUAACCUGAUCGGCUGAGAACUUCUGGAGAAUCAAGUGAGAUAUGUCAGGGUGUUCCAGGUCCACAUGUGUGUCUUUCGCCACUGCUAAGGUCACUGAAUAAGAUAACUAAAGCACGAGGUGGUCAGUGAUCAACACAGAAUAAGGUCCUAAUUCCCACAAAGUUUUGACUGACUCAAUAAAAACAGACUCAAAUUGACCCAAAAGAAAAACAAAAGAAAGAAACGAGUUAGUAAACGACGAAAACCCUCCCCCAGACUUACUUCACAACGUCCCUGGUGUGAAAAUAAAUCAGAGAGAAGGAGAAAACAAGAAUAAUUUUUUUUUUUUUUUUUUUUUUUCGAGAUACUUACCUGGCGCGGAGCAGCCUGACAGAGCAAGACGCGGUUGCUCCGGUAAAGGAUGCUCUGGAAUGAGAGCAGCCAACUGCUUGCUCCAGUCAAGGGUCUCGGAUUUUCUGAUUUAUGACCUGAGACUCAACAAACUAAAAACAAAAAUAAGUAAAAAGAAAAUCCUAAUGUUAAUGACACUCACCAGUGGGUUGCCUCCCACCAAGCGCUUGGUUUAAGUCACUAGCUUGACUUGGUGACUGGGAUCAGUCGGGUUGAGCAAGAGGGCUUGUUCCAAAACAAGCUCCACAGUCAGACAUGUUCAUCUUCAGAACUCUGCUCAACAACCCUUUCACAGCAUCUUCUCCUUUCUCCUUCAGCUCAUGUGUGAGAAUGGCUCUGACUUUAGAGAACGGUUUGGAGGUACCCUUGCACUUUACCUCAUACUCAAUGGAGUUCUCAUCACACUUGAGAGGUUUCAAAGUCAUUGUAGGAUCUCCCUUGACCCUUUUCUUCUGGAUUUUCUGUUUCACCCUUGAAUUCCCUCUGAUUUUAGUAGGAUCAGUGCAUGGAUCUUCAUCAGAUAACAGCCUGCUCUCACCCUUAUCAUCAUGCUCCUUCUCUGGAACAACCUUCAGCUUUUCUACAUCAAACACUGAGAUGCGAGAGGCGUGUGAUGAGGAAGAUCUGGUGGGUACAGCCUUGUAGAAAACUUUCUUGUUGAUGUUGGAGAAGUAGACUCUCUUGUUGGGCAUAUCGAUGGUUGCUCCAACAGUAGCCAUGAAUGUCCUUCCAAAUAUCAAAGGCAUCUCAUGAUCCUUGUUCAUCUCAACAACUUGAAACUCAGCAGGAACAAUGCAUUCCCCUACUUGAACAUGAAGGCUGCGGAUGGUUCCAUAUGGGACUGCUCUGGAAGAGUUUGCAAAGGUCAGGGUCAGCUGAGAACGCUCAACAUCAGUAAUACCCAAAUCGUCUACAAUAACCUUUGAGAUGAGAUUCACACAAGAACCAGAGUCACAAAGAGCGUCCUUGAAGGUCGUUCCUGCGAUGGAACAUGGGAAAACAAACUUUCCAGGAUCAUCAACCUUAGGCAAUACCUUCAGUACUGGCGUAGACAGUGCUCUAGUAUAUAGGACCUUGAUCUCUUCUUGAGUCUCUCUACAGUUUAUAAAGAACUGGAGCAAUGGACGAAUCUGCAGAGCAUCUUCGAAUGCAAGUUCUUUAGGAAGCUUUCUCACCAUCUUGUUAAAACCUAUCAGUUGCUCUUCACUAAUGGGAUCCAUCAGAUGUCUAGGUGGAAUUGGAUAGGGAACCUUGGGAACAUAGACUCGAGAUGGUGGAGUCUCAGCAGGUUCGCUAGGAGCAGUCACUCCAGAGCUAGCAGACUGCUCUGCUCUCUCUUCUGCGCCUGGAGCAGUCUCAGCAAACGGCUGCUCUAUUGCAUUACAGUGCUCAGUCCUAGGAUUUUUAUCAGUUCUUCCAGGAAGCGUCUCUUGUUGCCUCUUGACACUCUCAUCUGUUUGAGCAAGCUGAACAUCGAUCUUUCUUAUGUGGAUCGCAAGAUUGUCAUACUUGUUAUUCAGCUCAGUGAACAUGUUGCCCAUCCUGGUAUCCAUUUCUGUGGUUACCUGAUUCAACGUCUUGGCCUGAACCUGCUGACCCUGCAACAAUUGUUGCAUCAUCAUACCCAGACCCUUCAGCUCAUCUGGUUGACUGUUCCCGUUAGCUGGAACAGCUUGCUGAUUGCUCUGCGGUUGUCGCUUGUUCUGGUUCUGAAUAUGCCCAGCCGUAGCUUGCUCCAUGCUGAAGACGUGCCCUUGGUUGUUUUUCAGUAGCUGAUCAACCUUGGCAAUCAGCUCAUCUAUUUUCUGGGCGUCAGAACUGUUCCCUUUGGAGCAAUCACUCUCCUCUUUCUUAUUAGCUGAGCUAGCAGCCAUGUUCUCAAUCAGCUUAAACGCUCCAGCAGUGGUUUGAGUCAUGAAAUCUCCAUUGCUUGCAGAGUUUAGAGCACCUUGGUAUUUCCAGUCCACUCCAUCAUAGAAAAUGUCCAGGAGAUAAUCAUCAUCAAAUCCAUGGUGAGGACAUUCUCUGCGAUAGUCAUUGAAGCGCUCCCAUGUGUCGCAGAAAGGCUCAUCAGUGAGCUGUCUGAAGGAGGUGAUCUUAUUCCUCAAUGCAGAUGUUCUCGCCUUAGAGUAGAAAUGGCUGAGGAACGCUAAUCGGACCUGUUCCCAUGAAGUAAGAGAGCCGGUAGGGAGAGAGUUCAACCACCGUGCAGCUUUUCCAUCAAGAGAGAAUGGGAAUAACAUGCACGUGAUGUAGUCUGGUGGAACACCGUUCACGCGAGUGAAACUACAGACUUUUUCGAAGCUCUCAAUAUGCUCCAUUGGAAUUUCUGUAGAGAGACCAGAGAACACCUUUCUCUGUACUAGACCGAUCAAAGCAGGCUUGAUUUCGAAGUCCUGCCUGGUGCAGAGUGGAGGAACAAUGGCAGAGCGCGUAGUAGGGAUGUUACGCGGAAGGUUUCUCUGCCCGAUUGGAACAGUCUGCGCCUGUUGUUCCUGCUGCGCGAGAGCAGCCUGUUCAGCAGCAUCCUGCUGAGCUUGGAUGGUCUGCUGCAUUUGUUGCAUCUGCUGCUGCAUGAGUGCCAUAGCCGCAGCGAGAUCAUCCUGAUUGGCGUGAUCACCCAUAGUGGUGUCAGUUUGCCUUGGCUGUUGACGAUUUGUUCUUUCUAACCUUGCUAGCUCCUGGUUGGUAAAUGUAACUAACUCUCCUUGUGCGUUUCUCCGAGUAUGUCUACUGGUCAUGCACCUGGAACAUUAGCUGCAACAAAAGGAUAAGGCAAGUUAGAGGUCUUAGACUAAAUAAAUAACCGAAAAAUAAAGGUAAAAAGAUGGUCCCCGGCAACGGCGCCAAUUUGAUAUUACGUGUAUACGCACACCAAAUAACCUAAUGUGCACACUACCACAAUCGAAUGGUAUGUCGAUGUAGCACUUUAGGAUCGAAUCCACAGAGACCAAAUCUUACACUUUAUCUUUAUGGGAUCAGAAUCAAGCUAAAACAAUAUGGGGGUUUUAAAGUUUGUGGUAACGUAAAAAGCAAGUAACAGAUUGGUUUUAAGUUUCAGAUUAAUGAGAAACUAACCUAGGGUUUAACGGGCGCUUACAAUCAUGAGCCAAACAAUUAUUCAAGUUUGAUUAAUGGACUAGUCUAGAACUAGGAACACAAUACUAGAUCAACCCACUGUCGUGGUGUUUCACCUUUCAACGAUCAGCCUCAAUACUUAAGCUCUCGCUUGGAUCAAGGCGUGAUGAUGAACAUUAAGAUCAAGUCCAAUCGGUUCACAAAACACCCUAAUAUCUACUUUCGCUGAUUAGGGAUGCUAUGCUCAUUCAUAACAGAUCUAGCAACCUAUUACACGGUUAAUGAAUAGGUUAAACCUAGGAUCUAACAAUAACUGGCCAGUUUAAUGCAAGCAAUAAGAGCAGUUAUGAAUGAAGACAAUCAAUGGAUACUUAUCUAUGUUUAGCUCACGAUCUAACACCCUAACACCCUAGGCUAGCUAGAUCGACUACUCAGACAUGGACAAAGAAAUCACAGAGAUCAAUUCUGAAUAAAACUUCAUGUAAAUAAAAGAGAUAGAAAGAGGGUUCAGGAUAAUCUUCUCUAUGGUGAGAGAGAUGGAGCCUUCUCCCUUUACAAUCCAAAAGCACAAAAGUCUCCAAUGGUUUUCUUCUGUCUAGAAUAGCGUAGAAUCAUAAAGAGAAACAGAAAAUAUGAUAUAUCAAAGCCACAGGCGGCUGGGAGAGAAAAUAUGGAUAAUUAGGGCAAAUCCCGUAAUGACUUGUAGUUUCCUUAAAAAUCUCUGCCGCUGGAACACUCACUCGGAACAGUCACUCGGGUUGCUCUGCUAUCCGGAACAGUCAUCAAGACUGUUCUGCGUGAAAACCACCAAAUUGCAUUGUUUUCUGCCUCUUUUGUUCCAGCUGGUCCAUCUCCCAUCCAAUGCAACUCCAGACCUGUAAUGACUCCAAAAGGACUAGGAAGACUCGAUAAAGACUUGAAAACUAAUUUAAAAGCAUAUAUACAAGAUGUAUAAAACACCAUAUAUCAAUACAUUGAGUAGAACUAGAGGAACUGAUCUCAAGGGAAAGAGACUACAGUAUAUAAAAAAUCCCAAAGCUCAAAUCAGUCACAUUAAUAUUCCUAACGCUCUUUUUUUGUUUCAUUAAUAGUUACAUUUCCUCUUCGGUGAAGUUGCCAAAACUUGUGCAAUUAGUCAAAAGUCAACCCUUAAAAGAAAUAUAAUUAACUUUACGUAGGCGUCAACAUUAAUUUAAAGUGGUUACUUGCCUUGCAUUUCUUAUUAUUGACUCUAAUUAUUAUAUUCCUUUAUUUUCAUGCGCUUCUUCUCCCUAUUAAAUAUUUGUCCCUCCAUUAGCCAAAUAAUCCAAUAUUACUAUUUGUAAAUCCCCUAAGCGUUGACUGUUAGGUGCCAACUCAUUUCUCAAGUGUCACUCAUACGAAACUUUAAGUAGAAACUGAACAAUAUGACUUCUUGAUCUCUGUUUUCUAUACACUUCUGCAUACCCUAUAUAUUAUAUAUAUCUUCGAGAGAGAGAGAGAGAGAGAGAGAGAGAGAGAGAGAGAGAGAGAGAGAGAGACGAGGGAGGUUGAACCUUCGAGAUGAUGAAGAUCAGUUUCAUAAUCAUAGUUCUGUUAACGGUAGGAAUAGUAUCCGGUAAGAUAUCAACUAAAAAAGUUUCACCAGCUCCAUCUCCAUCUCCGUAUUCGUAUGCACCUCAAUCAGAAACCAGAAUGUCUCCAUCUCCUUCACCAUCGGCCUCUCCAACAACGAUGCCUCCCGGUUACAUUCACGGGCCACCGUCUCUGUCACCGGAAGAAAGUGAUCUCAAAUACAAAGACGGUAGUGGAACAGAGAGGGAAAGUUCCUCAGGAGGCGGAAAGAAGGCUGGAAUCGCGGUUGGAGCGAUUGCAGCAGCGAGUAUGGUUGGCGUCGCAGGGUACGUGUUGAAGAAACGGCGAGAGAACAUUCGUCGAUCACGAUAUGAAUACGCCGCCACUGAGAUAUUCUGAAGAGACAGAAAUUUGGUCAUGGAUGUGGUGUGUCGUUUCCUACGUUUUGAGUUAAUGUACAAUUUAAUCAGCUUUUGUCCUAACAACGGUGGUUAAAAUAUGCGGCUCCUAGAGACAUGACUCUUUAUUAUAGUCUCUAGCUUCUUCUUUUUUUGGCAUCAAUUAUAGUCUCUAGCUAUGCUAUGGAACAUGUCAUGUCCAUGAAAGAUGUUGUAAAACUGGUAGAAAUCAUCAAUGUUCAAGAUUAUCUAUACUCCAUCCGUUUCAGAAAAUUAAAUGUUUAAGAAAAAAAUUCAUUUAAAAUAGUUUUUUGUUGUUGUGUGUUUCUAUACAUUUUUAUUAGAUAAUACAAUAGUAUUUUUUUUUGAGAAAGAGAUCUAGAUAAUAUAAUAAAUUACAGAUUUAAAAUAAAAUUAGUAUUAUAAAUUAUAGAUUUAAAAUAGUAAUUGUAUUUUUAAAAUUAUAUUGGUUUAAAAAUAUUUGAAGUUACACAAUCUUAUAAAAUAAUGUAUUAAUAAUUAAAAUUUAAUAUAUAUUUUAAUAUAAUUUGCAUUGAUUUGUAUGCAUGCACGUUAGCGGUUCUUGAAACUUUCAUAUAAUCAAAGUUACUCCUCUACCACCCAUCCUUUCUUAUCCUCACCAAGUUUAGAUGUAAGAAACGAAAGCCAAUUCUAUUUCAAGGAGAUCUAUUUUCUUUUAUUGCCACAUUAACCAUACAUUAUCUUCACUAUAUUUAAAAAUAAGUAAUAAAAAAUUACUAUAUUUAAAGCUAAUCUUAUGUAUAAAAACCCCAAAGACCGCUCGUAGUUUUUCCAAGCACAAAACAUCAAGUUGAAUAUCUUGUAUUAUUAAAAAUAAAUAAAACAAACUGCAAAAAAAAAUGGCCUCAUCAAGAUUUCAACUUGUUGCCCUUCUUGUCAUCUUCUCUCUCGUUAUUACUGCCCAAUCUAAUUUAACAGGUUACCACUCAUCUUAUUUAUUUUACAUUCGUAGAUAUUUCUUUUUUUUUGCUUUAAAUGAUAUUUCUUUUUGUUUCUACUAAACUUGUAAAUACGUCAUCAUCAUCACAAACCUAAUUCAAGUUUCUUGAAUUUUUGCAGAAAAGGAAGAAAUGGACGGACCAUGCCGCUUGAGAGGAACAUGCGAUGAGGACAGCGACUGCGACACCCAUUGCCACCGAAGCACCGACGCUGUAAAAAUGGACGGCCACUGUCUCUUCGACAGACCCACCCCCGUAUGCUGUUGCCUCUUUGAUUAAAUCGAUCCUUUUUUAUUCUUCAAGUCUCCAUGCAUGUUUUAAGCAAAAAAUAAAAAAAGUUUCCAUGCAUGCAUGAUCAAUAUAUUCCUGAUUAAAUUAAUGACGUAAACAUAUAUAUAAAUGUUUACGUCCUAAUUACUUGAAGAAUAGAAGAAGUGAUCUUGUGUUUCUUAUAUUUUGAUUUCUUGUUUAUCAUAUGGGACAUUUAUAUGUUGUAAGAGAAUGGCUAUUUAUGAACAAUUAUACAUACUAGAUCGUUUUCCGCGCUACGCGCGGAUAAUUGCUUUAAUUUUUAUAAUUAAUUUUGUUGUGUGAAUAUAAAAUAUUACAAAAGAUUUUAUGGUAUAUAAACUAUGUAGUAUGUAAGGUAUAUAAUAUAUGAGGGGAAACAUACUGUGAUUUUUGUUGUUUGAAUGUUGCAUAUAAUUUUUUCUCAUUAUUUUGUAAUGAAUUUUUUUAUUAGUUUACCAAACUACCAAAAUUGUAUUUAGAUAGAAUAUAAAGACAGCUCAGAUGAUGUCGGAAAGUUUUUCAUAGUUGUGUUUCCUCGAUUAUUUUUUAUGAGUGUAGAUGGGAAAUGUAGCUCUAACUCAUGUAUUGACUUGACUCUUAUUUCCUUAGAGUUUGACAAAGAAAAGUGAUACUGGCAAUACUUUUGAUCGAUUUCUAGUUUUGAAGCGUAUUUUGUUUUGGUUUUCUUGAUGAACUUCUUUAAUUGGAUGAAGCUGAAAUUUCAACACUAUCUUUUUGUACUGAGUUGUUUUUAUGGUGAUGUUAGUUAUGUCGUGAAAUAAAAUUGUGUUACUGGUGUUUAAGCAACUAAUAAUGUUUCCAAAAAUUGAUAAGAAAAAUAGUUAUAAAUCAUCUAGCAUAAUAAGUAUUGUUUAUUUUUUUUAAUAAAAUUUUGGGUUAAUGAUUGUUAUCACAACGACAUGAUAUUUUGAUUAAUUUUCAUUAUAAACUCAUAAAUGUGUAUAACUAUAUGUGUGUUAUUUUUAUAUGUUUCGACUCUAUUUGUAAGGUUAUAUAUGGUUUAGCAGCAAUUAAACAAUGCUUAUAUGAUUAAUUCACUUAAAUUUGGGUAUUUUCAAUGUAACAUAUUAUUCAGGCUAAAUAAUCUAUAUAAUAACUUAAUUAAAUGAUAUUCAAACAGGUUUUAAAAUUUUCAACUCUUAUGAGUUUUAACCUUGUAGUCCAUAUUAUUUCGACUAUUAUCAACAGUUUUCAUUUCACACCAUAAAUUAAUAAUUCUUUUUAGAGAAUUUUAUUGGCAGUGGAUGUUUUUAUUUUUAUUUGUUGUGAUGAACUAAUAUAUUUUUUUCAAAAUAUUUACUUGUUAGACAACUAUAUUAUCAUUAUUUUAUUUUUGUGACAUUAAAACAAACAUGUAUUAUUAAUUAUGUAAGAUGAUACAUAUUUGAAAAUUUUAAUUUUGUAUAGUCUUACAUGUAAAUAUACGAUGAAUUAAAUAAUUAUUAAUGAUAUAAAAUAUUAUGUAUCUUAAGAUUUUAUUUUUUAUAUAAUUUUGCAUGUUAAUAUAUAUUAUAUUGAAUUAUAUUGGUUUGAACAUUUUUUUGUUUGAAAAUAGACUAUCUCCAACAUUAUAUAUAUCAGCGAUACUUAUAUAUUUUUUGUAUUGUUGUUACUUAAAUGAUCUGUAUUAAUAUGUGGAUGCGGUCUUAGCCUAAAUUACAUGUCACUCGGACGUACCAUUAGAUUUAAAACUUUGUAAAUUUCAUAAUUUUUUCAGUAUGAGGCUAAACAAAUAUGGUGUUCUCUUCUAGAAUUUUACUUAAGAUAAACAAUGUGGUUAUGGUUUAUCCAGUUUACUGGGCUAGAGAUUUUGUACAUUUUUAUGAUGUAUUUAAAACAUAUUAAUGGUGUAAAAAAUUUUAGAUUAAUUCUAGAGAGAUCUAAAGUGGUAAAUAAUUUGGAGAUGUCGUUUUGUUUUAACAUAGAUAAAAUUACCCAUUAUGCACAUUGGGAAGGAUCAUUGCUACGUACAUACCACACAAAAAAAAUGUCUAAUUGAAAAAAUGAGCAACUAAAUUGUCAUUAAGUAGAUAACAUGGGGACAGAGGGUUUAACAGGGAAAAUACUUGAGAACUCUAACAAUAAUGGAAGAAGAAGGUUAAUAAGUCAUGCCACUUAACCAAGCUGGAUCAACGUACUUUACUACUACGAUGACAACACUGGCACUCUCACGCCUCAUAAGUGUUGUUUUGGAGAAAAAAAUCAAUAAGAAAAGAUAAUUCCCAAGUCACAGUUAAAAAAAAAAGAGAGAGCGGUAGAUCUUCUCCACAAUUGGCUUCCCUAGUUCCAAGUUCUUUUUAAUUGCUUACCAGACAAAACAUCAAACACAUAUAUGAAAGAGAUAGACUGGGCGUGAGUAGAUGGCAUCUCGGGAUCAGUACGCGAGGUUGUAGCAGGCCUUGCUUGGUUAAGUAUACGCUUCAGCACCACUGAAAGAGCCGAAUUCGAAACGGAUCCAAUGAUUCCCCACAAGGCAGUACCAUCACGCCGCAGAAGAAUGAUGGAAGCAAACAGAAUAGACACAACCCAUUUGCUCUGUCUCAAUAAGAAACAUAUGCAUAACACGAAAUGAAUAUACUUAAAAAGAGGCAUUUCAUCGAACAUGUUGCGUGCAUCAAGGAGAUCCCUUUUACUAACCAGAGUAUUAACGAUGGCUUCAAUCCCACGACCGGUUACCAUCUCGUACCGGAUCUCUGGAUCUCUGGAGACCCAUUGAUGGAAGCUUCUUGCUCGACCGACCCAGAUUGUUCGCUUUCGUCUCUGCGAGCAAAUUUUUUGACUAAAACGGCCAUAGAUCUAGCGCGGGAAACAGAUAGAGGAAAACCCACGCGGGAUGAUCGAACGAACUAUAGCUCCAAUCGGUGUGAAUGGCAGAGAAGGAGAGAAGACGCUGUAAUGACCAAAAAAAAAGAAAAAGCAAAGUAAGUUUCCGUCGCAGGCAAUGAGGAAAGAGAUUGUAAAUCAAUAGAGCAAAAAAAACUGAGAAGACUUCUUCGUUAGGUAAGAUUUGUUUUGCUUAAAUGACAUGGCAUCUAGUUACAUUUUGAUUGGUUUGAAUUUCCAUGCUGAUGUGGCAUAGCUAAAAUUUGAGUAUAUCUUGCUUUUAUUAUAGUAUAUAGAUACAUUAAUAUUUUUGAAGAGAUCCCAGUUUUUAUAUUCUCUAUAACUCUUUUACAAACUCAUUUACAGUUUUUAUAUUCUCUAUAACUCUUUUACAAACUCAUUUACAGUUUUUAUUUUUGAAGCUUCCAUCACAAUGAUCAUAGUAUAACUAUAAUAGAUGAACAAAAUCAACAAUCUUUUCCUACUCUACAUACAUAUCUGACAUCUUAAACCAAUACCAAAAUAAAGUAAGAACCAAAGCAAAACCUUCAAUUCUUACAAAUCAGAUCAGAACUUAAACAACUUUUCUUCUACUCUUCUUCCAGCAAAUACUUCUCAAGAAUUGCUAAUGUUUCUUGCUUUGCGCUGAAUUUAACAACAAAAAAAACAACAUUUUUUAUAGUUUAUUAGCUCAAGAACCUCACAAGAUUCAAACUUUAAAUCCAUGAUCACAUACCUUCCAGGUCUAAUGACCUUAUACUUUCCAACUUUAGUCAAAUCAACUAUUGUUGAUCCUUGACGCCCUGACGGAAGCAAACCACCAUCAUAGACACAAGCACAAUGCUGCCAAAGACUUUGAAAAUCAUUCACGCAAACGCUGCUUCUAUCACCGCUUAGAUUAGCACUUGUAAGAGCCAAAACACUCCCCGAACCUCUGGAUACUUUUCUAAUGAAUUCACAGUCUGGAACUCUUACUCCAAUAGUAUCAAUCCCAGGGUUUAAUGACCUUUAAAGAAUGCUUGACUCACCUGUUUAAAAAAACACUACAAGAACACUCUCACAUCAGAAGAUCAUAUCAAUGCAAUGCAACCCCACUUAAAGAAGACAAUGUGGAUUAGAAACUGGACUAAAACAAGCUUAGCGACCUAACAACACCAGUUCCCACAUUCGAUUCAAUGAUGGUAUACUUUUGAAACAGAGUAGAAAAGAGCAGAAACAUAGAGAAGAUGGAGAGCUUAAAGAGACAAAAGGGCAAGACUUUCAGCUGCAAAUUACAAACGGAGAGAAACCCAUAAAGAUUUAUUUCCUUUUUGAUUGAAUCCAAUCUUAUCAGAGAGCAAAACGAAAAAGCAAUACACAAAUGUCACGAGACGAGAAAACCAAGCGAGAGACAGUUGAAAACAGAUUAAAAGAGACAACCAUUACGCAAGAUAGGAGAAAGCGGCACCGGGGAGUUUCUCAGCGAGCCUCGUUGAGAAGUUCAUCUCAGUAAUCUUUCAACUUCGACGCUCACCGUCGUUGAGAAGAAAGGACAAAACAGUUUGCCAAAGCCUAGGAACAGAGAAAGAUGAGUCUUUCUUUUCUCCGUAUUGUCACGUGAUGGCCUCGUGACCUAUUUUUCAUAAACUACCAAUUUUAUUAUUUAACAUGAAAAUUACGAAUUGCAUAAUGCUGAGAGGUCGUUGCAUCCAGCGUCUGUCGCGUCUGAGCAUGGUUCAGCUGCCGCUCCAGCCUUCUAGCUCCCCAUCUUCGUUUAAACUCAAUCUAACCAACUUUGAUAGUAAUAAUUCGGUUUGAUUUUCGGUUUAAGAGAAAAGAGGCUGGUUUAAAUUAAACCGGUCAACUGUUUUUGCGCGUUUGACUUUUCUUUGGUGUCUCAUAAAGGUGCAAUGCAAGCUUUGUAGUAGUGGGCGGCUUGUGAACCAAUGAAAAGUCAAUAAAAAGUUUCUUAAAAUAAACACAUUUACAGACAUGAGGGCUUUCUUCUUCAUUUAAGGCAUCUUCACGUUCUAGCUAGGUCGUUCCUUGCACAUAAAGGUAUCAAGACCAGACAAUUGGAUUCUUUUCCCAUAAAAGUUUCUAGACAAAUAUUUGAAUUCCUGUACAUAAUGAUUUCAUAUAUAAUAUUGGCAAAUUACUCUGACUAAAUAACUGUGAAAAUUUUGGGUUAUUGAUACAAAAAAAACUAGAAGUAGAACAGAAUACGAAUAAAAUUUGGUUUGGAAUUAUAAUUAUUGUUCCUUUAUAUGUUUUUACUAGGAAAAAUGAAGUAUUGAAAUAUGUUUUGAUCAUAUAGCUUAAGAAUGGGUUAAAAAGAAUGUGAAAUGAUACGUACGGUUUUGACUUUUGACAAAAUUAAGUAACUCUUAUAGGCAUGUAGCUAAUACUUUUGAUAUUGAAGCUUCAUCAAGUAAGCUUUUUGACUUGAGAUAAACUCAAAGAGUCAUCUUUUUUCUUAAGAUAUAACCAUAGGAGGUUUUAAUAAGUCAAUUUAAUUAUUUCUUCACUCUAUAAAAUCCCUCCUUUUCCAAUAACAUUCCACACCAAAAACACAAGAAACAUCUUGAGAAACUAAAGAAUCUAAAAGAAGGCAAAGAAGAAGAAUUGAUAUUGAGAGAUGGAGCACAGAAAGUCAUACGUGCUUGUAGCUCUCUUCGCAUUGCUUCUCUUGACCGAUAUUGUCAUUGCUGCGAGCGAUGGCGGCAAAGACAACGGUAAUAACGGCCAGGGACAACUAGAGAAGGCUAAAGGAGAAGAUGCUGGCAAAGGCAAAGGCAACGGUAACGGUCCAAAGGACAAGGAGAAAGAGAAGAAGGACAAGAAGGAGAAAGACGAGAAGGAGAAGAAGGCCAAGAAGGAGAAGGAAAAGAAAGAGAAAGAGGAGAGGGAAAAGAAGGACAAGGAAAUGAAGGAGAAGGAGAAGAAGGAAAAAGAGAGGAAGGAGAAGGAGAAGAGGGACAAGGAGCAGAGUGAAGCAGCUGCUAGAUACAGGGUGCUUUCACCAUUGCCUACAGGACAAGAGCAAGCCAUGUGCCAGGCUAAGGGUGCAUGUUAUUACAAAACUCUUGUUUGUCCCGGUGAAUGUCCCAAGAGGAAGCCCACCAAGAACAGAAACACCAAAGGUUGCUUCAUUGACUGCACUAGCAAAUGCGAAGCUACAUGCAAAUGUAAGUACAUUCUAUUCAAUUGGUCUUUGUUUUAGAUUCAGUUUUGCUUCUUUCACAAGUUAUCUCGUUGUAGAUUGGUUACUUGUCUCACAAGGGAAUGUUAACUUAUUAAACACGUAACUUGUCUUUACAGGGAGAAAAACGAACUGCAACGGCUACGGUUCUCUAUGCUACGACCCUAGAUUUGUUGGAGGGGACGGUAGGAUGUUCUAUUUCCACGGAUCUAAAGGAGGAAACUUUGCGAUCGUUUCAGACAACAAUCUCCAGAUCAACGCUCACUUCAUCGGUACAAGACCCGCUGGAAGAACCAGAGACUUCACAUGGGUACAAGCCCUAAAUGUCAUGUUCGAAACUCACAACCUCGUGAUCACAUCCAAUAGAGUGACUCAAUGGGAUGAAAACUCUGACGCAUUUACCCUUAGAUUCAACCAAGAACUCAUCACACUACCUGAAGACGAGCAAACCGAGUGGAGGGCAACUUCGGGAAAAAGAGAGAUUAUCAUCGAAAGAACCGACGAGAGAAACAGCGUGAGAGUUCUCGUCUCUGGUCUUGUUCAGAUGGACAUCAGAGUAAGACCUAUAGGGAAAGAAGAGAACAGAGUUCACAACUAUCAGUUGCCUCAAGAUGACGCUUUUGCCCAUCUUGAGACUCAGUUCAAGUUGUUCGACCUAAGUGAGCUUGUGGAGGGCGUUUUGGGGAAAACCUACCGUCCUGAUUACGUUAGCUCCGCCAAGGUUGGAGUCCCAAUGCCUGUGGUGGGAGGAGAAGACAAAUACCAAACGCCUUCUCUGUUCUCGCCGACUUGUAGACUCUGCAGGUUUAAGCCUCAUGAAGAACCACUCUCUGCUGAUAUCUAAUGAGAAGAAGAAGAAAGAUGGAAACCUACCAUUAUUUUGAAAUAAAUUCAUUAAAAUUUCGUAUUUGUAACUGUUUUGUUUCUGAAAUGUUCUAUAUUCGUAAAAAGUAAUGUAAUAAGAGCCAAGAAGAUAAUAUUUGGCCCCUUUGUGAUGUUUUUGAGGGUUUGAGAAACGUAAGACAUUUCUUGCGCCAGAAUCAAACCCUUGAUUUCUGGUUUUCCUUGUUGUUUUAUUGUGUUUUAAUUUGUAUGCGACUGAAUAUGUUUAUAUAUACGUGUAACUGUUUUGUGUAUAUUAAUGUAUUUAAAUCUGACAUAGUAUUUCUUGGAUCUAUUUUUUUUACAUGUUCUUCACUUUGAAAGCAAUUGUUUUUAGGGGUUUUGAUGAACAACUGGAGAUGUAAAUGUAAAACAAACGUAGGAGUUUCUGCUUCUUCUGCAAGUUAAACCCUAAAACAAACGUUCUAGGGUUUAACUUAGAAACUAUCUAGUCGAGCUUCUGCUUCUUCUGCAAGUAAUCUUGCAUCCUCUGGAGUUUAAGAAUGGCCCAAACUAAAUGGAAUAAGCAGGAUGGCUUUUAUGGGAAGUGAAAAAAAAUUAGUACUUUGAAAAUGCAAAUAAUAAAAAAAAAUUUUUUGAAAAAUAUAAUAAUAAAAAUUUGUUACUUUGAAAAUGAUUGAAUCGGUGAUGAGAUUCUACAUGCGAUUAUUACCAAGCAGGUGGUGAGAAGAUGGCAAUCCAAAUCAAAUCUGAUAAAUGCAUAAACAUCGCGUAGGAUGACAAUGUUGUUUUUAUUAAGCCCCACUUACACUUACAAACACAUUUUCCGACCCAUACAAACUUAUCUACGUUCACAUUAAUUUUGUAUUCGAGUUCAAUGAUGUUGAUUGUUGACAAUAAAUUAAAAUUUAUAAACUAAAAUAAUCAUAGUCAUUAAGUACGGUUUCUACAUUUUUAUUUGACAAAAUUAUGCUGGAAGUAGAAUUCAAAAUGGUGGAGCACAAUUAUAUUAUAGAAAUGGUGAAAGUAAAUGAAAAUUGUUUCACCAAAAAGCGUAAAUGCAUAUUGAUCCCCGCUUAAGAACAUAUUUUCCUAUGGUGGGAAUCUUGGAUUCUCUUCUAUCAAUUCCAAAAUACAGUGCGUUUCGCCCACAGAAAAAUGAAAAUACGUUCGAACAAUAUUAUUGAUUUGAGCGUAAAGGGUCUUGGAAAAACUUGGAUCGAUUUAUAGUAUGGUCUGAGGUUUUUUGUAUAUGAAUUAAAGUUCACUCAUAUAAAGUGAAUGUGAUACACUGGCAACAUUACUACAAACCAACAAUAAAUGUGAAAUAUGCUUAACAUUGAAGAGAGCCCACCACAAAUCAAUUGAUAUGUUUGCUUUUUUUCUUAAUUUUCAAGCAAAGUUGCAAGUUGCUCCUUCCAUUAUCAUAUACCACACCCUCCAUUAUUCAUCCCACCUUUUCAUACAGAGGAUUUGAUAAUUACAAAAAAAGUAAUGAUUUUUCAGACAUACUUAUGGAAUAGAAAAUGGAGUAAAGAUUGAUAUACUCUUAAGUGAUUUGUUAUUAUCAAAAUGAGAUAAAAAUUUAACUACAUGCAUGGCUUCCGAUAAGCAUCUAAUAAUUGAGUAAAAUGCUUUCAUAAUUUGCUCCUAAAAAAUCAUUACACUAAAUCCAAAAACAAUCCUUCUUUUGUUACUGAUGGCAUAUGGCCAUGUAUAGUUAUCACAUCACUUUUCCAAGAGGUAAAACAGUUCAUCUGACAAGAUGUGAUGGGAAUUUUACACACCAAACAAACAAAAAAAAUCAAAUCAUUACUGAUUCCUAAUUAACAAUCAACUUAGUUGUAAAAAUGUUGACCUCUUAACCAAUUAUUUUCCCCAUUUUAUUAUAACCCUUACUACUUCCUAUAAACUCGUAUCUCAUCCAAACAAACAUCAACACACACACACAGAUCCACCACCAUGGAGAAUUCUCCCUUCUUCCUCCUCCUCUCCACCGUCCUCCUCCUCCUCACAGCCACUCCCGGAACCCACUCUCAGCCAGCCGCCGCUCCGGCUCCACCAGGACCCACAAACGUCACAAAAAUCCUUGAAAAGGCAGGCCAAUUCACAGUCUUCAUCCGCCUACUCAAAUCAACAGGCGUUGCUAACCAACUAUACGGCCAGCUCAACAACUCCGACAACGGAAUCACUAUCUUCGCACCUAGCGACUCCUCCUUCUCCAGCCUCAAAGCCGGAACCCUAAACUCCUUAUCCGACGAGCAACAAGUAGAGCUAGUUCAGUUUCAUGUCAUACCAAGUUACGUCUCUUCCUCAAACUUCCAAACCAUCAGUAAUCCUCUCCGGACGCAGGCCGGUGACUCCGCCGAAGGACAUUUCCCUCUCAACAUCACGACCAGUGGCAACACCGUGAAUAUCACCUCCGGUGUAACCAACACCACCGUCUCCGGCAGCGUCUACAGUGAUGGACAGCUAGCUGUUUAUCAGGUCGAUAAGGUUUUGCUUCCUCAACAAGUUUUCGACCCUCGUCCUCCUGCGCCGGCUCCGGCUCCUACGGUAGCGAAGUCGAAGAAGAAGAAGGAGGAUGGUGAUAGUCCCGAUGAUGAUUCUCCGGCGGACGCUUCGUUGGCUUUGCGUGAAGUUGGUUCUGUUCGUAGUGCCGUGUUGGUUUGCGUUAUUAGUAUAUCGCUUGCAUGGUUUUAUUUGUGAUGAUAAGUUUUUCUAUUAUAUUACUCAUGCAUUUUUCUUCCUUGUGAUUUUGAAGUAUUAUUUCUCCGUUUAUUGUCAUGGAUAUUGCGUUUGAUUAACCAUAUUUGGUUUUUAUUUUGUUUCAUUUUUGUGAGAGUGAAUUUUAUUUUUGUUUAUCUCUUAGAUUUUUUUUUUUUGCCUUUUGAUCAUAUCUUCACAUCUUUUUUCAAUUUAAAUACGGUUGCUUUAAGGGAUUCUUACAAGAAUGCCACCAACUUUUAUCAAAUGGCGCACCAAAUUUUAGCAAAAAAAAAAAACUUUUAUCAAAUGGUAGCGGCAGAUGAUAGUGCCAGUUUAUAAAAGAUUGGUCUCGAGCACCCUUUCGUAGAUGACUGAUAUGGCAUAGACUAUAGCUGAAUAUUGUCUAGGUGCGUAAAAUCUGUAUGGGGGGAGAUGGAAAUAAUGAAUACUCCCUCUGUUUUUGUUUUUGAAAAUUUUUAAACAUUUUUCUGUUGUUUCUUAAAAUUAAAAUUUUAGAUUUUACAAAUAUAUAUAUAUAUAUAUAUAUAUAUAUAUAUAUAUUAAUAGUAAUGAAUUUCAUAUAUCAAAAUUAUUUAUAUUUUCAAUUUCUAUUGGUUGAGAGUGAUAAAAAAAUUCUUUAGUUCAGAUUUUUUUUUAUAUAUUUAUUAUUGAGUUUCAAAUAUUAACUUUUAAAAUGUGUGAAAAUUUUAUAAAUUGAUCUUUAAAAACAGAAGAAAUAAAAUUUUGUCCUAUUAUUGAUUUUUGAGGAAACAUCAACUUGCAACUGGUUGACUUGAUUCCUCAUAAUGGAGAGUCUCUUGUCUCUCAGCAAACAAUUGGGGAGGGCAUCAAAGCAUCAAUGACAGGAAUGAUGUGGAUGGAAUAGAGAAAGCGGCUGAUUCUGAAUGCGGGGAGGGGAGCAGUGAUUCCAUGGUGGCCUGGAAGGAGCAGCCAAUGGAAAAGAAAAGAUAAGAGAAAACAUGAGAGAAUCAAAUGAACUAAUAAGAGGAUAAUAAAUAUUUUCUAAGUUAUUUUCUAAAUAAAUAUAUAUUCUAAGUUAUCAAUAUGAUUCCUAAAGUAUAAAAACGCAACAACAGAAAAAUAGGUCUAGACUUAUGUUUCGGUUAUUGGUUGCACAUAUUCAUGUACCAUUAUUGUGUAUAAACGCCAAUGUCUAAAUUUGAUCAUAUCAUGUAUUAUACACCGAAACAAAUCUAACCCAAAAAAUCAGUCAAUCGAAUUACUUUUUUAGGAAAAGAAUCUCAUUUAUAAUUCGGAAUCAAAACUUUAACCGUCAUAUUGGUGACGCCAACUCCACCAAUGAAUCAUUUGUUUAAAUAUCACACCAACAUGGAGAUGAGAAGGAAUAUUAAAAACUAUCAAUUGCUUCCAAGUUGUGCGUGAAUAAGUACGGCUUAAUUAACAAAAAGUAUAUAUUUUAUCAAAAACAUCUGCAUAAUCCUUAAUUUGGAUGAAAUGUAAGCCGGCUGUUAACCAAUUUUCAUCCUUAACUGGAAAAAGGCAAUAUAAGAGAACAAUAAUAGAGCUUGAAAGUGUUGUCCAGAUGAACAAUAAUUAUGUUAAACCACGUAUCUUUCUUAGUUUAUGUCUCUACUUGCCUUUAAAGUUCAGGAGAUUCGUUCUAUUGAAUCAUCAAGAAUGGAUCACUUCUUGAAUUACUACUUUUGGAAUUUUUUUAUAAUUCGGGCCAACUAAUGUAAGUGGUAUGUUUUGAACCCGGAGCGAUUAGCUCUUUUCUGAGGCGCCAUACCAUCCGACCAUAUCCGCGUGGUUGUUUUGGAUGCUAAGGAAGCAAUUAUAUUUAGUAUUGCUAACUUCCAUCCCGUUAGGAACGGUCGCAGGUCAGCAUAGUUAAUCAUUCACCCAUUCAUGAAUUGUUUAGCAGCAUUGUUUCACCAAGAAAGCAUAGUAAAACGAAUAAGAUCGUAAUUUUAAUUAUCUUAAUUGUUGGAUAUAUGUAAAUUUUGUAAGAUUUUCCAAAAAAAAAUACUAAGCACUGAAGCUUCAAAAUCUAUCUCAUGUGUCAUGAUCAAUUAAAAAGAAAAUUAUUCUAGGAACUAAGAUGGUAUACCCUUAUUUUGUCUUAUAUAUUUAUUUUUUCAAGAAGACAAAACGCAUCAUCAACAUGAAAGAGAUCUAUAACUUUUGAAACAUAGAGGACGUUGUGUUUCUAUUCCUCCCGUUGGCAAAGUACUUAUUGUUGUGAAUCCAAACCUUCAGAACUUCUCUCUCUACUCCCACUUCCCUACAAAACUCUCUUACGUACUCAUCAUCACAGCCGUUGAUCUUCCAACCAGCUCUCUCUGCGAAAGCUCUCAUCAUCACCUUCUGCUUCACCGUGAAUUUUGUCCUCUUACGUUUCCUAUCCACCGUACUGAUUUUACCCAUGUCUUGAUCCGAGGGUCCAGAGAAACCGGAGCCGCUGAGAGAGAGAAGCAAGUGCUGCGUGGAUGCAACUGGCUGCAGCGGUGGUGGAGGCGGCGUUGAGUUGGUACGGUGAAUGAAGACGUUGGAAGGGUCACGGCGGUGGAAGUUGCGGUGGCAGCCACAUGCAUCGCAACUAAGGGACGGAGGGUCUGUGAGGAUGGUGGUGGACUUGGGCAUGAACUCACCGCAGCCGUCAAGAGCGUAGCCGCCGAAACUGACCGCUUGGUUUUUAAGGCACUCGUUGUACAAGAAACCCAUAUUCCACUAGUCUUUGUUGUUGGUGAUGAAAAUGUUUGUACUCAGUUUUUCAAGCGUUAGACCAUGAUUAUCCCUAAAACCCUUAAUGGGGUUUUUAAUGAUUUUUUUAAUAAUAAAUGUAACUUAAGAACUUUUAUUAAGAAACUUCCAUUUUGAGUGGUCCAAUGGGAGUUUCUUAACUAAAGGUUCUUAAAAAAAAUGUUUGAUGAAAAUUAUUCAUAAAGCUUGAGAUGGAAUGUUUGAUGUUGUGUUUAGAUAAUUAUUUGAGAAGUAAAAAGAACGUUUGAUCUUGAGAUAAUUUUUUUGAGAAAGAAGAAGAAUGUUUGAGAUGGACCUGAGAAGGAAGAAGAACGUUUGUGAACUUGAGAAGGAAGAUGAAUGUUUGUGAACUUGACAAUACAUUUUCAUUUAUACAAGUUUCUAAAUACACUUUGCUUACAAACAACAAAAGAUCAAAGACAUAACCGAAGAGCUUAGACAACACGGCCAGAUCGCUGAGCAAAACGUUUACAACUGGUUCCAGAACCGGCGUGCUCGGUCCAAGAGGAAGCAGCAUGGUGGUGGUGGUGGUGUUGGUGGUUCUAACAACAACAAUAAUGGUGCUUAUGAGGUGGAGACUGAUCAAACCGAGACGGUGAAUGAGAAGAGAAAGAUAUCAGAGAGUCUUGUUUCAAGAUAAGUGAUUACUAAAAUACAGAACAAGAACUGAACAAAAAUCCGUGACUGAUAUACAGAAGAUGACUUUACACUCUUCUUGACCUACACAAGUCUGUGACUGAUGACUGAUGAUUUUUCACUCUUCUUCACCUGAAAAAAAUGAGAACAUGACACCCUUUAUAUCAACAAUAUACAGAAGACUAGACUACACAAGUGAUUGCUAAAAAACAGAACAAGAACUGACAUCCUUUAUAUCAACAAUAUACAGAAGAGUAGACAUUUUGAUAGUUAAUUUCUUUACCUGUCUUCAAACAAAGAGAUGGAACUAGACAUCUUUACACUGCACAAAGACAUGUCCACAAUGAGCUAGUACCAGCAUCUUCCACUCCCAAUGCUACACCUGAAAAUAAUGACCAGAUCAAUGAACAUGAACAAUUUAAACAUAAGAACAUGAUGAGCAGAGCAAUGAACAUAAGAAUAAUGGUGACAGUUUUCCUCUUCUUGGUGAGCUUCUCCUUCUUAGCCUUAACCCUCUGUGCCUCAGCCAACAAAGACAUCCGCUUCAACUUCAACAUCACAUUCAAAUUCUUCAAAAGAUUCUUCUGCGCAUCCUUCUUAAUCGGCUUCACCGCACUCUGCACCUCUUGAAUCAGAAAAAGGAAUAAGCUUUAUGCUCAAAAACAGGAGAAUAAUCGAAGGAGAGUGAAGGAAUCUCACGAGAAAGCGCCCGUGCCAAGUCAAUUUGCGGCGGUUCACGACGUGAGGAGGAUAGGGAAGUACAAACGUUUGACGAUUUCUUUGAGAUUCCCAUUGUAGCUUCCUCCAAACUCCUCCGUCGUUCUGCUCUCUUCUCACGCUAUCCAAUCGUCGGAUUCUGAUUCACCUCUUUCUCCCACCUUCAGCCUCCUUCGUUUUCGACGAGAGAAACAAAAGAACAGAAAAGAAAAAGAGAAAAGAAAAAAAAUAAAAUAAAUGCAUUUGCAAUGAGAAGCUGACACGUGGGGUAAAACCUUUCUUAAUAAUCGAUCUCAAAAAUCCUUCCUUAAGGAUCGGUAACAGCUUUUUUAUUUUGUUUUGAUUUAAUUAAAUCCUUCUUUAACACUAAAACCCCUCUUAAGAAACCCCUAUAAUCAUGCUCUUACUAAUGACAUAUAUGUAUAUAUAUAUAUAUUAGGAUUCCAACCCAGCAAUGUGGGAAAAAUAAAUAAUAUAUUUAUUUUUAAUUGCAUAUAUUUGUUAUCCAUCCGUUUAAACAAACCGCAAAUUCCAUUAUUUAUCCAACUGAAGUGAACAGCUGAUACACACUAACAAAUACCGUUGAUUAAAAAAUUAUAGUAUACAAAGCAUACCCUUGAAAUCUUUCAAAGAGUUAACUGUUUAGACAAAAUUAUAGUAUAAAACUACGUAGAAGAGAAUCACCUCAUUUUCUGGUUGUAAUACAUAUUUUGAUAACAGUGUGGAACUUAACUCCCCUUCUCGACGGUUGUAUUUUCCGGUCUAGCUUGGAAUUCAGUCAUUUGGACUUUGCUUUAGUUUUGUCUUUUUGUACAUCAGAGAUUUUUUCUUUUUUUGUUUGCUUAGUUUUUUUCUCACAUGAAUAAUAUUUUGUUAUUUUUCUUGGUAGGGCCUUCAUGCAAACUACAUAAGCAAAGCCUCUUGCAAGAUGAAUGCAUGAGUCAGUCUAACUCUUGGCGAUUAAAGAGGAAUAAGUUUAGGUGAUAGAUAGAGGAAUGAGUCUCACCCGCACUUAUACACGAUCUUGAUAGGGGUGAAACUUCAUGACAGUGGAGAAUAAACAUGUAGUGGUGUCUGUGGGGGCCCUCAUGGCGUUUAGGCUAGAACGCCGACAAUAAUGAUGCAAGCGAAGGCGAUGCUUCCAAAGCGAGGAAAGCCAUGUGUGUUUGCCUUAUUCAUCCACUUACACUAUUUCAUUAUAUGUUUUGAUUUGAUGUUUGAGCCGUUACAAUUUAGAUUUAUGUGUAACAUUGUUGUUGCUCUUUUGAACUUUUUAAGGAAAUAGUCCAUAAAAAUAGUAUAAAAGAAAACAACAACAACAACAAAAACAAUACAUUUAGCAUGUAGUCGGACUCAGUUUUUCGUGUCAAAAGAGUGCUGCAAAUACACAAUUCCCACCAUAUCUUUAGCAAAAUUUCUUAUGUCUUCAUGUCCCUUUUUCUAAAUAUUUCAAUAUCUUCUCUAAUGGAAAUUACAAAACAAUAAGGCCCCAUAUUAUUCGGGCUUAGAUACAGUACAACAAAUCCGAGAAAAUCUUAAAUUUCAUAAACAAAACCCUUCCAUCAGGACCAAAAUAUUCACCAUAAUUCAUCCAUGUUUUUUCAUAAACUGUAGUAUAAAUUAUUUUGUGUAUUUAUAGAAACUUUACCCAAAAUACUAUUUGAUCGUACAACAUUCAACUCACCGAAAGUAACGCCCAACCAAAGCAGUUGACUCAUUGGUUUCUACUACGACUCCACGUUUCUUCCUGAUCAUUCUAUACACCUAAAAGUACCCCCAGAUUUGACUUUAUUUACCAUUUUGCCUUUCCUUCACCACCCUCCUUUAUCAUCUUCCUUCACCUCUCUCUUUACCCUUUUCCGUACAACACAACAAUGGCGAGAGGCUCUUCCCAGUCCCAACAAUCAACCUCCACCGCUUCAUCAACCGCCAGGCCCGGUCUGGCCGCUCCCCGUGGAUCCGCCGCCGCUACGGCCGGCAUGCGUCGUCGCAGGCUCGGUGGCGGUGGAGGCGCGUCAUCAGGGGGCGGAUCCGUCGCUGGAUCAGGAUCGAGCAACAUGCUGAGAUUCUACACAGAUGAAGCUCCUGGUUUGAAGAUUUCACCUACCGUCGUCCUCAUCAUGAGUCUCUGCUUCAUCGGCUUUGUCACCGCUCUUCACGUCUUCGGAAAACUCUACCUCCACAAGUCCGGAUCCAAAGCUUAGAUCCGGAUCCGGAUCUCUUCUUCCGUAUGUUGAAUCAGUGGUCGCUUCUUGUUUCUUUUUUUGGUUUCUUGUUUCUUGAAUCUUGAUGAUCCGUGUAAAACCGCUUAACUUUGAAUAAAACAUGUUUACUUAUGGAGUAGAUUAACUCAUUGACAUUAGUCAACUGAGAUUACAUUUUCUGAUGGAAAAAAAAAGUUGAAUAAAACAAAUUGUGUUUAACAGAAAUAAACACUAAAAUCAACAAAGUACAUGAAUAAAUCAAAAAGAAGACAUGGAAACAAGCUUUAGGUGACAAAGGCAUAUAUAGGUAUUUGAUGCUUUUGGAAGAUUGGAAAAAACAAGAGAAGUACGGGGGCACAUGUAGCUGUUCCGGUCAACAAGUUGGAGGAAGUAGACUUUGCGGAGAGUGGCAGACCAUCUUUUUGUGCGAGAUUAAUAGUCAACUCUGAGUGAGAUUCAUGCAUAUGAAAUGAACGGUGCCUUCAGGCCACGGUUUAAUGUGUUUAUACCAUCUACACCACCAAGCUUGGACUACCCAUACGGUGUCUUAGCAGUUAGCACCAAUGUCUUCCAGCAACACAUGUUUGUUGGUAUUCAUUAUCAAUUCAAGAUGAUGUUCUAAUUGAUUUUGUGAUGUAUGUAACUCUGCAGUGAGUACUUCAACGUCUCUUUCCGUAGUAAUUAAGAGAUUUGUGAAAUUUAUGGACUUAGGAGUAAAGGGUUUCAGAGCAGCACGACAAGGAUGAUAUAACGACAUUUUAGAAUGGUAUAAGAAUCUGUAGCCGAAUCACUAAGCAACCUUUGUUAAACGCCACAUGCAGCGAAUAAUCAUCGUCUGUCUCCUUUAUUAUGGAUAUCAAUUUAACAGCUGUUGGUUACCAAAAUCUUUUUUCUUAAAAUAUAUACAUAUGUAACACCAAAACUGAAGGGAAAGAAAUAUAAGUUGACUUAUGAUUAAUUUUAAUAGUUUAGAAGCUUAAGCCAUUUCCAACCCAAUGUGAUUUCCACAUAAAACAUCUUCAACAUAACACUAAAAGUUAGUAUAUUGUUUAGUGCAAUACUAUAAUUUCACAUCAAAUUUAGUAUCUAAAACUUCUUCUUCUUCUUUUGGUAAUCAUCUUUAUCUAAAACUUCUACAAUCAUAUUUUAGAACAAUACUCAAACUCUAAUAAAAAGAUUUUAAACAAAUAUGUAUCAGUUGAUCAUACCAUUUUUUUUUUGGUAAAAGGAUAUGUUCAGCGACAAUUAUGGUUUCGCAAACUGAAUGUCAUAUGUGAUCUUACAUUGUAUACCAAUAUUAUAUUACUAAAUACAUAAAUAUUCUUCUAUAUGAAAUAUAUUCCUUGUUCUGCUUAGUGAAGAUUCUUGAGCUUCAAUGUUAUCAUUGAGUUGAUCUAUUUUUGCUUAUAAUGGAUACUAAUUAAUAUUGAGAUCAUGAUGUUGAUAGAUUCCAUAGAUUUGUCAACAUUUUCGUCUAAACCAUUUGCGUAGGCCCCUUGUCAAAUGCAAACAAACAAACAAACAAAAAAAUAAAGAAAAUACAUUUUCUCUUGUGGGUUAGCGUCAAACCAUGUGAGUUCUGCAAACACAACUCAUAAAUUGCUAGGCUUUUCUUAAAAUGUUCAGGAUGAGGAUGUGCUAAUCUUUGAGAGCUCAUCCUGGUUCCUGUCAUCCAUGAAAAAACUUCACAAAGACCAAAACAUCUUCGAGCAAAGAGAGAAAACCUGUCUUGGAACAGAUUAUCAUUUCAAGUAUAGUAAAAAGAUCUAGAAGCUCAAACCAUGUCAUGUAACGACCAGUUUCAUGCUUUAGUCUCUUGCAAGUACAACGAGAAUAAUAGUGAAGUGAUGAUGACUUUAGAUUGAAGAAGAAGAAAAAAUCAAACAUGGUCUGAGAUGGUAUGCAUCAUUUGUUAGAGGGGAAGGUAAAAUAAGAGUAUUUAACUGAUAUACCUUUAAACUUCGAAUUGCAUCUCUUUGCAUUUAGAUGCACAUAUAAGGAUAGCUACGUAGGAGAGAUACCGUCAUCAGCUAAACUCUUAGAAAAUGUGAUGGCGCUAUCUCUCCUGCGAAGCAAAUCUAUAUGUGCAGUUUUCAAACCUUAGAAGAAGCAAAGAACACUCAAAUGACGUUUCUGUAUAUAUGUGUAAUCACUCUAUGAGCUAUUAAGAUUCAUCACAUAUAUAUAUUACCUUAAAGGGUCUAAGAAGAAUGAACUUAGUUAUACCAUCACUAUCAUUGCUCUUUAAUUGUCUUUUUGUUUGCCGCUUUCUAUGUGGCUACAAUCAAAUGACAAAUUAUCACAAGUGAGGUCAUCGUGUGAAUGUCACCUCCAAUGAUUUGGCACUACCUUGGAUAUUGUCACAUUUAUUUUGUUAGUUGUGUGCAGGUUUCUUCGGUUAAUUUGAGCUCUUGACUUUGCAUUUGUUAAGAGAUGUGGAAUAUGAACUGGCGAAAUUUUUGUUAGGUUUUCACGCAUCAAGGUCCUAUUGUAAGUCUCAAAGGUAUUAACUUAUCGUUAACCAAUCCUUGUAUAGUGUUGGUACUAUGUACUGUGAGUAGCUACUGGAGUGUACUUUGUAGCACAAGAUGAGCUAUUGUCUGUAUCGUUUGUGUGACACUUGUAUGUAAUCCAAACAAAAUUCAGUAACAUGUUGUAAGACAGCCGGUAUAUAGGUUAUCUUAUUAAUCUAGUGAUAAAUUUUGAUCAAAGAGUAUUUAUUAUUGAAUAUAGUUUGUUUUUGCAAUUGAUGAAAGAGUAUUUAUUUUUAUAUAGUUUGUUUUUGUAAACCAUUGCAAGAUCAAUUUCAACCAUUAUUUUUAACAAAUGCUCUUUUUAACAAUACUGUGUAAUAAAUGGUGACAGUGAUGUCAAAACUAACACUACUGUGUUUAAGACUCUGCUUUGCUUUAUUGAACAAGUUGGGUUAGAAACACAAGUUGGAGACAUUGAUGAUGUAACAGGUGAGUGCUGCAUUUAUUCUCACUGAAAAAGAAAAACUGAAAAACCUUAUUGUCCUCUUCGUAAUUUUAUCAGAAUCCAAAUGAGUAAAAGAAAAGAAAAAAGAAAGAAGAAUCCAAACUCGAGUUGUCAUGUGGAGAAAAGAGGUAAAGUGAAGCCAAUGUUUACUUUCACCGUUUACUAAAUUAUGAAGAAGAAGAAGAGACCAUACGGUCCAUACCUACUUCUACUACUCUAUUACCACAUAUCAAUUGCCACGCAACAAGAAAAAAAAGUCUCUCGUAACAGUAAAGUGGAUAUUAACUACACAGUACUUCUAUAUAAUCUUAUACCAUCCUUAAUCCUUUUCCAUUUCAUGAUCUUGUCUUUUUCUUCUCCUUCUUUAGGUUUCCUUCUUUAAAAAAAAGAUCACAAAUUCUGAAUCUACAAAGAGAAAAAUGCUGACAACAACUCUUAGUGGCAACUAUGGCUUCCCUCUUUGCAUCUCUGGGAUCGCUCAGCAGUUAUCUCUCUCCAAAGAGUAAACAUGUUUCUUAUGUUUAUCUGUCUUCUCUCUCUUGAGAUCUCUGUUUUCUUUCUGACUUGUAUCUCUCUCCCUCUAUGUUGAAGAAUGGCAGAUCAUGACAAGAGAAGGAAGGGGAUGAAGAAGAGAAGUAGAUCAGAUGAGUCCAGAAGCCAUGGUGGAGAAGAAAUGGGUGUGGAGAGAUUCCAUGAGCUAUGGCUUCAAGAGAUGGCAGAGAGUGAGGAUUUUAGAGAUCUAGUUGCUUUACUAGAAGAUCUAGGGUCAUGGAGCUUUUCUUCUUACACAGCUAAAGCUCCUUAGUGUUUGAAGAAACCCAUAACAACUCUUUUAGAUCUCAUUGAGUUAUGUAUGCUUCUUGUAAAACUGCAGAUCAAAAAUCUUUAAAACAUUCCUGGUUGUUUUCAGUGUUGUUGACACGUCUACUCUGUCGCUGGUGUGAUGUUCUGCUGCCUCUUUUGGCCUUAUCCUAUUAUUAUUUUGGAAUUUUGUUCUGUGAUUCUUUGGUCGACGUCAUGAUCCAUUAACUCUAAUCUUUAAGAUCAGAAAGUAUUUGUUUGGUAAUAUCCGUUAUUACUCUUGUUCGCUUGUAUAAAGAACACUUAACAUCUAUCAGCAUUGAGUAAUUUCAAACAAUCCGUCAUCAAUUCAGAUCUUAAACAAAAGAAAAGCAACUUAACGAACACUCGAGAGCAUAAAGCAUUUAGGCAAAAUUAUCCAGAAGCUGCAUAAUUGAAAACCACAAUAGUCUCAGAGAUCCAAAAACAAGGUAGAAAAAAGUCGCAGAAAAUAAGGAAAAGGCUCAAACGCCAUCAAAGUUUUUGUAAUGCAAAGAAAAACCAAAGACUGAGAGGUCACUCAUCAUUUGGCUCCCUUCUUGACUGCAGCCUUGGUGACCUUAGCACCGGUUGGGUCCUUCUUGUCAACGCUCUUGAUAACACCAACAGCCACCGUCUGCCUCAUGUCCCUAACAGCGAAACGACCCAAUGGUGGGUACUCAGAGAAAGUCUCAACAACCAUGGGCUUGGUUGGAGUCAUCUUAACCAUACCAGCAUCACCAUUCUUCAAGAACUUGGGCUCCUUCUCAAUCUCCUUUCCAGAUCGCCUGUCAAUCUUGGUGAGGAUCUCAGAGAACUUGACUGCAAUGUGGGAUGUGUGACAAUCAAGAACCGGGGCGUAUCCGUUACCGAUCUGACCAGGGUGGUUCAUGAUGAUGACCUGGGAGGUGAAGUUGGCAGCACCCUUGGCAGGGUCAUCCUUGGAGUUGGAUGCAACAUACCCUCUCUUAAGAUCCUUGACAGCAACAUUCUUAACAUUGAACCCAACGUUGUCACCUGGAAGCGCCUCCACAAGAGACUCGUGGUGCAUCUCAACGGACUUAACCUCAGUGGUCAACCCUGAAGGAGCGAAGGUCACAACCAUACCGGGCUUGAGCAUACCGGUCUCAACACGUCCCACUGGCACCGUUCCAAUACCACCGAUCUUGUAGACAUCCUGAAGUGGGAGACGGAGGGGCUUGUCUGAGGGCCUCUUUGGCUCGUUGAUCUGGUCAAGAGCCUCAAGGAGAGUUGGUCCCUUGUACCAGUCAAGGUUGGUGGACCUCUCAAUCAUGUUGUCACCCUCGAACCCAGAGAUUGGAACGAAUGGGAUUUUGUCAGGGUUGUACCCAACCUUCUUCAAGUAGGAAGACACCUCCUUGAUGAUCUCAUCGUACCUAGCCUUGGAGUACUUAGGGGUAGUAGCAUCCAUCUGAAUCAACAAAACUUUGUGUUAGUUAAACCAAACUGAAUAAGCAAUCACAAUAAGAAAAUCAACAAUGUACAGUGACUUCACCUUGUUACAGCAGCAAAUCAUCUGCUUGACACCAAGGGUGAAAGCAAGAAGAGCAUGCUCACGGGUCUGACCAUCCUUGGAGAUACCAGCCUCAAAACCACCAGUGGUGGAGUCAAUGAUCAAAACAGCACAAUCAGCCUGGGAGGUACCAGUAAUCAUGUUCUUGAUGAAAUCACGAUGUCCAGGAGCGUCAAUGACCGUGCAGUAGUACUUGGUGGUCUCGAACUUCCAGAGAGCGAUAUCAAUGGUGAUACCACGCUCACGCUCGGCCUUAAGUUUGUCUAAGACCCAGGCGUACUUGAAGGACCUCUUGUUCAUCUCAGCAGCCUCCUUCUCGAACCUCUCGAUGACACGCUUGUCAAUACCACCGAGCUUGUAGAUCAAGUGACCAGUGGUGGUCGAUUUUCCAGAGUCGACAUGGCCGAUGACCACAAUGUUGAUGUGAAACUUCUCUUUACCCAUAGCUGCAACUCGAUUAUAACAAAUCAAACCAUUAGAUGAAAAAAAACAAAUCUCAAACUGAUACAAAUCAGUAUAAGCUAAUAUAACUACGAAAUCGAAGAUCUAACUCAAAAAUCUCAAAUCAGCGUGACCGAAACGCAUCAGAACGAACAACAAUAGAAACAGAUCGCGAUGAUUAUAACUCGUAACAAUAAAAUAAGCUAAUUACAACAUCAGAAUUUUCAGAAUCCAGAUGACGAACAGUAAACAAGACGAUUCUCUAACAGAUCGGUGAAGAAUCAGAUCUUAAACACGAGAAUCUAUACAGUAUAACAUAAUAGAGCAAGCGAUGAAUCACAGUCUAAGUACGGCUUACGAGUAGAAAUCUAGAUAACGAAAGCAUAAACGAUAAUACAGAAACAGAAUCAAGAAUCAUACGAAGACGAUGAUGAUAAAACAUUAAGGAGCGAGAGAGAGAGCUUUUCUCACCUGCGAGUUAGAAUGUGAGAGAUGCGGCUACGAAACUGAUGAGUGAGACAAGUAAAUGAGGACGCACCCUAAGUCAUUGUAAUUUAUAGCUGCGAGCUCUAGGGCUUUCGCAUUUGCAUCGUGGUCCUAGUAUUACUAAUUUGCCCUUUCUAUUUUGGCUUUCUGUUGGCAAAAUGUAUAUUAUAAAAUACUAGGGGCAUAGCCCCGUGCAGCCGGAUACGUUGUUGAUGAGUUGUGUAGUGUUGUGUACGGGAUGUUGUCUUUUUUUUUUAAUUUUUGUUUUUCUGUGUUGUCUAUAGUGAUAAUGAACGGAACAUUGGAAAUCACACAACUUUUUUUUUAUUUUUAAAUCACACAAUUUGAUUAGGGUAAUAUAAGAAUGACAGACGAAUUAAUAUGUGUUGAUAUUUUCUUAUCUUAUCUUCGUAAUGAUUUGAUGGAGAUUAAUUAGUGGUUUCAUGUUCAAAACCUGAAGUUUAAAAGAUUCGUUAGUGUUUACUUAGGUAGAUUUUAGUAUAUAAAUCAAAUAAUAUAAGGAAGAAGGUAUAAAAAUUCGGAUUUAAAAAUUUAACAAUUUAUACGAACAAUAAAUUAAAUUAUUUUUCUUAUUUUACCCAAAAUUAGUUUAAAAAAUAUAUAAUUGUAGUAUACUGUUUUUGUUAAAUUAAUAACUCUAGAAAUUUAUAAAAUUAUAAUUACAAAAUUAUUUAUUUAUAUAGUUUUUAGUGGACUUUGUUGAAAAUGAUUUGUAGUGGACAAAAAAAUCUUAAAUAGGUUGACCAAUUUUGUUCUAUUUCUUCUGAAUUAUAUAUUUAUAGGUUGUUGACCAAAAAAAAAAAAUUUAUAGGUUAAUGGUUAUUCAGAAUGAGACAACCAGAUGUUGGUAUCUCUUUUGGGGGCUCGUUUUUUGUAGUGGUUCAUCUGAUUUUGGUUAUGAUCGCUUGAGAUUUUGACGUAAAGAGUAUAUAAGAAAUCAAGAGAGAUGGGAGACUAUGAGUUGAAUGAAAAAAAAAGCAUAUUAAGAAGACAAUAAACAACUAUAAAGACUAAGUGGUAAACCAAAAUAGAAAAGACUAUUGUUUCAAACUUAAAAAAAAAAACAUGUCAUGCAUAAGUUUGCAGAAACUCUAAAACUGACGACAACUAACAAUUAACAGACCGGCAAACACUCAGCAUGAAUCACUUCAGUCUUGAUGAGGAAAACUGAAGGAUAUAGCACGAGUUUCCAAGGAUGGUUACUUGCCCCCAAGAGAUGGGAACUGAGCAGUAUCUCCAAUGGCAGGCGCAACUUCACGACAGUAAGUCAGUAACCAUCAAAUCCACCACCAGAAGCACCUCCCCGGUCACGACCACCACGUCCCCUUCCACGACCUCCUCCUCAGUAUCUCUUAAAACUCGUUUAUGCUCACAGCCUGAAACCACAAAACACAUCCAUAAGCAAACUUAUUGACUUCUACAAACUCUUUCAUUCAGACAACAAUGUAAACCUUCUUAGCCUUCUCUGCGUUUGUCCUUAUCAGAACCGUGGGAGAUACAUCAAAAGCAAGGUUAAAUCACACAGAAACAUUCCUAAACAAAACAAAGGCAUAUAACUCUGAAAGCUAUCGAAAAUUGAUAAUAUUACGACAACAAACAAAAAAAAACUCAAAAGAGCAAAAUUAAUGUUUAGAUAGAUUGGCUUUCUUUUAUUGUGGAUGGAGGAAAAAUAUAAAGAGAUCAUUCUUCGCGCCAAGUUUGCUCGCAUUUGACGCAUCUAUAAAAUCUCGAUUCUGGCUCAUCCGCUGAACGAAUCUGCAUUGUUUUGAAGUAUGCCUUGUCGUGUCCGCAUCUUGGACAAGGUGCUGACAAACAAACACACAAAGAAUCCAAUAAAUAAGUAGUUAUAAUCAAAGAAGAUCGAAGAUGAAAAAUAAAUGAGAUUCAUCCUGUAUAACCAGCAAAACAAUUGAGAAAAACGCUUUCAUAACUAAGUCAUCAAUGAUGUACUUUUGACUCACUAAUUCAAGUGUUCUACCAAUUUUUAUUGAUUUGCUUUUUCUAUCAUCAACCAAUCAACGAUACAUUAAGAAUACUAACAGAUCAUUAACCAAAAAGCGAAAAGAAUACCUUCAGUUUCAGGUCCUUUUGGUAUAUCAUCUUUCUUCACAACUGGGUCAAUGGAUUUCUUAACCAGCAAUUGCUUCUUCUUUAUCUCAACCUGUUCAAAAAAGCACCCAGAGAGAGAUAAACGACCUUUACCUCUCAAACAAAGGAGUGGUUUUUUAUUAGUUUAAGUAAGAAUUAAGAAAAACCUGUCUUUCUAUGCGGGCGAUGUAAGGACAUGUCGAGCAGAAGAACUGUGAUUGACCGUAACGCAGCAAGUUCCCACAUGUUGGACAGAACUCCAUCUCGAUCAAUCUCUGAAACAAGAAGUCUGUUUUUUUAAUCCAACAAAGAUAAGGACAACAUUAGGUGUCUUGCCCUAGGACCCAAUAGGAAGAUGACGCAAAACAUAUUUGUUUUAUGGCCAAUUUCCCUAAUAUAUCGAUACACCGUUUGUCAUUCCUAUAAUAUUGCUAUACUACCUUUUCAUUCCACCGGUGAAACCUGCAAAAGAAAGUAGUCUUAAUUAAUAAUUAGUGAUUGUAAAAAGAAAAAAUGUGGCCUUGGUUAUUCUCAUAUAUCUAACAAAGUAAAUUUUCAUUGAUAAAAUAUAGAAAGGUUAAUAGAUUCAUUUUCAGAUUUGAACGACAAAGAUACCAUUGACUACAUUUUUAGAGAAGUUUUGUGGAAGAGAAGAUCAUUUUUGAAGGUUUGGUAGGUGACAGAAAGUGUUAUAUAUAAAUGGAAUAGUGAAGAUGAUAUGGAAUAAAAUUUAGAUGAUACGGACACAACUUAAUAGGUUUCAAAAAAAAAAUCACAUAACAGAGAUAAUAAUUGACUCUGUUGGGCCAUUUAUUGAGAUACAUGUGAUUAAUGUGAAUUUGCGUUUAUGUAGAGGUGGAUAAAAAGAAAAUCACCAGUGGCUUUCUCGCAUUUAAUAUUCAAAAAUUAAAUAAUAUUAACUUUAAAUAUCAUGAAAAUCAUAUUAAAUAUUUGUAAACAAUAAUUGUUUAGUAUAAAUAAACUUAGUCUGAAAAAAUAACAAAUGAUGAUAAUAAGCCGUUGCUUAGCCCGCUAAUCUUAUAUUAUAUCCUCAUACAUAACAAAACAAAUAAAAGGGAGAUUGUGGUUUUGAUGUCUUGACCAUAUGCAUAAAAUGAGAUAAAGAUGGAUUGAUUGAAUUUAUAACCAAAAAAAAAAGAACUCACGUAUACGCAUGAGAUGUAAAGCGAGUUUGAUAAUUUAUUUUACACUUAAUUAUUUAGAUGUGUUGGAACUCGUUUUUGACGAAAUGGUUUAAGACUCUUUUUCGGUAAAUUUCCGAACGAAGACAUUUGUCAGAAUAACCGAAUGUCAGAUACAUGUCAAAAUUGGAAUUGGUUUAAAUGAAAAAUGGAGAUCCAAAGUGAAUGUUUUACAAAGCUGGUAAAACUUUAAAUUAGCUAAAUAUGAAAAAUUAGCAAUUGUUUCACUUUGAAAUAUUUGGGUUGAAUUUAGAUUAAAUUUGUUAAUUGGAUUAAGUCCAUUAACUUAUUAAUCUUAUUCACAAUAACAUUUUAUGUUUUUACAAUAUAAAAUAUGAACCCAUUAGAUAGUAUUUUGUUGCAAUUGAUUUGGUCAAUCAAACAAAAUGAACUUUGAAAAGUAACGUGUUAUCAUUACUCAGGGGAAUCAUUUCACCAUAAUGAUAAUUCAAACGUUAUUGAAUACUCCAUAAUGGUCACAAUGUACGUUUUACUCUUUGAGAGUUAUAAAACAACACUUGUGCUCUCAUUUAGAAAGAUGGAUUCAUACGUUCAACAACAACAAAAAAAUUCUUCCACUUGAAUAAUUUAUUUUUUAGUUUUUGAGUAUGAGAGUACAUCACAAAAAUAUGGUCGAUAGAUUCUGUUUUUCGGUGAUGGUAAACAGAAGCAAUGCUGCAGUUGUAUCCUGGGAAUCUGAGCGUCAUGAAACUCUCACACUACGGGGCGUUUAAAAAUUUAAGGAAAGAGAUUAAUUAUCUCGACUCUGCAAUUCUUCUUUAUUCUUUUAUUUCGGUAUUAUAAUUUUAAUUUAUGUUCUUAUUAUUCUUUACAAAUAUCAGUUGUCAUAUAGUAGUAAAAUAAGUUUCUUACCGGAUGUGUAUCGAAGUUUUUAAUGUUAUACAUAAAAUUGACUGUACACUUAAUUGCCACAUGAUUCACGUUACCAGCAUAAUUGCACGUGACGAGCUGACAUAAAACGAAAUAUUCAUUUUCCCGCAGAAACAACCUACACGAAUUUUCUGUCAUGGUAUUUAAAAAAAAAAUGGCAAUGAACAACGUUGAAUCGUUGAUGUUAGUCAAAGCCAUAACUUUUUUUGGUGUAAAUGUUAAAUUUUAUACCAAAUUUUCUUUGUGACAGAAGUUACACAGAACACAAGUAGCGGAAAGAAAAUAUAAAUCUAAAGCAACACAAGAGAGAAAGAAAAAGCAAACCCAACUGAACAACAGACAUAACCAUAUUAACAAAAGGUUUUAUGGCUUGGAAGGAGCCAAAACUUGACACAGGAAGCAUUGCCACAUGAGAAGGAAGCCUUUGAUAAUCCAUAAGACCACGCUUUGGUAGAAAUCGGCUUGCCCGCAGCACUACUCCAAAUGAUUGACUUCCAUCCACACGCAGCUUUGCCAUCCUAGUCGCUGCAACUCAAGCCUCACACAACCACCGGUAGAGGAGGACCCAAGCCCCUAGAGCUUCAGUCAUCGAACCGCCCCAAAAAACCUUUAGAGCACCUUCUGGGAUGCCGAUGAACAAUUAAAAUCUACACUUAUUAGACUCGUCUUCGGAAAUAAUUGCGAGCCAUAGCAGAAAACCGGGCGUGGUGAGGACCACAUCCUGAUGACGUUCAUCCUUCCUACAAACGGACCGAAGAUCGGCCCACCAAAGCGAUCCAAGCGAAUCACAGAGGUGCUGGGAAAACCAAUCCUCACACGAGUCUCCCACGGAGAGACAUCACUCCAAUGACCCAAAGGAGGUCUGAACUAACCGCCUCGUGCCACAACUGAGAACCAGAGGCAGCUCCGCAAUGCCUCAUCAACACAACAACACGGAGGGAGAUCCGAACCAUUACCUGAUGAGCCGGAGAGAUAGAAACACCACGCCACACAACGACGCAGACGACAUCAAGAGCGGCGACAAACUGAGAGGAGAGAGAUGGAGCAACAAGCAACAAAGUCCACGGCAAUGUCAUAGACGACCCACCAUGAAACAGAGUACGAUUGUUGCACGCGAGCAACACAGCAGCUACGGCAUCCACACGAAAGCCUUCACCGCCACGGUCGCGCACCGGAGAGGACUCUAGACCCAAAUUUGUCCGGAGAAAACGGCUGGCUCAACGAACUCGACACCAAGCAAGUGAGCCAACACGCCGUCGGACUGGACCUCCAUGAACCCGGAGUAAGACACCAAACCACCGGAUCUGAAGAGAGGACCGGCCCCGCUCAGCCACGCGCCCUCACUGCUGUAGAGGAGUAGAUCUGGCGAAGGGGAAAACUGUGACCUAACCCUCUACACAACCCUAAACUCCGACUUCUCACCAAAUCCAGUCAAUCCAACCUCGUCGUAACACCAUCCUCUGUCAAGACUCGUCGGAUCUACACAGAUCGACGGAGCGGCUAGACUUCAUCGAACAGAGCCACAAACAUAUCGGCUAGAUAUGUGAACCGGCGGAGAAGCAAUACAUAAAACAACAAACUGACGCUUCCGACGGUGGAGCCGCCGGAGCAAACUGUCGGAGAUAAAAGCUUGACCUUCUUUUUUUUUUUUUUUUGAGAGAGUUUCGUUUAGAGGAGAGAUAGUUUCCUCUUUUUGUUUCUCGCUGGCAUAAUCAAAAAGCCAUAACUUUGUAAGCUAUUAUUGUCUUUCGAUCAAGAAAGAAGAUAUUUAGGUCUAAGUAAUAUGUUGUUCGAUUAAACACGCAUGCAUAUAUUAUCAAGUAUUAUAUAUAUAUAUAUAUAUAUUAUUAUUAUUAUUAUUAUCAAGUUUUGUCAUAUAUAUAGUUUUUGAUUUAGAAAAAAUAAGUUAUUGCUUUAUUCGGUACAUAUAAAGAGACCAUAAGUUACAACAAACAUAAACACUCCAAGGUGCCAACUUUCAAGAAAUCCAAUAAAUAUGCGAAUGCAUCAUGCAUUUAUAUGCUGAUCACCACAGAAUGGGGUACGCUGCAUAUGCCGCAACACCUGAAUUUCAACAACGAAUCAACACAAAGUGAGAAUCUGAGAAUCUGUAUCUCUUGCCGUUUUAUUUUGUAGACUAUAUCCAAAAUAAGGUAUAUGUAUACGAUUAUAGAUCUUAAAUUCCAUGAUAAAUGACUUACCACACAUGUUCUUCCCCAUCUCCACCUUGAUGUAACCUUUCUCGCCCCAAUCCGCUCCCCACGAGUUCUGUAUAAGCCAAUAUGGGACACCGUCUUCAACUCCAUAGCCAACCACCAACAUGAAAUGGUUCAAGUCCUGACCGCCACAUUUAAAAAACGAAUUACACACUAACUAUAUGAUAGGUUAAUGAUUCUACUUGCAACGAAGUGUAAUAAAGUCUCACCUCUGUAGUAUCUCCACACUCAUCACUAGUGUAGACUCCUUCCUCGUAAAAAGCGAAUGAGUUUGUAACGUGAAAUCCUACGGUGACUGGCCCGAUGGAUGCGACCCAUUGCUUCAGUUUAUUUUCGUCAAACUGUUGUUUAUCCAAUCAUCAUUAAUUACAGGUUACCUGAAAGUAUAUUUUAUAGGCGGGUGAAAACCAAAAUCCGUAAAAGACGCUUACCGAAACGCCUACGCCUACGCCAUAGCUCUUGAUUAAUUUACCGACCAGUAAAGGCUCAUAUCUGCAUUUUCCCUGUGUACCUCUGUAAGGGUAAGCUGCUUGAUAGUUGACUUAAUUUGCGCUCUACGUUGUACUGAAAGGCGUUGGCAGCAGCCCCGCCAUCGCAUCCAGUGUUAGUUGUAGAACAAUCCAGAAGCUGUUGCUCAGACAAGGAAAUUCGGCCGAGUGGAUAUUUCUUUCGGUAAGCGGCCUCAACAGCUCCAACUGAGCUGCUUACCAAAAUCGACCAAUAUAUGACAAUUGACAAACAACCUUGACUUUUAAUCUUACAUCAAGAGAUGGUACAAUUUUUAUUUACUUUUUACAUCAAGAGUUGCUACAAAAAUUUAAGGAGAUAAAUAUUCUAAUCACUAGUUUACCUGAUUGCCCACCCAGCUUCACAUUGUCCCUGAUCUCUAACCGGGCUAACUAUACCAGCUUUUGUCCAGUCUUUCUGCGGUUACACAAUUGAAAGACCAAACAAAUCAAAUCAAAUAUAAAAAGGGCUAAACAUGUUUUCUCAAAAAUGAAAAACAGGACGGAUGGUUCAUUACAGCACUAGGAAUUGUGGUUGUGUCUGUGACAUUGUGUCUGCCCUUGAAAAUGCCGAAGCGAGAACAAUCAAACUUGUUCCUUAGAAACUCUUGGUUGGUCAAAUCAGCAAAUUCUGUUCGGAUCAAGAGACAAUAAGAUGGGCCAAUCCUUAUCCAUUAAACCAAACAAGGAUCACGUAAAAGACACACACAAAGAACAAGAACUUGAUAUUAGCAAUGGGUUAUAUACAGCUAUAAUAUUAUAUUUAAUUAGUCAAUUGAUUUUUUAUUUACUUAAGUUUGGAAGGCUUAUCACCAACGAAAUAUGAAUCAACUUGAUAUUCAUUUGGUUUACAUGAUAUAACUAAAAUCAAACCAGAUUAUUGAUGUUGGUUGGUUUAGACUGAUUUGGUUCAGUUUUAUCAAAUUGUACAUUUUAUUUUAUUUUUAAUAUUUUAAUACAGUUAGUUAGUUAGUUAUAUUUGACUAUAUUACGGUAUCAUUACCAAUGAAUUUUCAAGGAACCGCACCCAUCAAUUUAUUUGGCUCAUAGACUUCUUUCAAACCUCACCAUAAUAAUCCAUCAAGAGACUGGAAUUACAACUUCAUGAUAAGAACGAUAAACUUACUAUUGACACCGAGUUUGAAUGGUAAGCCUUUCUUGUUGGUGGAUCCGAUUAAAUCAAGAUUCUCCUGGAACACCGAGAAACGGUGUUUUAUCUCCUCCUUGUUUUGAUACUUUUUCCCAUACCUUUUCAUCACGAAAAUAACGAAUCAGUUUGUUUAUCAUAGAGAGGGACUCAAAGUCAAUGGUGAAUGCACCACUGGUAAAAGAUGGUACUUACUUUUGAGUGAAGCGAGCGAAGGAGAGAACGUCGUCCGAUUGGCCUAAGAUCUUGGCAAACAAGUCCUCUAGCUUCUUUAGAGCGUCGGAGAUCGGAGUGGACUCAUGGGAUCCGAUGAGAAGCACCAGAACCACCAAUGAUAGGAUUGCUCUCAUAGACAUGUUUCUCUUGUACUCACUCACGUUCUUGUUUUUUUUCUUUCUCUGCUACAGUGUUUAAGCUGAAGCGAUCGUGAGAAGUGAUCUUAAUAUGAUAUGACCUUUUUAUACCCAAAAAGUUUGUAAUAACUUUUAUUAUAAACUUCUUUUUGUAAUUUAUUCUUAUUUAUUAGCAUAGUAAGAAAUAGUUUAUCUUUAUUUUAUAUUUGGUCAAAAGUUUAUAUUUAUUCGUUAAGUCAACGAACCCAUGCAACCACGUUGUAUAAGGAACCGAGAGGGGAACCAAAUCAGACCGAAUAUCUGUUAAACGUGGUUCAUAAUUAGUCUGGACGUUUUUAAUAAGUGUAUUAUAUAAAAUAAAACAUGACGAUCAUAAAAUUAAACGUGAUCAAUUGUGUUAUAUGUUUUCAAAGUCUAUAAUAAUAAUAAAGUACAACUAAAUCAUUUGAAAAUAAGUUACUGGAGAAUCUUCCUAAGACCAUGAUUAACUCGGAGUUCUUAGAGUGAUGUUCUUAUCGGAAGUUAAAAAACAGUUUCUUAAUUUCCGUUAAAAACUCCAUCAUAAGAAUCCCAGUUUAAUCAUGUUUAAAGGCUUCUCAUGGGCCGUGCUCUCAUUCCUGCUUGAAAUGCUCGAACCAUGUGUAAGUGAUUAGCUUUCAAUAUCCUAAUCUCUUAUCUCAAUAUAUUCCUCACUCUUCCGUAAGAUUUAAUUAUAUUCACAAUCAUUAUCUACUACUAUCUACUGUAGUGAGCUUCUUUUUUUUUUGAAAUAUCCUAAGAUAGUACUAAAAUUUUUUUGGUCAUAGAUAUAGAUCUAAGGAUCAAAAUGACCAAAUUAUUUCAUUAAAAAGGUAAAUAUAUAUUUAUACCUUUAGGGUUAACUAAUUCAAACUUUAAAGUUUAGAGUUAAAGGGUGGAGAUUUGGGAUUGAGAUUUAAAAUUUUAUAAAAUAAAAAAUAAAUAUUAAAAAUUUUAAAAAUAGUUUUAAAAAGUAUUUUCGAAUUACAAAAAAAAAAUUUGAUAAGAUAAAAAAAAAAUUUCAACAAAAAAAAAUUAUAAAAAAAUUCGAAUUUGAAAACAUAUAAUCUAAGACUAUAAAAGAAAAAUUAUUUUUAACUUUUUUAUAUAUAUAGUAUUAUAAUUUUUUUACCUAUUAAAUAAAAUAUUUUCGUCAUUUUUGUCUUUAGAAUCUAUUUUUGUGACAAAAACUUGAAAAUGAUUUAUUUAAGAAAAUUGUCUUUUUUUUUGCAGCUGCUUGUUCCUUUUUUCUUACUCUUAUUGCCAGGAAUGCAAAUAAUUUGGAACCUAUACUAUUAAUCAUUUAAUUAAUAUUUUAGCAAACAUAACUUAGUCAGCUGUAUAUGUAAUUUGUUUUUGAUAAGUACGUGAAUUUGCAACAGAAAAUGUAGUUAAUUUGUACAAUGACAAAAAGGUUUUUUGAUAAGUACGACUACUAAAAGGUGGAUGAGGUCAGACAGCUGUAUAUGUAUUAAAAAUCUAUAUUGAUCAGUUCUCAAAAAAAAAAUUAUAUUGACAGGUGUAACAUUUUUAUUUUUGUUUGACAAAAGGGUUUAGGUGUAACCGUGUAAGUAACAUGCAUGCAUAUAUAUUAUAAAGUUUCACGUUUUUCGGUACAAAUAACAGACCAUACAACAGGCAUAAACACAACGAUGUGCACUCCCAAGUGCCAACUAUCAAGUAAUGUUAAUCCGAUAAACAUGCGGCGAACAUCAUGCAUUCAUAUGCUGAUCAUCUCAGGUCAGAACCGGGUACGUUGCACGUGUCGCAAAACCUGUAAUUCAACAACGAAUGAACAAAAGAUAGAGCAUCUUUUUUUUUUUUUUUUUUUUUUGUCAACUUUAUUAUUAUUAUUAUUCACUUCUACAAAUCCAACAAGAAAAUGGGGGAAAAAAGAUUAGCAAGUAGCCCGCCAUUAAAACCAAGCAAGAGGGAAGUGAGUAGAAAUAAACUACUACUUGGGAUGGGUCAUUUAUCAAGGCUUGAGAGAGAGAGCCAAUCCAACCUUAGCACUCUUGUCGAUGGCCUUAGUGUCAACUUCUCCAGAGACUGUGAAGAAGGACUUGGGUGACCACUCGUGUUGAAUGAGUGCAUUGGCUAUACCCGCACUGUUCACACGUGCUUUCACCAUGGUCAAGGGGUCAAUCGAGUGCUGCGUUCCCACGGUUAUGGUGUUGACCUUGCUAGAGAAUUUGUGGUUCACUUCAGCUCCAACAGCGGUGUUGAACAGCGGGUUAACAAUGUGGUAGUAUGAGGCGUUGACAGAAUCUCCUUUGUCGUUCAGGGUAAGGGAAGCAAUCAAAUCAUCCUUGGUGAAGUUGAGGCCAGCAUUGAUCUUUGUGAAAUUGCCUGAUUUGGUGUCGAAAGAAACGUCAGUACCAACAGCCAACGCAUUGUUCCCAAUAACACCGGAGAAGUUGACAGUGGGGUUCUGAGUCAAUCCCAUGCUGGUGCUGAUACCAGCGUAGUCGUGCAAGUACUGAAGCUCAAUCUUGCCGGAGUUUUGGUCAGGGGCCUUGAAGCUGAAGAUGGACUUCAAUCCAGGGGCAGCCUCAUCAACGGUAGCAGUGAUCAAAACGGUAUUGUCAGUGGAAACUUUGAAAUCGGUGGUGAUGUUUUUUUGCUUGAGUUGAAAAACUACAUCUCCCAAGAGCGAUUCACCUUUCUUUGUUCCGGUUGAUGUGAUGGCAACACCCGCAGGAGAGUAAGUGGUGAUACUCAAUUUCUGGUCACUGUUGUGGUCCUUGUACAGCAGGUCUCUGGCUUUUUUGCCGAUGUCCGUGUAGAGACCUGGACCUUUCCCCAUUUCUUUUUGCUUCUCCUUGAUAGUAUGAUAUUAGCUCCAGAGAUAGAGCAUCUAUUCUGAGGAUAUGUCUUUUUAAAUCUUUCUUUGACAUGCUAUAUCCAAAAUAAAAUUUAUAUAAAUAGAUUUAGCUUAACUGAUAAUGGUUUUAUGCAGGGCCGUCCGGAUCUGCGAUUUUAGCGACCAUAAACUAAGAACUUUAGUAAAAUAAUUUUCUUUCAUAAUUUGGGAACCCAUUUUUAUAUAUAGAACCUUCAAAAAAAUUGAAAAUCAAGGUAAAUGUUUUACUGAGUUAUGUCCAGAUCCCACACUUUGGCUUUAUGGUUUCACGAAAAAAACAUAACUUAUUCAGCUGUAUAUGUAAUACAAAUUGACUUACGAUCAAGAACAAAGAUAUUUCAUUCCAAAUCAUUUAUGUUGAUAGAUUUAACAUGUACUAGAUUCUGACCCGCCCCUAAAAGGGCGGGUAUAUUUUUUGUUUUACAUUUUAAAAAAAAAAUUAAUUUUCAUAUUUAUAUUUUUCUUUAUAAUCAUAUUUAUACUUUUCUUUGUAAUUGUGUUUCUCUUUGUAAUCCUAUUUAACAAAAUAAAAUGGGUUUUAUAAAUUGUGAUCCAAUGUAAAUAGAAACCAUGUUACCUUUAAAGCGCAAAACUAAUUCUAAAAUAUAGAAUUAGUGCGUUUGUUUACAAAAAGAAAUAUGGGGUUAGUGGGUUACAGUUAUAUUAUUUACUUAAUAGAUAAUGACUUUUUAAAUAAAAAAAAUAGUUGGAUCCUACUUUUAUUGAUUGGUCAUGCUGCUGUUUUAAUAGAAUAGAUAACAUUUAAUAAAUAUUUUUGAUCAAAUAACCUAUUUCAAUCUCGUUAAACUAAAUGAGUUUAUAUGAAUGUUUAUUUCUAUUAAAACCGUUAAACCCUAUUUUAACAUCUUGCUCUUUGUUAAUUGAUAAACUUAAUGUCUAUGUAAAAUAUUUAAAAUUUGAAUAAAUUAAUGUCUAGUUGAAUAAAUCCUAUUUUUCUUAGGUGAGAUGUAAGUUAUAAUUAAUUAAAAUAAUUAAAUAUACCAAAUUUUAUGAUAACAGUUUUAAUUUUCCACAUUUUAUUUAUAAACUUAAGUAGGUGUUUUAUUAUAAUAUAGAACAAAUUAUAGAAAUUGUUUGAAUAAUAAUGUAGGUUAAUAUUAUCCAAUUAAGCAAAAUAAUUUUCAAACAAUAGAAAAUUUUAAAAGCCCAUACACAUACACAAUGCAUCAAUAGAGGCCCAAGGCCAGAUACAAAAAAAUUCCGACCAAAAACUAAUUAUGUAGAAAACAUAUUUUUAAAACGGAAGUUACAUAUUUUUAGAGAUUUCUUACGUAUUUGCAUCUUUAUAUAAAUGUUGUUUAAUGUUCAAUAAAUUAAGAUAUAUUGAUGCAGUUAUUAGGUUUGUGGCCCCUGAUUAUUAGGCGUGUAUACGUGGUGGUUACAUUCUGAAAUUAAAAAAAAGGGUUGCAGUUAUCAUAUAAAAUGUAUGUAUUAUUGAAAUAAUAAUUGGAUCCUACUUUUAUCAAUUGGUGACACUGCUGUUUUAAUAGAAUAGAUAAACUGAAAAGACUAUUCAAAGAAAUUUAUCUCUAAAUUAUUAACUAACUUUAGAUAUUUUAUUAGAAAAUAGAAAAUAAGUUUAAUUGUGGCCAUAUUAUAUCAAUUGAAUAGUUUCAAUUUAGUUAAAUAAUAUAUAUUCGUCUAAAUAUGAUUUGAUCGUUUGUUGUAAAAUUAUAAAAAGAGUACAGAUAAUUGUUACAUUAAAUAUUUGAUAGGUUAAUUAUAAAACCAAAAAACAUGAACCAAAAUCCUAAAUAUCAUAAAAUAGAAGAAUUGGUUGUAAUAUUCUAUACAUGAUAGGUACCACGGGUCCCAAUUUCAAAACAAAAACAUUAUACCAUGGUUCUCUGAAUUUUGAUGGUCGCCUUCUCUAACAUGUCGUAAAACUUCGCAUUAGAAUUUAGUUGUAACUUGUAAACGUCCACUAUUAUAUGGUUGUUAAGUAUAUAUUAAUAAUUUAUUUUAUGCGUUCAAGAUAAUUGAUAACCGUAGCUAUACGUACAUAUAAGAAGAGUCCCGAAAAUAUUGGAAGUAAAAGGGAAGUUACAAAAUAUUUAUAUAAAUCAAUAGCAGUUUAUAUAUUUAAAAGAAAUAAUAAUUGGACUCAACUAAUAUCAGUUGGACAUGUUGUUGUUUUAAUAGUAUUAACUAGAUAUUGACCCGCCCUCGAGAGGGCGGGUAUAUUUUUUGUUUUUAAAAUUUUUAUCUAAUAUAAUUUAUAUGUUUGUGUGUUUGUAUAAUCAUAUUUUGUAUGAUAUGAAUUUUGAAAAAUAGAUAAUUUUUGUAAGUAUAUUAAAUAAAUCAAGUUUCAUAAGUAUGUACUUGUGUCUUUCUUUGUAUCAUAUAUGUAUUUUUUGUAAUCAUAUUUGUGUUUUUAUCUGUGAUAAUAUUUGCGUAAUUUUUUUUAAAGUAUUUUGAUAAUUGUAUUGAAUUUAUUAUAUUUUUAAACUAUAUAUUUGUACCCUAGCCUUUUAACACAUUAAUAUGGUACUUUAUUUUCAAUUCAAACAGUAUUUUUUUUAAAAAAAAAAUAACAAAGUAUUGUUACAAUUUUGUUUAGUAAUAAAACAGUAAUUAAAUAAAUAGAUUAAAUAAAAAAAUGUUUUUCAUAAAAUUGGAAUUAUUUAUAUUCUUAUAUAAUUAUAAUCACAUUAUUAUUACACAUAAUAUUACACAUAAUAAUUUGAAUAGCAAUUAAAAAUGGGUUAUGCAAAUCAAAGUCCAUGGCCCAAUUUUAAUGGGUUUCGUAAAAAUUUAAUUUUACAUUUUUUUUACACUUUUUUUGUUUUACAUUUUUUGUUUUACAUUUUUUGUACGGGUAUAUUUUUGUUUUACAUUUUUUUUAGAAAUUUAAUUUUCAUUUUUGUGUUUCUAUUUGUAAUUAUAUUUGUGUUUUUCUUUGCAAUAUUUGUGUAUAAUCUUAAUUAUAAUCUGUUUCAUAAAACAAAAUUGCAAUUUAAAGUGCCCAUAGAAAUACACACUGCAAGCGUUGAACAAUAUGUGUGGUCAGUGUUUUGAAAUUCGAUCCGGAUCUGCGGUUGAACUGGUACCCAGUGACCUAAAAUAAAUUCGGUUUGGAUUUUGUAAAAAGAAACAAUAUUUAAAAAACUAACAAAACCCGUAAAAAACCCAGAAUCCGGUUAUCGGUUGAACCACUGGUUAAAAUAAUUGAUAACUUUUAAUUCUUUUUAUAAUUUUAAUCUAUUCUAUUAAAACAGCAGUGUGACCAAUUAAUAAAAAUAGGGUCCAACCAUCUAUUUACUUUAUUUAAAAAAACCUUAUAAUAAAAUACUACCGACGUUAUAUUGUCAAUGCCAAAAACAGUUUCCACUUUUUCUUUGCCUAUAACCAAAACAGUUACGUUUCUUCCUACAAAAAUAAGUUAGAUUAUUGAUUUUUGAUGAACACACAAUUUUUCGGGAUUGAACCCAGUUGCAGAAACCCAAUUCUAUUCUUGGAAUCCCAAUUGAAUAUGCAAAUAAAAGCUCUUUUGCAGAGUUUUUCAAUCCGGCGAUAGUGAUGCGUUAGCUCCUUCAUGGAUGGCCAUGGCCAUUUUAGAUAGAUAGUGGGAUAAAGUGUCCAAUGGUGAAGGCGAUUUGAGAUGUAGUUAGACGCGGAAGAAGAGAAGCAAAUCUAGGUGAAGAUGACUGAAUUUAUCUGUUUAAGGUCUUCUACGGUGGUUCGUAGAGGAUCUUAAUGGUAUCCGUGGAUUAGAAAUUGAUAAUGUUUCGAUUACAGUGGAAAUCGUCACCGGUGAUGCUAAAACGGUGGAUGAACAAAGCCGGCGAAGGAUGCUCAUCGACCUUUCUUCUUGGCAUUCCACGUGUCCUAUACCUGUUGUUUUAUUAACUCAUCUUUAUCUUUUGCGUUUGCAAUUGAAAGUUGGGUUAUUGGACUUAUUUUGUUUGAUGUAGAGAUAUGGGCUUUAUAAACAAAUGCACUUUAUAGAUCUUUGCCCAUUUUUUAUUUUAAUGCAAUUGCCGACAAAAAAAAAAAUAAUCUAACAUUCAGUUUAAUCACAAAAUACAUGGAAUCCACUUCGUCAGAAACUGAACCGGAUCACUUUCCAAGUCACCGGAUCAUCCGAUCAACCAUAGGUAAACUACAGAUUAAUAAAUAAAUUAAUUUUAUUAUAUAUUUAAUAUUAGUUAUGAAAAUAAAUAUAUACUAGAUUCUGCUCCGUCCUUAAAUGACAGAUAUAUUUUUUGUUUUAUAUUUUUUUAAAAAUUUAAUUUUUAUAUUUGUGUUUUUAGUCAUAUUUAUGUUAUUUUUUAUAGAAUAUUUCUCUUAAAUAAUUAAUAAGAAAUUUUAAUAAUUGCAUUAAAAUAGUUAAACCAUAACUAUAUCAAUAGGUCAUGUUGUUGUUUUUAAAAAGUGAGAUUCUAUUUUUUUUAUAAAACAUAAAAUAAUAAUUUGGAUAUCUAUGUAUUGUAUGUUUAAAAACAUUUAGUAAAUAAUUAAUUUUAGUUUUUAUAUAUUUAUUUUCAUUUGACAUAUAAAAUAUCAAAAAUAGUUUAGAUUAUUUAAAAAAAAUUACAACAAGUUAAGAUUUAUGACAUCUAACAAAAAAUAUCAAAACUUAAAUAUUCAUAAAUAUUUGUAUGUCUAUUAUGAAUAACAAAACUAAACUUCAAAUCGAAAAUAAACAAAAAUAAAACAUAAUUAAUAAAAUUAUCGAUAACAAAACUAAAAAAACCUAAUUUCUUAAUUAAAAAGCAUACAAAGCAGAUUUAAAAAUAUAAUUAAAAUUAUAAAAAGAAUUAAAAGUUAUCAAUUAUUUUAACCAGUGGUUCAACCGAUAACCGGAUUCUGGGUUUUUUACGGGUUUUGUUAGUUUUUUAAAUAUUGUUUCUUUUUACAAAAUCCAAACCGAAUUUAUUUUAGGUCACUGGGUACCAGUUCAACCGCAGAUCCGGAUCGAAUUUCAAAACACUGACCACACAUAUUGUUCAACGCUUGCAGUGUGUAUUUCUAUGGGCACUUUAAAUUGCAAUUUUGUUUUAUGAAACAGAUUAUAAUUAAGAUUAUACACAAAUAUUGCAAAGAAAAACACAAAUAUAAUUACAAAUAGAAACACAAAAAUGAAAAUUAAAUUUCUAAAAAAAAUGUAAAACAAAAAUAUACCCGUACAAAAAAUGUAAAACAAAAAAUGUAAAACAAAAAAAGUGUAAAAAAAAUGUAAAAUUAAAUUUUUACGAAACCCAUUAAAAUUGGGCCAUGGACUUUGAUUUGCAUAACCCAUUUUUAAUUGCUAUUCAAAUUAUUAUGUGUAAUAUUAUGUGUAAUAAUAAUGUGAUUAUAAUUAUAUAAGAAUAUAAAUAAUUCCAAUUUUAUGAAAAACAUUUUUUUAUUUAAUCUAUUUAUUUAAUUACUGUUUUAUUACUAAACAAAAUUGUAACAAUACUUUGUUAUUUUUUUUUAAAAAAAAAUACUGUUUGAAUUGAAAAUAAAGUACCAUAUUAAUGUGUUAAAAGGCUAGGGUACAAAUAUAUAGUUUAAAAAUAUAAUAAAUUCAAUACAAUUAUCAAAAUACUUUAAAAAAAAUUACGCAAAUAUUAUCACAGAUAAAAACACAAAUAUGAUUACAAAAAAUACAUAUAUGAUACAAAGAAAGACACAAGUACAUACUUAUGAAACUUGAUUUAUUUAAUAUACUUACAAAAAUUAUCUAUUUUUCAAAAUUCAUAUCAUACAAAAUAUGAUUAUACAAACACACAAACAUAUAAAUUAUAUUAGAUAAAAAUUUUAAAAACAAAAAAUAUACCCGCCCUCUCGAGGGCGGGUCAAUAUCUAGUUAUAUUUUUAAAUCUGCUUUGUAUGCUUUUUAAUUAAGAAAUUAGGUUUUUUUAGUUUUGUUAUCGAUAAUUUUAUUAAUUAUGUUUUAUUUUUGUUUAUUUUCGAUUUGAAGUUUAGUUUUGUUAUUCAUAAUAGACAUACAAAUAUUUAUGAAUAUUUAAGUUUUGAUAUUUUUUGUUAGAUGUCAUAAAUCUUAACUUGUUGUAAUUUUUUUUAAAUAAUCUAAACUAUUUUUGAUAUUUUAUAUGUCAAAUGAAAAUAAAUAUAUAAAAACUAAAAUUAAUUAUUUACUAAAUGUUUUUAAACAUACAAUACAUAGAUAUCCAAAUUAUUAUUUUAUGUUUUAUAAAAAAAAUAGAAUCUCACUUUUUAAAAACAACAACAUGACCUAUUGAUAUAGUUAUGGUUUAACUAUUUUAAUGCAAUUAUUAAAAUUUCUUAUUAAUUAUUUAAGAGAAAUAUUCUAUAAAAAAUAACAUAAAUAUGACUAAAAACACAAAUAUAAAAAUUAAAUUUUUAAAAAAAUAUAAAACAAAAAAUAUAUCUGUCAUUUAAGGACGGAGCAGAAUCUAGUAUAUAUUUAUUUUCAUAACUAAUAUUAAAUAUAUAAUAAAAUUAAUUUAUUUAUUAAUCUGUAGUUUACCUAUGGUUGAUCGGAUGAUCCGGUGACUUGGAAAGUGAUCCGGUUCAGUUUCUGACGAAGUGGAUUCCAUGUAUUUUGUGAUUAAACUGAAUGUUAGAUUAUUUUUUUUUUGUCGGCAAUUGCAUUAAAAUAAAAAAUGGGCAAAGAUCUAUAAAGUGCAUUUGUUUAUAAAGCCCAUAUCUCUACAUCAAACAAAAUAAGUCCAAUAACCCAACUUUCAAUUGCAAACGCAAAAGAUAAAGAUGAGUUAAUAAAACAACAGGUAUAGGACACGUGGAAUGCCAAGAAGAAAGGUCGAUGAGCAUCCUUCGCCGGCUUUGUUCAUCCACCGUUUUAGCAUCACCGGUGACGAUUUCCACUGUAAUCGAAACAUUAUCAAUUUCUAAUCCACGGAUACCAUUAAGAUCCUCUACGAACCACCGUAGAAGACCUUAAACAGAUAAAUUCAGUCAUCUUCACCUAGAUUUGCUUCUCUUCUUCCGCGUCUAACUACAUCUCAAAUCGCCUUCACCAUUGGACACUUUAUCCCACUAUCUAUCUAAAAUGGCCAUGGCCAUCCAUGGAGGAGCUAACGCAUCACUAUCGCCGGAUUGAAAAACUCUGCAAAAGAGCUUUUAUUUGCAUAUUCAAUUGGGAUUCCAAGAAUAGAAUUGGGUUUCUGCAACUGGGUUCAAUCCCGAAAAAUUGUGUGUUCAUCAAAAAUCAAUAAUCUAACUUAUUUUUGUAGGAAGAAACGUAACUGUUUUGGUUAUAGGCAAAGAAAAAGUGGAAACUGUUUUUGGCAUUGACAAUAUAACGUCGGUAGUAUUUUAUUAUAAGGUUUUUUUAAAUAAAGUAAAUAGAUGGUUGGACCCUAUUUUUAUUAAUUGGUCACACUGCUGUUUUAAUAGAAUAGAUUCAUAUAUUAUUAACUUUGUCAUCUAUAGUUUUUGCUUUAUUCGGUACAUAUAAACAGACAAUAUGUUAUUUGGUCAAAAAAAAAACAGACAACAUGUUACAACAACCAUAAACACGCUGUGAACUCCCAACUGUGCCAACUUUUAUUUAAUUAUAAUCCAAUAUGUAUGCGAACAUCAUGCAUUCAUAUGCUACUGAUCAUCUCACGCCACAACCGGGUAGGCUGCAAGUGUCGCGACACCUACAAUUCAAUAACGAUCAACAAAAAGUAGAGCAUCUGAGAAUCUCUCUCUCUCUAGAUCUUUCUUUUACAGGUUAUAUCCAAAAUAAGGUAUAUAUAGGCUUUACUGAUAAUGGUUUUAUGAAAAAGAACUUACCACACAUGUUCUUUCCCAUCUCGACCUUGAAGUAACCCUUUUCGCCCCAAUCCUCUCCCCAUGAGUUCUUUAUAAGCCAAUAUGGGACACCAUUUUCAAUUCCAUAACCAACCGCCAAAGCAAAAUGCCUCAGGUCCUAAAUGGCACAUUAAAAAAAAAAGAGUAAUCUCAUCCAUAUCAUUUUUUUUUUUAUCGAACUCUCAUCCAUAUCAUCUAAGCAAAGUUCCAAAAAUGUAAUAAAAUAUAUGUAUACAGUAAGUAAAUAGUUUGGGAUGGGUAUCCCAAAGUUAAAUAUAAUACUUAUACACGUACAUUUAUAUUUGAAUUGAAAACUUUAUGGUGAUAUAACACGUACAUUUAUAUUUGAAUUGAAAACUUUAUGGUGAGAACCACAAAGGGUUUAAUAUAUAUGGUGGCUUUACCUAAGAUUAGGGUUAGAGUUUUCACGUUGUAAUUCUCAGAGAGAAACACAAAGGAUUUUGGAGUUUCAUAGCUGAGUGAAUUGGCAGACUUGAUCAACAAGUGUUGAGUCAAGCAAGUUGGGUAUGUUAGAAAUCGAUCCGUGUCGAGUUGUGUAAUUCGGAUCAAACAAGUCUGUAAGAGAUUGUGUAAAAGAUUUCUAAUAAAAAAUACACGAGUUCUUGGAAUUGCUCUGAUACCAAUUAUAAAAUUGAGAUAUAGCGAAAACACAAGGCACAAAGUAAUUCCAAGAUCACUUUAGGUGGAUUAUCGGUUGUUACCCUUGAUGAUAUUCAAAUUCAAAUAGGCAAAGGCAAACAUGUUUCCGCAUAAAACUUUUUAUUUUAAUGUAAAUAAUGGUAGCAUAGUAAAAGGAGAGUUUGGGACAUGACGUAAACAUGUUUGUGAUAGGUUUGGACUCCUGCGGAAGCCUAAAUUUCCAUUGUUUGACCAAGAUGAAUUAUAAUGCUUUCAUUUAGGAAACAUGCAUGCAUGGAGCCGUCGUAUUACUCGUAGAUACUAGUCUCCUAUGGAAUUAGUUGGGUAUUGGCUCAGACAACACUGGAUUACCAAAAGAAUAAUUAUUUUAUUUAACUUUGUGACACAAGAGUAACUAGAACCACUUCACUGUUCAAAACCUGUGAAGAAGUAUUUCAAGUAAACCCAAUUUAAUUUAUAGCCCACGGAUAUUAUUGGGCCUUAGCCCAUAACUUCUUUAGUUUAUAUAUGAAAAAUAAAAUCAAAGAUGUUUUAUUCCCUUUCUUUUGAAAAAGCUCCAUCGUCAAAUCGUUUCGACGGCGCCUCAGAGACUUAUCCUUAAAACCCUAAUCUUAAUAAGCCGGCGAAUCUGAACUUUCUUUCAAGACUAAAACAAUGGCGGGAGCUAACAGUGGAACAAGGCGACAAAAGCCGAACAUACUGAUCACGGGAACUCCCGGUACCGGUAAAUCGACGACUGCUUCUGCUCUGGCCGAAGCCACGAGCUUCAAGCAUAUCUGCGUCGGAGAUCUCGUCAAAGACAAGAACUUGCACGACGGCUGGGACGAUCAGUUCGAGUCCCACGUCAUCAACGAAGACUUGGUGAGUGAUUAAUCGAAUCGUGAUGUAACUUUGGAAUCUUUAGAGUCUUUUAUUAGCUGUGUAAUUGUUGUGUUUUGAAUUUUGGUUUCAGGUGGUUGAUGAGCUUGAAGAUGUAAUGGAAGGAGGAGGGAACAUUGUGGACUACCACGGCUGUGACUUCUUCCCUGAGCGGUGGUUUGAUCUUGUUGUGGUGCUUCAGACUGAGAACUCCAUCUUGUAUGACCGUUUAACGAGGAGGGGCUACUCGGGGACCAAGCUUAGUAACAACAUUGAAUGCGAGAUCUUCCAAGUCAUGCUUGAAGAAGCAAGUGAUAGUUACGAAGAGGAGAUUGUCACCGCGAUGCAGAGUGACACCAUCGAAGAUAUCGAUGACAAUGUGGCGAGUUUGACGGAAUGGAUUCAAUCAUGGAGGCCCUGAGUAAUCAUUAUAUCAUUAUGCAUGUUUAAUGGUGUUAUAAAGUUUUGAUUUUGGUACUUGCUUUUAUAUGGAUUCUGUUAGUUGCAAUUUAUAAGCGCAAUUCAGCUGUUGAGAGACUAGCUUAUGUAUGUUCCUUUUGAUUCUUAAUAAGAUAAAAAGUUUUCAUUUUUUCCUACUGUGAGAAGUUAUCUAAAUCUGAAUCAUACUCAACCUUUGUGGUAUUAUUAGUUAGUAGUGUGUAAUUCAAUUUUAAUCACAUCCGGAACUCGAGUAAAACUGCGAGAUAAGGUAAAGAUUAAACUUCGACCAAAAAAAAAAAAAAAAAAAAAAGGUAAAGAUUAAACUUGAAGAGAAAGUCUCUCUUACUUAAACGAGUUUGAUGUGUCUAGUGGUUAUUAUAAGAUUUGCAGCUCUGAUGCUAUAUUGUUAGCAAUUGGGAGAAUAUUUUGUCAAAGUUUGUACCUUUUGGCUUGAUAUGGCGUGCCUACAAGCUGUUCGACAAAAUGACUCAACGAGAACAACUGGAGAAGAGAAAGUAAAGUACUAUUAACUGACCUUUGUUUUUGUUUGGUUGUUCAGGUGAAACAAUGCUGGCCAAGACAUAUCUUACGAGACAUCCCCUUGUUUUGAGGUGCUUCUCAUCAGCUACUUCAAAGACGCUUAAGGUGGGAGAUGUUUUGAGAGAAGCAAGAGUGUUCUCAAGUGAAGAUGUUAAGGGCUAUGCUGAGGUGAGCCAUGAUUGGAUUUGGAACCCACUGAUCAAGACUCUGCUCGUAAAGCCGGAUUCGAGAAUCCUCUUGUCCAUGGGAUGCUUGUGUCUUCUAUGUUUCCUCAUAUCAUCUCUUCCCAUUUCGUAAGUUCUCUAGCUUUAGUUUGCAUUUAUCCAUCUUAUACAUGUCCUAAUAAACACAUUUGGAGAAACAUGAUUUGAGUCAUUUUGGUCUUGUUGCAGCCUGGAGCAGUAUACGUAUCUCAAACUCUGCAUCGAGAAAGUAGCCAAAAACUGAUACUGGUUACAUUGUAUUUUGUCUAAAAAAUUAAGAAAGGUAUUAAACUUUUCACCUUCCAUCUCCGUAUGUGAUUGUGUGACUAACAAACAUGGAGUUAUGAGGCGAAGGAAGAGAGGCUGAUGGUGAUAAAGAGCUUCUUGAAGUGAAGGCUGCUUCCAGCAAAACCGUCAUAUCAAUACCCUCUUCAGAGUAUUCAAGUCCCAUUCUUAUAUCUAUAGCAUCAAGCAGAUAAUCACUUCUACAGCAAUCACAAACCCAUUUGAUCAAAUGCAUUUUCUCAGCUGGAAUCUUGUGAUCUAGCGGUCUCCUUCCACAGGUUACUUCAAGCAUGAAAGCACCAAACGCAUAAACAUUGGUUCUUGUGGAAGUUCCCACUGUUGUUAGCUCAGGUGCCAUGUGACCCAUUGUUCCUAUAGCAGCCGUUGCGGGUAAGCUAUCUCCGUAAUCUUCAAACCUAGCCAUUCCAAAAUCUCCUAACCGUCCAUUGAAAUCUAACAUGACAUUAGAAGCUUUUUUAUCGCGGUGUAACACAACCUGGUUAGCUCCUGUGUGCAGGUAGCUAAGAGCAGAGGCGAUAUCCUUCAGAAUCACAAACCUCUGUGGCCAUGAGAGAGGUGGGUUUCCUCUGUGGAACAAGUACCGGUCAAGACUUCUUCAGUGACCAGAAGAAGCUCUCCUUUCCUUCUGUAGUAUCCAAGAAGAGGAACCAAGUUUCUGUGCUUUAGACUUCCCAUAGUCAUUACUUCAGGAAAAUAAUGAAUUCCCCUGUCCCGUAUAAAUUUUUAUACUAGAUUUUAUUAAUCUAUUAAUCUACUGUCUAACAGCCGUCGAUUCAAUAACCUAAUGGUUUGAAGAAAUGAUGUGAAGGUGGUCUGAUUCACUGUUCGGGUCAGUAAAGUUUGUUAGCACCAGCCACCAGGAAUACAAAUAAUUUCGAACCUAUAUUCACAUCAUUUACAAAUAACGAAACUUUACUAACCCGAACAGUAAAGCAUGUGAAUGCAUGAUAUGUUUGCAUAUUUACGAAGAUAUUUCAUUCUAAAUGAUUUAUAUUGAUAGAUUUAACAUGCACGCAUAUAUAUUUUUCCUUUAUUCGGAACGUAUGAACCAGACCAUAUGUUACAACAAGCAUAAACACAACAAUGUGCACUCCCAAGUCCCAAGUGCCAACUUUCAAGUAAUGUCUUAAUCAAAUAAAUAUGCUAACAUAUCAUGCAUCCACAUGCUGAUCAUCUUAGGCCACAACCGGGUACAAUGGCAUUGAUGUAAUACCUGCAAUUAAACAACGAAUCAGCAAAAGACAGACCAUCUGAGAAUCUCUCUCCCUGAAUCGUUCUUUUACCGGUUAUAUCCAAAAUAAGAUAUAUAUAUGUGGCUUUAACUCAUAAUGGUUUUAUGGUUUCUUGAAAAAUAACUUACCGCACAUGUUAAUUCCCCUCCGCAACUUGAAGUAGCCACCAUCGCCCCACUGUUCUCCCCAUGAGUUCUUUAUAAUCCAAUACUCCAUACUCCCAUCAUUUCCAUAACCAACCACCAAAGCAUGAUUUUGGACGCUCUAUUACCACAUUUAAAAAAAAACUAAUUGAACACUUACUAUAUAAUACCACAGGUACUUGCAACAGAGUGUAAGAAAGUCUCACUGAAACUUCACAGUCGCUACCAGUGAAGACUCCGCUGAUGUAAUGCUGGAGUGUGGAUGAAACGCCUAAUGAUACGCUAACUGGCCCGAUGGUUCCAACCGCUUUCAUCAGUUCAAGUUCAUCACGCUGUUGCUAUAGUAGUACUAGUCGUCAUCAUUACAGAGUACUUGAAUGUAUGUUCUACAAGUGAGUGAAAACCAAAUCCGUAUAAGAUGCUUACCAAAGCGACAGCGACAUAUCCUGUGACAUUUACAACAGAGUCCGAGUUACUUCUGCACAGUCCUUGGACAGCUAGGUAAGGAUACUGUGUGGCAUUGUUGAUUCCUUUGGAUUUCAUGUAAUCAAAGGCUUGGUAAGGAUGACCAUCAAUGCAGCCAGCUGAACCGAAGGAUGACGAACAAUCUAUCAGCUGUUGCUCAGAUAAUUCUAUUCCGGUACCAUGUUUAAUAUGGUAAGCUGACUCAACAGCUCCAGUUGCGCUGCAGUACCAGAACCGACCAUAUGACAAAACAACCUUGAAUUUUUAUUAUCUUACAUCAAGGGAUGCUACAAAAAUAUAGGGAAAUAUCAGUAGUAUCCUAAUCAUUGGUUUACCUAAAUGCCCAAGAACCUUCUAAACAUGAUCCCUGAUUUUUGACCCGGCUAACAACACCAUCUUCUCUCCAGUCUUUCUGCAGUCAUACAUUUUGAAGACAAAAAAAAAAUCAAUUAUAAAAAGGGUAUAUGUAGCUAAACAUGUGUUCUCAAAUUUGAAAAACAGGACGGAUGGUUCAGUACAGCACUAGGAGCUGAGGUUUGCAAAAGCGCUCUUUUUGUGGGACUGUGGCUGCCCUUUGAAGUGGCAAAGGGGUGUUGCGAAGCACCGAUCUUGUUCCUUUGAAACUCUUCUUUGGUCAUAUCAGCAAAUUCUGUUUGGAUUUAAAAGACGUUCAGAUGGGUCAAAAUCCUUAUCCAUCAAACCACUAAACAAACAAGGAUUCUUUAAUCACACAAGUAUCCUAACCAGUGGCCAAGCUACAUGCACUAAGUGAGAGCCAUGCAUUUGCCCACCAUGAUUUUUCUUUAUCUAAUAAUAAUAACUAAUUUGAAUAUUUUUCGUAAUCUAACUGGACAAUGAAGUAAAUACUCAUUUGUCUUUUCAAAAAGUUUUUUUUUGCAUUUUAAUUUUGAUAUAAAUUCAUUCUAAUUAGGUUUAUUUGUAUAAUUAGAUAUUUAUAUAUCUGCAACUUUUUUAAACGUGACUAUGCUUAUACAACUAUUGUAUUUCCGGAGAUGACACGGAUGACAAAAUGGAAUGCUAACAAAUUUUGUCACAAAACAUAACUAUAUAUAUAACUACAUAAUACUAUGACUAACUAGAAGAUUUUUUUUUAUAUUUUCUAUAAAUAUAUUAUUUAUAUGCUUAUCAAUUUUAAUAAAUUUAAACUUAUAAAAAUUAAUAAAAUAAACUUUAAAAUUUCGAGUUAUUAAUUAUUAAAUAAAAAAAAAUAAAAAAUAUAUUUUUUUGAAAUACUUUAUCCGCAAACCAGCUAUCUUUGUAGAGUAAUAAAUAAAUAAAAAUUAAUAUGAAUAUCUCCAAAAAAAAAUAUCACGUACAUAAUUCCAAUGAGCCUGCUGUAAUAAGAAUCCAUCAUUAGACUGGAACUACAGUUUCAGUUUCAGGACAAGAACGAUGUGAUGAACUUACGAUUGACACCGAGUUUGUAAGAUAAGUCUUUCUUGUUGGUGGAUCUGAUCAAAUCAAGAUUCUCUUUGAACACCGAGAAACGGUGCUUUAUCUCCUCCGCAUGCUGAUACUUUUUCCCAUACCUUCAAUCACCAAAACGAACCAUCAGUUUGUUUUAUCAAAGAGACGGAACUAGAACUCAAGGGCGAUUGCAUUUGCACCAGUGGUAAAGGAUGCAUGGACUUACUUGUGAGUGAAGCGAGCGAAGGAGAGAAGGUGACUGGAUUGGCCUAAGAUCUUGACAAAGGCUUCCUCUACCUUCCGGAGACCGUCGGGGAUAGGAGUGGACUCAUGGGAUCCGAUGAGAAUAACCAGAACCACCAAUGAUUGGAUUGCUCUCACAGACAUGCUUCUCUCUUUUGUUCUUACUUUUUUUUUUCCCUCAACACUUCUUCUGCUUUAGUGUUUAGAUGGAGCGAUUGUGAGAAGUGAUCAUAACCUGAGAUGAUAUUAUAUAGUCCCUCAACAAAUGCCCUUUCUCAAAAAAAAAAAAAAAUUUCUUAAACAACUAUUCAUCUUUUAAGUUAAUGAACGGAAGCCACGUUGAAUGAGAAACCCAUAUUGGGGAACCAAAUCAGAUAGAAUCUCUGUUAGACGUGGGAGAUCAUAAAUUCAUAAUAGUCAACUGAACUUUUUUUGUUUUAUAAUGAUCAUUAUAUAAAAUUAAGCUAGAUAAUUAGCCCAGUAAAUGCGACGAUUUUACAUUGAUAAUUGAGGUUCAUAUGUUUUUUUUAUUUUUGUCACACCGACUACAGAGUCCUUGAGCAGUCGAUGUUCCAUGUCUUUGAUACUAGGCGCAUCGAUGGGUAUCGAAAGCAGAGAAGAAGACGAUAUGAGGGUGAUCGACGUUCUUUACUAAGGUUAUAAAGAAAGAGAUUUUGUAAAGCAGGCGCAUCGACGAUCUGAAUCCCCAUCGAAAAGAAAAAAAGAGAAGAAAUGGAAGGUUUGAUUCCAUUUUUGUACAAAGCCAUGGUCAUGUAUAAAAGAGAAGGAAGCUUUUCGUCAGUUUUUCUCAGCGAUCAUCAUUCUCAUCAACUUCCGGUUACUACCGGAGACUUCCUGGCGAUUCCUCCGGUAUAUUUCGAACGUCAGACCUCAGGCGAUUUGGGACCGACCGUCUUAGAUUGCUUAAAACGACGCCUUCUUCACCAUCUCGCUUGCCCACUAGGAACAUCACGAAACGUACGUAAGGAGUGUUCUUGAAAAUAAUAUUUACAUAAAGAGAUACGAAUCUUUCUUGACGUGUCCUCUUAUCCUAAGGUAUAUUUCUUAUGAAUAACUACCCAAUGACUUAAUAGAGUGAUUUUAUAUUAUGAUCUUGAUUUUUAAUUUGAUAUUAUUAGGGACGUUCAAAUACGUUCUACCCAGAUUUUCCAAUUGUUCUGAAGACUCAGAGGUAAUAUAUUUAUUGACUAUUAGAAAUUUUGUUUUAAGUUGUAGACCUUUUAUUAUCUACAUAACAAUUCGUGUGUUUCAGGGUUCUGCUCUGAUAGCUGGUAGUUCUGUGCAUCGCUCAAAGUCUAAUCUGAAGACAGCUGCUAAACGUGAAAGAUCCCAUAUCGAAAGUUUAGAGGCAGCUAUCUACGAGGGAACUGUUAACAAAUAUCGACAUUCGGAUUCGAUUAAGAAAGUGAAGACUGAAAAUAGUGGCUGAAGAAUUAUUGGAAACCUGUCUACGAUGAAGAUAGGCUUUUCUCUUUUAUUGUUAUAAGUAUUUAAUUGUUUUAAUCUUCGUAUUAUGCUUGGUUUUUGGGUUCUGUUUAACAAUUUUGGAAGUUUGAAGUGUUUUAUUUUUUAACCUUUUUACGUACUCUAAGCAUAUGUUGGUCGUUUUUAAUAUAAUCCCUCUUAUCAUAUUUUGUCUGAUCGGGUCGAUUGGUUGAAGUUAUCUAAUAUAUUUGGGCAAUAUAAAAUACCUUAAAAGGAAUUAUUAUUUCUGUAAAGUUUAUUUUCCAUGGAUAUAGUCUAUAGCUUUGUAAAUAUGAAUAUAUCCCUUUUAUAAAAUAUCCUAUACAAAUUGUUAUAGCACAUACUAUAUACAAGUACAAUAAACAGAAGAGAGCAAAUAUAUUUUGUCCUUUUUAAAAUCGAAUAUAAUAUUAUUGUACGUGCAUUUUAUUUGAUCUUCAGAUUCCUCAAAUAAAGAAUUAUUUUUUAAUCAAUGUGAGUAUAAAAUUAUUUUAAAUUUGAUAUAGUUACUAUAUGUUAACAGAUAUGAUUUUUUUUUUUUACUUUCAGGAUUCAAUUCCGUGCAUUUUGAUUAAACUUCAAAAAAAAUUUAGACUAUAAUUUCUUAUCGUAUCAAUUAAUUAUGUUAUUUUGGUUUUUAUAUUAAAACAAAUUAUGUGUUUUAAAGGGUGGAAUCACAUUCAAUUUCUUUUCUCUUAAAUUUUUUAUAUAAUAAAAAUAACUAUAUUUUAUUUAUUUAAGGUAGUUAUAGUAUUACUUUUCAAAUGUUAUUGUUCCACUAAAAAACCAGAAAUUCCGGUGUUUUUCACUUUCUCUUCAAAUAUAUAUUUAUGUCUUACAAAAUCAUAGUAUAUAACUUAAAAUAAUGAUACAUAUGCUUCAUCCCGCGCAAAGCGCGGAUUACUACCUAGUCUUAUAUUAUAUUUGCGGACAAAUAAAAAAAAGGAGAUCGUGGUUUUGAUGUCUUGAUAGAGCAGAAAAUUAGUUGAAGAUAUUGAUUUUAUAACAAAAAAACUCGUUCUAUCAUAAGGCAUGAGAUGUAAAGCGAGAUUGAGACUUUAUUCUUAACUUAAUAAUUUGGAUGUGUAUUGAAAUUUUUUAAUGUACGUACGUUAUUACAAUCAAAUUGACUUUGCACUGCCACAUGUUUCACGUUACCAACAUAAUUUCACGUGGCGAGUUGACCUCACCACCGCUUUGAUCAUUUCUUCAAUUUGCCUAGUUCAUUCCAAUGACUCUCGAGACUCGAUUGCGCCAUGAUCACAUGGUACAUAUAUGGAUAUACAAAAAAAACUCUUCAUUUUAAUUUGUGUAGUGAAAUAUUGAAUGGGAAAGUGAGUUAUCCUACUAUAUAAAAGGGACUAAAUCUCUCUCUCCUAAACCUUGUCACAUAGGCAAAAAUAUUGAGAACCAAUCAAUAUGCCAUGUCAUUUUGGACUGGACUUAAAAUUUAAAAAAAAAAUCAAUAUGGCAUAUUGGUCGGAGCCCAUUACAUAUUCUCUUGGUUUUACGUAUUGGUCGGAGCCCAUUACAUAUUCUCUCCCUAUAAAAGUGUCCACAUGGCAUAUUUUGGGUUCCACAAUUUUUUUAAUUUUUUUACAACAUAAAUUGUUGACAAAAACCUAUAUAAGCACGAUGAUGUCAUAGUCAUCCCGCCCCUACGUUUACCGUUUCAGUUAGCGAAGAUAAUCAAUCCAUAUAUCAGCCUUUAAUUCUAACAACUACAACUAAACUUUCAUCGGUACGUUUCAGAAGCUUCUCAGUUGAAUCCUAUAAAUAUACGUCCACAUAUAACACAAUCCCCAUCUCUUAGAGCUGCCAGAAUCAAGAAGUACUCAGCAGCAGAAGAACACGGUAAAGUUUCCGCUUUCGCCUUUGAAUUUCAAGUCGUAACUGAUUCUGUAGAUCGGAUUUCGGCCUGAGAAUUUUUUUUAUAAGGAGAUUUGCUCUGAGCAAAUAGAUUUGCACUUGAUCCUCUCGACAUCUAUGAUAUCCUUUUAACUUCGGUUAGAUUAGUUUUUUUGAUAUUUUUCUUUUUUUUGGAUUUUUGAGCUAUUUAGGAUUCUUUGACGAAAAUAGACAAAGUAUGUAAGAGACAUAAGAGAUCUGGAACACCCUUACUCCUUGGAGCAACUAAGUGUUCUGUCUGAAGACUCCAUCACUCUCGAUGACAAGCUUAAUCGCGUCCAGUGAGUAUUAUUAGUCCUCUGUUUAAUGAUCUCACUGUGUAGUCCCAAUGAUAGUGAGAAAAAAAAGUUUAAUUUUGGAUCCAAAAGUGUGAGGCUUUUUUUUUGUGUGUACAUGAUCUUUAAUGAUUUGUGAGUUUGUGGGUUUUGGUUAUGUGAUCAAUUCACGAUAACGUUUACACCGACCAUACGGAUUAUAUGGCAACUAUAUUUGGUAUGCGUUUGAGAACUAAGCUUAAAGAAUGCUUGCCUCUCCACUAUAAGGUCAACUAUCCUUUUAAGUAAAAAGACAAGUUUUUUCAAUGGUCAUUUGUUAUAUAUGUGUGAUUGUUUCUGUUUCCUUUUACUUAUGUUCAGGUUGAUAUCAGACUCAUGCCGAUGAACAUUCAGGUAAGGAAGUUAGGAGAUGGCUUAAGUCACUUAAUUCAUUUGUGGUCUCUUUUAAAACCUUAACAACUGUAUAGUUUGCAAGAGUAUGGAUGAUAUGUCAAGUGAAAAAAAAUUAACGAAUGUAACGCUCAUGGAUUUUGCUAUACAAAUUCAUUUGUGCUUUGUUAUUGCAGAUGCUUCGUGGAUUUUAUUUGGUUUGGAUAAUUGCCCAUGUGGCCUGUGAAUGCAUCCAUGCAGAUUGGAAUGUUUUUAUUUUAUUUUAAACAGUACAGAUCAGAGCAGAGGGUCUAAGGCUGAACAGACGUGUGGGGAUCGAAUACUUAGCAGUGUGGCUAACACGAUCAGGAUCUGUCCCACGCUAUAACCUGAUGGAAGAUGCGGCUCCAGCUGAGAUAAGUCGUGUCCAGAACUGGCAAUGGAUUAGGUAUGAAGUGGAGUUGGACGGAGAUGGGCUUGGAGUCAGGGUGAACAAAGAGUUGUUUGAGAGAGUUGUGGAAGAAGAGAUGGAAAGAAUCGAGAAAGAAGUUGGUAAAGAUAAGUUUAAGAAAGGAAUGUAUAAGGACAACUGCAAGAAGUUUACAAAGCAAUGUACUGCAAGUGAGCUUGAUGAUUUUCUUACACUUGCUGUUUAUGAUCAUAUUGUAGCUCACUACCCAAACAAUGUGUCAAGGCCCUGAGAGAAGAAAAGAAGAUGUUGGGAGAGAGAGUUUGAGAUAUGAGUGUUGUACUUUUGUCUUCUAUGUUUGUUUCUCAUUUGCUUUUUUUCUAUAUGUCUGUAUAUUGGAUGAACUUGAUGUUUUUAUCUCCAAUAUGAAAUAAAUGUUUCUAUAACAUCGCUUAUAAUGUGUAAGGGGCUAUAUAGCAUUGUUUAUUUUGAUAUUAAACAAUCUAUAGAGUUCAAAAUAUAUAAAAUACAAUUGGCUGUUUGUUAUUUCUUUUUCUAUUUUUGAUCUUCUGAUUCUUUGGAGCUGCUAGGUUUUUAUUAUAACCGUGAAAAAUAUAUGAAUGAUAAAUGUAAAAACUUUGCAAGUUAAUUGCCUGAUUAUUGAAGUGUUGUCCUGACUCUUGAGAAAGAAUAUCGUAGAAAGAUGACUGUUGAUGACAUACACAACAUAAUAUUUUGCAGGAGAAGAAUAACGGAUCUGAAUAAGCAACAAAAAAACAAUAACACUAUAUAUAUAUAUAUAUAUAUAUAUGAAUACAUUAAUCGUAGCUCAAAAUGUACACAAAUUAACCAGUAACAUACACACGUUAUCUUUCAAUUGCAAGCAUAAUGAACUGCUGUAAUACACCAAACACAGAUCUCCGCGCUUGCGCAGAGUUGACGAUUCCUAGUUUGAGUAAUCUGAGACUGAAAUAGAGGAUCAUAAAAUAUGAUUAAUUACUAGCUUCAUUUUGUUCAUUUGAGUGGAAAAAGCCGAGACCAAGGAAUUUUAAGUCCCUUCUCGCUGCUAUUUAUUACACCUCUCAAAUUAAUCAAACGUCUUCACCUUGCUAAAUGCAUCACUCAUAUAGUAUAGUCAUAUCCCCACUCGUCUUACACCACAUGGUUUAAAUAAUGUGUUUUCAAGAUCCUCUUGCGACGGAGUUUGGAUUGACUCCCAGACACCAAAAUUUGGCUAAGCUGCAAUGAUAUAAAUGGAACACACAAAAUUUAACAAAACUUACCUCCUUUAAACAAAGUAUUUUAAGGUAAAAGAUAGUACGUAUUCGAUCGAACUAGAGAUAUAUUUUAAGGUAGUAAAUUUUUAAAGCAUCUAAACACACAUUGGAGUUCUAUACACACAUAUACAUAUGUAAUUGUGGGGUUCAUAUUGCAAACAUUAUGGUAAAUAAUUACAUUUUCGCCAAAAAGUCAACUGUAGUAAAUUAUAAAUCCGUAGUAUUUAUAACUUGCCUCUCUCAUUUUAUACUUCUUAAAAUUGUUAUAAAAUUACAUACAAAAUAAAUGAGCAAACCCCUUUUUUUUUAAAACACCAAGUUUUUCUGAGGAGGAUUCCCGAUUUGUGAUGUUUUUCUCCUACGUUAACGAACGGCUAUUACAAUGGGGACGGUACGUUGAUUUUAGUAUAUCACAACUUCGUAGUUUUUGAUGAAAAAGAAGCCAUAACUUAAAUCAGCUAGCUGUAUAUGUAAUACAAAUUGACUUAAACGAAUAUAUUUCAUUCUAAAUCAUUUAUAUCGAUUGAUUUAGCAUAUGCAUGCAUAUAUUAUUAAGAUUGUCAUAUACAAUUUUUUUUUAUUGGGUACGAUACCGUUCAUAUGUACCCAAUAAAGAAAUUAAAAAUUUCUUUAUUGCCAAAAAAAAAAAAAAUUAAUAAUUCUUUAUUGCCUACUGUGUAAUAAACUGCAAGACAAGUAAGGUACGAUUAAACUUGCAGAAGAAGUUUGCGUCUUUUCUCUUACACGAGUUGUUUCUUGCGUUAUAAUUUUUUUUGAGAAUUUUGAUUGUAAGAUUGGGAGAAUAUUUUAGCAAACUCUGUACCUUUUGACUUUCAACGGCGGUGCCUAUAAUCUGUUCGACAAAAUGUCUCAACGAGUAACAGGUUUCCAGCGAAGAAGAGGAAGUAAUAAUAAUACAUAAAAUUUGUUUUCUCUGGUUGUUCAGGUGUAACAAUGCUCGCGAAGACAUUUGUUCCGAGACAACUCCUUGUGUCGAGGUGUUUCUCAUCUGUUACUUCGAAGACACUCAAGGUGGGAGAUGUUUUGAGAGAAGCAAGAGUGUUUUCAAGUGAAGAUGUUAAGAGCUAUGCUGAGGUGAGCCAUGAUUGGAACCCACUUCAUUUUGAUCAAGAAUCUGCCCGUAAAGCUGGAUUCGAGAGUUGUCUUGUCCAUGGAAUGCUUGUGUCUUCCAUGUUUCCGCGUAUCAUCUCUGCCCAUUUCGUAAGUUCUCUAGCUUUAGUUUGCUUUUAACCAUCUUUUUACAUGUCCUUUCGGUCUUGUUGCAGCCUGGAGCAGUGUAUGUAUCUCAAACUCUGCAUUUUCGAUCACCAGUUUACAUAGGAGAUGAUAUUCUCGGAAUUGUACAAGCUACAACUUUAAGACAAACCAAGAAUAAGUACAUGUAAGCUCAUUUAUUAAAACUUAUUCAAAAAGUUGAGUUCUGUUGUUCUACUAUCAUAACUAGAUCUUCAUUUCGCUUUGUUAGUGUCAAAUUCUCAACCAAAUGCAUCAAGAAUCACAGUGAACUUGUACUUCUUGAUGGUGAAGCUACUGCAAUCUUACCAAACCUCGAGGUGCUACAACCAUGUCAUUCGGAAUGAUAAACUGAUCCGACAUGUAAGUUUCUGUGUGUUUACCAUGUUCUUGUUCUGUUUUGUUCUUUCAUUUCUGCUGUCUUUGAAGAGUCUGGAAUUUGUGAGAUUUUUGUUGUAAGUUAUAUUACUAAUGAAUUCAAUUGCUACUAUAUAACCUUCUAUAUUGUUUCAAUCACAGUUUCACAUUCAAAUCUUUAUUAGAAAAAUCAUGAAAGUUGCUAAAACUGAUAUACACACACUGAUUACAUUGUAUUUGUCUGAAAAAAGUAAGAAAAUUUUUCACCUUCCAUCUCCGUAUGUGAUUGUGUGGGUAACAAACAUGGAGUUAUGAGGCGAAGGAAGAGAGUCUGAUGGUGCUAAAGAGCUUCUUGAAGUGAAAGCCGCUUCCAGCAAUACUGGAAUAUAAACUCCAAUCCCUGGAGAAUCUGGUGAGAAGAUGGGCAGUGGCAGAUUCUGGCUUAUGUAUUGCACCACCUGUUCCAUGUUUGGUCUUGAUUCCGCCGAAACAUUUGUGCAGAGCAACCCAAGUCUCAGAACCAUAUCAACUUCCGCUUCUGAGUAUUCACCUCCCAUUCUAGUAUCUACAGCAUCCAGCAGAGAAUCACUUCUCCAGCAAUCACAAACCCAUUUGACCAAAUGCCUUUUCUCAGCUGGAACCUUGGUAUCUAGUGGUCUCCUUCCACAGGAUACUUCAAGCAUGAAAGCACCAAAUGCAUAAACAUCUGUUCUUGUGGAAGUUCCCAUUGUUGUUAGCUCAGGUGCCAUGUAACCCACUGUUCCUAUAACAGCCGUUGCGGGCAAGCUAUCUCCGUAAUCUUCAAACCUAGCCAUUCCAAAAUCUCCUAACCGUCCAUUGAAACCAGAAUCCAACAAGACGUUAGAAGCUUUUAUAUCUCUGUGUAACACAACUUGGUUAGCUCCUGUGUGCAGGUAGCUCAGAGCAGAUGCAAUAUCCUUCAAAAUCACAAACCUCUGUGGCCAUGAGAGAGGAGGUUUUUCUCUGUGAAACAAGUACCGAUCAAGACUCCCAUUAGACAUGUACUCAGAGACAAGAAGAAGCUCUCCUUUCCUUCUGCAAUAUCCAAGAAGAGGAACCAAGUUUCUGUGCUUUAAACUUCCCAUAGUCACUACUUCAGCUACAAACUGUUUCAUCCCUUGCUUCGCGUCAUGGCACACUCUCUUCACCGCUAUAUCUCCAAUGUGAGGUAGAUUCCCUCUGUAGACUUCUCCAAAACCGCCUUUCCCUAAACGAUGCUCAAAACCUCUUGUUGCUUUGUAUAGAGAUUUAUAUGAAAACCGGUGUGGGCCAUAGUCUUUCUCCCAUGCUUCUCUAACUUCUGCAUACUUCUUCCUCCUGUAUAAGUGAACUCCUCCAAGAACAGCCAACACUAUGAGUGAUAGUAACACAAACAAAACAACAAGCAGUGGAGAUGUUUGCUUCUGUUUGGCUCUUGGAUGAGGAAUCUGAGGAAGUUUUAACAAGUCCAGUCUCUGCAACAGCUCUCUCCUUCUGCUGAAACUCCAUCCUAAGAUGUAUUGGUAACUAACCAAUGACCCUGUUGCUGCAGAGAAUCCAAAGAACAGUUUGUGAUCCGGGAAGAUUUCAGUAAGAUUGAUGGAUCUUGCCAAGAGAGGAUGGUUUGGCUUCUGGAUUCUUAGAGGAGCCACUGUGACAUUGAGUAAAGAUCUUUCAUAAUCCACCCAUACCUGUAAAGGCUCUUCACUUAAGAUUUGAAGGCUUUGAUUCUUCCCUUUGGUGUUUGAAUAGUAAGAAGCUGAAGCAGACUCUAUAGACCUGAGGCUGUUGAUGUCUAUACCGACAUGAUUCUUGUUUAUAUCAUCAAACUCUGCGCUUUUAGCAGUAUCAAGCUCAAUAGCUAGAAGCUGAUAAGAUGGAGAUCCGUUUGUUGAGAUGUUGGAGAGUCCCAAGUACUGUGUUGGAUCUGCAUGUGUGAAAUCCAAGGAGGAAGAUACGACAAAGGCGAUUCCAUGGCCGCCUUCAGCUCCUGGUUUAGGCACAAGUGCGCACACAAAGUGAGUUGAGAAUGAGAAGUUCUUCUCAGAUGAGUCAAAUGGAUGCUUGAAGAAGGCAUGACCCAUUUGCUGUGAUGAGGCGUUGGUCAGCUGCAGCAAUCCAUCUGGAGAGAGGAUUUUUGCAGAUCCAUCUAGAUGAAGAUCAGCUUGAGCUUGGGGAAAGCCGUUGUAGAUGAAACCUGCUCCUUGUUUACGACCUAACAAGCAAAUCAGGUGAUUAAAGAAGAUCAGCAAGAUCAGAUGCAGUCCUUGAGUAGCCAUUGCUAAUGAAUUAAAGAGACAUAUGAUUUGGUUUAUAUGUUUCAAUUUUAGAUUAAUUCUUCAAGACAUGCAUUCAAGGCCAAUUAUCUUUAGGAAAUGCAUUUCAUAUGGGCAUUUUCUGAGUUGAAAUUUACCAAAUGAAAUGGAACCAUGACAGUUACCUUCAACCUUUAUUUUAUGUCAUGUUGUUCAUAUAAUAAUUGUAUGGUCUUCUCUCUGGUUCUAACAAUGUCUAACUCAAAAGACAUUAGACACAUGGCUUGGAGAAUGAAGACAAUCUAUCAUAUUAAAAGUAUAAUGAUCCCAAAAAAAGUAUUAUGAUCAUGCCGACCAAACCAAAGCUUGGUAUUAUGAAAAGAGAGGUUAUAUAUAGGAAAUUAAGUCCAUUAUUCUCUGCAAAAUAACUAUUACAUUGGUGUUAACAAACUAAUAAAACAUUUAUCAUCUGCCACUUUAAAUCAGACUUAUCACCUUUCUUGUUUAAAUGUUUGUUUAUUCCUCAUAGUUUGUACUGGUUGAUCUUGGUUUUGUAUAUCAUUUUCUUUAGAUUUGUUGGAUGAUACAAAUGUCUUUUUGCACAUGAUAUAUCCUAACUGAAAGACUAUUAAAAUCCAUGUACAAGUUGUAAUAAUAGCUUCAGAAUAGUAUUGUAAAUGGAUGUUAUCAGAAGAAGAAUACUUAUUUCACACAUUAGUCACGUUUAAACGGAUGUGUGACUAGUUAAGUCCAAGUCAAUAAUGGCAAAUUAAGAGAUGUAUGUAUCUUGAAAUGAUCCAAGUCAAUGACGGCAAAAAGAUAAUAUUAUGUUUUAAGAUCUGGAAAUCUUUCAUUGAAAUAAUAUAACCCCUAAGGUUAACAAAUAAAGCAUAUCAUAAUUAAGCAAAGGCUUACCAAUAUUAUAACAUUAAAUGACCCCAAGUUGAAACUAUGCAGUGCUGCAUAUGGUGUACCCAGAAACAGGUUUGUUUGUUUGUUUGUGUAUUGGGAUCAAAUAGUUUAGUUAAGGAUUAAACAUCAAUUUAUAUUUACAACCAUCAUUUCUAAUAUAAACUACAGAAACGACCGACAUACAACUUCUCACAUGUAUGAAUGUCAGGGAUCUAUUAUCACCGAUUUGGCAUCUCUCCUAGGUGUGUUAUGCUAUAGUCACAGCACAUGUGCUUAACACGUUCUCAAAUACAUGCAAAUUCUAAGCAUUUAGAAGUUUUCCAAUAACCAUACAUUUUUUUUCUAAAACAACCAUUUACAAAGGUACAAACUGAUUAGUCUUCGGAUUCAUUACUACAACAUAGCACACAUAAACCAAAACAGCUUUCUACAACAUAGCCUGAGGAGAAAUCUCAUCUCAUUGCUUGGUAACAGAGAGAGCAAACAUGUAUACGGUAAACAUUUACAAAUGAAGAAACUGAUUAUAUUGGGACAAGUGAGACAGAUUAUUAAAAAACAAUCUUGAGACUAAGAUCUGUUUGCUGAUAUGAAUGUACAUCAGAGAUUACCUCUGACUGCUGAUGCUGGAAAGAUUGGACUCGAGAUCUUCUGCAGAAGAUGUGACAGUAGUUUUGACAGCAGAUGAGAGAGUCUGAGUCUUAGGCUUCUCUAGUUCUGAAACUAUGUGAAGAGAGUUCUUCGUCUCUACCGUCUGUCCCCAUGGCUGAUCUGUUCCCUGAUAAGCGUAAGGUGAGUGGUUGGCCGAAGAAGAAGCUGACCAACUCCAUGAAGCGGAUGAGACUACAAGAGAAGCUGCAUCAACCAGAACCGGAGCAAAUGUACCAAUCCCCAAAGUAUACGGUGAAAAAUCAGGCAAAGGCAUGUUUUCAUUUAGGUACAAGACCACUUGCUCCAUCGUUGGUCUGGACUCCGGCACUAUAUUUGAACAUAGCAAACCGAGUUUCAUAACCAUCUCCACUUCCUCUGGUGAGAACUCAUCUCCCAGCCUCGGGUCGAUAGCAUUAAGCAGAGAAUCCUUCUUCCAGCACUCACACACCCAUUUGAUCAUAUGCCGUUUCUCAACUUCCAACUGUGGUUCCACCGGUCUCCUCCCACAUGUUACUUCAAGCAUGAAAACACCAAAGGCGUAAACAUCAGUUCCAGUGGAAGCUCCCAUUGUGAUUAACUCAGGCGCCAUGUAACCAACAGUUCCCACUGCAGCCGUUGUGGCUGCACUCCCUCCGUGUUCAUGAAACCUAGCCAUCCCAAAAUCCCCUAACCUACCAUUGAACUCCUCGUCCAACAUUAUGUUUGAAGCUUUGAUAUCUCGGUGCAGAACAACUUGGUCAGCACCUGUGUGCAAGUACCAGAGAGCAGACGCUAUUCCCUUAACAACCACAAGUCUUUCUUUCCAAGAAAGAAUCCGUUUCGCCUCAUCAAACAAAUGCUCGUCAAGACUACCGUUAGGCAUGUACUCAGAGACCAAAAGAAGCUCCCGCUUUCUCCUACAAUAACCGAAAAGCGGAACAAGGUUCCUGUGUUUCAGACAUCUCAUGCUGACAACUUCAGCCACAAACUGCUUCACACCUUCAUCACCGUUGUGGGAAACUCUCUUCACUGCUAUCUCUCUCCCUUGAGGAAGUUUUCCUCUAUAGACUUCACCAAAACCUCCUUUCCCAAGAAACUCAUCCUUACUAAACCCCUUUGUCGCUUUGUACAAUGACUUGUAAGAGAACCUAUGCGCAUCAAACUCCUUCUCCCAUGUUUCAGAAACUUCUGAAAACUUCUUCCUCCUGUGGAAAUAAACUCCCGCAAGAACAGCCAACACCGCAACACCCAGACAAACAAUCAUGAUUAUAAUCCACUGAGGAAGCUUCUUAGGAUGAGAUGUAGGAAGAGGUUUAGGAUGAGGAACUUGAGGAAGUUUUGAGAUGUCAAGUCUAUGCAAUGAUCCUCCUCCGCUUGUGGUAAAACUCCACCAAAGAAUAUAGUGAUCACACACUGAGUUCCCCGUUGCAGCAGAGAACCCAACAAAGAGUUUCGAUCUAUUAGGAAAAAUAUCUGAAAGGUUGAUUGGAUGUGACAACAGAGGCCGGCUUGGCUUCUCCACUUCAAGAGGUGCCAACGAGACAUUAAGCAUAGAGCCAUCGUAAUCCACCCAGACCUGUAUAGGGUUUCCAGACAAGAGGUUUAAGCUUACGUUUCCUCCUUUGGAAUAGUAAGACGCUGGAGCCACUGCGAUAGAUAUAGGAUCGUUGACAUCGAUACCAACGUGACCGCCACGGACUUUGAUAUCAUUAAACUCCGGGUUCCAAAUAGUGUCGAGCUCGACAGCAAGAGCGGGAGAUCUUGACGCGUUGAAAGCCCCCAAGUAUCUUGUUGACUCUGCGUAAGAAAAAUCCAGAGAAGGAGAUAUUAAAAAGGUGAGACCGUGCCCGGGUUCAACGCCUGGCUUAGGCACCAGAGCACAGACGAAAUGAGUUGAGAAGGAAGUGAACUGGAUUGGUUUCUUGUGGAAAGCUCGGCCCAUUUGAUAAUCUGAAGUGUUUGUGAGCUGCAGUAAUCCACUGGGGAGAAGUACUUUUGCGGAAGCGUCUAGGUAGAGGUUUUCUUGGGAGGUGAAGUUUUCAUAGACAAACCUUGUCUCUUGUUGACUUGAUGGAGAGAUGAGAUGAAGAGAAGUGAUUAUCAGGAUCUGAAGCAACACACGAGCCAUUGAAGAUGAUGAAACAGAGAGUCUGGAUCUGAUAUGCAUCUCAUAACCUUGCAAGCUGAAGAAAAAGUGAACAAAAAAGGAUGUGAGGUUCUCUUUAAUAUUGUUUAUUUAUUUUAACCAAAGGAAUCACCAUUUUUUUGGCUUUACAAACUGUCCUCCAUUAACACGAUGAUAUUAAAUUAAUCUAGAAAUAAAGCUUUAACGUGGUUUCCAAAAAUUCUAUUUGAGACAAUAAUAUUUUUAACGUACAACCUCAAUCUGAAUAGACAACGCAACGUCUACAUGGGGUACCAUGGAACAAAAUAAUAUAAUGCGUGUAACAAACAUAUGAAAUGAAUUAGUAUAUGUGUCGGAAUAGAUCGUGCACCAACCUUCAUUGGAUUUGUCUGCUACUUCUAUAGUCUUCUACUUGAAGCUAUCUUCUAAGGAAGCAGACAAAUAAAACAUCAUAUUUUAAACAUGCACUUGACCUUUCAGACGCCGAAUAAAAAAAGAGCCAAUGUUAUUGUAAUGAUAUUUCAAUUCAAUUAUGAGCCAGACCGAAGGUAAGAAGCCUAGGAAUGCGUGGAAUAAUUAUGACAACUAGGAAUGUUCUUCAAAUGAUGGUUAUCACAACUAAUAGAAAAUAGACACUAGAGUUAGGUCCUACCUUGCCAACCUAAUCUUUACUAUUUCCUAAUUUAGCCCUGUAGGUAGGUGCAAGAGAAUACAUCCUCGUAUGAAUGACCAUCUAUCUUAUGUUCUGAAGUUGUUGGUCAGCAAGUUUCUUGUUGACUUGACUGGUGAAUCAGGAGAAGAAAGGAGAUCACCAUUCACCGUCCAUAUCAGAUCCAAUCCUUGAGCCAUUGCUAAUACAACAGAGUUUUUGCUAUUCUUAGAAAUUUUUUUUGUCUCUGUGUUAGUGGUAUGGUGGUAAAUAACUAUCCUCUCCAUUUGCAAAACAAGGUCUGAUCAUUACUUCACAAGAAGAACCAAAGCUUUUGCACAACAAUUAUAGACACAAACAUCCGACAUUAAAUGUCAUAACAAGAUUAUGUAUCAGCUUUCUCAUUCUAAAACAAACAAUUGGUUCACUCAUUCCCAAGUACUGAACAAAUAGUGAUGAAAGUAUCUCAUACAAAGUUCAUGAUUUAAAGAUCAAUGAUGUUUGACUGGCUUUAGAUGUGUAACUGGCUCAUCAUGCCUUGAAUUAAGAGACUGGCAACAACUUUCUUUACAAAUAUUUUAGCAAAGUAAUCGCAAAACUUUCAUCGUCCGCUCCCAUAGACCACCGAGUGAGUAACAAACAUAGAGUUGUUGGAGGAGGACGACAGUGAAGGUGAAGGUAUCGUUAGCCUUGCUGGCGAAAGCGCCAUUGGAGUUAGAACACCAAUCCCUGGAGAAUGUGGCCAAAACUCCGGCAAAGCCAUGUUUCCAUUCACAUAUUGCACAACCUGUUCCAUGGUAGGCCUUGCGUCCGGGACAAGGUUAGCACAUAGCAAACCGAGUUUCAGAACCCUCUCGACUUCCGCUGAUGAGAACUCUAUCAACCUCGGAUCUUUAGCAUCAACCAAACAAGACUUUCUCCAACAAUCACAAACCCAAGUGACCAGAAACCGUUUCUCAGCAGACAAGGUAGACUCCACAGGCCGUCUCCCGCAAGCUACUUCAAGCAAGAAAACACCAAACGCAUACACAUCAGUUCCAGUGGAAGGCCCCAUCGUUAUAAGCUCAGGCGCCAUGUAACCAACAGUUCCCACCGCAGCCGUUGUGGUCGGAUCAGCCCCUCUGUCGUAUAGCCUCGACAUACCGAAAUCUCCCAGCCUUCCGUUGAACUCCGCGUCCAGCAUAACGUUAGCAGCUUUGAUAUCUCUGUGUAUAACAACUUGGUCAGCUUCCGUGUGUAAGUAACUAAGCGCCGAGGCAAUGUCCUUGACAAUCGCCAGUCUUCUCCACCAGGGGAUAGAGGUUAUACUAUGAUCAAACAAGUAAUGGUCAAGACUACCGUUUGGCAUGUACUCAGAGACUAACAGUAACUCGCGUUUCCUUCUACAAUACCCGAGAAGUGGAACCAAGCUCCGGUGUUUUAAACUCUUCAUGCAAACAAUCUCAGCGACAAACUGCUUCAUACCUUCCUCGCCUUCGUGUGAUACUCUCUUCACAGCCACUUCUCUGCUCUUAGAGAGUGUUCCUCUAUAGACUUCGCCGAAACCUCCUCUCCCAAGAAACUCAUUCUUACUAAAACCUUUUGUUGCUUUGUAUAGAGACUUGUACGAGUACCUGAGAGGACCAUACUCCUUCUCCCAUUCCUCUCUCACUUCCGCGUACAAGUUCCUCCUAUACAUAUAACCUCCAACAAGAAGCCCCAAAACUAAGCAAGCUAUUAAACUAAUCAGAGCAUCAAGCACCAGAGGAGAUGACUCAUGUUUAUUACUAGGAUGAUCAACUUUGGGAAGCUUUGAGAUGUCAAUGCUCUGCAACGUCGCCAUGGUUUUGCUAAAACUCCACCCGAGUACGUACUGGUAGCUCAUGAUCGACCCGGUUGCACCGGAGAACCCGAAAAACAUUCUUCUACCUUGCACAAUCUCGGUAAGAUUGAUGGAAGCUGCCGACAAAAGAGGCCGGCUCGGCUUCUCCGUUUUAAGAGGUGCUAAUGUAACGUUGAGCAUGGUUCCUUGGUAGUCAACCCAAACCUGAAUAGGAUCUCCACUCAAGAGCUUUAUCUCUAUGCUCCUACCUUCCUUGUCUGAAAAAUAAGAAGCGUUGGCUGAUAGUUUAGACACAGCGCUAUUCACAUCAAUCCCGACAUGGUUAUCACUGAUGUCUUUCAACUCCGGAGCUAGAGCUGUAUCUAGCUCUACCGCCAACACGCGCACGGCGGUAGAUUCGUUUGAAGAUGCAUUGAAGAUACCAAAGUACCGAGUCGGCUCGGCGUGGCUGAAAUCUGUGGAUUGAGAGACGACGAAAGCCAUGCCGUGUCCGCUGGGAUAACCAGCAGGGAGCAGUGCACAGACGAAAUGUGUGGAGAAGGAUACUGGUUCGGAUGAGUUGUAAUCGAUCGGCUGCUGGAGAAAAGCGUGACCCAUCUGGCGAAGAGUAUCGUUUGUGAGUUGCAGGGCACCAUUGUGUGGGAGGAUUCUUGCACCCCCGUCGAGGUGGAGAUUGUUACCUGCCUGGUCGAAGCCGUUGUAGACAAACGGUGGCUCUUGUUGAAACGAUGGGCAAAGAUAAUAUAUCAUCAAGAACAUUCGUAGAACCAAUCGUGAAGUUAUCAUUGGUAAUGAAACAGAGAGGGUUAUCGUUUUGCUUUUUUUUUGUUUUUUUAAUUAUUGGCUUUUCUCUGUUCUAGUGGUUAAUAAUAAGGAUCUCUUACUCUCUCUGGCUGUAUAGUGUAGACCCAUUGAAUAUGACAUGAAAGUCAACUUAAGAGUUAAGACUGCUUCGGAGUCUAUAUGGUAUAUACGUAUAUUACGUUAGUAAAAGACUUUUGAACAGAUGUCUUAGUCAAGACAGCAAAAUUAAUUCCGAGAAGAAAAGUAGAGGUGUAGAGGAAGUGUGACUAGAUGGGUCUUUUGUAUUAAUGCGAGAGGAAGAGGUCAAAAGACUGAUCACUCAAAGAAGAUAAAGAUGACGGUGAAGAAUGCAAAAAACAAAAUUUCCUCAAAAGUUAAAAGCCGAUUUGGAAGUAACUUCAAAGUCAAACUUUCAAGUUGACUAAUUACGUUUCUAAAGAUAUUUUGCCUUAUGAAUUGAGGGGAGAGAAAUUUACUGACAUUUAGGUGAUGCAGAGUAAUAUGAGGUGGAUUAUUUUCUUAAUAUAUAGAUAUGCACAAGAUAUGUUAUUAUUUAAGUCAAGGUCAAUUUCAUUGAAUAUUUCAAUUCCACUGUUAGCAAUCAAGAACAUCAUGUCCACACACAUUUAAUGGUAGUUUCUAGAAAACCGAACCUGAACCAAAAACUGUAAACAUAAACAGGCGACAACUCAAAAUAAAACGUGUGUGUCGCCAACGGACAACACAAAUUGUCAUCAUGAUGUUGAUUCACAUAUGACUAGAAUGUGAGUUAUGGAAUCAACGGAUUCUCCAAUGUGGAGUUUAGACAUGACUUCACAUAUCAAUCUGACUUUAUGAACUAUUGUAAUCAAUCAUGAUCCAUCGUUGAUAUUUGUAUAGUGGCUAAAGUUGAUUAAAACUGUUUUUUUAAUCACCUUACUCGAGUGUGUCAUCAAACUCAUUAGUGGAAGCAAGUAGAAUAGGUAGAUACGUUACUACAAGUCACGGAAACAUGAACCUCAAAACAAAAGAGGUUAAAGACAGAAAGAAAUAGCAUAAUGCAGCAAAGGAGUUUGGCCCUGGAAAAGUAAAAUGCGAAAAGAGAACAACAAGCUUGGUUCCAGACAGAAACCUCAGUCGUAGUCAGGAUGGAAAGGGUUGGAGUAAUCGUCGUAUUCAUAGCCGUCCGAGUCAUAAAAUGUAGCGUACUUGCCAUACUUUCCAAAGUAUGGGCAGUCCUCACUUGCAAACUCCUCACCCGGGCGGAGCAUGUCGUGGAGAGCUUUAUACUCCAGCAUCCGACGGGAAUGGGGCACACCUACAUGAUUUUUCAACAGAUUGUGAUUUUGAGUAAUAGAAUUUACUUAAGAGAGAUUUAGAAUGGGCACAUUACCGUGUGGCAGUUCGGAGUAAGGAUCAAAGGGAUCUUUAGCAUCAUUCAUAUUCUGCCCAAAACCAAAGGGGAAGUCACCAAAGCCGUAAUCAAAAAUUUCAUCAUCUUCAUAGUCGUCAUAAUCUUCAUUAUCAUCUUCAUAGUCUUCUUCAUCAUCAUAAUCAUAGUAGCCACGCGCUGGACCUUGACGCGUGAAGUAUGCUUCCUCCAAGGUCGGGCAGUUUUUAGCACAAGUCCUUGUCUCCUUGUUCCUUUCUCCUCCACAGUUGUAACAAAACUCAUAACCACACCUAACGAGAAUACAAUAUGGGAUAUGGUUAAAGAAGACAAAAAAUUGAAACGCAUCAAGAAGUAGAUAAAGAGAUACCUGCAAGUUAUGUGAUUGCACCCUUGUGUAAGUUCAAUCACGUGUAGGCACUUGUCACACUGCCCCCACGUUUUGUUAUUCCCAAGAGAGUUUAGCUUCACUUCAUCAGCUGAAGGAUUAGGAUGCAGAUUCUUGUACUCGGUGCACGACACCUUCCCAUGCCACGGGACAUUACAGUCCACACAGAAGAGUCCACGACACUCAACGCAUCUCCUGACUCCUGAUUCGGGGUAGACAGAGAGCAAGCUCUUGGCGGAUUCAGUUAUCUUGGUUUUGGACAUCAAAGCCGAACACCUCGGGUAAGGGCAGUAGACUCUCUCCGCGACAGGUAUCGCGUUAUCUUUAACCCUUUGCUUCCACAUUUCACUCAGUUUUGGAGUCAGAAGCUUGCGACACGCGUCCAUAGACAUCUCAGAGUUGCAGCCGUCGUGAGGACAGUUUGGAACCGUUCCGUGAAGGAGCUUCACCUCCACGUGUUGCUUCGAGCAGUGGAAGCAAAAGCGGUGACGGCAUUUAGCGACGGAGAACAUGCGCUCGAUAUCGGUUUCGUUGUAGCAGAUGAGACACUCCUCUUUCCAAGCUACUUUUGCUUUGCGAGCAGCACCACGAGAGUUGGAUUUAGAAGCUAUCGAUUCCCUGGCGAGUUUGUAAGCGAAUUUAACUUCGUUUCCAGGUACCAGAACAGGGUUGCUAAACGUGAAUUGUUGCCUGAUUCGUUGCAGAUCAUCCAUCAGCAUGGAAAUCUUUUUUUGCUUAGGCACCCAGUUCCCCUUGACCUGCAUUAAAAUAAAAAAAAAUUCAGAAACAUAGCACAGGAAAAGCAACGUAAAGAAUCAUAACAAUAGCAAAACACACAAGCAUAGGACUUUAGAACUCACAGUCUACAGUAUUAUAGCUAGUGAAGGUUCUUUAUAUCUCAAAGCAAAGAGAAAUAACAAUGGCUUAAAAAAAUCAUCAGGAUUUAUAAUUAAAGAGUAGUCAUUGCAACUCUUUCUUCAAAUUAUUAUAAUGCAACUUGUUACUAUUAUUUUUCUCUGUCAUAACAGUUACCAGAUGAAACCCCCCAACAGAGAAACAAACACACUUGGCUACAUUUUUUUUUAUUACAGAAGAGAGGAAACUUGGACUCGGCAAGAGCAACAAAAAAGAACACAUCUUUCUAGACGGAUUCAGCAAAAAGAGCAAGUGAGAGUGAACUAAUCACAGUCUACAGUCUAAUAGCUAGUGAAGGUUCUUUUUUAUUUCAAGAACAUACCUUUCUAUACAGAUUCAACAACACAAAGAGCAAGUGAGAGUGAAGCGUAACGAUGAAGAACAGGGAAAGUCAGAAACUUACGUAUUGGAAAAUGGGAUACGAGUCGCAGAACAUAACAACAUGUUUGAUCCCCAGCUUCGAGGCUUCGGUUAGCCCACGUGUCAACGCCUUAAUCUCCGCUCCCUGAGGGUUCGUGUCACGACCAAUCAGUUCCCCCUUCAACUCAAACAACAAACCACCCCUCUGGUCGCAAAUCGCAACCCCAAAUCCAGCCGCCACGUCAGCCGUAUUCCCUUUCCCCUUCCCCUUCCCAGCCACACUCUCUUCACUCACCAAACCCUUAAAGUAAAGUCUGUACAACACAUCUCCGCUAAACUUUCCCGUAACGGCAUUAACCGUCGAACCACCCUCGCCGACUGAUUUCGCCGAACUAACAACCGACGGCGAAGGCUUCUUAGGAACAUACACGUACUCAUUUCGAAAGUUGCCGACUUUAGCGUUAGGGUUUCGGUAACCUCCCCGUACUCCAGCGGCGGCUGCUUCGUGGGCUUUCCCUUUGCCUCCGGAGUUUCUUCGACGCGCGUUCUUCGAACCUCCUUUAGGCGCCGAACUGUUCCGGCCGUUUUCCGCGGCGGUAGCGGGAGCAGACGUUUGCACACUCGGUUGCUGUUGGGGAGUACGAGAUCGGGAAGAGAGAGAGGCUAAAACCUCCUCCGUCUGCAACCGGCGAGCGUUGUCGGAAUCAGUGUCAGGACGUUCCAUGACUUUUGCCUAGGUUUGUGUCGUGUUAGGGACGAGUGAGUGGUUUCUUCGCUCUACAUAGGCAUUUUCAAAAUAUAUGCUACAAGAGAGCGCAAGUUAGUCACGCACGUGUGUGUGGACCGUCAAACUAUAUACGUUUCAAAAUACAUACUACAGUGGCUUAUCCAAAACAUAUACUACAAGAGAGCGCAAGUUAGUCACUCACGUGUGGGUGCAAGAUAUUUAUUUACUUGGUUGACUUUUAGUCAAAAGGGUAUAACCGUCAUACGUGUUUAUUUCUUAAGACAAGUAAGUUCCGUUGUUUACUCCGGCGUCGAUCAAUUCCAAUAGCUCAGUCCAAUUCCUCGGCUGUUUCGAACGAUAUAGCGGCGGAUUGAUAGAGAACUUACACCGACAUUAUACACGACAAUCCAGGUAAUUCAUGUUUUUGUGUUUGGUAACUCGUGUUGUGAAUGAAUCUCGAGCAAGUUUCACAGAGUGGUAGAGUUAAUUUGGUUUAGUUAAUUACUUUGUUUGAAUUCAACUUCUAGAACCACGGGUUUGAUUUUGGAUGUGUAUGUUGUGAUAAAUUUGAGUGCUUUGUGUUGAUAUUUUAAGAAAAGAAAUAAUAAUAAUGUGCUGAAACUGUUCGACAAAAUGCCUGAAAGAAGUUUUUUUUUUGCGUGUAGAACUCUAAAGCUUAUAUAUGGUAAGUUUAUUGUAGUUUAUUGAGAACGUUGGUUCGGUUUAUCUGCUCUAGAAUAUGCAAUUGGUGUGUUAGGUGUAUGUGCAUGUCUCGCUGCUAGUAUAUAUAGCUCUUGACCUUUUGGGUAGUGAUUUAGUCUCCCGAUUCUUCAUGAUCUGACUCACAUCUGUCCUUGAACUAGUCAGACAUUGGAAGUAAAACUUAACAAAAUACUCAAUGAUAAACUCAAAAUAUCUCGCUUUCCAGUUGAUAACAAAACUAAGCAGAACCAUGUACAUUAUCUUUCAUUUUUAUGUUCAAAAGGUCUGACCUUUAGUGUUUCUAUAUGCAGAUUAGUUCCAUGGCGCCAAGAUGGAAAUGGAAAGGAGCUGAAGCAAAAGCUCUUGCAGAACCUAUUUCAAAAUCAGUCUCAGAGCUCCAACUCUCUCUAGCCAAAACAUCGGGCUCCCUCUCGAGUUGCAACGUACUCCUAGCGGUUGAGCCAGAGCAAGCUGAGCUGCUCGACCGCUGUUGUUUCGGCAGACUCGUCCUAUCCGCUGAGAAAGUCAAGAAAUGGAUUCAGCUAUCCUUCGAAGAGGCUUUUUACUUGUUCUACAUCCUCAAAUGCAUCAAACUCACCCUUCAAGGCCGUUGCUUGGAGAACGAAGUCGACACGUGGAUGUACAUGAGAUCAAAAAGACCAAACUUCCCGGUGUUCUUCAAAGCUUAUUCACAUUUACGAUCCAAGAACUGGGUUUUGAGAUCCGGGUUGCAGUACGGUGUGGAUUUCGUGGCGUACCGUCAUCAUCCUUCUCUUGUCCACUCUGAAUACUCCGUUUUGGUUCAGUCUGGUGACAGUGAUCGGUUAAGAGUGUGGUCUGAUGUCCAUUGUGCUGUUCGGUUAAGCGGAAGUGUUGCUAAAACGUUGUUAACUCUCCAUGUCAGUGGUAACUCUAACAGAGAGGAUUUGAAUCUACCUACGUGUUUGGAGAACUACAGAGUUGAAGAGCAAACGAUAAGUAGAUGGAGCCCAGAACUCAGUCGUGAAGAUGAUGAAACCACAAGUCCAAAACCAAAAGUUACCAAUGUGAGUAAUUUGAAAACGCCAUGACGAACCGGUCCCGGUUAAUGGAGUACUGGUUUUGAUUUUUCACAUCAAUCUCUAAUCAAAAUUUUGUUUUCACAUCAAUCUCUAAUCAAAAUUUUGUUUUCAGUUUUAGUUGAGAUAGUGAGAUACACAACAUUUGUUUUCUAUAGUCACAAAUCUCAUACGCUUUUGAUUUUAGGUAUCUCGUAAUUUUGUUUGAGCAAGACAUUCUGAAUGGUUGGUUCAUUCAUAUGAAAACAAGUCAUUGUACACUUAUAAAUCAGCUGACGAACCGGUCCGGGUUAGUUGACUACCGGUUUUGAUUUUUCCACAUGAAUCUCUAAACAAUUUUGUCUUCAGGAUAGUGAGAUACACAACAUUUGUUUCCUACAGUCACAAAUCUCACACCCUUUUAAUUUUAGGCAUCUGGUGUUAUUUUUGUUGACUUAGUUCGUACAUAUGAAAACAACUCAUUGUACACUUAUAAAAUGAUAAGCUGUAAUAGUAUAGAGAUAGUAAUUACAACUCACAUAAGCUACAAAAGAACCAAGUAGUAAUCAUAAUCAUCAUCAUAUUCUUACAUAUAUAAAAAAGAGUAUUUAAAACAAAAACUCAAAGUUAUAUAAUUACAACAACAUAACCCAUGGUAGAGUAUUAAUGGUUUAAGUGAGUUGCAUUUAGUAUCAGUGAUCGAGCCAUCAAAUCUCAAAAUGACUAGGAUGAGAUUUGGUCAUCCUAGCCUCACCGGCCGGUUCGUCAUUAUCCAUUCUCUUAACAUUACGGUAAGCCGCAUAAGCGAUCACGUAGAAGAUAACAAGAAUGAUCAAAACCACAAUGUUGAUCACUGAUACUUUCCUCCAACUCUGUUUUAAGCUACCAAGAACACCAGCUUUGCAAGAGCUACACUGGUAACAUAGUAGUCUCUGGUCAUUGUUCCACAACAUACAGUCCGGGUUUGGUACAAUCAUAUCUCCUCCUGGAAUCCAAACCGUCUCGUUCACGUACGUGUAUCCACAUUCUGUUGGCGGCUUGCAACAUCCGGACUACAGAGUUGAGAAAAAUGUAGAUCAUAUAAGCGUAACAGUGUAUCAGAAGUAUCACACACUUUUGUUCAAAAAAAAAAAAAGUAUCACACACUCACCUGACACAUAAGUAUACAAAGCUGAAAAAGGUCUUGCAUGGGUAAAAUAUCUAGCAAAACCAGAGCGUUCUAGACUCACUGUUAGGACAUAAGACACAAUUCAAUUACUACCCAUUGGAUCUUUCUAUUUUCAUAUAAUACUACUUGGUGACUACUAGGUUUUGCAUGGCGAUUACAACUUUCAAAAUAGUAAUGAUUAUAGGUCAGAGUAUGAUACGAAUAAAGUUUAUGAACAAAAGUACAAAAGCCAGGACACAUAACUUAGGAGCCUGACAAAACUACUCAUGACCUCUUACAUGCUAAAAAAACUUUAUUUAAACUGAAAUAAAUAGUAAUAAAACUUCAUGGUUUUUUGGUUACACAAAGUAUGUUUCAGACUUUCAGUUAGAUCGUUCAAGAAGUAUUUUUAUGUUUUAUGUGUUAGAAUAUUUUAAUAAAAUUAACAAACAAACAAAAAAUUAUAAAGAAACAAGUUAGUUUGAAAAUUUCAAAUACAUAUUAGAAAAACGUUAUACUAAAAAUUCUAAAUAUUUUGUUACCUCAAUAGGACUAAGCCUUCUGAAGUUAAACAUGAGUGGAGUUUCAGGAACACCGUUUAAACGUCUUCCUAUCUUCCUACAAACCCCAGAAUCUCUAACACACGACCGUAUCUGCCCCCAGUAUCCAUCAUCCGUGACCCUAUCCUUUAACCAACCCGAAUAAUCACCGAGAUAAUAAUCAAGAUACCUCCGGUUCAUCACAAACCGGCCUGAGCCUUUAUCAGUGACGGCGUAAGCAAAGAUGAUGAAACCGAUGAGAGCAGCUAUAACAAAGAACAUGACGAAGAGGUAAAGCCACAUGAGGAACUUGUUACCGUAACAAGCUCCGGCGAAACCGGCUAAGGAGACAACCAUGAUGGAGAUUCCUAUGAUGAUGAGUGGCCACUGGAGGAAUCUCAUGCAGUCAGUGGAGUUAGCUCGGUUGCUAAGCCAUAUUCCACCGCCGAGGAUGGGGAUGGAGAGGAGGAAGGUGAUGAAGUUCACGAGACCUAUAAGAUUGUUACUCGUUCUCAUGGCGUUGAAGAAAAAAUAAAGACUAAAUUGCUCUAUAUGUUCUUGUGAGAAUAUGUGUGUUGUUGUUGAUGCAAUAGCGGUGAGGAAGAGGUGGUGAUGUAAUGUGACUUGCAUCAAAAUAUACAUGAUGAGCAUGCUGUUUGACUACGACACGUGGUAAGUGACGGUUAGAUUAUGUAUGUGUGUAUUUUUGGUUAUAUAUACACGUGAAUACGUGAUUAGUGUAAACUGUGUUCACAAACAAGUUUUCUGAAAUACAGAGAUCAACAAUUCCUAAAAUCAACUCAUUAGAAUUUUUAUUAUAAAAAGGUUUGAUCUUUAGCUAAAAUAUUCAUUAGGUAAUGUGUAUGUAACGGCAAGAAUAAAAACAGAUAUUUCAGAGUAUAUUAUUAAGCUGGGCCCUCUGUGUCCUAAAAUGCACUUAACGAUAAAAAUGGAAGCUUUUUUAGCUAACGUUCAAAGCUUUGAAAAAGUUUUCCUCGACCGACCAAAUACUAUCAUCAGUCACCUCAAUCCUAACCCCCUUCUAAAGCACGCCUUAUAGUAAAAAUCUUAUUAUAUGUAAAUUUUUAAUAAAAUAUUUUUCCAUAUUUUUACUGGUAAGUGAGUGGGCUUGCCGAAAAUAUGAAUGUGCUUAACUUAUGGCCCAUUUAAGCAAGUAGACUUUACGGUUUCUGUCAAAUAGUAUGAAAAUACUUAGUUUCUGAUAAUUGGUUCAGAACUUGAGUUAUUCUGUCAAGUAGAUUUUCAUUUGAUUUUCUUACUAGUCAUACAGUAUAAGGUGCGACCGGAGAGGCAAAACUUAUAUAAAAGUAUAAGCAAGUAGAUUUUAAAUAGGCAGUAAUCAUUUGUUGAUAAAUACGAGUGAUUAAGAAAUAAAACUGUAUAAUAAUAAUUAUUGCAUAUAUAAAAGAUUCCAGGGUCUGGGUGGACCUGGAAAAUGUUUGUACAAACCGGAAAUUAAAAUUCAAAAACUCAAAACUAUCAAAACGACAAAGGAGUACGCUUUGUCUUGCUGCGUUUUGGAAUAACCUUUUUGUUCUCUUCUCUCCUCUUUCUUUUUCACAGACUACUCACUGCCCGAAGCCACUAACUACUACACACAUUAUUAUCUCUCUCUCACAUCUCUACUAUUUACUCUUGGAUUCCACAAAGUAAGUAAAAAAAAGCAAACUCUGCUUCUCAAAUCUCUCUGUAGCCAUUUGCUCUCUCGCAUUUUCCUUUGACAAAAACUGAAUCUUUACUUCAAGCAGCGUAAGGUGCUCACUCUUUUUUGCUCCUCUGACUUUGGUUCUGUUGAUGAUAUAUUAAAUGUAUGUUUACAGUUCUUCAUACCUGGUGGUCAAACUCUUUUUUUCUUUGUUUUUGUAAGUUUUAAGGUUAAAUGUUUAAAGCUAUUACUGUGAUGCACUGUGAUUGUUUGCUAAUGCUUCACUUUAAUCAACCUGAUGAUUGUUUGCUUCACUCAAGUGGUUUUUAUAAAUUAGAUUCUCCUUUUUCAUGGAAAAAAGUUUAUCCAGGAAUCCAAAUAGAUUUUAUUUUUUUGCUUGUCUUGUCUUUGAGUGGAGUAUUUUAAAUCUGUUUACUUUAUAUUAAAACGGUAAGAUGUUUAAACUCAAUAAUGAUUCAUGUAGUAGUUCUUCAACGUCUAGGUCCCCUCCUUUCACGGCAAUAAUGGAGGAGAUGAUGAAAUUUGACCUACAAAAUUACAGUUUAACCCUCAUGUGUUUCAUUUAGGAGUGCAUAUCUGGUAGGGACAUAAAAUGUAAAUCUACCAUAUUGUGUGUUGCUUGUGUAGUUUGUGUGUAGGACCCUUGGUUACCAACCUUCAUGAUGAUAGGUUGUGAACAUUACAUAGUCAAGAGGAGUUCCCUUUUUUUAUGACUUUAUUAUAGUCAAACAACUUGUGUAGUUAACAUCAAUGGUUUCAAUGUCAAGAUACGAGUUAGUCUUUCAUUAUUUUGUUUGGUUUUAUUUGGGUAAAAACUCCAGAAUGAAAGCUCAGUUAUGCAAGUCUUUGAAAUCAUCUUUUGGCUUUAUACUUUUGGUUCACCUGAGAUUGUGACUCUGCUUGUAUCUCUCUCUCUCACUUUAAAAUAUUGACUCAACUGUAGUAUUCUCCUUUGAGUGAAAUGUUAAAGAGUUUAAAUUUCUUUUGUGGUGUUCUAGAGCUAUGAAUGAACAGAUUCGGUUGUGUAGAGUAGUCUUAAGCAAGAAAGAAGCCAUGCACUUGUUAUAAAAAUCAAAUGGUUGAUGAGGACACAAUCAAACGAAUCUCUAUGCCAACAUAAGAUAAUUAGUAAAGGAAAUGUUUUUUUUAUUUUAAGCUUAUUCUUUCUUUGUAGUAACUCCCAUCAUGUUUUCUCUGCCAUUGGACUGUUAAACAUGUCUCCAUCUUUCUGCAUUAGAUACUUAUGAGCUCUCUACAAUUCUUGGUGGGACAGGCUCUACAUUGAAGAAGCUGGACAUAUCUUUCCGGUAAACUAAAAAAAGAUAUUCAUCUUGUGCAUUGGAGGGAUAAUAUUACAGUAUGCAGACCCAAAAGGCUAGGUAAAUCUUGGUUUAUCUUUCUAUAUAGUUUCUUUGCAUUUAUGGUUGAUUCUUCUCACCUUGUGGGAGUUGUUUUUCAUAUCUGGAUCUUAAAGGUUUCACUCUUGUGGUCCUUAAUAUUUAUUGCUUCUGUUUAAUCAAAUCAGAUCACAAUACUUCUAUAAGACAACAAAUUAUGACCCUUAGUUAGCUUAUCUAUUAGUAAGAAGAAUUUUUUUUUCAUUCGCUAGCACAGUUUGUUGCAGCUUGGAGUCUUAAUUCCAGUUUGUCGUCUUUUUGUUUUCUAUUUUGGGGGCAGUAAUGGAUCUCCGGAUGUUCCCAAGAAAGUGUCUCCUCGAGCUGCUCGGCCACUGAAGAUUACAGCUCUAGAGCCUGACUCUCCUGCCACUCCUAUCUCAGCUAAUAACAGAACACCAAAGAACAAAAGUCCAAAAUUUCUGGACCGUAGGUCUCCAAGAAGUCCUGUCUCAGAGGUAUGAGAUCCUCUUGUACUAAUCUUCUUUGCAUGAUCCAAGCUAAGCCUUUCCAUCAUAACAUGUUUCUGUAUUGACUUUGAUGAGGAAAAAGUUAGUAUACAUUAAAUUUUGGGAUAUAAAAUUAGGUAGAAACAUUUAAUUUGGAGUAGUUGAGUUCAUUCAAUUGUAUGUUUCUUUCUUUCUCUCCUAGAGAUUUCUGUAAACACUUGCCAUGUUUUGUUUUAAUAACAGAAGAAGAGGCCAAGCAGAAUAACGGAGCUCGAGUCACUAGUCUCACACCUUCAAGAGGAGCUGAAGAAGGCCAAAGAUCAAGCCACAGUGUCCGAGACAUCAAAGAAGCAAGCAGAGGAAGAAGCAGAAGAGUCCAGGAAACAUCUAGAAGAACUUUCCUCUAAGCUCCAGGAGACUCAUAAUCAGGAAUGCUAUUUGAAGUCUGGUGCUAGUGGUGAUGAAAUUGCAGGAUUGGCUUUUGUUGUUGAGGAGAUCAGACAACUCAAGCAUCAGAUUGAGAAUGUGGCUUCUUCUGAAGCUAAUCACAUGAAGCAAGCUGAGCUGCGUAACUCGGAGAUUCACCUUUUGAGAGGAAACUUGAUGGACACGCUUUUCCUUGUUGAGAAUUUUAGAAACCAGCUUAAGGACUGCGAGGUGUCAGAAGCUGAAACGGAGGCUUUAGCCACCGAGACUCUUAGGCAACUGGAGAAUGCUAAAAAGGCAGUGGAAGAGCUGAAGUCAGAUGGCGCAAAGGCUGUUGAGAGUUAUAAGAAGAUGGCUGGAGAGCUUGAACAUUCAAAAUCAAGAAUGGUACUGCUUGAAGGUCUUGUGACUAAAGAUAAAGACUAUGAAGAAGUAUCUUCCUUAAGAAGUGAGGUAGAGCGUCUGAGAGAGGCUUUAGAAGCUUCUGAUAGAAAGGGCCAAGAGGGGAGUGUGGAGGCUUCUUCUCGGUUAAGGAUACAAGCUGAGCUUCAGUCUGAGUUAAAGAUUGCUAGAUCCGAGAUAGAUGAGCUGAAGGCGAGGUUGGUGGAUAAGGAAGCAGAGUUAGAGUUUGUCUCAGAGGAGAAAGAUAACCUAUACCUGAAGGAGACAGAUGUUGAAGCUGAGCUGAAGCAACUAAGGGAGGUGGUGGAGACUUUUAAGGCGGAUGUGAUGGAUAAAGAGACAGAACUCCAGAUAGUUUCAGACGAGAACGAGACGUUGAAGUCAGAUAUCAACCAGAGGGAGAGGGAUGUGCAAGACGUGCUGGUGAAGCUAGGGAUUGCGAUGGAAGAAGCUGACAAGAGUAGCAAGAGAGCGGUGAGAGUGGCUGAGCAGCUGGAUGCAACUCAAGCGUCGAACUCUGAGAUGGAGAUAGAGCUCAGGAAGCUCAAAGUUCAGUCUAACCAGUGGAGGAAAGCUGCUGAAGCAGCUACGGCUAUGCUCUCUGCUGGAAACAACGGGAAGUGUGAUAAAACGAACUCUCCUUACUCUGAGGAUGUUGAUGAUGAAGUGGCAAAGAAGAAGAAUGGGAAUGUGCUUAAGAAGAUUGGUGUUUUGUGGAAGAAGAAUCAGAAAUAGAUAUAAUAAUUAGGUAAAAUCUAGUUCUGAAGUUCAUAUAUUUUUUAGAUUAAUGGUCUCUUUUAGUUCUCUAGAGGAAAUGACUUUCUCUUUGCUCAUCUUGGGUUCUGCUUCUCAGGUACUGGUGAUUUGGAGUUGGAUUAUAAAGAGCAACUACUAUGACUCUGGUAUUGAUGUGAAUUAGUAGUUUGAGGACUAUGUUCUGGAUAAAAAAAACACAUGUUUGAAAAGAUUUGAGUAAUGGUAAUUUUAAGUAUUCAGGAGGGGAAACUGUUAAUUCUGUUAUUGUGGAACUAGUUGACUGUUGAUAUCAAAUGCAACAAAGCCUCCGGCUCACUUGGAAGGUUUAGAAUGAUUACUUGAGCCAACAGUAAGGCCCAACAAGCCCUAUUGAGAGUAUCGGCCUCUGUGUUAUAUCUGGCUCAUCUUUUAUUUUCUGCUAGAUGAGAUGUUUCUUCUUCUUGGUUAGUAAUUGUCUGAUCUUUAUAGUUUCUAUGUUUAUACAAGAAAAUGAAAACAGAAGAAAAUAACGUCACAACAAUUAUUGAUAUUGGUUGAUAAGCCCAAGCCUAGGAGAUGAUCUCUAAAGUAUACAAUAAAAUGAAAUAAAAAAGCACUAAUGCUAAUUCCACAAUUCUAAGAGAUAGUUAAGCAUUUUACGAACCAAAUAACGAGUGGUUAACUGGGUUAUACAUGAUUUAUUCUAUUGUUUGAGCUUCCAUAGUAUGAAUGUUUUGGGUCUAAAGAAAGAUGUAACUAUUAGUAGAAAUGAGAAAGUGGAAGUUUCAUGAGUUUUGUGAUUCAGAUGUUAGAGCAUCAGCAUCAAUGAACCUUGAGGGAGGUUCAUAACUUUAAUUUUUUAUUAUUUUUUUAAAACUUUUCUGUUUGAUUUUUUUUUUUAAAAAAAAAAAUUAAGCGGACCAAUCACGGACCGCCACGUAGCGUGGGGCCUGCGAUACAGUGAUGAACCAGGUUCAUCCCAAUGAACCUGCAAGAGCUGAGUUCACCAAAAAUAAAAUAUUUUAAUAUUUUUUUUUUGGAAAAAGAUGUGAACUUCUGCAUUGAAGGUUCAAUGCAGAUGCUCUUAGGUUUGGUAGAGUUUCACUAACCCGACAUCUACAAUAUGUCACCAUGUCAGUUGUUGAUUGGAUCUUCUCUGAUACCCGACAAAAUCAACUUCAACACCUACAUAUUCUUUUUCACUUGUUCGAUCACUAAACUACGAUAGGUAAUAUACUACAAUGUACUAUUGUAAUUGGCUUUUAUAUGAUCAAUUAGUAUAUAUAUAAUAUAUGUAUGCGUGUUGCUGUAUGUAUACAUAAACACGUGUUUCUGUGUGUAGAGCAACUAGCCAACUACAAACCAACAAAAAUAUUCAAAACAUUCUCUUUAACUCUUAAGUGUCUAUUAGCAUAUGUAAGCAGAUUAGGUUAGGUGAGAUCUUUUCUAGGUAUCGCUCAUCAUUACUUCAGGUCUUACAUUCCCACCUCCAAAUAAUCAAUACUCCCUCCGUUUUUUAAUAUAAAUCGUUUUAAAGCUAUGCACAUAGAUUAAGAAAAUCAUUAAUUUCUUAUAUUUUCGAAACAAAAACAUCAUUAAUUAUUUACCUAACCACAAUUCAACCAAUAGAAAAAUAGAAGAUAUAUUAUCAUUGGUCAGACAACAUUAAUUAUUAAUAAAUGUUACAUAGAAAACCGAAAACGACAUAUAAUUUAGAACAAAAAAAUUUCUCUAAAGCGACUUAUAUUGAAAAACGGAGGGAGUAUAAACUAUUUAACUCGUGAUUUCAUCUGGUACUUAAUUGUCUUUUAAUUGCCUCUUAAAUCUCCGUCUAAAAUCAUCAGCUAGAUAGAUCACUACUAUGUCGCAGUAUUAAAUUAUCAAUCAGUCCACAUUAUACCAAAAUGUGUUUAUAUAAAAUCAUACAACAACAUUACAAAAAUUGAUUAUUUAUGUCACUAAAGCAAUUAAGUAGAUUCACAAAACGGUUAGAGGGAAAUAAGUUGUGAUAAUGAAAGUAAGUUGUGUUUCAAAAAACAAAUCACAAAAAGGAAAAAAGGAAGAUUAAUUAAGUGGAAACAUCAACGUCAUUGCACCAUUAAUAAGCCUCUAGAGAGAUAUAACUAUUAGGAUUCAGUGAGAAAAAUACAGUUUAGGGUUAAACACAAAAUUCAUUCAUUGGUAAAUUAAUUUAUAUCUUCCAGAAACUUUGCAAAUAAAUUAUUUUAAAAAAGAAACAAAGGAAAUGUCUUCAUUUAAAACAUAGGAGUGAAAUACUGAACAUACAAAAGAAAGAAACUCAACAAUUUAUAUGAGAAACAUAAAUAAAACCACCCCAACCUCCCCACCCCCAUAUUGCAAGUUUGAAACUCUUUGAAAGAGCCCUAAUAUAUCUAUAUUUCCAUAACCAUAUAAUGCUAUCCCCCAUCUUUUCUCCCAAUAACUACAAGGAACUCAAACCCUCAAUUAAACCCCAAAUAAAAUUGGGUUUUUAAGUUGAACUACAUCAAAGCACCAGAAUUAAUAUAGUUCAUAUUGGUCCAAAUUUCUUUCCCUGAGUCAAGCUGGUCUACAUGACCACCUCCUCCCAUGUUCAUCAUCCCAAAGCUCUCUCCAUUCAUCUGCCAGGGAAAUCCCCAUAAGACCUUGUUUGGAUCACUCAUGGCCAUAUCCAAACCGCUGCUACCGCUUCCAAACGCAUAACCAGCGUUCCCCUUCUGUUGGCUUGUUCCAAACACACUCUCCAUGUCAGACUGAUGAGAGCUACCGAACCCUAGCUGCGAAGAACUCCCCGGAGGUUGCUUGUUUAGCAAUGCAAAGGCUAAGCUGAGAUCAAUGUGGUCAUUGUUACUAUACCCACCGAAAAUCCCCCCCGAGAACGCUUUGCCGUCGUGGGACGCUGGUUCCGGGGUGGUUCUAAGGCUUCUUGUCGCCGACCGUUUGUUCUUCCGGCAGCCGCCUCCGACGGGAAUGUUCCUUAGGGUUCCGCCUUUGGUCCAAUAUCUCCGACAUGAUUUGCAGAAGUAGCGAGGCUGAGAGAGGCUGUAGUUGUUGUAGUAGCAAAACUUUGUGUUCGUUGAGUCGCAACGUGGACAUCUCACGGCUAGCUCCGGUGGCUGUGGCCUCGCCGCCCCAGUUGCCGGAGAAGGUUUCUUCUGAUCAUGGUCUAAACAUGAUCCUCCCAUGGCUUCUCUUGCUUUGUUAUAAUUCCCAAAAACAUCCUAUAAGAAAGAAAAAAAUAGAAAACACAUCAAGAUUUUAAUUUAAAUAGACAACACCCGUCAAGGUUUUAGUUCAAAUAAACAAAACCAAUCAAGAUGUUAAAAUUUGUUGAUCUUUGCUGGAGCUUUACCUGUUGCUGUAGCAAAUGAUCCAUAAGAGCUGAAUGUGAGAAGCUCCUGGAAGAUUAUUAGAUGAGUGUGAGUUGUUUAUGUGUAGGAGAGAUGGAGACUGUUUCUUGAGAUAAAGAGAGAUAGAUAUGAGUAUAAAAGUACUACAAAAGGAAAAGCCAAGCAUAUGUAUAUAUAGAUGGGAAUGUGGGAGGAGAGAGGCACAUAAUUGUUGUGGCCUCGAUCCAAAACUAUUUGUAUAAUUUUAUAUUCUUAGAUUUAGUUGAUAUUUGAUAUUGUUAAACAAUAGUCUGAAGAAGAAUGAUGUGAACAAACUUCGGAAGGUGGCUUGGAGACCACAAAGCCGCCGCUUCUGAUUAAAUUAUUAAUGUACAUAAAUUGCAUCUUACUGUCAAUUGAAGUGUUUUGGACCUCACUGAAAUUAUUUUCUGUACACAACACAAAGUUUUUUUAAUAAAAUGUUAAAAUUUUUCAAAAGAAAAUACACAUUGUUACAGCAAGUACUACUUUGUUUUUUACUUUUCCAAAACUGAGGAAAAAUAAUCAGCCUAUAUUCUCACAUAUGCAAUCCAGAUUUGAAAAGCUCUCUCCAGUCUCUUGUCUUGAGUCUUAACAGACAUAAUCCUGUUUUGAUUAGCUUGUCGAUUGUACACAACACAAAGUUAUUGAACUACAUGUUAUAAUAUAAUUAACUCUUAUUCAGUUAUUGAUUUUCUCCUGGUAUACAAUAUAUAUAUAUAUGUGAAAAUACAAAUUUAUUUGUCGGUUUUUAACUAUAAUAAUGUGUUAAGUUGUCGUUAAGUUACUCCACAACAAGGGAUUGGUCAAUAUGAUGAUGAGUUUCAAUCGUUAUCAACAAUAUGAAUUCCAUCUAUUUGAUUCAAGAUGGAAAGUGACCGUACGAUGAUGGAUGAAAGAUGGCGUUCUACGUCUGGUUCCCAAUCCCACACAGUCUCAUGUUCUUAAUUUGUACUGUAAUUUCUGUUUUAUGUCCCAAUGGUCCGCUGAGUUGUCACCUCGUUGGACCCCAUACUCAUCCCGAUGUCUCGUUUCUUCAUUAUGGGACCGAUGUGAUCACCUUCGUGUCGUACUAGAGGAGUGGCCAAACAUCUCUUGUUUCCGUUGUGAUUUGUGAUCCACUAUAUAUUUGCUUAAAGACCAAAAAUCAUCUGUAAUUGAAUAAUUUUGUUUGACACAUGUUAAUAUAAAAUUAGACAGAACGUAGGAAACGCAUUGACGUUAAGAUAAAUGAUUUAUUUAUUGUUUUGAACAAAAAGUGAUUUAUUAAACCUUAUUAUCUAUGGAAAGGUCACUAACGAUAAUAGAAAUUUGGCAUUACCUCCAUCACAUAAUAGAGAUAUAUAUACCUCAGGUCCGUAGGGUUAUCACAUAAUGUCCGGCCGGAGAAUGUGUAGCUCUCAUGAUGUGGUUGCAUCAUCCCAUGGGAAUUUUAAAAUCAUAGAGACACGAAUCACAUAAACACAUCGGUUUUCGGGAAAAGGGUCUUCUAUGAAGACCGAGAUUUGGUCUAAGGACCAUAUCAACAACACCCACGCAUAUCCACCAGUUUUUAUAUUGAGUUAUACAUAAUUGUACUUGUAGAUAAUAUAUACGAUUCUUAAACGUUGUAGUUCGUACUAACUCGUACCAUUACUAAAAAUGGUUGAUUUCUUGUGAUUUUUUUGGGUUGGUCUACUACAAACAUGUUGUUUAUUACAAAAACAAAAACUAUUAGUUUUUAAUGAAAUUGCAGUAUGUUGCAUAUGAUUUUCAAAAAUAUUGCGUAACUUAAAAAAGUAAAAAUCCGUUAUCAAACCCACUUAGCAUACUUUUUCUGUCGUUUUGUUAUAAAUAAACAAAAAAUACAAAUUAACCUUAAGCAAAGAAACUUAAAAAGCAAAACACUAUUGAAACAAAUACUCAUUUAAUAUUUGUAUAUUGAUUAUUUUAAUGAAAAGAUUACAGUUGUUUAAAUCCGUAUGUAUACUAGCAAGCAUCAAAAUCUGAUAUUCAUUUUUCCUUUAGAAAAAGUUUUUUUUAUCACGUUAAACAUAUUUUUAAUCCUAUAAAGUGUAUACUACGGGGCUUUAGGCUUCCAUAUUCCUCAAAUGUUGAUUUUGAUUACGAAUCUAUCUUUCCUGUAUAGAGAUUUAAAAUAAUUUCAAACAUUUUUUUUUGAAAAGAAAAUAUUUCCAAACUUAACACGUUUUGUAUUCGAUAAAUUUAUAUGCUGGGAAAAAGUCAGUUUGUUACUGCCUGUAGUUUUCGUCCAGGAAAUAUGGUGAUUCAUUUCAAACAAUCAUUGGUCUCCAAAUAUAACUGAUGAUCAUUAUGUUUCCCUUUAGACCCUACCUACUUGUGGCUCCAGGUUUCGUCAAAGUAAUCAUGACGAUAAUUUAAAUUUAAUAUCUUUUUAUAUAAUAAAGUUAUUGCACUAACAGUUCAGACAUCUUUCGAUCAUAAACAUUUAUUUUAAUUUGUACUGCCAAUCUAUCGAUUUAAAAUGUCUUUUAUUAUACUAGGUAUAAAGUUUAGUCACAAUUCUAUUAAUUUCAUCAUAAAUCUGCUUUACUUUCUUAAAUUUAGAGAUAACAAAAAAAUAGCGUUUAGUACUUGAUGAUGAAAACAUAAUAUCUAAUUAGUUGAUUUUGUUGUUACAUGUUUGAAAACACACAAAUUUGAUCAGUACUAACUCUUAAAUAAGGGAUUUAUAAGAAAGUAGCAACUCACAAGAACUAUACAGGUUUAGCUGUAAGAAAAUAAGUAAAGAGGAUCAGAAGAUAAAGAUGAUGUUUUAUUGGUUCAUCAAACUAAUAUAAACAUAACAUAAAUCAAAACAUGUGGAGGUCAAGCAACAGGGAUGGGAGUGACAUAACAUGAAUCUUCCAUCCAAAAUCAGCAAUCAGGAAUCGAACACUAUAAUCUGAGUCUAGACAUUAAUCGGAAUGGUAGGACCACGGGAAAAUAGACAUAGAGUUUUGUGGUUGACCAGUCAAUGUUGUUAUAUUUUCAUCAGUUGCUUUAAACAAAGUGACAAAACUGGAAUGUCUUGGGAAACAAAAAGAAAUAAAAGCAGAUCGUAUGUAUUGAUAAGAGAGCUCUCAAAUAUAUGAAUCAUAUUGCAAUCUAUCUCGACGUGAUAGUACUUCUCAUUUAUUAUAGUUUAUAGAGUGAUCCGCUAUCUUAAUUUCUAAGUACUAUUUAUCAUACUCCUAUAUAGAUAUAUGAGUACUUUCUUUUAUAUUGAUAUUCUACUUUAUGGCUCGAUACUUGAAAUAAGUUUUAAAUAUAUGAAUACUAUUUUGGAUGUUUGAUCUUAUCAACUUUGAUUUGGUUUAUCGAGAGUGAAUGGUAAUUGCUAAUAAUGCGAACUGAGUUUUUUUGGGGUGGGGAGUAAAAUAAUGCCAAUUGAGUUGUUCAUGGUAAUAUAAGUUUUUUUUUUAUAAUUCUUAUGAUCAUUAUUAUAUGCCGUAGAUGAUUGUUUUGUUGGUGUAGCUGAUGGUCUAAGCAACUGAUGACAAUCGAAACUUUAUUACUUUUGCUAAAUCAAGUUGGUCCAUCUCAUAAUAAUGGUUGAAAAAAACCGUUGGUCCAUUUCUGCACUAGUAAGUGAACAGUGAUCAAGAAUGGGCUAGAAUUUCUGUUCGAAAAGAUUAAUUUGGACUUUAAAAAUGUAGGUCUAGGAAGUGUUCUUACAAGCUUAGGAAUUGACAUAAAUGACUCAACUUAAACCAACCUUUUCUAAACCUAAUUUGUAGUAUUUUGUUAAGAUAUGAUAGUUUACUACGAGGAGCACUUUGGUAGGAAAAAAAGUUCUGAAAUUUAUGGGAUCUAAAAUAUAUAGUUUUUAAUUAAUUUAGAAAUCAAAUAUUAUUUAUAUAUUAAUAAUUAUGGAUAAAUGCGAAUAUUUUAUUUCGCUGUAAUUAGAACAUCGGUUGUAUACUCGCUCAAAUGACAUGUGAAUCAAAUAAUAAACCCUAACGUCUGAAUUAUAAACGUAGAACCUUGAAACUUCCGGACAUAUAUUCCUUAACAACAGCAGGAACAGAGUGACUGGCCGGCAGUAUAAGUGGGACCUUGAUGCCGGGUAAUUGGGCAACACGUGACGGCAUGGCAAAGGAAUAAUUUGGAGAAAUCGAGGAAAGAUAAAAUGAUAGAGCAAGUGGUUGCAGCCAUAUUGGUUUUGCAUGUGGUGUCUCACUCACAGUCAGGGUUUCAAACUCUUGUAACUUUUUUUCAUUCUUUUUUUUGGUAAACAUGUUAUAAGAUUGCAUUACCAGUUUUUGAGUUUGUGACAGAAGGUACAAAGGAUACUAAUAGCAGAAAAUACAAACACCGAAAUGAAACUACUAAACAACAACAAAAUACAGUAAAGAAAAACACGAUUGAGGACGGACAUCGAAAGACGAAGGAGAGAGCACUCGAGAGAACUUGUGAGAGUUGCAAGAGUACGCAACAAGCAAGCUCAGAAACUCCAUAGUAAGGCAUCAGUUAUAAUAUGAGUCACGAGCCGGUAAUAUUGGCUUGCCCAGACACUCGCCUCCAAAACAUGACUUCACCACGAAGCCCUUCCACCUGCAGAGAGCAAAGACACCAGCGAGAGCUCGGAGCUCGCAGCAGACGACAAUGAGGCCGCACCAAAGCGGCGAAAUCGACGAACCAGAGCCUGUCGAAGCAGACGACAAUGGGGCCGCACCACUUUUUUUCAUUCUUUGUUUACAUUAUAGCAAGAUCUAUCUAUUUCCAAAUAAUCUCAGACAAAAACUUUAGAAUCAAAUUUUAUUAUACUCUAGUUUGGUUGUAUAUGUAGGCAUAUGUUAGACAAUAUAUAAGACUUUGCUCAAAAAAAAUGACAAGACAUUCAUAUAAUAUAUUAUGUAAUCAUGUUUUCGAUUCCUUUUUAAAAUUAUAAUGUUAUCAUAUAUAUAUGUUUUUGGAAUAGUACAAACUUAGUAAAAAAAUUGUUUAAUUUUGUGUUGUAUUAUUGGCUUAUUAAUGUUCUUUCAGUUAGAACUGUUUUAGUUUCUUACAAAAACAACUUGCAUGCUCUGAAAGUUAAGAACACUAACCAAGAGCUGUGUAUAAAAUAAACGAAAGAAGAUUUAGGAUCGGAUUAGAGAUUUUGAGGCACUAUUCCCAAAGGGACCCCGCAUAUAUUCUUGCCUCCAUCUUCAAGCAAAGCAUCAAAGCGUAGAUUCCCAUGCAGUUCUUUCUUUUUAGCUGUUGUUCCCUUUUUAUUUAAUUUAAUAGUAGCUCUUUGGAGCUUUCUUUUGUUUGUUUCCACUUUAGUGAAAAUUUCUCUAGAUUUCAGAAAAUGGAUUCGUUUUUACGAUCUGUAUAUUUUUCAUUCACUCAUUAAGUUUUGAUUGGUAUUAUUAGAAUGUGCUCUUCUUACUCAAACUUAUGGUCUCUUUUCUUUAUCUCUUUCUUUUGUAGAAAGUUUUCUUUCAUCUUGUUUUUGUUUGCUUUCGUCUAUAUCAAGCUAGUUUCUCCAAAGUAAAAUGUAUACAAUUUGCUUUCAAAAUUCAUUUCAAAAAAAUCAUUUUAAAAUGUACUAUAUGGCUUAACAAAAAAAAACUGUCUCAAAGAAAUAAAUUUGUAAAUAGAAUAGGUUUUUGAUUCUGUUUAUAAAUAUCCAAAUAGGUAAAUUAAAUUAUAAAUUAUUAAACGAAAUUUUCUUUUUAUUCAAAAAAACAAAGAAUAAAAAAAACUUUUCCUCACUUACAAUAAAUCAUAAACUUUGUUAUAAUGAAAAUGUGUUAUCGACAAGAAUUUAAAUAAUCCCAUCAGUUAUUCAGUUUACAUAUAGUUUUUCAUUUGUUAAAUUUGUCUGAUAUGAAUGUCUUUUACAAAAAUGAUGUCGUCAUGUAGACGCGUCACUGGUUCGUGUGAUAAAAAGCAUCAGAUAUUGCAUUUUCUACCGCGGGCCUGUAAUAACUUUAUCACAAUGUAGUAAUUUGGGCCGGUGGGCUUAACUACACAUAUAGGAAAUAUCAAAUGUAAUUGUUCAAAAAUAAAACGAAAUAUCAAAUGUAAAAUCAUUCAGUAAAUUCUCUAAUUCAUUUACUCACUCUUCUCAGAGAUCAACCUUCUGAUCAACCCCAGUAUCUCUUCUCUCAAACGGUUAGCCAGAUCCGGUACAGUCUCCUUCACAUCAGUAAACCACAACUCAUCCCGGUUCUGCACUCCUCCAGAGCUAAACCAUUGGCAUAUAACCUGAGCGAUUGCAAGAAGGUAAACACCACAGUCGUACCCAUUCCUCUGCUGCGGUGUAUCACUGCACUCUCUGUAUAUCGCAUCUCCAUCAGACACAAACGGAGAAACCGCUUCGAAGAGCUGUUUUGCACUCCAUUUAUUCAGUCCCAUCAAGCUGUCGUGAUGAAAAAACGAGUUGGCUUCUUUGUAAUACACGAGUAAGGUCCAGUGUAAUCCUCCUUCGGCUAGCUCGACAUUGGUGUUGUCGUUUACGGGGAAUAUCAGGAGGUCGCUGUCGCGUAAUCCAAGGGGUUUGAUGAAGUCUUUGAGUGAUUCGGUGUCGGGGCAGUUUGAGAUCCAGAAGGCAAUGGAGGGAGGGAUCAGUGAGAUGGCAGAGGAAGUGUGGACCGUGGAUAAGUAGCUUAGGUAGAACUCGAUGACACGGUCGUUAAGAAAAUUGGGUCCGUUUAGGAUGUCCAAAUCUGAUCUCCGGAGGACAACAUCGUUGUAGCUAAGGAUCUUGUCGUCAUCUGAACUGUAUCCCAUGGCCGACAGUGGAGGAAUCUAUAAUAAAUCUGCAAUGUGCAAAUGUCAAUGAGGCAACCUUUAUGUAAGCUAAUAUCAAGAAAACAUAUACAGUUAGCGUGCGUAGCAAGACAUGCAUCAAAUAAAUACAAACCAGAACAUUCGUUGAGGCUUUUUGUCGAACAGUUUGCGUUCAUUAGAACAUUUUUUUUCGUACAAAAAUCACGCAAAGGAAACAAAAUUUCUUACACAAUAAUCAGUGGUUGGUUAUAUAAAAUUGAAUUUAACAAAGAGAAAGGAAUAAAAAUAAGAAAAGAGAAAUCUCUAUCAGGGAACAGAAACUUGGUAAACAUAUUCAUUCACUCACGAUUAGCGACAAACUAAUGAAUCAACAGUUACCUUGAAUCUCUUUAAUCUAUACGUGAUGCCUCCUGAAAAAGGAUCAGAUCAAUCCACGGCUUGCAAAAGGAACUGUAAUCUGAGUUAAAUAAUCCUUACUAAUAAAAGGGACCUUUUGAGGCUCCAUAGAGCAUCCACAUCAGCGAAAAAAAAUCCUCCCGAAAGAUGACACGUAGCAUAAAAUAUAGUUUUACAUUUUAAUAUUACUAAUUUUUAAAAAUUAUAAAUAAUAUGAAACAUAGAGCAUAAAAAAUGGAAAAACUACAUUGAACAUAUGUAAAAUUACUAUUUUUCACUUUAAAAAAAAAGACGGCUUAAUUCCAUAAUGUAAUAUUACCAUUUUACAUUUUUAUUUUAAAAAAAAUAAUAUGUAAACAUACAACAUAAAAAUGGAAAAACUACAUUAAACAUAUGUAAGAUUACCAUUUUUCACUAAAAAAAAGACGGUUUAUCUCCAUAAUGUAACAUUACUAUUUUGUAAAAAAAAACAUUAUAUAUAAUUUCGGACCUUUUGAGGCUCCAUAGAGCAUCCACAUCAGCGAAAAAAAAUCCUCCCGAAAGAUGACACGUGGCAUAAAAUAUAGUUUUACAUUUUAAUAUUACUAAUUUUUAAAAAUUAUAAAUAAUAUGAAACAUAGAGCAUAAAAAAUGGAAAAACUACAUUGAACAUAUGUAAAAUUACUAUUUUUCACUUUAAAAAAAAGACGGCUUAAUUCCAUAAUGUAAUAUUACCAUUUUACAUUUUUAUUUUUAAAAAAAUAAUAUGUAAACAUACAACAUAAAAAUGGAAAAACUACAUUAAACAUAUGUAAAAUUACCAUUUUUCACUAAAAAAAAGACGGUUUAUCUCCAUAAUGUAACAUUACUAUUUUGUAAAAAAAAACAUUAUAUAUAAUUUCGAAAAUAAUAAAUAAUAUGUAAACAUACAACAUAAAAAAUGGAAAUACUACAUUAAACAUAUGUAAGAUUACCAUUUUACAUUUAAAAAUAACAAUAAAAUGUAAACAUAGAACAUAAAAAAAUAGAAAAACUACAUUAAACAUAUGUAAGAUUACCAUUUUUCACUAAAAAAAACGGCUUAUCUCCAUAAUGUAAAAUUUCUAUUUUAUACCUUACUAAUAAAAGGGACCUUUUGAAGCUCCAUAGAGCAUCCACAUCAGCGAAAAAAAAUCCUCCCGAAAGAUGACACGUGGCAUAAAAUAUAGUUUUACAUUUUAAUAUUACUAAUUUUUAAAAAUUAUAAAUAAUAUGAAACAUAGAGCAUAAAAAAUGGAAAAACUACAUUGAACAUAUGUAAAAUUACUAUUUUUCACUUUAAAAAAAAAAGACGGCUUAAUUCCAUAAUGUAAUAUUACCAUUUUACAUUUUUAUUUUUAAAAAAAUAAUAUGUAAACAUACAACAUAAAAAUGGAAAAACUACAUUAAACAUAUGUAAGAUUACCAUUUUUCACUAAAAAAAAGACGGUUUAUCUCCAUAAUGUAACAUUACUAUUUUGUAAAAAAAAACAUUAUAUAUAAUUUCGAAAAUAAUAAAUAAUAUGUAAACAUACAACAUAAAAAAUGGAAAUACUACAUUAAACAUAUGUAAGAUUACCAUUUUACAUUUAAAAAUAACAAUAAAAUGUAAACAUAGAACAUAAAAAAAUAGAAAAACUACAUUAAACAUAUGUAAGAUUACCAUUUUUCACUAAAAAAAACGGCUUAUCUCCAUAAUGUAAAAUUUCUAUUUUAUAUAAAAAAAAAAACAUAAAUAUAACUAUUUGACUAUUUGUCCAAGUUCUUCUAUUAAACAUUGCCGUUUUACAUUAAAAAUGGAAAAAUACAUUAAGAUUUAAACAUCUAUCUUAAAAUAUAAAAUAUAGAUAUUAACUAAAUAUAAAGUAUAAGAAAGAGAAAUACUCAAUAUAUUGAAAAAUAAAUAAUAAUUAAAUAUUAUAAAUAUAUAAAUAUACGAAUUAUAUAUACAAUAAUGAGUAAAUGCACAAUUUUUAAAAAAUGGAAAGAGUACAUUAAAUAUUAAACAUCUAUAUUAAAAUGUAAAAUAUAGAUAUUAAGUAAAUAGAAAGUAUAAGAAAAAGAAAUACACAACUUAAAAACAAUGGAAAAAGUAUAUUACGAUUUAAACAUUUAUCAUAAAAUGUAAAAUAUAGAUAUUAUGCAAAUAGAAAGUAUAAGAAAAGGAAAUACACAAUUUAAAAAAAUGGAAAAAGUACAUUAGUAUUUAAACAUCUAUCUUAAAAUGUAAAUCUAUCUUACAAUAUAAAAUUAUUAGUAAAUAGAAAGCAUAAGAAAUAGAAGUACACAAUAUAAAAAAAAAAUAAUAAGUAAAUAUAUAAUAUAAGUAAAUACCCAAUUUAAAAAAUGGAAAAUUUCAUUAAGAUUUAAAAAUAUAUCUUAAAAUUUAAAAUAUAGAUAUUAAGUAAAUAGAAAGUAUAACAAAUGGAAAUAUACAAUUUAAAAAAAAAUGGAAAACGUACAUUAAGAUUUAAACAUCUAUCUUAAAAUGUAAAAUAGAAAUAUUAAGUAAAUAAAAAGUACAAGAAAUGGAAAUACAUAUACAGGAAAAUAAAUAAUAAGUAAAUAAUGUAAAUAUAUAAUAUAUAAAUUAUAUAUAUAAUAAUAAGUAAAUACACAAUUUUUUAAAAAAAAUGGAAAAACUUCAUUAAGCAUUAAACAUCUAUCUAAAAAUGUAAAAUAUAUAAUAUAAGUAAAUACACAAUUUUAAAAAAUGGAAAAAGUACAUUAAGAUUUAAAUAUCUAUUUUAAAAUAUAAAAUAUAGAUAUUACGUAAAUUAAAAUAUAAGAAAUGGAAAUAAACAUUUACAAAAAUGGAAAAAGUACAUUAAGAUUUAAACAUCUAUCUUAAACUGUACAUCUAUCUUAAAAUGGUAGUAAAUUAUAUAAAAAUGGAAAUACCACAUAAGACAAAAAAAAUGUAUAGUUUUACAUCAAGAAAGUCCCUAUAAAACUCAUUAUUCCAUCAAUAUCAACCUCACUCUAUCAAGGAAAACUUUAAAGCACUCGAGCAAAAAAAUGGUUCCACCAUCAACUUUUGCCGUCCCAAAAACCUUUAAUGACCUUGAAUGAGAUUUUUUAUGACAACAAAUUUUUUGUUAGGUGGAUUCAUUGUUGGGAAACCCGCAACUUCCAAAAGCCAAACUUAUUCAUGGGAAUUGAAUUACUUUUCAUAGACUCAAAGUUAUUCUUACAAUUGUUAAUAUUCAUACUAACUCUUUCAUGAUCAAACCAUUACAGUUAAUAAUCAUUCAAGCGUUUAUCCUGAAACACUUCAUUCCUCGCCGAAUCAAGUAUUGGUUCAUGUUGGUUUAAUAUUGUUUUUGGUUUAUUAACCGGUUUAGGAUAGUCCUAUUGUAAAUAUAAUUUAAGUUGGUUUUGCAUAUAUUAUGCUUAAAAUUAAAUAAUAGUAAUAUUAUGCUUAAAAUAUAAUUUUAGAGAGUUUUCAAAUAUAGUUUAGAGAACAUUAUAGGUGAUGAAUUUAAUUUAUUAAAUUCGUUUAUUACUUAAAACUAAGUUUUUUUAAAAACAUACUGAGUUAUAAAUAUCAAUGAUGGAUUGGUGAGUAUAACAUGAAGACAAAAAUAUAAAUAUUUUAUUUUCAAGAUAAGAAAUUCAGUUACUCAAUAUAUAAUAUCUUAAAUUAUUUUUUAAAAAAAUAUACAUAAUUUAUAUAUAUAGAUUAAUCUUCCAAACUUAAACUAUUAUAUUAUAUAUGAAUAAUGUUUUUAAAUAAAAACAAUUUAUGAUUAAAAAAAAUAAAUAAAAACAACAAAUGGUUAAACAUCAAUAUCAUCUAGGUUAAGUAUACGAACAACACAAAUUCAAACAUCACAAAAAAUAUUUACAUAAACAUUAUAAUACAAUAAUUUAAUCAAAAAAUACAAUAAAAAAAAUAAUAUUCAAAAGAAUAGUUAUAUACUUAAAUUUGAAAAUCAAAGAUAUUUUUGCUAAAAUUGUAAUUACCUUGCCAAGAAGAUCGACCAUCUUUUUUACGGAUUGAUCGAUUGUUGAGCAUGUGGUCGAUCCGAAAAUACUCUGCAGUUUAAUUAAAUAUCUAAAACAUUUAUUCCAACACUCAAGAGAUAGUUUUGCUAAAUAUGAUAACUAGAUAGCCAAUAAAAUUACAAAAAAUAUUUAAAUAGUAAAAAAUAUGUUAAUUUAACGUGUUAAAAUUUAAAAAUAAAUUUUAAUUAUGACAUACAUCUUAACAUUUAUAUAAAUAUAUAUCAUAACCUAAAUAUAAAUAAUUUAACAACUUAAAUUAGAAAAAUAUAAAAAUCCCGGGCGUAGCCCGGGUUAAUCCCUAGUCUAUCUAUAUUAAUAAAGUUGCUCAGAAACUCUCCUCAGCCCUCCACCUCACCCUUCCAUAUCUUAAAAUUCGCCACGUGUCGUCUCCUUUUCUUCUGUUCCAUGUUUUUUAAAAAACGACCCUCUCUCCCGUGUUUUUUCUUUAAAAAGCGGAGCUCUACUUUUUGGGCUUGCAAGUAUUUGUCUUUGGGCUUCUCUAAAAUUGGCCCAUCUUUUUAGGGUUUCUCUGGGCGCCGUAGAAGUUGUUUUUUUGCUGUUCUUCGAUUCUUAGCUGUUCUUCCGUUCUGUAACGGCGAGCGUUUCUGUUUCUCAUUUCUUUAAUCACAUCACUAACCCCAGUUCCACUACUCUCCUCACUCUCUGUAAAUUAAACACCAUAAUUAUCAUGAAAUCUGAUGAAGGAGGAUGUGACAACAGAUAGCAGAGGCAAUUGCUUUUUGAGUGGAUUGUUAUCCUCUGAGAUAUGGAGCAAGUAUUCGUCGGGUCAAGGGUUUACUAUUAUGGGCUUUACUCAUUCCAAGAAGCGCUUCCAUGGCCGUUUAUUAAUGUUUGUUUGCUCUUACUCGAGACUGUGAGAUGCAGUGGAUUACGAGGUAUUUGGGAGUCAGUACUGUGACUUCGACAAAGGCACUCUCCGCGGCGAUAUUAAUAUCUCAGUCCGUCCUAUUACACAAGCGAAGUUUGGCAGCAAGGUCAACAAGUUUCUAUCCUUCUUUGUCGUUUAUAUAUUCUGAGCUAACCAAUAAAGUAGUAUGUUCAACUCAUUCUGUUUUCAUUCUACUGUAUUUGGAUGAUUAUUCGUGUUUCUGUUGGUUCACAGGUGGAAAUGAAGAAUUUGAAUGAGUUUUCACCAAUUAACAGGGCCAAGCCAACCAGCUUAUGGGGAGAAGUAACUCAGGUAGCAUGCUAAAUAAUCUUCCACUACAUUGCAAUAUCUCUGUUUUUCAUUGAACAUAGCCACCAUCGACUAGCUUGAGUAUAUAUGUUCAGACAGGAACAAUAAUGAAUACAUGAAUAUUGACGGAGAGGUGAGAAAGCUGACUAAUGCCCUGCAGAAGAUGUUGCACAACUUCUGGUAAGCCAAAAGCAAAGCAAACUACAAUUACUAUGUUUAUGGUGCUUCAAAGUUCACACUCUGUCCCACUGAAUACAUGAAUGACAAUAUUUUGCAGGAGGAGUGAAGACCCGGACCGUAGACCCCUGCCACAGUGCAUACAUGACUUAGUUGGGAGCACUUCUACUUAUUGAAGCUUUCCCAUUCAACUGCUCCUCCAAGCAUCAGCCGUUCACCAUAUCUCGAAUCUUUGACCGCGACCAGUGUUCACCACUGCCAAACUUUGCUGUAAAUGUUGGUCAAACCAUUAGCUAAUUAUCUUACAAUUUGUUGGUUUUGGUGGUGACACUCUUAUAUGAUUCAUUAACAGGGAGCGAUAACAACCCCGGAGAUGAUAUCCCUGGAACAGUAAGCAGUAGCAGUUACAACUAACCUUUACUGGUGAGUGUGUGACUAGGGGAGCCCUGCUACAAAUGCUUGUGGGGUUAUGGAGGGAGCUUCUGCUGCUGCAGGUGUUUCGCAUGAUGAACCUGUACAUGGUGGAAUAACUGCUGAUGGUCCACCACACCGGAGGCUGAUCCAGCAAAGCUGAAGUUCCCAGCAUCGUGUGUCGCCAACUCAAGCGUCCACCACUGCUGCUCCUUAGGUUUUUGUCUUCAUUUGAGUUAAAAUAAAUUGUUUAAGAUCACGCUACUUAUUUCAAUGCUUUUUGUUGUUGGGUUUUUUUUUUUUUACUUUUUCUUAGCGUUGUCAUCACGAAAACUUUGUAUCAGCAGUGGUUUAAAAAAAAAUAUUUAUUGCUCUUCGACAAACUACAUUCCUGUUUGUUUAAAAAUAAGCUAUAUUCCUGUUGCUAUUUGAGAGCUGGUCCUACCGCUUAAAUAAACAUAGUAGGUAGCUCCUCCUGAUUUUGCAUCCAUAUUUUACAGAAGUUGAUUUAGCAAACAAACUAUAUUGAUUGCCUCCAUGAGUUCUGGGUGAUUUAAACUGAGUUCUUCCGUACACAUUUAGACACUGGCAUAAUGCAGCGCUAUGGAUAAAAUCAUUUAACGUUCAAGGGUGUUGUCCUUACAGAACGUCACCGGCAAAUACUGUAUCAGCAGCAGCAUUGGUGAUUAGGAGGUUACGACCACUGACUCCCAUGCUCUAUAAAACUGAGCUUUGUUAGUUGCGUUUCCUGUUUUCCCACUGUAGGAACGUACAUCUGCAUUAGCAAGUUUGUGAAGGAUAAGAAGAUGAUGGCUCCCGACUGACAGGUCCCAAAGAUACUUGAGGUGUUCGUCAAGUUUAUGUUAAAAACUUAAAAAUAUAAAUAACACGAAUAUACAAAAGUAGUUUGGUGCAAAUCAAAAGAUCAUAAAUAAAGUAUCUUCUGCUGUUUGUCCAAAUAAUUCAAAGAAGAUAUAUUUUUUCCUUCUGUGUUGAGAGAACAUUUGACCCCAAAACGUUUAUAGCUUAUCGGAUUUUAACUGCGUCUACAGUUUAUAGAGAGUAGGAGAAGUCACAGUCCUAUUCAUAUGUUAGCCUCAACCGCAUUGUUUCACAGAAUCUCGAGUGGUGUCGCUGACCAAGAAUGCAUCACGCAUACAACGAUCAAUGGACUUGAAAAUCUGGGCAGUGGUGGAUAUCUCGAGUUCAUGAAUUUGUUUUUUUUUGGCUAAAUAGUUUGUUCAUGAAUUCUUCUCAAGCGAGAUAUUAUAUAACUAUUGCCUGAACUGCCAAGCGUUUAAGGAUGAGAAACGAUGAAAAGACUUUGAUCUAUAUCAAACAUACAACUACACGGUUCACAAAAAGAAAAACCCCUCUGUUCAAACUCGCAAAACCCUACAAGUAUAGAACUACAUAGACCCAUACUUACUGACGAACAGAAAGCAAUAACAGAUCCAUAUAAUGUGAUUUCACAUUUCAUCAAACUCACACCAACGUAAAUAAAAAUAGGGUAAAUCUCACGAAAUAUUUACUAGAUCAGGGAACUAAAAUUUACAAUAAAAUGAUGGGCAACCACAACCAAAAAUUAAUACAUAAUAGAAUUUAAAAUAUAAUAAUUUUUAAAAGAAAAAAAUGUAAAUAAAAGAAAUAUUAAAAUUAAAUAUUUAGUUACAAUACAUAAUAUAAGUUGAAUAACAUAAAAAAAAACUUUUUGAAUAAGGUGAAAAAAACUUAGUAACAAAAUAAAAAUUUAGUUUAAAAUACAUCAUACAACUCAAUAAUACAUUUUAUGAAUAAAUAUAAAUUUAAUAAAAGAAAAUGAGAAAGAAAAUAUACUUAUUAUGUUGCUUUUUCAGAUUUCAAAAAUAUAACAAGAUAAAUAAAAAGUGAAUUUAAUGAAACUUUUUUUCUUCAUUUUGGUCAUAGUAUUAAUACAUAGAAAACUUUGAAAUAAUUAAGGAAAACAAUCAAAUAUUAAUAGAUAAUCAAAACACAGAAGAAUAAAAGUUAGGAACUAAUUUACGAUAUUGUGUUUUCAAAUUUCAUCAAAACAAAAUUAACAAAAAUAAAUAAAUUUGAUAGAUUUUUUUUUUUUGCUUUCUGAUCAUUAAACUCAAACCAUCAAAAAUAAACAAGAAAUUGAUAAAAAAUAACUUAACAAAAAAUACAUAAUCAAAAAUAAUAUUUAGAAAACAAUCAAAAACUUAAAGUAAACCUAUAGCAAAUACACAAUAAAAAAAUGAACAUUUUUUUUAAAAAAUAUUGUUCCAUUAUAUAAAGAACAGAUUAAAGUAAUUGGGUCCGAAUAAAUAUGUAAAAUAAAAAAAGAAAUUUCUUGAAUUCUAAAAACCUUAUCCUAACAAAUCAAAUACUGAUAUGGAAAUUAUAUAUAAAUAUAGUGCAAGCAAGAAAUACAAUGUAAAAUAAUGGGAGAAGCAUAUUAAGAUUAUAAAUAAAACUAUGUCUACCAUGGUCUAAAAUAAAACAAAUAAACUACAUUGCUAAAAUGAAAAUAUCUUCACUAAAACUCUUUAAACUAUGAAGUUUGGUUAACCUAAACUAGAAUGAAGCUAACUAUCAUAACAUCAAAUAACUUCAACCUAAAAGAUGAUAAAAAUAAAAUAAAAAUGAAUCAAAAAGUAUACACAAUAUAUAAUCAAAUAGUAAAAAUAUAAAUAGCUAACAAAUAAAUAUUUUUUAAAGUCAAAUUAAAGUCAAAUUCCCGCGCGAAGCGCGGGCCAACCACUAGUAAUAAUAAUAAGAGUAAAUUAGCUAAAUAUACUAACAAAGUUGGGAUAUCAUUGAAUGGGGGGAAAAUGGUAAUGUUGGGGGGAAGAAAAUUGGAGGGAUAUAGGGUAUGGAGUGCAAAUAGGGGAAAAGUGGUGUGUAGGGAGUACAAAUUCUCUAAUAAUAAUCCCAGAAAGAAAGAAUGAAGAGAAAAAUGUGAAGAAAGGAAAGUUGAUUUGGUGUAUCAAAUGGAAAAGGAAUCUAACUUAAGGCCCAUGAGCCCAAUAUUGGAACUUCUUAGAUGCGUUUCAGCUUCCAGUCGCGUUGUCCACAAUAAAUGCUUUCAUUCAACAAUUUAUUACGUUAUUUUCUCUCUCAAUCUUCUGAAUUUUGAAGGAGUUUUAAAACGCAUAAUUGCUUCCUUUUUUUUAACAACUUUAAUUUAUUAUUGCUUCCUUAUGUGUGUAUGAUAUUCAAAUCUUCUAAUGCAUAUUUUCACGUAAUUGAUUAAUUUGUAUCUUGAUAAAAAAAGAUAAAAUUUUAGUUGUUUUAAAAGUUAUUAAACUGUAAUAUGAAAAUACACAAAAAGAAUCUCUGGAUAAUUGAGUAUUAAACUUUAAUGUUCCUUUGUGUCCGAGUUUAGUUUGAUCUUUCAACUUGAGAUUAAUCUUUCAUUUUCACUUAACAAAACUGAUCUUGUAAUUUGAUUUUCUACUAGAAUAUGUAUGUUAAGAAUAUUCUCACUAAGCUUUCCCUUUGUUCUUAUCCUUUUGCAGUUUUGUUAAAUCAAUUUUUUUGUCUUUUUAAUAUUUUCUUUGUUAUGGAUUUUUCAAUCGAUUUUUUUUUUGUUUCAUUCUAACAUAUAAAAAGAAAGUCAAUUUAUUUAGGCAUAGACAAUAUUGUAUUCUUUAUUGAUCUGGUCAGUUCUCUCCAAGUGAACGGAUCCGUGCCCAAUGCAGGAAGGCCAAGAGGUCCUCAAGGAAACUGGUGAAUCAUUUUUUUAUAUACAGAAGAAAGCACAUUUUAACCAACAACAUCAUUACAAUAACACAAAGAUCUUUUACUGUCAAACUAUUUUUGCUUUUGAACUAUACAAUUCACAGUCUAAUCCAUCUACGAUCUAAGAAACCUGAAUAAACUAUCAUCUUCUUUUCAUAUUUAAUGAAAAUAAGGAUAUAAUAUAUCGUAAUACACAACCUUUUUCAUUUUUAAUUUGGUUAAGGAAUUUCCUUUGUUAUAUGAAAACCGAAAAUGAUAUUAGAGGGUAGAGGCUCCAUCAUGUAGAUGGGGAGAUCAUUAAUUGAACUAUGUACAAUACAACAAAAUUAAGUGAUCUCAUUAACGAACUUGAUAUUGUACCAAUAUGGAAACUAUAUGAAAAAUAGGAAACACAUUUCCCUCUCCCAAGUAGAAAGUUUAUUAAUAAUAGAGAGUAAAGCUAUAAUUUAACAUCUCCGAUGAAUUAUAACUAAUCAAUCUGGUUAAGGAAUUUCCUUUGUUAAAAACGGAAAAAGGAAACUGGAGACAACAUGUGGUAUGCGGAGAUGGUUGGUAUAUUGUACAACAAAUAUGUUCAGGUAGUGAAUAAUCUACGUUUGACGAAUUAAUUAAAAGCCAAACCUGAAUAUGAAAACUAUAUAGCAAACAAAAACGCAAAAAGGAAAUUCUAGUGGUUUAUAUUCCUUUUCCUAGUAAGAAAACAAAUACAAUCUCUCUAACAAAGUAGUAUAAAUAUAGGUCAUUAUUACUCACCUUCACAGAUUCAAUCCAACAAAGCAUCCUAACACUCGAACAUCUCCAAAAGAUUAGUUUCAGUACAAUGGUAAUGUCCGAUAAUAGUCCGUUCUCCAUGUCGACCAUGUUCAAUGCUUUACAACAAAUCCACCUCUCAAAUACGCGCUUAAAACGGCUCUUUAACCUAAUGACUAGUUGUGAAGGCGUGGGACAGUUUAAGGAUCUGAUCUCAACGUUUGACCAAAGCCAGCUUCAGAUGAUGGCGUCGUUGCUGACGUCAGACUCCGAGUACUUCAUGGAGGUCGUCAGAAACAAGUACGGGUCGAGACGCGUGCAGAAGCUCCUCGGAGUAUCAGUUGACGUGGACGCGUUAUUCUACGAUGCUAUCUUGCAACGCUUCUUCGACAUCAUGACCGACAAGUACGCAUCCUACGUAGCGAUUCGAGCUGUGGUCGUUUUCGACCAGGUGAAGAAACAUGUGAUGUACAAGCACGUUCUCCACUACGCGCUCGACAUAGCGCGUUACCAAUACGGCUGUGUCGCGCUCAACGAGGUUAUAAUCGACGCGGAUGAUCCUUUAUACAGGAACCGGUUACUAGACGUAGUCGCGCGCAACGCUCUCUUCCUAAGCAACGAUCUUUGGGGGAACUUUGUGGUCCAACACGUGCUUAAACUGUAUGACUUGCGUUGCACGCACAACGUGGCGGUAAGUCUUCGUGGCCACUGCGUUGAUCUGUCGUUUAAGAAGUAUGGAAGCUACAUCGUGGAGAAGCUCUUGGAGGCUGAGGUGUCGAUGGGUAUGGUGGUUGUGGAGCUUUUGAAGUGCGAUAGAGAUAGGUUGAUGAGGCUGGCGAGGAGUGAGAUUGGGAAUUUCGUGGUGCUCAAGGCACUGGAAGUCACGCAAAAGAUGAAUAGGGUUGAUUUGUUUAGGGAUCUGGUGCAGAAGCUGAUGCCUCUUCGCCACCUUUUGCUUAGGUCUCACGGAAGCAACAUUGCAAACAUCUUGGAGUCAUGUUCCAUAGCUAAUAGGUGUUCAAAUUAAAAGUUUUCGAUUGUGUUAUGGUUGAUUAUAGAAUUCUGGUUUAAAGUAGAUUGUGAUUUUUUGUGCAAGAGGAUCCUGAUUUAAUAAAAAAAAAAAAAAAUUCUGAGUACAAUAAUUGAAUUAAAAAAGUGAUGGAAGACAACGAUUGCAUGCAGUAAUUCAACAUUAUAGAAUUUUCAGAAGUAUUCAUGAUAAAUUUGCGUUAACAAAAAAAAAAAAGAGAAUCAUGAUAAAUUUGUAGGACAUACGGGCAUAAAUAUAGUUCAACUGCUCAACAGUAAUAUUUUGAUUUCUUUUCUCUUUUUAUAUAUGUUUUUGCUAUAACAAUAUGAUUUUGUAUAAAAUUAUGUUUGAGAAAGAAAAAAUUUGUCUUAGAACUAAAUUGAAUUACAGUUUUCAAUAGAAAAACAAAUAAGAAGCGGCGACACAACUUCUAUCUCUGUUACCAGUGGACUUGGACACUUGCAUGCAUCAACAAGGCAACCAAACAUCAACAUCUUCAGCUCCUGCAAUAGAGAAAACAUCUUUAUUACCGGUCAAAAUACUAUCAAACCCCGUGGAUAAACUAACAUAACACUUUAUAAGAUAAAAGUUUACCUUUUGAGUUCAAAAAUGCUCUUGGUGAAAUUAUGUUGGGGCCAUGCAUCUUCACUCAAUAGCAUUGGAAGCAGUUUUUGAUGAUUCUUCCAGCAACUUGGGACCAACCAGAGCAAAUCCAACAAAGCAGAAAACCUCUCUUCAUGCCAGAAUUACAUCCCAUAUGUUCUCUUAUACACAUCUCCCGGACUUGGAAUCCGAAAAUUCGGUUCUUCAUAUCCGUUGUUGUAUAGGCUCCCAUUGAAUCCCAACCGUUCAUUCCUAAGAAGCUCGGCCAUGCCUAGAGAGUUCACACUUUGGCCUUCAUUCCACUUAUCCCAGUGACCAUUAGACAAGACUGGAUUUGCAGAUGGUUGUUGUCUUGGGUGCUGUGAGAAAAGAGAUAAAUUACUUCCAUGUGCCUGAUGGUCCAUUAGCCUUGAGCUAAAUCCGUAAGUUUCUGCAAGUGAAGGAGAUAAGUUUCUGAGAUCAUGAUGAAACCCAUUGACUUCUUGUUGUGCAGCAGACAUAGACUGAUGUCUCAACAUUUGGAGUCCUGUCUCGUUCCCAAAGGAAUUCAUUUGUGAUGAGAAACUUGAUCUCAUAUCCAAGUCUGCAUUUACCAUCCCUCUUCCAACAGCUAGUAUAGCAGGAUCCGCAAACUCUAUAUCACUCGCACCACUCGGGUUCCCAACUGGAGGCUGUACUUGAUAUGUAUUCCUCAACAUGGCAGCAGAGUCAAGAAAACGAGUUCCUAAGAUACAAGGAAGCAUGAGAGUUUUAGUCUGUAUCUGUAGCAUCAGUCGCACACUAAGCUACCACAAAACAGAGGUAAAGAACUACCUGGUGCCGUAUCUGAAGAUAGGCCCACUCUUUCAAGUGAAGAGAAGCCAGGAGGAGGUAACCUGCUGGGGGCAGAGAAUCCUGGGGGAGCAGAAACUUGAGGUCGUGAAACUGCUACAGAACAACAGAAAAAAUAUGAGAAAAAGAUUCAAUCCAAUCAAGAUACAAAGGAAAUUCAUCAACGAUAAAUACUAACCAGGAGUCUUGUACGAUGAAAAUAAAGGACUAGCAGAAACAUUAUCUAAUCCACCGGAAUAGUUUGAAGCAAAUCCAUUUAGAUUCCCGAGAUUACCCCGAUAAAUAUCUCGGCUAACUACAGACUCUUGAAUAGGCCUCUCUCUUGAAAACUGCCCAUAAAUGCUAUGGUUCUCCCUGUCAAAUGCUUGAUUACUAGAUUCUUGUGCAAAAGAAAAUCUAGACUGGCUGUUAUGUUGCUUUAGGAGGUUUGAAGGUUUCACAGGACUGGAUCGCUGAUCAACUUUACCGAGUAACUCAGCCAAAUUGUGGGGUGAAGUUAAGGAUUCAUCCCAUGGAUCAAAGUCGAGUGACAAAAUGUUUGAGAUUAUUUCAUCCUCUGCACUGCGAACUUUGUUCCUGCCUUCAUUAGCAAACAGAGAGUGAUCCACAUUGAACAUGGAUUUCUCACCAAACCCAUUUUGAAGAUGCAACCUAUCACUGCCUCUAUCCGAAGGGAAUCUCAAGUUUGAACCGUUUACACCUGAAGCUUCAGAAGGCAGGGAAGAACUAGACAAAAACCGCGAGUGGGUAACAUCCUCUUCACGGUGAUGCCUUUGGCUAUCAAAUGAUGACAUAUCCUCCACAUCCAAUUUUGAGUCGACUUUUAUUUGUGAUUGCAAAUCUAAUCUCCAAUCCCACUCUGGCCUUGUGCAGGGAACCCCAGUCUCUGAUGGAAAAGAUUCUUCAUCAGUGUUUAUAGAGCUAUCCAUCUUACAUUGCUCUAGCUCUGGCAACUUUGAUACUUCAUGAUCAGAUUGUCUAUUAGAAUCUUGAUCACACUCACUACUAAUCGCAAUAUCAGGACGGUUAUCUCUGGAAUUUGCAGUCAUCUCCAUUUGUGAAACACCAACAGACAAGUUGCCUACAGUAGGGCCAUCUUGUGUAACAGUAACACGCAAGUUUCCUACAGUAGGGCCAUCUUCUACACCAUCCUCUGAAUCGUCAGACGAGUUCACAGCAGCUAAAGGCUUGUCAAUGUCUCUGCCAUCGUAGGAAGAGUCGGUUGAACUGGAUAACCGAUUGCUAGGAGAAUCUCUAUCAGGUGAGGUGGUUCUCUUGGACCCAGAACCAACCACAACAUUAUGCUGCAAAGGCUUCAAAACCCUAAGCUUGCUUUUGUCAACAGCUUUUUGAUUUUCUUCUUUGCCUGAUGGUCUUUUAAGAAUGUUACUAGAGGAUACAGGCCCAUGAGCUGCGUUUGCAACAACAGCAGAGAAGGCCAAGGUUCCAUUUACUGGGGUCGCUCUUUGUAUAUCAGAAGAUCCAUUUGAGGUAACCGAAGUUGCUAAAGACAGCUGGUUUGCAUUAUGUGUCCCCCUGUAACAGAUAUCCCUAUUUUGUUAUAUUGACCCAUUCAAAUACCUCGCAUAAAAAAGCAGCAAGUGAAAAACUUACCAUGCCGCUGCAGCAGGAAGAGCAGUGGAUCUGCUAGAGCUCCCACUCCCACUAGGUGGAGAAUACCUGGGAACACUUACUGCAUUCUGCUCAUAGAAAAAAAUGAGAAAUGAAAAUAGUAAGCUUAGUCAACUGAAAUGAAUUUAUAAGCUAGUCAUGUCACAUCAUUAAGUUAGUCACCAAUUAGAAUUUAACAAACAUAAAACCUUCCGAUUUGUAAUAUUUUGUUGUUGGUUUUGGGGCCGUUUGAGGCUUGGAAGAGUAUAUGGAAACUAAAGCUUCUAGGAGAUGGUAAUAAAAUUUAAAUUGCACAUAAUGUCAGAAGAACUGUCACUUAACUGAACUUACACUUGAAGGAAUUUUUGCAAUUGGUUUAGCAGAGGAACUGUCACUGCAAAAAGCAUCUAGUGGUGGAGGUAGCAUGAUCCCUGAACGGUGCUGCAGAAUGUUUGUUGCUCCAGUGAUUUGCUGAACUCUACUCCUUCAAAAGUACUAUAAGACUUCAGCAAGCCAUCAUAUUACAUAUAUACUAGUAAGGUAAAAGAUCCAAGAAAGCGAACAAUCAUGAACGCAAGACAGAAUUAUAAAGGUUAAGAUGAUAAACGUACCUUGUAUGGGAAGAUAUGGCCUCAUCUUUUGUGAAACUAUCCUCUUGUGAACCGACCUCGUGCAGAUAGAGACAAUCAGGAUUAACACACGCCUGGAAACAAAAACAUGCAAUUAAUCAUUACAAAGACAUCAAUCUCAAUUUUUUAUCUGAAAAGAGGUAACCAAAAGAAAAACUCAGGGGGUCAGAAAGUAGAACAAUAAUCUAGGGAAGGCGUACCGCAUUUCUCAGCCAUGCAUGACAAUACUUGGUUGUCCCAAAACACGCCCUGCAAUAUAUAUAUAUAAAAAUACAUCUUAUCCACAACUGAAUGAAAACAAACUAAAAACACCAAAUACAUAGUUUCAAACAAAAAAAAGGAAGCGAGUCAAAACUUACUUCAGUGAUUUACCAUCCAAGAUAAACCCAUGAACAGCCUGGAUGCAACGGACAGCCUCUUCCUCUUUUGCAUAAGUAAUAUAUCUGAAUAAUAAAAAAUAUUACCAGAUGAGUACAAUAAUGACAAGCAAAAACUCAAUGAACUUUAUGAUAAAAGGAAAAAUUUUGGCUGACAGAAACGCACACACUGCAUGUAUCAUUCGGGAAUAGUUGGAUGGCACCAGAUGAUGUUCGGGACAUGGAAACCUUCAGAACUUUUCCAUACUGACCGAAAUAUUCUUUAUGAUAGAGUAGCUGCAAGGAAAAUGGAGCCUAGUCACAUAGCAAUUCACAAAGAAAUGAUAAAAAGGGUGUAGUGUAGAUAAGAGUUAUCAUACAUCUUCAUCUGCUAGAUUAAGGGGCAACCCGACAAUGUAAACAAGAUUCCUCUGGAUGACGCGCACACUAGUGAGUUGCUUUCUCCCUUCAGAAGGUUUUGAUUUUGACUUUUGAGUCUUCUUGCGCUCCAUGUUGGUUUCAAAGGCCAGACUGACAACAGCCAUUAUAAGCAAAUCAGUAAAAGAGAGCGUAAAGAAAGAUUAUCCCAUAAAUAUAAAAUUCACCGAAAAAAUCAAGUGUUAGAACCUGUCGCAGUCAACAGUCAUCCCUACAAUCUUUUCUUUGUCAUAUGGAGUGCGACAAGCAGGACAACGCCCUUCUAUCUGAUCUUUCUCUGCCAUGUCCACUAUGUGAUGCCAGCACCAAACACAAAUCUGUAUCACAUACAAAAGAAAUCAUUAACAGAGCAAAGUUCAAUGGUCAAUGAGGCCAAAAAAGACGUGCAUGCUUCACGGAUAAAUUGCGGCAGAAAAUUUGAGCUAAAAGCUAAAAUGUUAUGCUGAUUAUUGCUACUGAACACUGAUAACAUGUAAAUAAACAGAAGAUGGGAAGACCUGAUAGCCGCAUUUGCAAGGCUUCAAUUGCUGAUCAGUGAGAUCCAUCUCUUCAGCACAUAGUGGGCAAGUCUUCUCUCCUUGGUCGCUCAUGGUUGUCUACAAAAAGAAUUCGAAAUAUAUUACAAAAGCCAAACUAAUAAAAGACUGAAAGCACGAGCUCAGCCACCAAAUCUAGCUAAAAAGGCUAAACUUUUACGAUUCACACAUCCACAAAUCCUGAUGUGGAAACCUAAACUCGCAUGGAGGUUGUUUGGUAACGUAAAGAUAAACAUUUUCUAUGCCAUAAACAUCACUUAUCAUCAUCAGAAGAAAUAAAACUCAAAUGCAAAUUCAGCAUAUCCCCAAUCAAACCCUAAGAGUCUAUUACUCAUCAAAGCUAAUUAGCUCUAAAUAUUCAAACUUUCAGAUCGAUACUAAGAAUUAAAACAAAAAAGGAAUCUACGAUGAAGAGCUCCUAGGAAUCGAUCUGCGCACGCACCGUGCCCGAUUCAAUUUACAUCGUUCAGAUAUAAACAUAUGAACCAAUCCAAAAUCUCAAAUCAUAAUUUUACGAUCUAAACUAAUAAAAAAAAAUGAUGAUCCAAUUAAAAACCCAGAACUAGGGUUUUGAAGAGAAAGAGAGAAACAUACGAAUUGAGAAAAGAUUCGAUCGGAGAUUUUGCAGAGGGAAGAAGAUUGGUGAGAUGAGGAGGAAAACGAAGCUGGAGAUUUGCGAGCGAAACAGAGAAAUUGGAUGGCUGUGAUUUUGGGGGAUGUGAGAUUUCGCCUUUUUUUUUAACCCUUGAUCUCUCUGCCAGAUCCACGUUGCUGUCCGGUUCGGUUUUAUUACUAGAUUCUGUCCGGUUGUAAACCGGUAGAUUUCAGCCGGUUUUUAGGCGUUUUAUGUUAUUACCAAAAAUUUAAUGACAGCAUAUUAAGAAGUAACUUUGCAAACUUGACCAUGUAAAAAUUAUUAUGGAGUGGAUAAUGGAGUUAUUAAAUUAUUUAAAUAUAUGAAACUGAGUGGACGUAUAAUUAAUUAAUUACAGCUUUGACCCACAAUAAAGAAGAAUCAGUUUCAACAUGCCAUCAAUUGAAACAAAAGACUGGUGAAGGAGGGGGCAUUGAUCGAUUGAACUUUACAGUAUGAUUUCCAACAUAAACGGCUCUCUCAGUCACUCGUAAUUAUGAGCCUACAUAUUCUCUAAGAUACUUUUGUUGAGCAAAUCAAGCGUUACACAUUAAUGUUGCUACAAGAGUUAGGCACCAAAGAGAAAGAGAGAGAAGAUACUUGUUGGAGUCUUGAGCAAGACACAUAUCAUAAAGAUAACAAGACUGGGAAUGCGGUUUCAGUAUGACAUUGUUAUUUAAGCCCAUUUCUCUUUUUGUUCUGUCUUCCUCUACUUGUUUUCUUUCACCACAUUGGUCAUAUCUUGAAUCCAAGUAAAAGUAGUAAGUGUGUACCGUUAAUGUUUUCUUUUGCCAUUUGAAGCAACAAGCGUUCCAAGCCUGUGUGUUUAUACUGCAAAAAGGCACAAUCGCUGAAGCAAGCCAUGAGAUGGAAAGAUAUAAUAUUCCUUUUUUUUUUGCUUUCUUUUUUCUAUUUAGAAAGAACUUGUCUUAUCUUUUCACUUCUCAAAAUAAAUUAAGAUCAGAGCACAAAGAGGUGACAAUGAACAGAGGUUUCUCUUCUACUCUCUUCUCUGUUCUUGAUUCAGUGAAUUCAAUGUGGCAAACUAUUGACUGAUCUCAAGCUGAGUUUGAUGUGGGAAAUAGGCUACAUUAAUUUGGUAUAUUAUACUUUUCAUUUCGACGCGCAUGAUAUGAAGGGGUAAAUUUUAUACUUCAUUUUGUUGGAGUCAGUAGCUAUUCCAUCUACGUACGGUUAUAAUCAUUACCCUUGACAUCAUUUUAACUGAGGCGACCUCUCUUGUAAACCGAUGCUUCAUCUUUGUUGACCUCCUAUGAAAGCAUCAUCUCCACCUCGAGAUGAUGUUGUGAGUGAGGGAUCACCCAAUUUUUUUAUAACGACGGAUCACUACCAGAACUACUCUCCUCUGAAAUCAAAGAGGUCUUCCGUAUGUACAAACUUGCUUCAUUUUUAUGUUAAUUCACAUAUUUAUAAUAAAAAAAGGGGGUUUUCCCUUUAUCACUAUGUGCACAUGAAGGUGAUAUUGGCCCGCUAGUAUUCCCACCUUUUAUGAAUAGUAAUUUCAUGCAUUCGAAUAAUCUGGAUAAACAUAUUAGCUAUAACCUUACGGUGCCUGAUAUUUUAUUUUCACUGCCUACUUGAAAAGUGGAUAUCAUAAGUUUAUAGUCUUUUUAAUAGCUGUUUACUAUAUAUAUUUAAUUAUACCCAUAUAGAGUUAUCACCUAGAUGGACUUUUGUGUAUGAGAAUAAUUGGUUAUUGGUUUAUUUAUAAAUUUAGUUAGCAAUAAGCUUAAUAUUAACCCAUCAAAUAAAAAUAACUCUUUGUUUUUGUCCCUAAUUACGAUUUUAAAGAAAGUUGAGAGCAAAGAUAUAAUUCAAAAUCUAAUCCAUCUCCGAUGAAUUAUAAUUAAUCAAUCUGGUUAGGGAAUUUCCUUUGUUAAAAAACGGAAAAAGGAAACUGGAGGCGACAUGUGGUUUCAUCGACAUAUGUACAACAAAAUAUAUUCAGGUAGUGAAUUAUAUAAUCUACCUUUGACGAAUUAAUUAAAAGCAAAACCUGAAUAUGAAAACUAUAUAGCAAACCAAAACGCAAAAAGGAAAUUCUAGCGGUUUAUAUUUCCUUUUCCUAGUAAGAAAACAAAUACUCCCUCUAACAAAGCAGUAUAAAUAUAGGUCACUACAGCCCUUCACAGCAACAAUCAAACAAAGUAUCUCUCGAACAUCUCCAUAAGCUAUAGUCAAGAUUAGUUUCUGUACAAUGGCACCCGACAACAAUCCGUUCUCCAUGUCGACCAUGUUCAAUGCUUUACAACGUAUCCACCUCUCAAAUACGCGCUUAAAACGGCUCUUUAACCUAAUGACUAGUUGUGAAGGCGUGGGACAGUUUAAGGAUCUGAUCUCAACGUUUGACCAAAGUCAGCUUCAGAAGAUGGCGUCGUUGCUGACGUCAGACUCCGACUACUUCAUGGAGGUCGUCAGUAACAAGUACGGGUCGAGACGCGUGCAGAAGCUCCUCGGGAUAUCGGAUGACGUGGACGCGUUCUUCUACGGUGCUAUCUUGCAACGCUUCUUCGACAUCAUGACUGAUAAGUACGCAUCCUACGUGGCGAUUCGAGCUACGGUCGUUUUCGACCAGGUGAAGAAACAUGUGAUGUACAAGUACCUUCUCCACUACGCGCUCGACAUAGCGCGUAUACAAUACGGCUGCAUCGCGCUCAACGAGGUUUUAACCGACGCGGAUGAUCCUCUCUACAGAAACCGGUUACUAGACGUAGUCGCGCGCGACGCUCUCUUCCUAAGCAACGAUCUUUGGGGGAACUUUGUGGUCCAACACGUGCUUAAACUGUAUGACUUGCGUUGCACGUACCGCGUGGCGGUUAGUCUUCGUGGCCAUUGUGUUGAUCUGUCGUUUAAGAAGUACGGAAGCUACAUCGUGGAGAAGCUCUUGGAGGCUGAUGUGUCGAUGGGUAUGGUGGUUGUGGAGCUUUUGAAGUGCGAUGGAGAUAGGUUGAUGAGGCUGGCGAGGAGUGAGUUUGGGAAUUUCGUGGUGCUCACGGCACUGAGAGUCACGCAGGAGAUGAAUAGGGUUGAUUUGUUUAGGGAUCUGGUGCAGAAGCUGAUGCCUCUUCGCCACCUUUUGCUUAGGUCUCACGGAAACAAAAUUGCCAACGUCUUGGAGACAUGUUCUAUAGCUACUAGGUACUCAAAUUAAAAGUUCUCAUAUUGUUCUAUACUGAUGAAUUCUUGUUAAAAGAAGUUUGUCUUUGGUUUGAUCUUUUGUACAAGGAUCCAGAUUUAAUUCAAAGUAGACUUUUUUAUUCUUGAAAUCAAAAGUGAUGAAAGAUAACGAUUACAUGCAGUAAUUCUGACAUUUUAUACAAUAUUCAGAACUAUUCUUGAUAAAUUUGUAGGAAAGACGGCCAUAAAUGAUAGAUAGUAAUAUUUAGAUUUUUUUUUAAAUGAUUUUGCUAUAACAAUUUGAUUUUGUAUAAAUUAUGUUUAAAAAAAACCUUUAUUGUCUACAGAACUAAAAUGAAUUACAGUUUUGAAUAAGAAAACAAAUAAAGAGGUGGCCGGCCACACAACUUCUACCUCCGAUGCCCUUUCGCCACCUUUAGCGUAGGUCUCACGGAAGCAACAUUGCAAACAUAUUGGAUACAAGAUGCUCAAAUUAAAAGUUUUCGAAUGUUGUAUGGUUGAUUGCUGAAUUCUGGUUUAAAGUAGAUUGUUAUUGAAUUUUUUGUACAAGGAUCCUGAUUUAAUUCAAACAGUGUGGCUUUUUAUGUACAACGAUUGCAGGCAGUAAUUCAAACAUUAUACAAUUUUCAGAACUAUUCAUGAUAAAUUUGUAGGAAAGACGGGCAUAAAUAUACUUCAACAGUAAUAUUUCAAUUUCUUUUUAUAUAUAUGUUUUUGCUAUAACAAUUUUUUUUUGUAUAAAAUUAUGUUUUAGAAAAAAAAACUUUAUUUUCUGUAGAACUAAAUUGAAUUACAGUUUUGAAUAAGAAAUCAAAUAAGAAGACACAACUUCUACCUCUGUUACCAGUGGACUUACAUUUACAUGCAUCAACAAGGCAACCAAACAUAACAUCUUCAGCUCCUGCAAUAGAGAAAACAUAUUUAAUACCGGUCAUAUAUACUAUGGAUAAACCAACAUAACACUUGAUAAGAUAAAAGUUUGAAUACCUUUUAGAGUUCAAAAAUGCUCUUGGUGAAACUAUGUUGGGGCCAUGCAUCUUCACUCUGCGCAGCACUGGAAGCAGUUUUGGAUGAUUCUUCCAGUAAAACUUGGGACCAACCAGAGCAAAUCCAACAAGUAGAAUACCUCUCUUCAUGCCAGAAUUACAUCCCAUAUGUUCUAUUAUACACAUCCCCGGGACUUGGGAUACGGAAUUUCGGAUCUUCAUAUCCAUUGUUGUAUAGGCUCCCAUUGAAUCCCAGCCGUUCAUUCCUAAGUAGCUCAGCCAUGCCUAGAGAGUUCAAAUUUUGGCCUUCAUUCCACUUAUCCCAGUGACCAUUGGACAAGGCUUGAUUUGCAGAUGGUUGUUGUUGUCUUGGGUGCUGUGAGAAAAGAGAUAAGCUACUUCCCUGUGCCUGUUGAUCCAUUAGCCUCGAGUUAAAUCUGUAAGGAUCGAUAGGUGAAGGAGAUGAGUUCCUGAGAUCAUGAUGAAACCCAUUGACUUGUUGUUGUGCAGCAGACAGAGACUGCUGUCUCAACAUUUGGAGUCCUGUCUCAUUCCCAAAGGAAUUCAUUUGUGAUGAGAAACCUGAGCUCAUAUCCAAGUCUGCAUUUAUCAUCCCUCUUCCAACAGCUAGAAUUGCAGGAUCCGCAAACUCUAUAUCACUUGCACCAAUCGAAUUCCCAACUGGAGGUGGUACUUGAUAUGCAUUCCUCAACAUGGCAGCAGAGUCAAGAAAACGAGUUCCUAAGAUACAAGGAAGCAUGAGAGUUUUAGUCUGUAUAUGUAGCAUCAGUCGCACACUAAGCUACCAUAAAACAGAGGUAAAGAACUACCUGGUGCAGUAUCUGAAGAUAGGCCCAUUCUUUCAUGUGAAGAGAAGCCAGGAGGAGGUAACCUGCUGGGCGCAGAAAAUCCUGGAGGAGCAGAAACUUGGGGUCGUGUAACUGCAACAAGACAACGGAGAAACAAAUUGGCAAUAUAUCAGAAAAGGAUUCAAUCCAAACAAGAAACAACGGAAACUCAUCAACUAUAAAUACUAACCAGGAGUCUUGUAGGAUGAGAACAAAGGACUAGCAGUAACAUGUUCCAAUCCACCAGAAUAGUUUGAAGCAAAUCCAUUAAGAUUCCCGAGAUUAUCCCGAUAAAUAUCUCGGCUCACUACAGACUCUGGAAUAGGCUGUUCUCUUGAAAACUGCCCAUAAAUGCUAUGGUUGUCUCUGUCAAAUGCUCGAUUACUAGAUUCUUGUGCAAAAGAAAAUCUGGACUGGCUGUUUUGUUGCUUCAGGAGAUUUGACGGUUUUAGAGGACUGGAUCGCUGAUCAACUCUACCUAGUAACUCAGCCCAAUUUUGGGGUGAAGUUAAGGUUUCAUCCCAUGGAUCAAAGUCGAGUGACAAAAUGUUUGAGAUUACUUCAUCCUCUGCACUGCUAUCUUUGUUCCUGCCUUCAUUAGCAAACAGAGAGUGAUCCACAUUGAACAUGGAUUUCUCACCAAACCCAUUUUGAAGAUGCAACCUAUCACUGCCUCUAUCCGAAGGGAAUCUCAAGUUUGAACUGUUUACACCUAAAAGUUCACAAGGUAGGGAAGCACGAGAAGCCAGAUGAUUUGAAUCCAAAAUGGAACUUGAAGAACUAGACAAAAACCGCGAGUGGGUAACACCCUCUUCACGAUAAUGCCUUUGGCUCUCAAAUGAUGAGAUAUUAUCCUCCGCAUCCAGUUUUGAGCUGACUUGCAUUUGGGAUUGCAAAUCUGAUCUCCAAUCCCACUCUGGUCUUGUGCAGGGGACCCCUGAUGGAAUAGCCUUUUUAUCAAUGUUAGUAGAGCUAUCCAUCUUACAUUGCUCUAGAUGUGGCAACUUUGAUAUUUCAUGAUCAGGUUGUCUAUUAGAACCUUGAUCACACUUACUACCAAUCGCAAUAUCAGGACGGUCAUCUCUGGAAUCUGUAGUUAUCUCCAUUUGUGAAACACCAAGAGACAAGUUGGCUACAGUAGGGUCAUCUUCUACACCUUCCUCUGAAUCGUCAGACGAGUUCACAGCAGCUGAAGGCUGGACAACGUCUUUGCCAUCGUAGGAAGAGUCUGUUGAACUGGAUAACCGAUUGCUAGGAGAAUCUCUAUCAGGUGAGGUGGCUCUCUUGGUCCCAGAAUCAACCGCAACAUUGUGCUGCAAAGGCUUCAAACCCCUAAGCUUGCUCUUGUCAACAGCUUUUUGAUUUUCUUCUUUGCCUGAUGGUCUUUUAAGAAUGUUACUAGAGGUUACAGGGCCAUGAGCUGCGUUUGCAACAACAGCAGAAAAGGCCAAGGUUCCAUUUACUGAUGUUGUUCUUUGUAUAUCAGAAGAUCCAUUUGGGGUAACCGAAGUUGCUAAAGACGGCUGGUUUGCAAUAUGUGUCCCCCUGUAACAGAUAUCCCUAUGUUAUUAUAUUGAUCAAUCAAAAUACGUCGCCUAAGAAGCAGCUAGUGAAAACUCACCAUGACGCUGCAGCAGGAAGAGCAGUCGAUUUGCUAGAGCUCCCACUCCCACUAGGUGGAGAAUACCUGGCAACACUUGCUGCAUUCUGCUUAUAGAAAAAAAAAAGAGAAAUGAAAAUAGUAAGCUUAGUAAACUGAAAAGUUAGUAAGCAUCUACGAUUAACAAAUAUGAAAGCCUUCCGAUUUGUAAAAUUUUUGUGGUUUGUUUUUGGGUGGUUGUUUGAGGCUUGGGAGAGUAUUUGGUGACUAAAGCUCCUACGAAAUGGUGCGUAAUCAAUCUAAAUUGCACAUAAUGUCAGUAGAAGGCUGAGAUUUAACUGAACUUACACUUGAAGGGACUUUUGCAAUUGGUUUAGCAGAACUCUCACUGCAGAAAGCAUCUAGUGGUGGAGGUAGCAUGCUCCCUGAACGUUGAUGCAGAAUGUUUGUUGCUCCGGUGAUUUGCUGAACUCUACUCCUUCAAAAUUAUUAUAAGACUUAACAAAUCAUCCAAAAAUACUAGACCAGCCAUCAUAUUACAUAUAUACUAGCAAGGUAACGGAUCCAAGAAAGCAAACAAUCAUGAACGCAAGACGGAAUUAUAAAGGUUAAGAUGAUAAAAGUACCUUGUAUGGGCAGAUAUGGCCUCAUCUUUUGUGAAACUAUCCUCUCGUGAACCGACCUCGUGCAGAUAGAGACAAUCAGGAUUAACACACGCCUGGAAACAAAAACAUGCAAUUAAUCAUUACAAAGAUAUCAAUCUCAAAUUUUUAUCUGAAAAGAGUAACCAAAAGAAAAACUCAGGGGUCAGAAAGUAGAACAAGAAUCUAGGGAAGGCGUACCGCAUUUCUCAACCAUGCAUGACAAUACUUGGUUGUCCCAAAACACGCCCUGCAAUGUAUAUGUAUACACAUUUUAUUCAUAACUGAAUGAAAACAAACUAAAAAACACUACCUAGUACCUACAUAGUUUCAAACGAAAAGGAAACUUACUUCAGUGAUUUACCAUCCAAGGUAAACCCAUGAACGGCCUGGAUGCAACGGACAGCCUCUUCCUCUUUUGCAUAAGUAAUAUAUCUGAAUAAUAAUAAUUAUAUUAUCAAAUGACAACAAUAAUGACAAGCAAAAAACUCAAUGAACUUCAUGAUAAGAGGAAAAUUUUAGCUGACAGAAACGCACACACUGCAUGUAUCGUUUGGGAAUUGUUGGAUGGCACCAGAUGAUGUUCGGGACAUGGAAACCUUUAGAACUUUUCCAUACUGACCGAAAUAUUCUUUAUGAUAGAGUAGCUGCAAGGAAAAUGGAGCCUAGUCACAUAGCAAUUCACAAAGAAAUGAUAAAAAGGGUGUAGUGUAGAUAAGAGUUAUCAUACAUCUUCAUCUGCUAGAUUAAGGGGCAACCCGACAAUGUAAACAAGAUUCCUCUGGAUGACUCUGACACUAGUGAGUUGCUUUCUCCCAUCAGAAGGUUUUGAUUUUGACUUUUGAGUCUUCUUGCGCUCCAUGUUGGUUUCAAAGGCCAGACUAACAACAGGCCAUUAUAAGCAAAUCAGCAAAAGAGAGCGUAAAGAAAGAUUAUCCCAUAAAUAUUAAAUUCUCCGAAAGAUCAAGUAUUAGAACCUGUCGCAAUCAACAGUCAUUCCUACAAUCUUUUCUUUGUCAUAUGGAGUGCGACAAGCAGGACAACGCCCUUCUAUCUGAUCUUUCUCUGCCAUGUCCACUAUGUGAUGCCAGCACCAAACACAAAUCUGUAUCACAUACAAAAGAAAUCAUUAACAGAGCAAAGUUCAAUGGUCAAUGAGGCCAAAAAAGACGUGCAUGCUUCACGGAUAAAUUGCGGCAGAAAAUUUGAGCUAAAAGCUAAAAUGUUAUGCUGAUUAUUGCUACUGAACACUGAUAACAUGUAAAUAAACAGAAGAUGGGAAGACCUGAUAGCCGCAUUUGCAAGGCUUCAAUUGCUGAUCAGUGAGAUCCAUCUCUUCAGCACAUAGUGGGCAAGUCUUCUCUCCUUGGUCACUCAUGGUUGUCUACAACAAAAAUUCGAAAACUUAUUGUUUGCUAACGUAAAGAUAAACAUUUUCUAUGCCAUAAACAUCACUUAUCAUCAUCAGAAGAAAUAAAACUCAAAUGCAAAUUCAGCAUAUCCCCAAUCAAACCCUAAGAAUCUAUUACUCAUCAAAGCUAAUUAGCUCUAAAUAUUCAAACUUUCAGAUCGAUACUAAGAAUUUAAAAAAAAAAAAAAGAAGGAAUCUACGAUGAAGAGCUCUUAGGAAUCGAUCUGCGCACGCACCGUGCCCGAUUCAAUUUACUUCGUUCAGAUAUAAUCACAGACAAAACAUAUGAACCAAUCCAAAAUCUCAAUCACAAUUUUACGAUCUAAACUAAUAAAAAAAAACGAUGAUCCAAUCAAAAACCCAGAACUAGGGUUUUGAAGAUUCAAACACCACGAGAGAAAGAGAUUGAACAUACGAAUUGAGAAAAGAUUCGAUUGGAGAUUUGCAGAGGAUGAAGAUUUGUGAAAUGAGGAGGACAAGGAAGCUGGAGAUUUGCGAGCGAAAGAGAUAGAUUGGAUGGCUGUGAUUUUGUGAUGUGAGAUUUCGCCUCUUUUCAACCCUUGAUUUCUCUGCCAGAUCCACGUUGCUGUCUUCGUCAAUUAAUUAAAAAAGAGUUUCACAAAAACUUUUCAAAUUGCCCCUUUGAUUGCCAAUUUUAUUGUUAGAUUCUGACCCGGCGGCUAUAUUUUUUGUUAUAUAUUUUUUUCAGAAAUUUAAUAUUUAUAUUUGUAUUUUUUUAGUCAGUAUUUUUUUGUAAUUAUAUUUGUGUAGAAGAUUUUUCUUUUAACUAUUAGUAAGAGGUUUUGUGAAAAUUGGCAUCUAUAGAAGUAAUCUUGUGUUAUCCCUUAUCAUAACAUGUUAUCAUAUUAUCCUAAAUUAUGAUUGAAUCUAUACUAUUAAAAAUGAAUGAUUCUUAAAAAAUAAUUUAAACAAGAUUGUUAAACUAUUUUUUUAGACUUAACUAUUUUUUUGGUUUUACGGUUUUACCUUAAAAAAUUUCAAACUAUGUAAAUAUUUUACAUAAUUUAAAUGAACUCAUUUAUUAUUCUUCCAUAAUCUACUAUAUAAUUACUCUAACAAUAAAUCUUUAUGAAUAUAAGACAGCUUAUACAAACAUGUUUACACAUGACGUGACUAUUGUCACAUAUAGUUCCAUUAAUAGUAUAAAAUUUUCAAUGGUUUAGUUAUGGAGAAUCAUCUGGUUCAUAACAAUUUUUUUUCAUUUUUACGUGAAUUGGAAACUAAAAGUCUUAAUGUCAACUAUUCAACUAUAAAACAUUAAUUUAAUUAAUUACAUGCAAUCAAUUAUUAAAAUUUGAUCUUAUAUUCUUAUAUAUGAAUUAAAUGAUUAAUCUUAUCAUAGAAAAUAUUAAAUGGGUCUAAACGGGUCGGAGAUUUAAAUAAAAUUAAUAAAAAAAGACUGGUUUAAAUAUAGCAUAUUUAUUUACUUUACAAAUUCUGACAAUGCAUAUGAUAUGUUUUAUUGAAUUUUCACAAAUGUAAAACAUAUUACAUAGUUGGAUGUGUUACUGAUGAUUUUGCAACUACUUCUAACGAUUUGAGAUGAAAAUCAGCGUGUGGCUUUUGAGAAUGCCAUCUGUAAACAUAUGUUAAUCAACGUUUAAGAUUUUUUCCUUAAUGUUUCUGUUAUCAAGCUUUCUUAAUAUAGGAGAGAACUUAUCAAAAAAAAUAUAGGAGAGAAGCUAAGGGAGAGAGGAAAAAAUAAACAGAACAGAAAAGUUCGUAACUUUGGAAUUUCAUUAGAUCUUAAGUUUUCAGAGCAACCUUUUUAAUUUCUUAUGCGUAGAUUUGGAUCCAAAUGGAUUGGAUCCAAUCAAUGAUUCUGCAACUUUAAAAUGCCAUGUCGUGAAAGGUCUUGUUAAUUCUUGAUCAUAUGAAACCACGAGAAGACUUCUUGCGCAAGUAAGCUUUACCCGUUGUUAGAUAUUACGUAUAGAUCCACAUAUGUUUGAAUGUUUCAGUUUAUAAUUAGGUUCUUGAUCCCAUUUGAUCUAGGAAUCUUUUGUUGGUAUUGAAUCUAUUUAUCUAAUGGAGGAAGCAUCAACGUCGACAUCAACACCGGUGGCUGCGAAGCCAACCGUUGUUAAGAAGACAAUGUCGAAGCAAUUUACCGGAAAACGUGAGGAUUCGCCGCUCCACUCCGCUGUAAGACGCGGAGAUUUCUCUGCGGUGAAGAAGAUUCUGAGUGAUCAUAUUGAAUCGGAGGAGGAACUAAGAGAGUUGUUGCAGAAACAGAACCAAUGCGGUGAGACCGCGCUUUAUGUGGCGGCAGAGUAUGGAGACGCCGAGGUGGUUGCUGAGCUCAUCAAGUAUUAUGAUUUAGAUGAUGCAGAGACCAAAGCUAGAAAUGGGUUUGAUCCUUUCCACAUUGCUGCUAAACAAGGCGAAUUAGGUAUGAAAUUUUGGUUUUCACAUUUUGAAAACGUUAUUCAUUAAAGUUACACUUUUCAAUGUAUUCAUAAUGAAUGUGAUACAAAAAUGUAACCACAAAAACAAAAUCAUUUAUUAAGCUAACAAUACUAGUUUGUAACGUUUUUAUGAUCAUUAUAUUGAACCUCUAUUUAACCAACGUGUUUUUGCUAUUUAAUCUUUGACAGUUUUGUUCUACUACUGAUCUAAUAUACUUGUUUUGUUUAAUCUUUUUUGGUCAAGAUUUUAUUUAAAUAUUUACUUUAUGGAAGUUGAAAUGUUUUUUUACGUUGAUAGAGGUUUUGAGAGUACUAAUGGAGGAACAUCCGGAGCUAGCAAUGACGGUGGACUUAUCAAACACGACUGCUCUACACACGGCGGCAGCUCAGGGACACGUGGAGGUCGUGGAGUACCUCCUAGAAGCUGCAGGGAGUAGCCUAGCAGCGAUUGCAAAGAGCAACGGAAAAACGGCGUUGCACUCUGCCGCAAGGAACGGUCACGCGGAAGUGGUGAAAGCUAUAGUGGCUGUUGAGCCAGACACAGCGACAAGGACCGAUAAAAAAGGUCAGACGGCACUUCACAUGGCGGUGAAAGGACAAAGCCUUGAUGUUGUCGUUGAGCUAAUGAAAGGGCAUCGGUCCUCGUUGAAUAUGGUUGAUUCUAAAGGGAACACUGCGUUACAUGUUGCUACUAGGAAAGGUCGCACUAAGGUACGUACGUUCUUGCAUGUUAACAUGUUAAUGAUUUGUGUUAUUGUAAUGACAUAAUUUAUUGAGAUUUUAAUUAAUGUCAUUUGUAGAUAGUGGAAUUGCUUCUAGAGAACAACGAGACAAGCACAAAAGCGAUAAACAGAGCUGGAGAAACGCCACUCGACACGGCCGAGAAAACCGGCCACCCCCAGCUAGCCGCGGUUCUCAAAACCCGCGGCGUUCCCUCAGCUAAAUCCAUCAACAACACUACUCGCCCAAACCCGGCGCGUGAGCUCAAACAAACUGUGAGCGACAUCAAACACGAGGUUCACGACCAGCUAGAACACGCUCGAGAGACAAGGAAACGCGUUCAAGGAAUCGCCAAACGCAUAAACAAAAUGCACGUCGAGGGUCUAGACAAUGCGAUUAACUCCACCACAGUCGUCGCCGUUCUAAUCGCCACAGUCGCUUUUGCCGCUAUUUUCACCGUGCCAGGACAAUACGCUGAUGAACGGAGUACUCUCACUCCGGGACAAUCUCUUGGAGAAGCUAACAUCGCGGAUAACCCCGCGUUUGCGAUUUUCUUUAUAUUUGAUUCCAUCGCUCUUUUUAUAUCUUUAGGGGUUGUUGUGGUUCAAACAUCGGUGGUUGCGAUUGAGCACAAGGCGAAAAAGAAUAUGAUGGCUAUCAUAAAUAAGCUGAUGUGGCUGGCUUGCGUUUUGAUAUCAGUAGCGUUUUUGGCAUUGGCGUUUGUGGUCGUUGGUGAGGACGAGAGGUGGCUAGCGGUUGGAGUAACGGUGUUUGGUGCGACGAUAAUGCUCACGACACUUGGGACUAUGUGUUAUUGGGUCAUUAGGCAUAGGAUUGAGGCUUCGAAUGUAAGAAGCGCGAGGAGAGAAUCAAUGGCAAGAACGAGACAAUCAGGAUUGAUGGAUUUUUCUGGGAUUUUGACAAAGAGAAUGUAUGCUAUUUAGUGAUCAAGAGACAAAGAGUAUGUGUUGAGUUAACGUCUCGAUCUUGAUACCGUGUGGAAUAAAUAACGAAGUUAUCUUGGAAUCAUUUUUUUUUUGCAACUGAUUUUACUUCUUGGAAUCUUUGUUUGUGUUAUUUGUUUUUGAGGUCAUCAUUACUAGUGUUAACAUUAAAAAUCAAAGUACUCUCAUUUUAAAUAGAAAAUGUCAAUGAUACGAAAUAAAUAGUUUAAAACUGUAAAAUUAAAAAUAUAUUUCAGCCCAAACAUGUUUUUGAUGCAAACUUAUUAUAUUUGCCAGUUGCUAAGUGAAUGGCGUCACCCACUUCCCAAAAUAACUUUUAAAAAUUAGUUGGCAUCAACAAUUAAUGUGUUAUUAUUUUACUCUUUGAUUAUAUGUCAAACCUUGUUUUUGAAAUUGUAAACGAUCAUAUCACAAUUUUGGAUCAAUUUUGGAUGGCUCAACAAUCAACAAGCUUUCCCAGCAUGUUGAGAUAUUGACUUCCCGCAAUCAAGGACAAGAAUGAGGACGUCAGGAAGACAAAUGCACAAAUAUCUGUCUCCCGGUCUGGCCAGCUCCUAGUCUCCAAUAUGUUCUCAAAAAUAAAUGGAAUCGCAAGAGGUACUAUUUCAUCUCCACCUGUUCUGCUAACGAGACAAAAGUAUUUGCUUGCAGUAUUUAUUAUAUUUAUUAUAUUUUUCAGUUGCUAAUUGAUUGCCGUCAUUGCUUCCCAAAAUAACUUUUAGAAAUUAGUUGGUGUCAACAAUUUUUGUUAAUGUGUUAUUAAUUUACUCUGUGAUUAUAUGUCAAACCUUGUUUUUGAAAUUGUAACUAUAUAUAUUUGUCUAACACAAGCUCAAAGAUUCAACUAAAUCAUAUACUGAUCUUGGAAAAUUAAUAAAAUUUAGUAUCAACACCAAAACUUUUAAUCUAAUAUUUAUUAGCAAACAUCUAAUUCCAAAAAUCAGAUUUGAACAGUGGUGUAAUACAAAUUAGUAUAAUUUGAAGAUAAUGAUAAGAAAAACUAAAAUGAAAUGGUUACAAAAAAUAAUAAUAUCACUGGUCUGAGUAAAUUAAUCAUACAUUUACCAAUAAAAUUCACCUGAAAUGAGUUAGUUUACAACGACUUGACGAGUAUAAGCGUAUCUUCAUCCUAAAUAUAACUAUAAAAGUUAGUUUUUCAAAAACAUUAUCUAAUAGUCAAUAUGCUAAAAAUGCGACAAACAAGCUAACUUUUGGCUCUUAUAACUCUUUUUGAACAAAGGCUGUACAGUUCAUCUAGAUUUGUAAGCAAAGUUAUUUCUCUAUUGAUACUUACAGCUUUAUGUGGCCGUAUUUGGCAUAGUCGAUGAUUUGGAACAAGAAAGAUGUCAUUUUAUUUAAGCUUAAACUUCUUUUGUCAAGAACUUUAUUGUUAUUUGUGAAUAAUUUUUUAUCAAUAAGAUGUGUUUGCACUAUUGUAGACCUCGUCUCGUUUAAAUGGAGAAAUAGAAAGGUAUAUGUUCUCUUAAAAAUAUUGGUUUAGGUUUAUAACAUCAUUUUAAUACUAAAUUGAGUAAUAUAUUGUGUGUUUAUCCGUCAAAUUGAAAAUAAAUAGUUGAUUUUACUGUCAUAUGAUUCAUUAAUGACAAAAUAUGUUUUAGAAAAGUUGUUGAUUUUUACUUUUAGAUGAUGUGGUUAGCAUGCAUUUUGAUUAAUAUAUUCUAGUUAGCGAUUUUGAUACAAAAAUAAAUAUGCGUUAAAAGUUUCAAUCGUGAAAGCAUGUGAAAGAAGUAACCAUCUUAUAUUGAUCCAUGAAAGUUUUGUUAUUUGUUAUUUCCGUUUAUGACUUCGAGGCCAUCAUCAUUAGUGUCAACAUUAAACUCUUCUUUCUCUAUAGAUUUUGUUUUGUUACAAAACCUGUAAGUCUUUUUCAAAGAAAAUGGAAUAAGUAUCUAAAAAAUAAUAUCCGACAAAGUCAUUCAUUAUUACAAAACUUGAAGCUUUAAACAAUGAAAUUGGAAUAAGAAUUUCAGGCAGAAACCAAUCUAUAGGAUUGGUACCACUGGUUCAAGUGGGAUGAGUGGGUCUUCCUCAUUUUGGUACGCUUCAUCUCCAUCUUCGACAAGGUAAUGUAGAAGAAAUCUUGGAUCUCCUAAUAUAAAAUAUCGCCUGCAGAAAACUCUUUGAAACUGAAAGAUCCUGGAUGAGUAACCAUUCCACGACAAUGCUCAAUCGCAACGAGUCCAGCGCCAUACUGAACAAACAUGUGUGUUAUACAAAAUGUUAGAUGCAACGUUUUUAAUUUCUUCCAAUCGAAACAUGAUUUUGAUGCAAUUUCUUUAAUUAGCUAGUUGAUAAGUGAAUGACCUCAACCCUCUUUUAGUAUAGCUAAUGUGUUAUUAUUUUUUUAUUUAAUUUAUAUACUAAACCAUGUUUUGAUAAUGGGAAAUUAGUAAAUUUUGUAACAUCGUCAUUAUUUUAAUCUAAUAGUUAAGUAGCAAUAUUUAACUCCAAAAAUCAAGUUUCAACAGUGUAAACAUAUAGCAUAGUGUUAUUGAUAUAUCUUUUGAAUAUAUUGGGAAAGAGUUAAAACAACUACUUUUUUGAUUAACCGUUAAACCUAAGAGUCCAAUGGUUAAAGAAAUUACAGUAUAAUAACUGAAUUGAAUGAACUAGUACUUGAAUCAAUAGAAAUAACCUGAAAUUGAGUUGGUUAAGAUCACCAGCUUGUGGUUCUACUUUAUUAUUUUUUUCAGAAAAAAAAGACAAUAUCAAAUGAAUAAACAACUUGAAAUCAUUGUGUAUCUCUGCACUUAAAAACAAAAACUAUAAUAAAUCAUCAAGCUGCUAUUACUAUACUCAUAAAAACCAUAUUGGUCAAUGAUGAUACAUUGUUACAUCAUCAUGCAACAUAUUUGAAGUUAUGAAACCAAAAGACAACCACAGAAGAAAUAGACAUUUAUGAAUUAUUUUUAAAAAAAUUGGGGAAAUGAUGUCAACAUCAGAGCUGAAUCAUAACGACAUUAUCUUGCCAUUAUAAAGUCACAUCCUCAUUCCCAAAAUCAAGAAACAGAACAAGUCCAUACCCUUUUGUUCAAAAAAAAAAAAAGAACAAGUCCAUACCCCACUUUUGUCUUCUUCCAUGGAGUCUUCUCUUGUUCUCCCUUCUCAAUGGUCUAACCUUCCUUUAGACCUUCUUGAGUUGAUCUCCGACUCCGAUUACGUUAACGAAUGCUCAUCAGACACCGUCGAUCUCCUCCGUCUCCGCUCUGUAUGUUCCACGUGGCGUCGCUCUCUUCCUCUAUCCAACAAAAAUCCUUUGUCUAAAUUUCCACCUCUCCUCCCUUUUUGGUCAUCUUCACCUUCUGGCUUCUUCAUUCUGAAACAGAGCAGUGUUUACAAACUCGAAGCUCAUCCCACAAGCUGGUUGGUGAAGCUUCAGGAGAUAUCUCCAGGGACAAUGCGAGUCUUGGAUCUCUUCUCAAACGACAGACUCCGUUUCUUACCAGAGAACUUCCCGGAAAAAGUCGAUCUGCGGGAAUCUCAUGUGAGGUUGGUCCGCAGAGCUUACCGUGUGGAGUACGCAAACAGAGGUGGUGGCGAGAUGUCUUCUUUCUGGUCACUGAGCUCCGACAAAGUUGUGGUCCUGUCUUCACGGGAACACUCAGCGGUCAUAGCUAUCCACAGCGGUGGAAAGCUAGGAUUCUUGAAAAACGGAGACGAUGAAAUAUGGAAGAUCUUGGAUAACUCGUGGAACGUGACUUACGAGGACAUAAUAACGUACGGAGAGAACUGCAUCGUCGUGGACGAUAAGGGCAAAACCGUAAUUUACGAUGUGGAGUUCAAGGUGUCCGAUUUGGCUGAAGGUUUAGCGGGAGGAGGCGGGCACAAGAAGCAUCUUGUGGAAUGUUACGGCGGAGAAGUAUUGCUUGUGGACAAAUACGUGAAACACGUUUGGUGCAAGUCGGAGUUUUCGAAGUCUGCGGUGGAGUUUAGAGUGUAUAAGCUGAAGAGAGAAGAGAAGAGAUGGGAAGAGGUGAGGGAGCUGGGAAGAGAUGUGGCUCUGUUUGUAGGAGAAGGUUGUUCUUUCUCCGUUGAGAUUACGGACGGUGAUUUGGCGGGAGGAGGUUGUAUAUUUUAUAGAGAUUAUAGGAAUGGAGGAAGAAGCAGAGGGGUUUACAGUGAUGGUGAUGGCGUUUUCAAUAUGGAGUUAAAAGACGCGGGGAAGUUUUGGGUUUCAUACUAAGCCCAAAUGUUUAGGCCCAUUAUAUGUUUGGGCUUAUUAGAACAUGAAAUAAUUGUGGAAGCUGUUGAUUCAUGAUUUUACUUUUUUUUUGUUUUUUUUGGAACACUUCGAUUCAUGAUUGUACAUUUUCAUAAGGUAUUUGAGUGUCCAAGUAUUUUUUUCCUCUCUUAAAUAUAGAUUUUAAGACAUGAAAUGUAUAAUUAAUAGCUUAGAUACUUACAAAAUGUACACAAAACACCAUGAUAUUCAUCCAAAGUUUUGGAUCGGUUCGAGUAUUUUACGAGUUUCGAUUUGAGCUGGGUAUAACCCAAAAAAUAAAAUUGAACCAAAAUGAACCAAAACUGAAUUUGAAAUCAUACAAAUAACCCAAAGAUAAAAGGUAAAAUUUUGCUAAAUUCAAAUUUCGUCCUUUAUUUAAAAAAAAUAAUAUUAAAACGCGAGAGAAAUCGCCCUAAUUUCUCCAGGAGGCGGCGCGACGGAUUAUUCGAGUUUUUUUUUUUUUUUGCGAUGAAGACAGUCACCGGAAGUGUUAACAGUGCGAAACCAAUCUCCCUCGCUAAGGCGGCCACGCUUCUCUCCGGGUUCGUUUCUUCUGAGACCCAGGCCUCUCAAGACGUUAGCGCCUACCUCCGACGCGCAUCUGCUGCCUUCACUGAAUUGAGGAGCUUCCACAGAAAGAUUCGAUCGGCGAAUCAAAAAUCCGAGCUCCAGGAGCUGGGUGGAGCUAAGGGGAUUGAUGAUUCGGUGGAAAACGAAGCUGUGACCGGAGAGGAAUCAGUUCAUGGUCGGAAACAGGAUGAGAUAAAGGAGGUUAAGAAGAAGAGAAAGGAGAACGAAGAAGAAGAUGUUGUUGAGGAGAAGGUGAUGGUGAAGUUGGAAGACGAGCAGAGGAGCAAAGAGAGAAAGAAGAAGAGCAAAUAUGAAAAUGUUAUUGACGAGAAGGUGAAUGUGAAGUUGGAAGAAGAUAGAAAGGAGAGGAAGAGCAAGAAGAACAAAAAGGAAGAUGUUAUUGACGAGAAGUUGGAAGAAGAGAGGAAGAGCAAGAAAAAGAGGAAAUUACCAAAGGAGACUGAUGCUUGAAGCUUGAAGACAGUUUUGGGAUUUUAGCUCAAGGUUUAGAGAAAACUUUGUAGCUGAGUUCACUGAAUUUUUCAAAAGUUUUGGGUAAAGUGUAGUAGCUAAAGAUGUUCCUUAGUGACAAUUAAGAUUGAGAAAGAUUUGAUUUUUGGGAAUUGUCUGUUAUAUUUCUUAAUUAUAUGCAUUCUGCAAUGGUGGAGUUAUGAUUGGUUUCGGUAUUCUGAUAUUUUACCCUCCUCUUUGUCAUUACUAUGUUUUGAAUUUGGAUCUUGAGGCUGAGUACCUGAAAAAGAAGUUCUAGUUAGACGCUUGAAAGUCUCAUGCUUGAACGCAUAGGAUAGGACUGCAUAACUGCUAUGCAGUUUUUAUCAACGAAGAAGGAUUGUAGUCCUGUUCAUCGAAACUUGUGCAAGUACAGAUAAUCUGGUAUGUAAGUCUUACAUGCUUUUUAUCUAUUAAAAUGGUUCUUUGCUCUGUUCCAUGAACUAACACAACCGUUGGUUUCACAGACAUUUAUACAAUGUGAAGUUCUUCAUAGCGCCAAAGAUUUUUUAUUUUAUUUUUAAGUAGCCUGGAACCAGAGGAAAAGAAUAAACUUUGAUCAGGACAAAGUAGGGACUUAAAUUAGGAUAUCAAAAUUUCGGUAUUGAGAGAAGUUUCUUUUCAGUCUUAUGUCCAUCAAACGAAGCAAAGUCGUUUUCAAACCGGUCUGGGCGUGUCUCUUCAAGUGACAGUGUGCAUAACCCAUUAGUUGCUUGUGAUUCAGCUUCUUACCUGUUGAUAAGAAUGCAACUUUUGAGUUCACCAUCCUUUGAGCUUAUUAGAGUCUUGUAAUCGCUGAUGCAGGCUGAGGAAGUCUAAGGAGCGUACUGCAAGGUAAAUCUCAAAAUCUGUGGGAAGUCGUCUUAGCCAUGAACUUUUGAAAGUCAUGUUGUUAACUGAUGUACAACAUGACUGUUGGUUUACUCAGACUCCUGUCUGCUUUCUCUUGCAGAUGUGGUUGUCGUAUCAUUGUUUACACGGACCAUCUGAUUCAAACGACUUGUGUUUAUCUUCAACAGUUAGUUGUUACAGAAAUGUGAUAAUACCUAUAGAAGGUAAUCCUCAACUUUUUGCAAAUUAAAUUGUGUAUUGUGUAUAUAUAUUAAUUUAGAAUGGUAUUACAUUACAUAGAUCUGUACUUACAGAAAACAGAGAAAUAAUUGAACAGGAAUUGACCUCAUGUCAAAUUAUUGAACAGGAAUUGUCCUCAUGUCAAACUGAUAAAUGGCCGGGGGAAAAAAAGAAUAGAAAAAAUGCGUGAAGCUUGGAAGAAAGAAGAGACAAGAAACAAAAUGAAUGAAGCACAAAUCAUCAGCAUUUGGGCAAGUCUGCAGGAGGAGGAAGAAGUUUCUGAUCAGGCUUAUCUCCAUCAAGCACAAGCCAAGCCAUCCUCAGACCCCAACUGGUAUGUACUUCCAAGUGACAGUGCAUGAACCACACUCCUGUCCAAACAUUUUGUAAAUUUAAGUUACUAUCCUCCUCUUAGAUUAAACUAAUGUGCUUAUUAUUACCUGGGUUAUCUGCAAGGAAUCUAAUAGCAGCCCAUCCACCAGAUGGCACACCUACUGUGUUCCUCUCUAUUGGGUCAACAAGGUUGAAGUUCUUAGGAUCCUCCUUCGCGUCGAAGUUCCCAAACCCUUGGCCAACGACAAAGAAGUUAAACCCAUGAAGGUGAAGAGGAUGGCUCUCCGCACCGAGAAUGCUAGUAUCUUGCAUCACCAGCUCCACACUGGUGUUAUAAGGCAGAACCAUCAAGUUUGUCCCUGUGCUAACCAUAGUGUUGUUAGGUGGGGUGCCUGUGUAGUUAAAAGGCACUAUGGGACUCCACGGGAAGUUCGGAGAAUACACUCCGUUAGAUUGCCCAGAAUAGUGAGACUGAAGGAGAGCCUUUGUUGGCAUCGUGAAGGAGAUGUUGCUGAUCGAAGCAGCAAACAUUGUGGUGUUAGUAGGACCCUGGCAUGUCUGGUUGUUCUUAUGGUUGCAAGGGUUUGUUCCCAAUCCUACUGUGAAGAAAAACUUCCGAUCAACCUUCAGAGGCACGUUUGCUGGGAACUUUUUGCUGUUCAGGCUUCUCAGCUUGUUGCUGAACUUGGUAGCGAAGUUUGUAUCGUUUAGAGCAGGAAGUACUGGUGUGAAGAGCUGAAGGUUCUUCUUGAUAGAGGUCUUUGUAUGUUUAGGCUGUUCAUAUUCUAAGAUGCCUGCAACUGUAGAGUUAUCAAAAGUUCCUUGACCUGUGACGUAUGGUCUAGCAGUCAUCAAGAAAGAGGCCUUCGGGUAACUUUGUUUUGUCUUCAGCAAGAGGUUUGUGGUUUGUCCAGGAGCGAUUAAGAUGGUAUCCGUCUCAAACGGCUUGACGUAGAUCGCAUCAGCUUCAACAACUGUAACCGUGUGGUUUGCUAUGCUGAAAAAGAGCUCGUCGUUAAGUGCCGCGUUGAUUAGUCUUAGAAGGUAUGUUUUUCCUGGCUUCACUCUCAGUCUGAACGUAUCUUUAGCCGAGCAGUUGUAUAGCGGACCAGGAAGACCGUUGAUCGUGUAAGCAUCAGAGACACUAGGACCACCUCCUGUUAGCGUUGCUUGGCGAAUGAUUGCCUCAGUGUCUGCGUUGAACCACUCCCCUGAAAAUCUCAACCAUAAAAAAAAAUCAGUAAUAAUGUUUUGAAAUUCUCAGUUUGCUAGUCAUCAUCCUCACCAAAGACCAUGGGAACUUCUUUGUGAGGUUUGUGAAACGGGUAAGGAACACCGUGUUUUGGAAGGAUGAUAAGAGGACCAUAGACUGUUGCUCUGAGCCAUGAAAUGUGAGCAUGGUACCACAGAGUGCCUCUUUGGCCAACAACGGUGUAGUUGUAGACAUAGCUUUGCCCUGUCUGAAUAGGACAUUGGGUUAUGUAAGCUGGUCCAUCAGCCCAACCAGACCGUAAUUGCCUGAUCCCAUGCCUGAGAUUUUCAGGGAUUAGUAAUCAAACAUUACUAUUAAUAGUGGUGUUUUAAAGAUUAUUAUUACCAGUGGAGAGAGAUAUUAUUUGGCACAUGGUUAACAACUUUGAUGAGAAGCUGGUCGCCUUCUCUAGCAAUAAGCUUAGGCCCUGGAAACUCCCCGUUUACAGAAACAAGGCUCUUUGUGUGGCAAAGACGUGUCACGUUGUGCAUUUUUAUCUGCCAAAAGAAAAACGAAACAUCUAAUCAUAUCAUCUGCAACCCUUCAGGUACAAUCUCAACAUUUUUUCACAGAAUAAACAAAUCUUCACGUACGUCCAGCGUAUAAUGCCUUGUUUUCCCAAAUGCAGGUUCAGGAAGAAGAAGAACACUAGAGAAAACAGCAAAUAGAAGCCAAAACGCCAUUUUGGACCUUAAGGCGUUGAUUAUAGCUGGUAAGGCUACUGAACACUCUGCCUCUGUUAUUAUAUUUCUAUUUCUUUUGCUGUAGAUUGUGGAUUCAUUGUUUCAACAUUUAGUGUAUAUAUAGGAAGGAAAGUUAGGUGUUUGUUUGCUUGGAGAUGUUGAAGAAAAAGAUUUAGUAGUUGUUUAUGUAAAAACAAAAAGAUAAUUGGUAGAGAAGUUUGUGUAAUUGGAGACUCUCGAGACAAGGACUAGUUGUUAGAACAUAUAUGAACAGCUUAUGAAUGAGUGGUGUCAAAGAUAAGUCAAACUCUUUGACCAUGUUUAAUCCCUCAAAACUCUAGUUUCCUUUUCAAUAUUAUGGCGUGGAUUGUAAAUAUGAAUUGCAAAGUUGUCAAUUUAGUUUCUUUUAUGUGAUUUAGAUGAUUUGGCAGCUUUGAGUAUAUUGGACUUCAAAUUCAUACAUGAGAAAGUAAGUAACUUGGACCAAAUGUGGCAGUUGAUAUUGUUUGAUAUAGUCACUGGCCAAGUGUUGUUUUAGACCCGACAAAAAGGGUCUGUGAAACAGAAUUAUGCACACAGUUUUAGGAGUGUUGUAAACUUCUAGAAGGGUAACUUUUUUUGGUUAGCGGUUAUGUUUUUGCUAAUUGAAUUUCAUCAUUUCAUAUGCAUUUUAAGUGAUAAGUACUUCAUCUAAUUAUUAAUUGUUUAAUUUUUAAUUUGAAGGUGUGAACUCUUCAAGGAGGUUAAUCGAUGUUGAGUUAGUCAAAACAUUCGUAAGCUAAAAUUGCUUGGGGAUUAAGCAAAGAGAGGGAGAUUGUAGCUAUCAUAGAAGGUCACGCUUAGGGUUAGAUAUCAAAAUCCAUGAAGGCUAUUGUUCAGGAUGUUCAAAAACAUUGAGGAAGUCUCGAAUGAAGUGUUUGUAAUUUUAUUUUCCAAGCAAUUGACCUGACUCUCUUUUAAGUUCGUAUCCUCAAAGGCAUGCCAACCUUAUACAUAUGCUUUUCUCUCUAUAAACAACUAUAUAUUCAUAUAUUAGGAUUUUUUUUUUUUUUGCAAUAAUAAUCUAUAUAUGCAAAUUGUUUGCUUGUUAUUCGUCUUUCAUAUUUAUAGUUUUGACAAUGUGAAGUCGAUCUACAAUCAAAAUAUGAUGUAGACAAGAUUGCUAACAAGUAGUUACCAACUCAUCUCCUAACCAUGCGAAGUCGGUCAUUAAAAUAUGUAAUUUUCUUUUGAUCAAAAAAAAAAUUGAUCAAAAAAAUGUAAUUUUCUUUUGUGACAUUCUUUUAUUUUUGUCACCUUCUUUUGUGACAUUCUAGAAAAGAAAAAUCAAUUAAGAAAUAUAGAAACUGAGAAAAUGGUUGAGUGAAUGUCUUUCGAACACAAUGAUGAAUGACAAGUUCACAUCAUUAGUGUGUAGUUCAAACCAUUUGUAGUUUUACAAUUAUGUUUUAACAAUACUUUAGUUGGUAACUCACAAUCAAUAAUAAUCGUAAAUAUAGUUCUACAUAUUUAUUUAGCUACGCUUGUGUUUCUGUCUGGGUAACUCACAGUGUCACACAUUAUUUGAAAACAAAGUUCUGAUAUCUCUCAACGAUUUCAACUAUGCCUUAAUUAUAUAGGAGUAAGAUCAGGGAUAUACACAUGAUUAGUAUUUGAAGAGAGUUUGAUUAAAUUGGCGAAUGCUUGUACAUGUUUAUCUUUUUUUUUUCUUUCUGAUGAACCAUUUAUCUUUUUUUUCACAUAUAUAUUAUAGUUGCACCAACCCUUGAUUUCUGAUUAAGGUUCCAACAAUAUAUAGUAUAGUGUAUUCACAUAUGUUAUAUGUAUAUAUAGUACUUAGACUAUACGAAUGUAUAUAUGUACAUCAGUGUGGACAGUUACUAGCCACCUUUUACGUGAAUAUAUAAAAAGAUCGGAAUAAUUAUAAAAUUCUCUAAAACUUAUGAGUUUCACGUAAAAAGUUAUAUAGGCAUGGUCCAUAUGAUAACUUUUUGGUAAAACGUAUGUUAACUUUCCUUUAAAAUAACAUUUUUAUGUUUCUUAUUUUAGCUGUGACACAGUGAUUCAUAUGAACUGUAACUAAAUAGUUACAUUUUCAUUAAGAAAUCUGAACAUUUUAAAAGUUCAAAAUAUCUAAACCCGGUGAUCCGCAAUGUUAAUUUCACUUAUCAAGUGAAAUAUAUAUUCUAGCUAAAAUAAAUAAGAAUGGAUAUCCUCAUAUCCUGCAUAUUUUUCUCUAGUUUUCCUAUGUUUGAGAAAACACAACAAAUAUUCGAAGCUUCUUUUCAUUGAUAAGAAAUUGCCAUUAAAUUUUCUAGAUUGGUGCUGUGAAUCUGAAUCAUAAUAGGUUUUGGCAAAUGCUAAUGCGGAUUAGGCUUUUCGUUAUUCUCAUAAUCUAAUUCUAAAUCCGAGCCCAAUAAUACAUUGACAGGCCCGUAUAGAACAAUGUACUGGCCUUUUCAGGACGACAUAAAUAUCAAGUCAACUUGUACGUGUACAGGCUUCACAAACUUUUACUGUGUCGCGUAACUAUUAAGUUUACAACAAAAAAAAAAGAUAGGUAACUAUUUUCAAGUGUGUGAUGCAUCAUCUCUGAUCAAUUAAAAAUGGGAUAUUGAUCGGCUUGUCGUAUUGCAUAACAAAUUUUGAAAAAAAGAAAAGGGUAGAAAACGACAUUAAAUCGAUAUGUCAUUAAUUCCGAAUCUGCGUAACUUUAUUUCAGAAUAAAUACUUUAACCAUGUCUAUUCACGAACCAGGAGGGCGUGCAGUGACUACACGUGUCUUUAUUAAAAACAACACGCCAUCUCUGGAAACCAGAUAGUAAGACGUCGUUUUCAAUUUCUUUAAUUCAUACAAACAACACCAUCUCUCUCCUCUCCUGUCUCUAUCGAGUGGGUUCACAGUGUCAAAGAGAGAAACAAAAGCAAGUUGUGUUCGUAUUCUGCCUCACUCUCAAUUUAUAAAUUCAGAUUUUGAUUUUGAUUUCUUGGAGUCUUUGAGAAGAAGCAAUCUUUUUUUCUAGAAUGGAGAAAGCUUCUUCUUCUUCUUCUUCUUCUUCUUCUUCUCCACGUAGGUCUGCUUAUCUGGAAGCUCUAACACAAGAGAUUAAGAAGAAGCUUACUCGGGUUAGCCCUUGAUCUGAUUUGGAAAGUGUUGAUCUUUUGUAAGGCGGUAGUAUCACCAGCACAAACACGCAACUUGUUGACUUGUUUGCUGAUAUAGCUCUCGAAGUCGACCAACGUGCCAAAGGUCUCACUCACCUUUUCUUUUUUUUUCCCUUUCCUCAACGUUCACGAUUAGAUUGAGAUAUUGAUGAUCAGUAAUUUUUUAACUAAAGCAGAUGUGAUUCUUAGCAAAGAAGAGGAGGAUGGUCCGUUGUGUUUCUUCGACGUGCUUGCUGAUUACUAUGUGAAUGUCUCUGAGAGAGGGAAGGAUAUACUUGAUUUGAUGGUUCAGCUUUGGAGCCAGUCCUUUGCUUCCCACAUAUUCUCCCUUCUCUUCCAUAAAUGGGUAUUGCUAGCUUCUUCUCUCUAAUGUUUUUUUUUUUUAUUCACUCCCAAAGGCUUUAAUGUGUAAUUCCUCUCAGCUGUUUGAGGUUGAGGUUGAGAAUCAAGAGAUACUCCUUCGGUAUUCUUCUGCUUUGGUGCAGGGAGCUACUAAUGUGUUUUGGUAAACUCUUUCAACUUUGGUAAAGCAAUGAUAGAUUAACAUCCUCACUAGGUUCAUUCAUGUACUUGGAUUCUGUGGUAGUUGCAUUUGCCAUUUUUGUUAAGUCUCUUCCUAUAUUGGACGGGCUUUGCUAUAUAUAUUAUGAGGUAACAUUUGAUAAUUUGAUUGCAGGAUAGACAUCCAGACAAAUACAAGACGCUUCCAAACUCUCUUUCGGGUACCUUCUUUUACCUCUCAUGUAACAAGUUGUUACUCCACUUUGCUACUGUAACUACUAUUAACUAACACAGUCUCUGUUGUUUCUUGUAGUACCUUCUUGAGGAAGUUGCUUUGGAGCCGAUCAGAUUAAAAAAAAUUCCCAUUCAGGUGACUGGUUUGGUUCCUCUCCAUUUUCAUGAAGGUUCAACUGUUUUUUAGUCUGGAGGAGAUUGACUCUCCCAUAUGUAAUUUCAGGCACAGAGGGAACUCUAUCUCCUGAUCUCAAGGUUCAUUUUCUUUUACAAUUCAGGUAGUAAGUACAGUGUUUAUUUACUCAAGACCAAAGCGUGUCUUCUUGUACCCUGACAGUUUUUUUUUCAAAAUUCCAGUGGAUAAACUCGAUAGCUUCUUGAGGAACUUCCCGGAGUUUCCUAAUGCUUUCCUAGUUGGAGGAGCCGGAGAUUUCCUUGUUAUAGAACUUACCGAUCAGGUAUAGAACCAACAAAGUCUUUCUUCUUCUCAAGAUUUAAACUACACACAUCACUCAUCUAAUAUGUUACUGUGGUGCAGCUGCAAAAACUGAAAGUGGAACCAGUGCUGCUACACUAUCUUUCUCAGAUGAAGGUCCUCCAAGGUACAUUUCUCUCCUCUAGAUAAAGAAAUAUUCUUCAAGAUAGAUGCUGCUUCUCGCACAGAGAAAUGUCUAACGCAGGUAUGGAACUGAGAAUGACAACAAGCACGAGGUUAAAGGCGUGUCUGUACAGUUUUACCUCACCUGGAGGUCCAAUGUACCCGACAAGAGCUGUCCGUCAUGCAGCCUGGGAUGCCUUGGAUUCCCUCUUUCCCGUGAGAAGUGUUUCCUUGCAAUAAAAAUCACACUAUUUAAAUCACCUAAGACUUUAGAGCACAUAUAUUGAUAGGCUUGGAAUGUAAGAUUGUAAUAUGUUUGCCUUGCAGGUUGGGCGUUACCCUAGGCAUCUCAUCAGUCUAUUUUUCAGGCUGCUGUAUCCAUGGUACUGGCCAUCCUCGUGCUGGAACUUUGUGGUUUCUUGCAUUAAAGCGGUACUCUAUUCCAUCGUAAGGCUCAUCUUUUCACGGCGAGAAAAGCCGAGGCAGAGCUGAAUAGCUUUUAUAUAUUGGUGAAGCCUCCUGCAAUAUCCCAAUCCUUGUGUAUAGAAUGUGGUUUUGGUCACAAUGAGGCGGCACACCAAGGGAACUUUACCUACGCUUGUAUUGCUUUCUAUGGAGAACAUUAAAUUCCGCUUUGAGGAAGAUCCCACAGAAUAGCUUUUUGACGUGUUUUGUUGUCAUUGUUAAGAUGUUAUUUUGCUGUAGAGGAUGAUGUAUUUUGACAAGAACCCUUUUAAUGUAAAAGAAAAAAACAUCCCUUCUCUAUACAACUGAAUCCUCAUGAUCAGAGUCUGUAAGUUUGUAACAAAACCUAACUUGAGUUAUGCUCAUGAAGAUGAAACCUGUUUUCCUUCCUCUGCAGUGAAUAAUAGAUUGUCUUUGCUUUAGUUGGAACUUAAGCAUUCAUGCUCUCAUAUAUCAAUGAGUUUAAUUGUCCACCUUCUUCAAUCUCUAUAUAUAUAUAUAUAUUGGUGUAUAAAAGUAACCAAGAUCUUAUCACUUGAAAAAAAAAAACGAGUCUCUACUUUGGAAAUAAGAUUUGUCAAAUUAGAUAGUGAAAGCAAAUGGCAAUAAUACAAAGAUGAAACAUAAUUACAAAUUUUUACAGUUUUCACACAAAGUAUGAACGCAAAUAAUUAGUUAAACAUGAACGGGAACAGAUGUAUCCAUUAUUCCCAUCACAAGCCUUUAGGACGACGGAGACCAUGCAUCUAGAGUGACACUGGCUGCAUAAUGGCCUAGUGCUGUUAUUAUUACGAACCACUUCAAAUCUAUUCCAUUCAUAGAAAAUGAGCUUUUCUGGCUUGAGGCGCGAGAAAUCUCCAAGUACACACCGUGUAUGAAAUGUGACUCCGCAAUCAAAGCAUGUGUAGAACCAUUUACAUUGAUCUAACUCCCUCUCACAAAUUUCGCAACAACUUUUUUCGCUCAGCUUUACACCGCAAUGUAAAGUGAUAGGGUGAUCAUCGUUCUUGUGCCACAUCUUUAUAGGCAAACUAGCACAAUACAAACAUAAAUCAAAGCCACAAGCAUCACAACACAUCAUAUAGCCGCCAUGUACAAUGUCCUCACAUGCAACACAACAGCUUGAACCCCAUCUUUUAUAAAUAUAUAGGGGAUGUAAAUGGCCAUCAUGGAUAAACGGCUCACAGAGAGAACCACAAUGUACAUCUACUCUCCAAUCACCAUGAAAUGUGUAAUUGAAACCAUCAAAUAAUACUCUACACUCUCUACAUGCGGUUACAACUUGGUUAGUAACUUCCAACGAGUGUGGUACGCGAGAGAAGGCAAUUUUUUUCUUCCUAGGGAGAUUCACACAUUUAUCAUGAAGAAAAAAUCUACAUUCCUCACAACCAUAGAUGGAUUCAAAUGCAAGUGGAUACAUACAUGCUUCACAUUGUAGCCACUUAUCAUAAAGGAUCUUGUUCUUGUAGUAGAAUUUUAAAGGAUGUUUUUCAUGACUAAAAUGAAUUAUCAAGUCAUCACCCACCAUUUUGAAUGGUUCGGCAUCAUGAUUUGGGAUACCUUCCAAGUCUACACGAUCCCAUAAGUCACUCCUUGACGCACAUUUACAAUGAGUUGCAUAUUUUGGACAAACAGAGCAAGAAUAAGCUCCAUGGUACUGAUUUAAACUUUUGCGACAAACUCCACAUUUCGAGUAUCCAGCACCAAGAUGAGGAGUGAAAGAAAUGCGAUGCUCGUGGCGAUUGAUGCUGAUAAUACGAGGUAAGUCGAUACACUCUCCGUGGGUGAGAAAAGCACACUGAAGACAUACAUAAGGCCCCCCUUUUCCAUCUUCCCCACAAACAUGACAAGUAAAUGGCAUUGUUCUCGAAAGAAGAGUAAGUGGGUGCACGUGGGUCCUUGUAUGUUCAAUUACAAGGGGUGGUGGGUUUCUAGUACAAACAAGGCAUAUGCUGAAGUUGCAAGUGGGACAAUGAUAAAGCAUUUUUUCUGAUUGUUUUUCACACGAAAAACAAAUCUUUUCGGCAUCAUCCAUAAGAUUUUCAGGUGCAAAAAGUUUUAUGGGAUGAUUAGAGUGACAAGGAUGAUUUACCUCUUUUGAAAGAAUGACGCAGUCCAAAUGGAAGUAGAGAUUGCAUUCAUGACAUAAAUAUGAUGGUCCUCCAAAAUUUUCCUUACAUACCUCACAAGGGAAUUUUUCUUUUCCUUUCUUCAAUAAAACAAGUGGAUGGUCAUGACAUAGCGGAUGUUCGAUAGCAGAUGGUGGUGGUUUCAUCCCACAAGUCAGAUUCACUUUGAAUUCGCAUGUGGAACAACUAUAAAAUGGAGUGCCUAUACUUUCUCCACACAAUUCACAUACACCAACUCCCAAUUGCUUUGUGAGUAGGAGAAGAUGUUGGGGGUGAGAAGGGUGCAGGUUGAUUUGCAAUGGGGCUUCAGCGCACUUCUUAUGGAAGAACCAAGCGGAACAAUUAGGAUCAUUGCAAUAGUAGCCACCAUAAAUGGUUCCUUUUGUUUUGCAUCCCUGGCAAUAACUGAUAACAAACCGAGGUGAAGGGAAAAGAGGAUGAUCGUGAAAGGAGGUUUUAUACAUUGUUGUUGAUGUUAUUGUUGUAUCCAUGCGUUGAUUGGUGUAUGUGAGUGAGUUUAAGAGGUUUGUUUGAUUGGAUACAAAAUUGGAACGAGAAGACGGUAUUAUAUAUGCCUUUGUAAACUAAUAACAAUAUACGAGUUAUUUGCAAAAUAACCUUUUAUCUUUUCAAAGAAACAAAGAAUCGAGUAUUUUCAUCGAAACACGAUUUGUUACAUUGAUGAACGAAUAAAGGUUUUGAUUCUUUGUUUUUUUUUGAAAAUAAAAUUUACUCUCUUUUUUGUUUUCUUUUUCAAAUAUAGGUAAUGUCCAUUUCGCAAAUAAAUCUUGAACAAUUAUUUUUGUUAUUACUUUAUAGAGGGAUAUAGAAUAAGUCGUAUUGUGUUUCCCAUCAAACAAAGCAAAUGCAUAUGUGGGGAGUUAAGUCAUAUGCAAAUGCUUAUUCCCGGAAGAAAUCUGAAAAUAUGUUUUUUUCUUUCUUUCUCAAACAAACAAAACAAAACAAAACAAAACAAAACAAAGCAAAUGCUUUCUUCCAACAACAACAAAACAAAAUGCUUUUCUCUCUUUUUGAGUUUAACCCUUGAACAAUGUGCUUACUUUGCAGAGAGGAAAAUGAGAAAGUACAGAAAACGUUUGUGAAUAAAAAAAGUAGUAACAAUUAAGGAAAGAAUAUAUAUUUGAAAUGAUAUUCUAGUUAUUGUACACAAUACAUUUUGCUGUAGAGGAAUGUGUAUUUCUUUGACCAGGAAUCCUACUAUAUAAAAGGAACUAAUUUUGUGGCUUCUAAGAGUGUCCACUUCACCUAAAAUAUUCAGGACCAAUACAUGUCAUUUAACAUAUUCUUCAGCCCAAAAGUAAACUAUUGCAACAUAUAUCCGAGUCCAAUUAAUUUUGUGGGUUGGUCUUCCAGAAACUCACGUGGCUAGAAAGUAAACUCAAGCCCUGAGGAAGUAUGAAAAAUUAAGGUUAACGAAUAAUAAUUAUAAAAGUCUCUUCAUAUAUUAAAAUUUAAGCAUACAGCACGUGUUUUGGUUGCUCAGUAUUAUAUGCUUCAUUUUACUUUAGACUUGAUGUUUGUUUCGAUCGACAUACACUGGACAUUACUCAUCCAAUAAGAUUUUCUCUAAUUGCUUAUAACAUAUUGCGGCCCAAACUAUUUUUUCACAUCUCGCGUCACAAACUCGGAUAUAAUAAUUGAUUUAUUAAUGCUUUCACAUGAUAUCUGCAAAUGGUGAUGUGGGGUAGUCCACAGACCACAGCUUCAUGCUCAAUACUUGCGAUCCACAUGCACGUAAUGUGGAUUGAAGAACAUGUUUCAUUUCUAAUAGGCUGAACAAAUGUGAUGUGACUCAAAAUUCCUCUUUUAUUUUAAUCCCAAACUCUAAAAAAGGUUAUUUACUUUCAUAAUCCUAAUCAGACUUUUUAAUACUUAGCUUAAACCACCUAUACCAAUCAAAUGAACGGAGAAACCAUUUUAUUUUACAAACAUGAGCUUCACAUAACCACGCCAGUAAUAGGUCGCAUGCAUUAAUUACUCAACCCUCUAACCCGACGAUCAUAGAAACAACUCACUAUAAGUCGUUUAUUUACUCAUCCGUUAACAAAGUUCCCAUUCGUAAUAAAUAUAGGCAAAUAAAAACUUCAACAUUUUAACAUUAAAAUGUAACAACGUGUAGCAACUGCCCUGGAAAACAAAAAAAUGCUUGAACAUUAUUCAAAACAGAACAGUAGACGUUCUGACUUACGUUUACUUGAAAUAUAUGGGUUAUAUAAUCUCGCAACCACAAAGGUCAAAUAGAUUAACAAAAAAAAACACACUGCAGGUGCGUAUGAAGAAGGAAGUAACAGAUAGGAAUGGUUAAUCCAUCCCCACCACACACUCCCCUCACCCAGUUUCUUCAUUUUGAUCACAACAUUUACCUUCCUGUAAUUGAGUUCAUCAACAAUACAAAACCCAUAGAUACGGAUUGUUUUUCAAUCUUGGUUUCAUUUAAGACUUCUCCCAUUUACUCUAAAUUAUUGGAACUAUCUUUACCGGUUACAUUUCUUGGUAGAGGUUUAGAUUCUUAAGAAAAAAACUUUGGUCCAAUCUUACUCUACAUAAAUCAUUUUGCAAAUUUAAAAAACUUGGCAAAAAAGUUAUGGAAAAAUCAAAUACAAAAUUUAGUAUCAUCAUUCAAAUUUACAAUGGUCUGUAAACACAGAUAUACUGGCUAAUGAUUCUGCAUUUAUGAUUUGUGUUUACGUAUACAUACAUUAAAAUCAUAUUGAUGACUUCUCAAUAAUACCCCUUUAAUUUUAAAUUUUUUAGAAUUUAUACACGCUCAAUAUAAAAAAUUUAAAGGCAAACAACAGGGCCGACUAAAAAUACAACUAAAUCUAAUAAUGAAACUUAUACUAGAGUCUAACAGAAUAUAGUAAAAAAAUGUCUUCAACCAAAUAUUAUUACAGCAAUAAUAAAUUAUUUUUUUAUAACACAAGGCCCAUUUCAAAUCACAAAAAGAAGAAAAGAACAAAACGCAAAAGCUAUACCACUAACAAGAUUUCAAACUCCCAACUAGGUCUGCGCAUUUCGGGUAUCGGUUUGGUUCGGUUCGGGUAUUUCGGGUUUCGGAUAGUUUGGAUAGGGGCUAGAUGAUCCAUUUAGUACUUGAUCUAUUUUCGAUUCGAUUCGGUUCGGUUCAGGUAGUUUCGGGUUCGGUUCGGUUCGGAUAGUAAAUGCAGGAACCAGAAAAUAUCCGGAAAAAGUUCGGUUCUCAUUUGGAUCCGGUUCGGGCUCGGAUAGUUUGGGUAGUUCGGAUAAUUUGGAAAAAAUAUCGGUUAUUUAAGGUAAAAUAUCAAAUAAUUAGGAUGAUUUAGAUAAAGAUUUUGGAUAUCUUGGAUUGCUUUGGAUAUUUCGGAUAAAACUAUCCGGAUAGUUUCAGAUACUUUCGGGUAGUUUGGAUACUUUAUAAUAAUUUAGUUAUACUCAACUAUUUUCAGAUACUUUAAUAGAAUUUUAAAUUAAAAAAUAUAUAUUUAGUGAUGUUAUAUGUAUAUAUAAUGAAUAUUUUUAUAUAUUCGGGUACCCGUUCAGUUCUCGGUUUGGUUAUUUCGGAUAUAAAAAUAUAGGAACCGUUCGGGUAUUUGAAGAUAUUGAUCCGGUUUCGGUUUCGGGUAUUUCGGUUCGGUUCUUUGGUUCCGGUUAUUUUGCCCAGGCCUACUCCCAACUAUACAUUAUCCAUACCACCCCCACAAUUAACACAACCUUAUACAUCAAUAUACACGUAGUCGGAACAAAGAACAACCAGAUCAAACAUACACACAAUAACUAACUAAUAAAUCCGCGCGAAGCGCGGACAACCCCCUAGUCCUUUUAAUGAAAAAGAAAAAAACAUCAAUAUCUUCUGUAUACAACUUAAUCCUCAUGAUCAGUCGUUAAGUUUGUAACAAACCGUAACUCGUGAAAGCCCUUUUGCCUGCACACGCUUCUGAACUUGAUAAUAUUAAAGGCAUCAUCAAGGUUUCGUGGUGUAGUUGGUUAUCACGUCAGUCUAACACACUGAAGGUCUCCGGUUCGAACCCGGGCGAAGCCAUUAUUUCGAAUUUUUUUUAUCUGUCCAGUUUUUGUAGAAUUCGUUUUUUUUUCCUCUAUUUGUUGUUUAAGAAUGUUAAUGAUCUUUUGACUGGAUGAUGAUGAUUUGUGGAUGUACAGGAACUUCUUUCGACCUUGACAAAAUCUAAUGUCAAUCCAUGUCCAACAAUGAUUAAAGUUUGCUUCUGAGCUCUCUGUUCAUAACCAACGGUUGAACGAAGACGCUACAAAUGACAGGAGUAAGAAUCAUAGGCCACACAGCCUACUGUCCUCAAAAGAUGUCACAAAUAGCGAAUUUAAACUUCAUUAGCAGAUCUCACAAUCUCAACGCACUAAAGAUACAAAGACACGACAUUAGAUUCCAAACAUACCAAUUCGCAGUACUUUACAAAACAUGAGAUUGCAAAACACAAGAGAAAGGACAUUCUACAAAGAAACUCUAAUUCAGACAGACAUUCCAGACAGUUCAGGAGCUCGUGAACUUAGUCACCGCCUUGGUCCCUUCGGAAACAGCGUGUUUCGCCAGCUCUCCAGGCAAGACGAGUCUCACCGCAGUCUGAAUCUCCCUGGAAGUAAUCGUCGGCUUCUUGUUGUACCUCGCGAGCUUGGAAGACUCGCCGGCAAGCUUCUCGAAGAUGUCGUUGAUGAAGCUGUUCAUGAUCCCCAUGGCUUUGCUCGAGAUCCCGAUGUCGGGGUGCACCUGCUUCAGCACCUUGAAGAUGUAGAUCUUGUAGGUCUCGACGCUCUUCUUGGACCGCUUCUUCUUCUUGUCUCCGGCGACGGCGGAGGGAUCCUUCGGGAGCUUCUUCCCGGCCUUUGGCUUCUUCUCCGCCGGUGCUUUCUCGGCAGGCUUCUUCUC